rnacentral:lncRNA from 1 species
GCAAAAGCGGAGAUUUAUCGCACCAAACCUCAUCAAUAUACUGAACUAUUAUCAGAGACUCACAAAUGGGCUUUCCAUUGUGGAUCAGAACUGGGAUUUUCUUAUGAACUGGGUUCAUCUCAAGAAGCAAAGGGCUCUUGUUCCACAGGUCCUCCUCUCUAUAUUCAUACUUGAGACCCUUCUCUGCCAGGGCAACUCUGACCCUCAUACCAAACAUGCUAGGCCAGAAAUCCAACAAGAUAAUCUCGUCUGCCAUUGCUACUAAUGUGAUUGAUAAGAUUCAAUCUCUUUAGUAUUGAUGAACAACACAGGGCAAAUUGCUGAGUAUUUAUAGCAAAUUUCAGAGAGUGGGUUAAACCCUUGGAUACUUCUAGGAGGUGGUGAUGCUCAUUCCUUAUCUCAGCUUUCAUUUUCAUUUUCCAUUCUAUCUGGGUUUCGUAUCUCCAGAAUUUGUGAAUUAUGCAAACUUUUGUUAUGGCAUGGUAAAAUAUAGAAGCGUCACGAUAGUUGGUUGCUUCCACGACAUCUCAUUGCUUUGAUCAUUCCACGUCAUCGCUUUCGCCAGCCCUGUCAAUUAAGUACACUGGUCCUCCGCAUAAUUUCCACCACAAAAAUGAUGUUGCAAGGAAAAAAAAUGAUAUUGUAGGGAAAAGAAAAUAGAACUUGUAUACUUUUAGAUCGACAAGUCACUAUUGGUCCCUUCCUUAGUUCUUAGAUUCCUGAAAUUAAAUAAAUAUUUAAACUUUAUGUGUAUUAUAAAUAUUUAAAAUUUCAGUGGUGAUUGUAUUUUUAUCUAAGAUCUAAUUUUUUUUUUAAUUUGAAUAAAUUAAGUAUUGUUAAAUAUUUAAAUUUUUUAUAUUUUAAUUAUUAGUAAAUGUUAAUAAAUAUUAAAUUACUGAUCUUUUACAUUACAAAAAUAUUUAUAAAAUAUAAUAUUUUAUUUCUUGUUAAAUUAGUUUGCAAUCCAGCAUAUUUUUUAAUAUUUAAAUAUCAUAAUUCAUUAACAUAUUAAAAUUUUAUAAUAAAUAAUUAUGUAAUUGAUAAGAAAUUGGUAGUAUGAUAAUAAGUAUAAUUAUGGGGUAUUUGGUAAACUCAAUAAUUAUUAUUUAAUGACUUAAGUUGAUUUUAAGUAAAAUUAUAUUUAAGUUAUUGACUUAAAACUUAUCACUUAAUUUUUACUUUAAAUAUUAAGGUUGUUUAAUAAAAUUAAUUUAAAAUUUAUUCUAAAUCAUCAAAUUGAUAUACUUAACCCCAUAAUUAUAAUGAGGGUAAAUGAGAUCGAGUAACGAUGGAAGUUGUAUAAUAGCAAAAGAAAUCGUGGAACUAAGAUAAAUGAGGGUAAAAAGAUAAAAUGAAAACAUGGAUUUAAGAAUAAAUUAAUUAUUUUUACUUAUUACUUAAAGUUGUUUUUUACUUUUAAGUUAUACCAUUAAAUUAUUUUACCAGCUGUAUUUAAUUUGUUUAAUAACUUGAAUUAAGUUAUUAAGUUGAUUUACCAAAUUCCCACUUAGACUUGUUAGAAACUAUUAGAACUUUUUCUAAGUUAGUAUAUGUUUAGAUUUGAAGAUUUGUGAUUGAAAUAUAUAUUCUUUUUUAAAUUAAUCAUUGAUUUUUGGAAUUUUAUCGGAGUAUCAACUUUUAAUUUAUAUUUUUUAAAAUUAUUAAUUCUAAUAAAUAUUUAGAUGAAUGUGAAUUAUGCUUUAGAAUUUUGAUUAAAAAAAUCUUAUUAGAAUUGAUAACUAUUUUUAUUUUUUAUAAAGCUGAAUUUUAAAAAUUUAUAUUAAAUAUUUUUCUAAUUUAAAUUUUAUGAUUUUUAGUGUAAUUUACUUUUUAAUUUUGAAUGAGUAAUCAAUAAUAAUUUGCGGAAUUCAAUUUUAUUAAGAAUGGGAUAAAUUAUGGGGUAAAAAUAAUGGAAACAUGUGGGGAUUUGAAAUUUUGUAAAUUUAUCUUUUAGCUAUCAAUUUAUGAGAAAAUUUUAAAUCUGAUUUUUCUUUAAAAAAAAUGAAAAAUGAAAAUGAAAAAAAAAAAACAAAAAAAAAAAUCAAAUAUAUUUGAUGCUUUUUGUGAAUGACAACUUUGUUAAUUUCUAAUAAAUUUAUUUCUCACUCAAAUUAUAUAAAAUUAACAUAGUUUAACUAUUUUUUAAAACAAGUUAUCUAUUCUUUUUUAAAGGAAUUUAGUUUAAAUUUUUGUGAAAAUUUGUAUUUAAGCAAGUACUCUUAAUUAAUGAUUAAAAGCUUUUUUAUUUUUUAGUUUUUCCCCAUAAAGAAUUAAAUAUUAUAAUUAAUCCUAGUUUUUUCAAACUCUUAUAAAUAGGAGACUUGGGUCAAUGAAAUGGAUACCUCAAAGUUAUUUUAGAAAUCUGUCUUUUCUCUAAUUCUAGUCUCUCCAAAAGAAAACUUUUUUUUAUCAUCUAAAAGGUAUGUGAUAAACUUCUACUUUUAUAUUAUUUUCUAUUUAAUUUAUCCUUUUUUCGAUGAAGAAACUAGAAAAUAUUUUUUUAUAGACAAAAAUUAUGAAAAAAAAAAAUCGCAACUAGAAGUUAUAAAAAAAAAUGUAAAAUAUGUACAAUUGUAUAGCUAGAGGUUAUAUGAGAAAUUAUAAAGUUAUAAAAAUAUAAAGAACGACUUACAUGUAAUUUCUAAUUUCUUUUAAUCAUAAUGAUAUAACCAAAUGUUACACAAAACAAAAUUGUAUAGUCAAAAGUUAAAUAAUGAAUAUUUCAUAGCCUAAAGAUGUAUACAAAUUUACACAUUUUUGUUAUGAUAAAAAUAAUCCAUAGCCAAAAACUAUGUAAGGUAUCAAUUUGUAAUUUUUAUUUUGUUAAUUCUACAUGAUGUUCAUGCAUUUCUUUUUUACCAUAUUUAUAAUAAUCCUUUAGCGAUAAAAUAUAACAAAAUCUUAAAUCAUUAUGCUUUUAUUAAUGAAUAUAAACCUGAUAAAAUAUUGUUAGAUAAUUUUAUUCAUUUAUUUAUAAUUUAUUUUGGUAAAUUGAAAUAUUAUUCUAAUUAAAUUAUUUCAAAUAUAGUUUUCAAAUAAUGUCAAAUCUUACCAAGUUUGAGUUUGUUACACUCCCUAUUUCAGGCAAAACUAUUUAUAUGGAUUUUAGAUGCUAAAAUUCACCUAAACGAUAUGAAUCUUGAAAAGACCAUUAAAGAAUAAAAUGAGGCAUCCUCACAAGAUCGCACUGGAGCAUUAAUAUUCCUUCAUUAUCACAUUGAUGAAGGAAUAAAAGGUGAAUUCCUUACAAUCAAAGAAUUUUCAUCCUUUGAAAUAAUCUAAUGGAAUGAUACUUUGAUCCUUUGGAAUAAUAUAACAUAAUGAUAUGGCCACCACGAGAUUAUAAUCCUUCCAAAAGCACAUCAUGAUUGGAUGCACUUGAGAUUACAAAAUUUCAAGUCUGUCAAUGACCACAACUCGACUUUAUUCAAAAGUUGUUCACAAUUUAUAUGGAGAAAAAAUCAUUAAAGAAUAUAUCCUUGAAAAGACAUUUACUAUUUUCCAUGCCUCGAAUGUACUCCUAUGGCAACAAUAUCAAGAGCAUAAUUUCACUAAAUAUUUUGAAUUAGUUUAAUGUCUUCUUAUGGCUAAACAAAAUAAUGAACUUCUACUUAAGAAUCAUCAAUCUCAUACUAUUAGGUCUGUGUCAUUACUUGAAGCAAAUGUCACAUCCGUCCAAGCUCCUAGACAUUGAGUUGGACUUGGACAUGAACAAGGCUAAGGACACAGUCAUGGUCAUGGUAAACAUAAUUCUUGGUACCAUGGUAAUUAUAGUCAUUAGAAUAGACAAAACAAUUCAAACCAUUAGAAGUGGAAUAAUUCAAAGGUGCAACCUAAAAAGGAUAUAUAUAUAUAUAUAAUCACAAAACAAACAUGAUAAUAAGAAUGAAUGCUAUAGAUAUGGUAUGAAAAGGAUGUAUGUAGGAUUUAGAAAUGACCUACGAGGAACAGGAAGACCUCAAAUUCAUUAUGAGGCUUCUAUAAUUUAAUAUUUAGACCCAAAUAAGAAUGGAUAGAACCAUGGUCCACCUUAAAAGAAAAGUUUUUUUUUUUUUUUGAAGAAUUUACAUACUUUUCUUAAGAAUGUACGUAUUUUUCUUAAGGAUGUACGUAGACUUUGAAAAUGACAAACGAGGAAUGGGCAGCCUCAAAAUUAUUACAAGGCUUCCAUAAAUUAAUAUUAAAAACCUAAAUAAGGCGAAAUAAGGUCACAAUCUGCUUUUAAAAAAACGCACAUAUUUUGUUUUUUUAAGAAUGUACAUGUUUUCCAUAAAAAUAUAUGUAUCUUUUCUUAAGAAUGUUCUUAAGGUUUAGAAAAGCCUAACAAGGAAAAGAAAGACCUCUAAUUCAUUCUCAGGCUUCCAUAAGUGAAUACCUAGACCUAAAUAAGGUCAAAUAGGAUUAUAGUCUUAAGAUAGAGCUCUUAAGAGCAUAACAUGGUGUAUUAAGUUUGAAAUUCAUUAUUUAUUUAAUGAUGUUCCCAUUUCACUUUUAUCUAUCUUUAUUCCAUGUAUUAUAUUUUAUGAGAAGUCUUGUCAGCAUCUUUUGCAUUGUACAUGACUUAGGUGCAUUAGGAGUUGCACAGAAGAUCUUUAAGCCAUGGGUUCCUUGCAAAUAAUUGACUUGUUCACAACCGGUUUAUGGGUCUAGGCAACCCUUUAGAAGUUGUAGUGCACCACCUCCUAAUUAGAGGGAUGGUUGGUCUUCGUUAUCGGGAUGGGUUUCCCAUGGUGAGUACACUACUAUGUAUGAUUACAUGUUGGACAAGACCUACGAUGAGCCAUGACUUAAGACUAUCAAGUAGUCAUGACCUCACCAAGCUACUUCAUUGUGUUAUCUCUCAACCUUGAGAGAAUAUCGAGAUUGUGUUAAAAUUAGCAAUGACUUUUACCUAUGAGUGAGAUCGUAAGUUGGAUCAUAUAUUCCCUAUGGAUUGGGUCACUGUUGAUGGAAGUCGGUAACAAUAGGUAUUCUCAAUAGACACCAUGAUAUCUCAUGGGAUUGAGACAACGUGUCCCCUUGGGUGAUCCUAAGGGGAUGUGUUCAUGGAAACUAUGGCCAUAAUAGUUCCUUAAGUAGAACUUGACACAGGCUCUUUGAGAGCUAAGACAUGUCAAUUGAAUAUACAAUAGGAGGAUUUGUAACUCAAGGAUAGUAGAGGUAGUCUUGAAAGGUUGAUAGCUUUCACCUUGUUAGGCUAGAACACCAGUUCAUGGGGAGAGUGAACACAAUGGAUACUAGGUCACAGACCCGAGUACAUAGUGUCUCGUUGUUAUUUACAUAGGAUAUUGGAGUUCAAUUGAUUCUUUGUAAUAAGAUGUUGAAUCAACUUCAUAAUUGGAUCCUGAGGGAGUUAGUACUCUUAUGGAUCCUAAUGGUCCCCGCUCUAAGCUUAUAUAUCUUUUUGGCAUAGUUAUGAGUGUCGAAUUGACUCUAGGUUCACUUUUGUGCAUAAGGGCAUUUCGAUAAUUAUGCAAGAUUGCAUAAGGGUAAGUGAACAAAGUCUAUAGAUUGAGCUAAUUAAUUAAUUAGUAGGCCCUAUUAGGUUAAUUAAUCCAUUAGGAUCCAUUUUGGGAUAAAUUAAGUUAUCCAAAUCCAUGUGGGCUCAAGUCACUUAAGCCUAGUUAGGAACCCUAUAAAUACCCCCUAGGGGUUAGAGUCUUCAUCACUUUUGUCUUCCACCAUUUAGACAGAAAGAGAGCAAUAGCCUCUACCUUUCGUUCUUCCCUAUUGAAAGUGUGCCAAGAAUAAAUUUGAGUCAUCAGGCAAAAGACCAUGGGUUUACGAGACUUCCAACAACUUCAAUGUCAUCUUCAACACUUGCAAUUUAAGGUUUGAAACAUCCAAACCUAAAGGUUAGCACUUUAACCAUAAAGAUCAAUUUAAAAAAAUAAAUAAAUAAAUUGGUAUUGUUUCCGUUCCUUAGAUCUACGAUGCCAACACACAGUUCGCUUGAAAAAAAUGCAAGUAUUUUCUUCAAAAUAUAUAUAUUUGUUCAGAAUGUAUGUAUUUUUGUAAAAGAUGUACCUUAGGUAGGGUUCCACCAUGCCAAAUGAGGUUUGGGAAGCUUUCAAAUACAUUUCGUAGAGUACAUAAGUCAAAUCUUAGACCCAAAUGAGUGUGAAUCUGUCAUGUUAAGUUGAAAUCAAAUGUACAUAUCUUUCUUAAGGUGUUAUAUUUUUCUAAAAAAUGAACUUAUGAGUGUUUAGCUAGGUUGGCAAUUCCGGAAAAAAUUUCUAAGUGUCCCCUAACUUGGUUUACCAAUCCCUCUUCGGACUACAUGACCUUUGAAGAUUAAGACUUUGCUAAAAGGUCGAGGUAUGUAGCCAAGUCUGUAGUGAUUAAAUGUGAGCCAACCCUAUUUUUUCAUCUUUAAAUGAGUAAAGAAAGCUGAGAGAAAUAUUGUUGGUGCAAGGCUUUUGUUCCCCUGUUUCUAGAUCGAUCCAGGUAUAGGGGCAAAUCAAUCCAACUAACCUAUUUUUAAGAUCAAUUUUCAACCUUUGGAUUAAGGUUUCACUCUCAUUUAAAAUCAAAUCUCCCCCAUUUCUGGAAAUGGUGACUGUAGUAUCCGUAAGAGAUUUUUUUUCUUUCCUCACCAUUUAGAAGGUGUUUACCUAUGAAGAAAAUCCAUCCAAGUUUUCCAAGAAUUUUUUUUAAAAAAAUGGAUUUUCUGAAAAUGAACAAGGGUUGAUUUCUAAAACAUUCAUAUUUCAUUCUCUUGGUUUUGUGCAAAAACCCAUUUUCUUCUUGUAUGAAUUCAAGAAGAAAUCGAGCUUAGUGCAAACUCCAAGUGUGUCCCGAAAGAAGAAGCUAAGAAGCUGAAAAUGAAGGUACUAGUCAAGUGGUUUGGGAAAGAUUGGUUGGCUUGAGCAAGGUAAAACCUUGUAUUCAGAUUUUAUUUUUCAUAGUGGAUGUUUUCAAUCAGUAAUAGGCCCGUGGUUUUUUAUCUCUUCGGAGAUUUUUCAUGUAAAUUUAUGGUGUCUCAUUGUCUCCCUUUCUCUUCUUAGCAUCAGUUUUCAAUUUCAACAAUUUAUUAUAAUUUUGAUUGUCUACUAUUUGAUUGAAUGAUGAAGAGAAAUGACUAUGAAUCAUCUUUGAAGUUGUUUCUAAUUGUUAAUCAUUGAUAUUUUGAGGUAUAUUGAUCUUGCUUUUAUCAAAAUUUAGUUUAAGUUGAUUUGGGUUUGGGAGUGUUAGAUCAUGUGCAUGUGAAUUACAUUUGAAUAUUGUUAGGGAGUGUUGUUGCAUUCAUAUAUGCAUGUGAUUUAUAAUUUGUGUUUUUGAGACUGUGUGAAGAGAAGAAAAAUAUUCAAAAAGUUUUAAGGUUUGCUAAUUUGAGUUGAGAUUUUGUUUAAUUGGUCAAAACACCUAUUCAACCUCCCUUAGGUGUAUUCCACUAUUGAGAUUCACCUUUUCAAUUGGUAUCAGAGAGGGUUUUUAAAGCAAAAAUCAUUUUCGAUCCUUAAAUCUCAAUCAGGGAACCUCAUUAAGAGGGAGCUUCCAUUAGAAGACCACCUUUCUUAACCAGUGAAAAUUUUUCUCAUUGAAAAGUGAGAAUGCAAUAUUUUCUCAAAAUGCAAAGUGAUAAAAUUUGGAAUGUCGUUGAAUUUGGUUAGUCUCCACCUAAGGUGUUAGAUAGAGAAGGUAAAUUAACAAAUGUUAUCAAGCCAAAAUUGAAAUGUGAUAGAAGUGAAAAUGAAGCAAGUGAGAAUAAAGCUAGAGCCAUGUUCUCCAUCUUCAAUGCCAUUAGUACGAAUGAAUUUCAUAGCAUUGCCACAUGCACUUUGGUUAAAGAAGGCUUAGGAUAUCCUCUAAGUGACUCAUGAAGGAACUAAUGUCGUGAAAAUGUCCAAGCUUCAAAUGUUGACAUCUAGGUUUGAGACCAUUAGGAUGGAUGAUCAUGAAACUUUUAGAGAAUUUCAUGCAAAAUUGAUGGAUAUUGUGAAUUCUAACUUCAAUCUAGGUGAAUCCAUCUCUAACUGAAAGAUAGUUAGAAAAAUUUUAAGAUCUCUUCCAGAUAAAUUUAGAGCUAANGUUACCGCCAUUGAAGAGUCUAAAGAUGUGGAUUCCUUGAAGAUAGAUGAACUUGUAGGUUCUCUCCAAACCUUUGAGAUGAUGCUUGUAUCACCUAGGAAAGCUAAGGGAAUUGCUUUAAAAGCUAUUAAAUAAGAGUCCCUAAGUUUCGAAAGUGAGAAUGAUGUCAAAGGGUGAGCUUACUAAGUUUACUAAAAAAAUUAAGAAGUACAUGAAAUUCAGAAAAUCCAAGAAAGAAUCAAAUGAUGGUAAAAAUGGAGGAACUCUAUUAGAAAAAAAGAAGAAUAUGGAGAAAUGUGUGAAAAAAGAGUUGGUGAUUGAGUGCUUUAAAUGUGGAGGAAAUGGGCAUUAUGCCGCCAAAUGUCCCUCAAAGAAAAAAAAAAUGAAAGAAGGUCAUGCAAGUCACUUGAAGCAACAUAGAAUCUUGUCAAUCAAGUGAAAAAGAAUCCAAUGGAAGUGAAGAAUACACUAACUUCAUAGCCUUUGCUGCAAGUGUCAAUGAGAAACCACUCAAGAAAGAGGUCUUAAGUGAGUCAUGAGUCAAGUGACUCCAAUGAUGAUGACAUGAAUUUUGACAUAGCAUAUGAGACUUUGUAUAAGGAAUGCUUGAGCCUUAAACAAGAACAAGUCAAGUGGAAGGCUUCUAAGAAUAUUCUAAUCAAUGAGAUUGAUGUCUUGAAGGGAGAAAAGAAGGCUUUGCUUGAAAAAAUUGGAUUUCUUGAAAAUGACCAUUUGGAAGUGAAAAAAAAAAUAUUAUGUAUUGAAAAGUGAAUCAAAUGUUCAAGGAUGAGUUAAGUCUUAAGAAGAAAGAAUCACAUCCUAGCUCUAAGAGGAUUAAUGAGUUGAUCAAUUUAAGGCGUAAAUCUUUUGAUAAACAAGGCUUAGGAUUUGUUGAUGCAAAUACUACUCCAAGUAGUGGUAAAACAAUUUUUGUUAAGCCUUGUGAAAAAUAAUAUCCUAAGAAAACUCAUUCUCAAAUCAAGUUUCAUUGCAAUCAUUGUGGCAAAAUGGGACACAUUUUUCAUAGAUGUUGUACAAGAUUGUUUGAUAACUUUCAAAGGAAGUUGACCAACCUAAUGAAUGAAUGUUAUGCUUUGAAGAAUAGGUUAUUGAAUGAGAAUAAGAGAGUGUCCAAGAAGUGCUCAAAGAUCCCUCAUAAUGGUGAGUUGAAAGGAAGCACUUUGAAUGAAAAGACAAGUCUCAAAUGUUAAACAAAUUUGGGUGUGAAUGAAUUAGUUGAAGUGUUUUGUUGUCCAUACCGCACUUAGAGCUAGUGAGUCACACUCAUGGCAUCUUGAUAGUAGAUGUUCACAUCAUAUGACUAGAAAUAAAUCUUUGUUCACUUCAUUCACUGAAUUUGAUGGAGGAAAUGUGACAUUUGGAGAUGGUAAUGUGGCUAGGGUGAAAGACAAAGGUACCAUUUGUGCCCCUGACAUUCCUAAUCUUGAAGAGGUCUUAUAUGAAGGUUUAAAGGCUAACUUAAUUAGCACAAGCCAAAUGUGUGGGAAUGAGUUCAAUGUAAAAUUUUCACAAACUUUUUGCAAGGUGUUUGACUUGAAUGAUGUAAGUGUGAUGAUUGGCUUGAGAACUUGUGAUAAUUGCUAUGUUGUUAGUAAAAAAUCUCCUUCAUCCUCUUCUCUCGUGUGUGGAAGUUCUAAAAUUGCAUGUGUUAAUCACUUGUUGCAACAUAGAUUGUUACAAAAUGAAAAAGAGCAUCCCAUUGUAAAAGUUAGGAUUGGUAGGGGGGAUUUGAUGAUGCCAAUGUUAUUGAUAGGCUAGAGAACCAUGUUCUUCAUUAUAGAUAAAAACAUGUGGACAUUAAGCAUCACUGCAUUCAAGACUUGGUAGAAGACAAGGUUGUUUACUAGAGGUUUUCCCUAUAGAGAGUCAAAUUGCUAACAAUGUUACUAAACCUUUGGACAUUUCUAGGUUUGAAUCACUUAGGAGCCCCAUAGGUUUAUAUAUUCUCUGUUUAACUGCCUCUAGAACUUGUCUAGGACUCCUCUUGCAUAUCCUUGAGUCCUAGUUGUCUUCCUAAGUUCCCAAAUAUCAUCAACUUGAUGUUCUUUUUGUUUUGGUUCAAUAUUUUCUCCAUUUUUCAUAAAUUUUCAACAAUUGUUGAGUUCAUGAGAGUGACAUGCUUAUUCAUUUUGUUUAAAAGUUAAAUUAACUCAUAAUGAUCUUAAAAGCUUCAAGAUGUAUUUAUCUCCAUGGCUUGUUUGAUAAACAUGAUAUUGAAUCCUUGCUAUUUUGAUUUGGUUAGAUAAACUACAAAUGAUUAGCUUCAUUUCUAUUAAGUGAGUAAGAGCUCAUUGUUGGACCUUGUGUUUGCAUAAUGGUGAAUAAUGCUCUUUAAAGUCUAAAUGAAAACUUAUACCCAUUUAAUGAGCUUUAAAGAGUGAGUAAAGACACCUGGAAUAUCCUUGAGAGGUUGAGAUGAUCAGUCUUUGAUUGUUUGUCCUCUCUUUGAAAUUAAUUUUUUUUUAAAUGAAAAAGAAAAGAAAAAGAAAAUAUGAAGUUUCCCGGAAUGGAUAUGGCUCCGUGGCAAUGUUUCAAGAAUUAAAAAGCCUCCAUUGCAAGAGUGGGACAUCCCUUAUGUUGUUAUGUUGUAAAGACAUCCUUAGAGAUCCUCAAGUCAAAAAUUGAUCUUAAGGGUAAAACUUAAAGCUUUGUAUUCCUUUCAAUGCUAAAUGUGAAAAGCAAAUAGUGUAUGAAUUUUAUUAAAGGGAUGUGAUUAGGUCAUGUUGAACAGAAAUCUGGCCAAGAGAGAUGCAAAUUGACUUUGAUUACUACUCAAAAAGUACUCUUUUAUAGCUUGAAACUAACUGUUUUAAACACUUUUGAGUAGUAGUUAAUACAUUUUAACUCAAUUGGCACAUUAAGAAACCUAGCAAGGGUUACUAAUCAAUUUUUCGCAAGUUUUGGUGUUUUUGGUAGCUAUUUGAUCAUUGAAACAAGCCAAGAAUGAGGGAGAAUUUUGUGAAAUCCAUGGCAAUGCAAGUUAAAGCUCAAAUACAUGAAGAAUCCAAGCUUUGGAGCACUUCAUAGCCCUUUUCCAAGCCAAUUAGAGAUGCAAGAAGGGAAACCAGAGGAAGAAAUCCAACAACCAGCAUUUCCGCAUGGCUGUGCGAAAUUUCGCACACCAUACGAAACCACUUGAGGCAACCAAAAAAUUUCUCACAUCAUGCGAAAUUUCCCAAGGUAUGCGAAAUCUUCCUGUGCACCAACUCCGUUAGAUUUUUAUCUCUAGAUAUUUUAUGUAAUUUCCUAUUUUCUCCUUAUAAUCAACUUAGAUAUUUUCAUAUAUAUUUUUUUAUAUAUUUAGUGUGUGUAACAUCUUUUGAUAUAGACACACAGGGAUGUAAUCAGAGAACGCUUGUAAAUUCCCCGUAGUAAGAAAUAUACAAAGCUUUUGCUCUGUCUUUUCUUUUCAUUUUGUUUUCACUCUUCUUUCUAGUCAAACAACCUCUAAGGAUGAUUUCUCAGGGGAUGAGUGGCUAGGUUUUACGUUUCUUGGAGCUAUGGAAGCUAGGUGAAGGACUCGAAUGCAAAGAUGGGAGUUGUCCUUACUCUAAAUGAAAGUAGUUGUUAACCAUUAAUGGUUUUUAUUUUAAGGUUUAGCUUUAAAUCCCUUAAAAGCACCUUGAAUGGCCAAUACUUGGUAAGCUUUUUGAAUUCUAUGGAUGCUUAGUGCUAGAUCCAUGGAUGUCUAUUAGUUAUCAUUUAUGAGCUAUUGGAAGGUGGUUCAAGGUGAGAGUCUUUAGUGUGUCAAGCCAUUAAUGGGAAGCAACUAUUAUUUUUCAUGAACCCUUUGGAUCAAAUCUUAAUUGCUAAAAAUAAAAUCGGUUCGGGAGAUAACCAUCCUUAUAUUAUUGUCCCCAACGCGAGGAAAAGAUCCGGAAUCUCCCCCUUUGUCUAAGGAACCCAAUCCUAGUGACCUAAAGCUCCAAGAGACCUUUUCUUUGUAGUCAACUUCACCUAUUAUUUUUGCUUAACUUAAAAUCAAUCUUUGCAACCACAAUUCCAUUUUCUUUAAAAGCUAAUUUUCAUAAGGAAAAACACCAUUUUAUUUCCUUCACUAAAGUCAAUUGUACGAUGAAAACCCAUCCUUGUGGACGAUCCUAGAGCCACUAUACUAUGUUAGCUAUGCUACCCUAGUGUGAGGUGAUUUAGGUUUUAUAAAUUUUGUUGAUAACACCCGUCUAAGCCAGAAUCAAAUGGCAUGACUACAAUGGGGAUGAAUCAGACUUCUUGGAACAUUAUCUUGAAUUUCUCUAGGAAGGAAGAGUAUCUUGAAAAUGAUUUUUGGCUCAUAAAUGAAUAUAGGUUUCUAAGUGGAAAUUAUUUAACAUUAUCACCAUUUUAUGGUGUCAUGAGUGAGUUUUUUUUAGCUUAAGCUUCCUUGUUAGAGUGUUGAUAAUCAUUUGUUUUUUACCUAUUCAUUUGAUAAAUUUGGAAAGUACUUCAAUCUCUAUGUUUAUUAAUUUUGUCUAUUGUUAUGUUCUUGGAAGCAUUUUUGUUCAAUGUGAAUCAAUUCUAACUCAUUAAUUGAAAGAUAAGUAUGUCAUCCUAUUGUAUCUCAUCUUUGGUCGAUCAAUUUUCAUUUUUUGGAAAGCCUAUUCGUGUAUUUCUUGUGAUUUUUCGAUAGUUUUUGCCUAAGUCAUUUUUCAAUUGGGUGUCGAUCGAUCUACUGAAUUUGUGGAUCGAUCCAUUAUGUGCACAAUGUAGUGACCGAGAGCCCUUGAAUGAAUCUUGGAUCGAUCCACCAAGAUCGAUACCACCUAGUACUUGUCUCUCACACACUUAGCCAUUUUUUUCAAAUUUGGUUUGUUCAAACCUAUGUGACUGUGUAUCAUCAAGAGCACAAUUGAAAAUUGGAUCGAUCCACCAAGGUCGAUACCACAUAUGCAUUUGUGAAAAAUUCCAUUUUUGCCCCCAACUAGUUAUACUCAUAUGGUUUAAUGGAUGAGGGGUAUUUUCAUAAUUAAAAGUAAAAAAUUGAAAAAGUCAAAAUUCCUAAAUCUGUUUUUCCCAAUUCAUUUCUUUCAAAAGCCCUAGGUCUUUUGUUUCAAAGAAGAGAACUUCUCUACUCUAAGCUUCUCUUUAGCCAUCAUCGUCGAUCCAUCAUUCUGGCCACUACCAUCAAAAGUCUCUACCACUAGAAACCUUUAUCGUCAGACUUCCUUAUCUGGUGAGCGUUUCAGGUCUGGCCAAUCCCACUAGACAGCCUCGUCAAAUAGCCUAGAAUUGUUGUGUUGCUCAACUCAUGUCAUCAGCUUGUGUGUCUCUUCUUAGUGCGUCGGUGUUUUCGAAAAUUGCCUUCUACAUAGUAUGUGUUGGCUAGGACCUCCUGUGUGCAUCACUAGAUUGUAUCUCAUUCAAUUGGGAUUCCAUUCCAGCAGUUGGAAAUUCCAAUCAGCCCUUAGGACUGUGUUUUUCACAGCACAAUCAACACAACGCAAUCUACACUUCUGGAAAUUGUGUUCUACAUAGCCCAUUUCUCUUGUUUUUUUUUCUACUAUUUUCCAAUGUCCGUGUCUUCAAUGCAACUUAUUUGCAAGAGUUCUCAUUUCCGGCAACCAUUAUUGUUUGAUUUAUCCAUUUUUUUCUCUUCUAUUAGUCUCAUUUGGAACUUCUCUGCUCUAAGCUUCUCUUUAGCCAUCAUCGUCGGUCCAUCAUUCCGGCCACUACCAUCAAAAGUCUCUACCACUGGAAACCUUUAUCGUCAGACUUCCCUAUCUGGUGAGCGUUUCAAGUCUGGCCAAUCCCACUAGACAGCCUCGUCAAAUAGCCUAGAAUUGUUGUGUUGCUCAGCUCAUGUCGUCGGCAUGUGUGUUUCUUCUUAGUGCGUCGGUGUUUUCAAAAAUUGCCUUCUACAUAGUAUGUGUUGGCUAGGACCUCCUGUGUGCAUCACUAGAUUGUAUCUCAUGCAAUUGGGAUUCUGUUCCAGCAGUUGGAAAUUCCAAUCAGCCCUUAGGACUGUGUUUUUCACAGUACAAUGAACACAACGCAAUCUACACUUCUGGAAAUUGUGUUCUACAUAACCCAUUUCUCUUAUUUUUUUCUCUACUAUUUUCCAAUGUUCGUGUUCUCAAUGCAACUUAUUUGCAAGAGUUCUCAUUUCCGAAAACCAUUAUUGUUUGAUUUAUCUAUUCUUCUCUCUUCUAUUAGUCUCAUUUGGAUUAUUUAUUUAUUUAUUUAUUUUUAUUUUUUUGUAGAGUCCUCUCACAGUAGUUUUAAUAGUUUGAGAUUUCAUUUUUGCCUUGGAGUGUUCCUAGUUUCUAGGAAUGCUAAUCCUAGGCUUUGGUUGUUCAUUUUGAGUGGUCUUCAUACAUUUUCAUGCUUGAAAUCUAUUUUCAUGGUGAUAAAGCAUUUUUUGAAAGUUUUUAAUUGAAACCAUGUGAUAGGAUUCAAGAGGAGAUUCUCAUAUCCUGUGAUGGGAGUCAAGGGAAGAUUCUUGUAUCCUAUAAUUUUUUUUUCUGGAAUGUUGAUAUGGAUACUUGGUGAUAUGUGAAUAUUUGAUUUUUGGGUAUUUGACAUUUUGUUGAAAAGUGGAUGUUUGUUGAUUUGGAUGUGAGAUAUUCUGCUAUUGAAUUCUCAUCCAUUUGUCGUUUUUCUUGGAUAGAAAAUGGGAAAUUAUAACUUUUUGUCUCCUGCUAGGACAAAAAGGAGAAAACAUUUUACAUGGAUGUUGAUAUGACAUGUAGUUGAUCAUGACGGCUUCUUUGUGUUUUGUUGCUUUGGAUAUUUGAUAUGUUGAUCAUGAUCACCUUUUUUGUAUAUUGAUGGAUAUUUGACACGUUUUUGAACUCAUGAAUGCAUAUUAAUUAUCUUUAGACAAGUUAUUUUUGUGGAUAUAUGUGGAUAUUUGUGUGUCAAUUCAUUUGAAACUUAUGGAAGUGUCUUGGUAAUAUGUGCAAGUGCUACUAAUGUUUUUUCUUGAGAUUUAUUUGCAGGAUUUGUAGUACCUUUAGUUAGGUUUUGAGUGAGUGAGUGGCCUUGUAUGAGAGUUGGGUGGGACUUACUUGUAUUCAUUUGUGUUGUAAAGGGUUUUGUCCCAGAAUUUUCAAAUGGGGAGAUUUUGAGUGUUUAGCUAGGUUGGUAAUUCCGGACAAAAUUCCUAAGUGUCCCCUAACUCGGUUUACAAAUCCCUCUUCGAACUACUUGACCUUUGAAGAUUAAAACUUUGCUAAGAGGCUGAGGUAUGUAGCCGAGUGUGUGGUGAUUGAAUGUGAAUCAACCCUGUUUUUUCAUCUUUAAAUGAGUUAAGAAAACAAGGAGAAAUAUUGUUAGUGCAAGGCUUUUGUUCCCCUUAUUAUGGAUUGAUCUAGGUGCAAGGGCAAAUUGAUCCAACUAACCUAUUUUUAAGAUCAAUUUUCAACCCUUGGAUUAAGGGUUUCUUUCUCAUUUAAAAUCAAAUAUCUCCCAUCUCUAGAAGUGGUGACUACAACAACUAUGAGAGAGUUUUUUCUUUCUUCACCAUUUUAAGGGUGUUUACCUACGAAGAAAAUCCAUCCAAGUUUUCUAAGAAAUUUUUUUAAAAUGGAUUUUCUGAAAAAAAAAAAAAAAAAAAAAAAAAACAUAGGGUGAUUUUUGAAACAUUCAUAUGUAAUUCUCUUGGUUUUGCGCAAAAACCCUUUUUUUUUCUUAUGUGAAUUCAAGAAGAGGCCGAGAUCGAGCUUGGUGUAGACUCCAAAUGUGCUCUAAAAUAAGAAUGUGAGAAAGUGAAAGUGAAGGUACUAGUCAAGUGGUCCGGGAAGGAUUGGUUGGCUUGAGCUAGGUAAAACCUUGUAUUUAGUUUUUAUUCUUCAUAGUAGAUGUUUUCAAUUGAUAAUAGGCCCAUGGUUUUUUAUCUCUUCGAAAAAUUUUCAUGUAAAUUUAUGGUGUCUCAUUGUCUCAUUUUCUCUUCUUAGCAUCAUUUUUUAGUUUCAACAAUUUAUUAUAAUUUUGAUUGUCUAGUAUUUGAUUGAAUGAUAAAGAGAAAUGGCUAUGAAUCAUCUUUGAAGUUGUUUCUAAUUGUUAAUCAUUGAUAUUUUGAGGUAUAUUGAUCUUGUUUUUAUCAUAAUUUAGUUUAAGUUGAUUUGGGUUUGGGAGUAUUAGAUCAUGUGCAUGUGAAUUUCAUUUGAAUAUUGUUGGGGAGUGUUGUUGCAUUCAUAUAUUCAUUUGAUUUAUAAUUUGUUUUUGAGACUAUGUGAAGAGAAGAAAAAUAUUCAAGAAGUUUUAAGGUUUACUAAUUUGAGUUGAGAUUUUGUUUAAUUGGUCAAAACACCUAUUCAACCCCUUUAGGUGUAUUCCACUAUUGAGAUUCGCCUUUUCAGAACCUAUACUUCUACCAUGCUACAUGAAGUUUUGGAAGGCAUAAAAUACAUUUUGAGGCAUAUAUAAGUCAAAUCUUAUAUCCAAAUUAGGUUGAAUUGGGUCAUGGUUAACCUCAAAUCAAAUAUAUGCAUUUUUCUUACGAAUGUAUAUAUAUAUAUAUAUAUAUAUAUAUAUUUAAGAAUAUAGUUAUUAUUGUAAAGGAUGUAUUUUUUCUUAAGAAUAUACUUUUUUUUGUAACAGAUGUACCUAGGGUUCUCCCAUGCCAAAUAGGGUUUGGGAAUGCAUCAUGAGGUAUAUAAAAGUUAAAAUUUAGACUCAAAAUAGGUCGAAUAAGGGAAUGAUUCAACUCAAAUCAGAUGUAAAUACUUUUCUAAACUUUUAUGCAUUUUUUUAAAGCAUGUACACAAAGUUAUAUCAUGUUGAAUAGGGUAUAAGAAGACCUCAAAUGCAUUCCAAGACCUACAUAAGUGAAAUCCCACACCCGAAUUAGGUUGAAUGAGGAUAAGAAUCCACAAUGAAAUGAAAUGUACAUGUUUUUAUACUAGAUGUACCUAUUUUUCUAAAGGAUGUACUUAUUUUUAAAAAAAAGAUAUAUGUAUUUUAAGAAAUAUAAAAUUUAAUUAAAGAAAUGUUAAUACAAUUUUUAUGAAAAUAAUUUUUUUUCUAUUUUAUGUAUAUAAAAAAGUUAAAGAUUUUAAUUAAAAAGUUAGAACCAUGAUCAAUUUUAAAUCAUAUGAAAAAUUAAAACGAAUGUUAAUAUGAAAGUUCAAAAAUUUAAAUUAAAAUGAUAUAACAAAAAUAUUUUUAGUUUAUUUAAAUGUUAUAAUUUUACAUGCCCUAUCAAUGUCUUGUCAAAUUUUUUUAGUACAAAAUGGAAUAAUAAGUGAAUACUCUUUUAUUUCUUUAAUACAAAAAAUACAAACCAAGCAUCUCUCAAAAUCUUGUUCCUUGCUCUUGAAUAUAAAGUAAGAUAAGCUCGUGAACUUAUUCACAGUAAAAGUUUUGCUAACCUACAGUCACGCAACACAUGAAGGCAUUAUUCGACUUUAUUCAGGCAUCGAACACAAUUCGGCAAAGCUGCUAUAUGUCUUUUGAAGUGAUUUUCAUUUGUCAGCAACUUGUUGUGCAAAGCCAGCCACAAAAAGGAUCUAAUCCUUUGGGAACCCCUUCAUUUCCACAAGGCCAUCCAAUUCUUAUUCAAUUCUAUCCAGCAACUCUCUUCAAUCAGUUCAUAAGUCGACUUGGUAGUUGACAACGCUGACAUGAAGGCCAAAAAUAGUGGAGGAUUGUACAAGAGCACAUAGCACUUGACCCAAAUUCUCAAAAUUUGCUGUUGAAAAGUUUUUAGCCUAUUUGGCCAUUUCAUUAAAAAAAAAAAUUUAAAUUAAAAAAAAACUAUUUUUAAAAAUUCAUAAAAUUGUUUGUUAGUUGUUUUCUAUUUGUAAUUUUUAAAAAUAAAGUGAAAUAAAAAAACAUAUUUUAUAAAACAAAUAGAAAUUGUUUUCACCAAUUUUUAAAGACAAAAGAAAAAUAUAGAGGAAUUAAAAAAACUAUAAAAACCAAAUAAGAUUGAAGAUGAUAUCAUUCUUCUUUACCUCUUUCUACUAUCUAAUACUGAUACUGAAAAUCUUCAAAUAUAAUAUUCUUUUAAAUUACAUGUGUUUUUAUGAAUUUCAUUUAAUUUAAGAAAUUUUUCAUUGAUAAAAUAAAUUCUAAAUCAAAUUAUACUUUAUACAUAAAAUUUACUAAUGUUUAAAAAUAACUUAAAAGUUAAAAACUGAUUUAGUUAGUACUAUAAAGUCAUGAAACUCACUAACAUUGGAAUGCCAUAUAGCAAAAUUCAUUUGAAUGUCUUGGCUAGUUUUUUCUUUGCAUAUAAUCAUAUUUUUACAAUUUUUUUCACUUAGUAAAUAAUCACCAAAUCAAGUAUGACUUAAUGCAUUGAAUUUAUUAACAAGUCUAAGUAAUUCUUAAAAAUAAAUUGAAACGCAAAUAGUGAUCCAAUUAAUACCAUAAAUUUAUGGACAAAAAUUGAACUUGAAUGACUUUAUUGUUUCCAAUUUUGUUUCAUUGGACAAAUAAACUUAAAAUUAAACCAAACUUAAUGUGUUGAAUUCAUUAAUAAAUUUAGUAAUUUCUAAAAAAAACUUAAAACUCAAACAAUGAUGUAAUUAAUAUUAAAAAUUUAUUGAUGAAAAUUGGUCUAAAACUACUCUAUUAUUUUUCUUCUACAUGGAAUCAUAUUUUCCCAAUUUUAUUUUACUAUAUAAAUAAACUCAAAAUUAAACAAAACUUAACAGUCUAGUAAUUUUUAAAUUAGAAUAAUAUUUGAAAUAAUUUAAUUAGAAUAAUAUUGAUUCGACUCAUGGUAGCUUAGCUUUAAAGGCGUAUCAACAAAAUUUAUACCUUGAAUACUAUUACUAAAGUAGCCAAGCUACUAUAGCAUAGUGGUUCUAGGAUCGUUCACUGGGAAGGGUUUUCGCAAACACAAGUGAUAUUCAAAUUAGGAAAAUAGGUGAUUUUCUUAUGGAUGUUAGCUUUAAAAGAAGAUGUAAAUGUUUUAGAAAGAUUUAAACUAAUCUAAGCUAACAUUAAAGACUAAAAUGAAAGGGUGUAAAAACAAGUUUCUCAAAGAUAGGAUAGCUAUGCUCUGGCUCUUAUGCAAAUUGGAAAUCUCAGGAUAGGCUCCUCGCGUUGGGGUUGCAACUAUGGUGAUGCUUGCUUCCCGAACCGGUAUGGAUUUAGCAAAUCAAGUUUUAAUCCUUUAAAAUGGCAAAACAGAUGGUAGUGAAUUUCAUCAAUGGUUAUUCACCUUAGACUUCCUUUGAAUGGCUCGUAAGAGAUAACUAAUGGUCUAAAGCCAAAAGCUUACCAAAUAUUGGCAACUCAAAGUCAUUCCAGGUGAUAAACUUACCUUUCAAUGGCCAUUGAAAUUGGUUCUAACGGAUUAAUGCAAAACUUGGAAUUGAAAACCUCACCUUCCAAUAGCUCGUAGGAGAUAACUAAUGGAUAGUAAUCCAAAAGCUUAUCAAGUAUUGGCCGUUGGAAGUUGUCCAAAGGAAAUAAAAACCAAACUUUGCAUUAAUGAACCUUUAAUGAAAAACGACUACCUUACCUUCCAGGUGCGAGAAAUUUCCAUGGGAGUGCAUCCAAGCCAUCACAUAACAUCCAUACUUUGAGAAACUAAAAGUUUUAGCCAAUCAUCCUCUGAGGAAAAGCCCUCAGAGGCUGUUUGGCUACUAAGAAAAUAGAAACAGGGAAGAACAGGAGAAAAGAGCAAAACAGAGCAAGGCUCUGUAUAUUCUAUAUAUUGAUCGAUUUAUAAUUACAACGGAUGCAAGGGAAUAUAUAUAGAGAAGUUUUUCCAAUCCUUCCUAGCUAAGAAAUCUUAUGAUUCGUGGAUUACAAGGAGAAGAAUGGAAAUUUAUACAAAAAUAUCUAAAAGAAAAGAUCUCGUGUGGAGUCGGUAGAAACAGGGGAAAAUUCGCACGUUGGAGUUCCAAUUUCGCACGUUGAUUUGAGGUGUGCGAAAUUCUCGCACAGUGGACUGAGGAAUUCGCACCUUGAACAGUGGUGUGCGAAAUUGUCCCUCAGCUUGAUGCAGUUGUCUUCCGAAGGCCAUAUCUUUCUCAAUUCAGCUCCAAAUCGUACAUGGUUUGAACCGUUGGAUUCUUGACUUUCUGAGCUUUGAAAUGGUAUAUAGCAUGUAGAAAAUGGACUUCGGGAAGUGCUCCAAAAGUGCCAAAGAAGACUGCAGUUGCUGUCCUCUGUUUUCCUCUUUGCUUCUUUUUGCUUCUCUUUCCUCUUCUCCAUUGUUCUUUCCUUGCAUACUUUGAACGAAUUUGGCAAAGGGCUAUGGAGCUCCAAAGCUUGGUUCUUCAUGAAUUUGAGCUUCCAAAAGCUUUGCCAUAACUUGUCCAAGUAGCUCCUCUAUCAUUUGGCAUGCUUGAAUUGAUUCAUAAGCUGAUAUAAACAUGUAAACUUGCCACAAAAUGGUUAAAACCAAUUACUAAGGACCUUAAUGAAUUAAUUGGGUUAAAUGAAUAUGAUUACUACGCAAAGGUGCUUAAAACCAUUAUAAUUAGGUCUACAAAAUAACACUUUUUGGUAGUAAUCAAAUAUUUUAAUUUAUUAAAAUAAAUCAUAAAUAAAUGAAUAAAAUUAUCUAACAAUAUUUUAUCAAGUUAAUAUUUGUUAAUAAAACUAUAACAAUUUAAGAUUUUGUUAGAUUUUAUCGCUAUAGGAUUAUUAUAAAUGUGGUUUAAAAAAAUGCAUGAACAUCAUGUAAUAUUAACAAAAUAAAAAUUACGAAUUGAUCGCUCUAUGGAUUAUUUUUAUCAUAACAAAAAUGUGUAAAAUUGUAUACACCUUUUAGGCUAUGAAAUAUUCAUUAUCUAACUUAUGAGUGUACAAUUUUGUUUUCUCUAACUUUUGAUUAUACAUUAUAAUUAAAAGAAAUUAGAAAUUACAUUGAAGGUUGUUUUUUAGAUUUUUUUUAACUUUAUAAUUUAUAAUAUAAACUCCAGCUAUACAAUUGUAUAUAUUUUUUAUAACUUCUAGUUGUGAUCUACAAUGACUCUAUUGUUUCUCUUCUAUAUGAAACUAUAUUUUUUAUUUAUUUAUUUCACUAGACAAAUAAAAUCCAAAUUAAACAAAACUUAAUCCCUUAAAAUAAUUAAUGAGUUUAGUAAUUUUUAAAAUAACUUAAAACUUAAAUAGUGGUUCAAUUAAUAUUAAAAAUUUAUGGAUAAAAAUUGGGUUUUAAUGAGUCUACUUUUUUUCUAUACAUACUUAUAUUUUUAUAAAUUUUUUUAUUAAAGAAUAAACUUCAAAUCAAGUAAUUGAAUUCACUAACAGGUUAAUUUUUUUAUUUUUUUUUAAGUUACAACCUAGUAAAUAGAUCUAAUCACUAUAAGAAAUAAUAUAUGAAAACCAAUUGUAGACCCCAAAAUUUGUCCUAAUUUUAUUUUUACAUUGAUAUUGAGUUCAAUUUUAUCCUUAGAUUUAAAUUUCGAUUACAUCUUAAUUGUUUAACCCACUUACACUAUUUUUUUUAUUUUUUCUCUCAUCUCUCCUCUCUCUUCAUCUUUCUCCUCAUUCUACCUACUCCACCUACUUCCCUUACCCAUUUCCUUCUCUUACACGUCUAAGCCACUCCCCAUACCCCCUCCAAGCUUUUUUUUUUUUUUUUUAUCAUCUUUCUCUACUCUCCUCUCUUCACUUUUUUUUUCUCUCCAUCAUUCCUUCUUCGGGCUCCCUUCCAACACCACAACCACUCCACAACCCACACACCAGACACGGUCAACUUCCCCAUCUCCUCUCUUCCUUCUUUCUUUUUUUUUUUUCCUUCCCCUCAACUCUCACACAUGACGGUCCCCAUUUUCUCUUUCAUUUCUUUUCUCCUUCUCACAGUCCUUCCCUCUACAUUGCCAUUUUCCAAAAACUCCCACUGUCACACGCUCCCCAUCUUCCUUCAUUUUUUUUUCCUGUUUUUUUUCUCUUCUUUCUUCUUUCCUUUUCCCCUCUCCACACUCCACGGCCACUAUUGGCCCUCCACUGCCCGCCACUACCAGUAGCCACUGCCAACAACCACCACCCGCCACUGUCUGCCAGUCAUUGCCAACUAGCAAUCCUACCAUCCAUAGUUCUAAAAAAAAUGGGUAAAUUUCUGAGAAGAAAAAGGCUAUGCUUAGUUAAGAAAAACACCCAAAAGGGAGGGUGAAUUGGGUUUUUAAAAUCUUUUCAAUCACAACAAAUUUAAACAAAAUAUAAGCAAAGCAAAGAGAUAGAGUUUAGAGAAUUCAAACUCGGGUUUAUAGUGGUUUGGCACUUCCUUGCCUACGUCCACUCUCUUCAACCUCCUAACCGAGUGAGGAUUCCACUAACUUGAAGCUUCAACCAAGCUUCCAAUCUUCUUACACUUGGAUUCCGGUUUCAAUGGGCUCUUACACAACCUCUUCAAGAUUCAACCCUUUUGAAGGCUUUAACACUUAGAUUGUUACAAGAUAUAAUCACUCAACCUAGCUUAAAGAUGGCUCAAAUACAAGACAAAGCUAGGAUGACAAACAAGAGUGCACUAAAGGAUAUGCAAGUGGUGAUUUAAUGCACUAUGAAAUAAAUGAGAGCUUUUUUUAUCAAGAACAGGUAGGUAGGCUUUGAAUGCAAGUGUUAUCUUCACAAUAAAUGAAGUGGAGCUCUCAAUUUAUAGGUUUCUAAGCUCGGGAGUCAAAAACAACAAAAGGCAACCUCGACCGGUUCACUAGCCGUUGAAGCAUUUAAUGCAUGACAGGUUACCGUUGCCUCAACCGGACCUCGAUCAAUAAGGGAAUCACCUCGACCGGGAAGAGAAGGCUACUGGGAGAGAGAGAAGGUUUUUGACCUUCCUCGACUGGACGACCUCAACCGGUUCUCGACCGGACGACCUCAACCGGUCGACCAGUUCCUCAACCGGUUGACCGGUUGGCCAUAGCCUCGACCGAUUGAGCCUUUUUGGCCCCGAAAAACCUAUUUUUUUAUUUCUUUCUUUUCUAACACUUAGGCAAGGUCUUUAGGUAAAUUAUUAAGCCAAUUUUGAAACAUUUUGCCUAAGGUAAAUUAGUUAAAAACUCGGGUUUUAAUGAAAUCGAUGUUUUAAAGAAUAAACCGAGUUUUCUAAGAUGCAUGAAACGUAUGAAAAUCCUAAGUGCACUCAUGCAUUCAUCUUACAUUAGGUUCCUAUGAUCACAAGUCUUCCAAGCGUCUCGAUCUUGUAUGCAUUUGGUCUUUUGAUGAAUUUUUGAGUUUAUACCUGAGAUUCUUAGACAUUAAACCAAUUAGUCACUUAACCAUGGUUUGUUAUCAUCAAAACCCGAUUAGGAGAACCCUUGGGCUAACAAUUUCCUUUUUACUUUAUUUUAUUUUGAUUUUUGUAUCUUUAUUUUUUUAUUUUCGUUUGCACAGUAAUUGAUUUAGACUUGGAUCUAUUGCUUAUUAGUUAUUUAUUUGGGCUUAUUGGAUUGGGUUUGAGAUAUUAUUUUCUUUGGUCAUGUGUAUUAUUAAUGUGGGUUUGUUGAUUGAUAUGAAUUUUUGACCCAUAAUGUGGGUAUGAAUUUUGGGCCCACAAUGUUGGUGGAAUUUGAUUGAUGACUUGAAUAUUUGAUAUGAGCCUGACCAAUUUAAACUAUUUAAUUUGGAUAUGGGACAAUUAUGGUGUAUAUUAAAUUAGGCUUGGAUUAUGAGAUAUUAAAUUUAGGCCUAAUUGAAUUUAUUUUAUUUUGUGAUAUUUUGGGCUUGGCUAAUUGUGUUGUAUUUUGAUUAUUAAUUUGAAAAUUUUGGAUUAAGAUUUAUAGCAUGUGAGAUGUUUUUGUUAGGUUAUAUUUGUUCAUUUGUGCCCAUUUUGAUUGACAAAAUUUAUGAGACUAAUUUGAAAUUUGAAUUUGAGUUUGAAUAUUUGUUUGGGAUUUUGUACAUCUUUGGAUAUUUACAUUUGAGCUAUUUUGUUUUUGCAUGGGCCUAUUCUACAAUUCUGUUGGCUGAGUACAAAUUUAUGAUACACGGAGCACGAAAUUUUAUGGAAGAAUAAAAAAGUUGUAUGAAGACAUUAAACUAGUUAUAAGCUUAUUUGGGUACACAUUUUAUUUCCCACUUUUAUUUGAUUUUAUUUCUAUUAGUUCUUGUAAAUAUUCGUUUGUAUAUAUUUAUUGUGUACAGAAUUGAAUAUUUAACAAAUCAAAAUUUUCAUUUAAAUAAGAGGAAUAAUUCAGUAAAUAUGUUCUAAUAAAAUAAUAAUUUUAAAAUAUUCUUCUUAAUAAAAGAAAGUUUUUUUUAUUAAUAAAAAUUCAUAAAAAUGCUUUUAGAAAAAUUCAAAAAAAUUGUUUUUAAUAGAAUUUGAAAAAUUAUUUUUAAUAAUAAUUGUCCAAAAAUGUCUUUGUUUAAUAAAAAUUGUCCAAAAAUUGUUUUGUAAAUAAAGUUGUCCCAAAAAUUAAUUUUUAAUUAAAAAUUCUUUUGCAAAUAAAGUUAUAUUCUUUUUAAUAAUUUGUACAAGUCACUUUUCUUUUACUACAAGAAAACUUAUUUUUCCUGACAAAAAUUUAGGGGCGAAUUGUAAUUUUGUCGCUAAAAAUUACUUUUACCGAUGAAAUUUUAGAUAUCGUUGCUAAUGUCAAAUUUAUGAAAACUUUUUGUAACGAAUUUGAAUUUUUCGUUGCCAAAAGAUAUUGCGGGAAAAUUUGGCGGCUUUUUUUGGCGCAAACGCUAUUGUGAUGAAAAAAAUACUAUUUGCCAACGAAAAUAUUUGUUACUAAAUACAAUUUUUUUGUGACGAAAAUAAUUUCCUUACUAAAAGUUACAAAUUUUUAUCCAUAUUUGCUUACAAAAUGGUUUCAUCAGUAAAUAUAUUAUUUUCUGACAAAAUGAGUAAUUUUGUCACUGAAUAGUGUUGCUAAAUUGUAAUAUUAAUAAGUCAUAUUGACAAAUAGAUAAAAGGUUUAUGCUAUAAAAUAAUAAUACGUAUUUUUUGAGACUUGAUAUUUAAAUUACAAUAUUUUAUUUAUAUAUAUAAUAAUAAUACUAAUUAAAGAUUCAUAAAAUUAAAUACUAGAAUAUAGAUUUAUAGAAAUUUAAAUGUUUUGUUAUGUAAUAAUAGUAUUGUUAUGAAAUAAUAAAAAGGUAAAUUAUUUAAGCAAUUAAUUUUUAUAGUGUAAUAUAUAUGUUAUAUUUUUUUUAUAUAGAUAAUAACAAAUAAUCCAAGAUAUAAUAUAAAUUUAUUUAAAUUUCAAUAUUAUUAUAUGAUGUUAACCAAACAUAAAUAAUUUUAAAUCUUUUUUAUUAUACAAUGUAAAAGUUAUUUUUGCAAGUUUAAUAUAGUAGUAUUGAACUUAAAUUAGCUAUGAAUAAGUAAUGAUCCUCUAAUUUGUUCUCAUUCAAAAUCAUGUCGUCUGAAGUAAAUUUAUACUAAUAUUUAACUACCUAGUUUAAAUUAAUAGAUUUUUAUAAUUAUUACUUGGUUUUUAAAUAGUUGUUCAGAAUUGAAAUUAUCAAAUAAAUUACCUAGUGUCUAUAAAAACAUUAUAUUUGCAUAGAAUUUCAAAUAAUACUUGUGUGUAUAAAAAAUAUCAUAUAUUAUCAAUACAUAUAUGAUUGCAAUUAAAUAUUAUAUGAUAUGAUAUAUGGCAUUAUAUGCCUCACUACUAUAAUAUUAAUAACAAAAUAAAAAAUGUGUCAUAUAUAUAUACACAUAUUAUAAUGGGUAUAUGAAGAAAUUAAUAUAUGAAUGAUAUAAAUUGUAACAUUUUAUAAUAAUCAACAGUAUUUGAAAGCAUAUUUAAUGUUAAAAUGAUAAUUUAUUUACUUUAUAAUAAGUGAAUAAUUAUUAUAUUUUUAUUUCAUUCAUGAUUUUUGUGCUUUCAAUAAUAAAUUAAAUGGAAAAUAAAAUUAAAUAUUGAAAAUUAAUAGAAUUAUUAAAACUUUAUCUUAAUAUUUUAAUAUUUAAAAUGUAUAUAAAAUUUAGGUGUAAACAUAAUUAUAUAUAAUGUAGGCACUUUAAUAACUCAAAUGAAUGACUAUCCUAGUGGUGUAUAGUUAACUUCGUAAGCUUGGGAAGUCUGAACACUUUAUUGAUCUCAUUAUAAAUUUUUAUUUUUAAUUGUUAAAUAUUAAUUUAUCAUAAAUGAUUACUUAUUAAAAAUAAAAUCAUAAAUUAUAUCACAAAAUAGUAAAUGUUGUAUACUAACUUGUAAAGAAGUUUUUAUAUUUGUAUACAAUUUUUUAAUAAAACAUGUAAAACAAAUAUAGUUAUAAAAAUAAUUGUAACAUAUAAUAAAAUAGUAUAUCAUUUACAUUUAUAGUGUUUUAUUGCAUUUGAUAUUUUUGUUUGAAAUAUAAGAGAAAGAAAAUGAAAAAUAUAAAGAUGACUUGUUGACACGAAUUGUUGCACUUAGGCUUAUUCACUUUGAAAGUAAAUUUAUACUAAUAUUUAAUUACCUAGAUUAACCUAAUAAAAAUAUUUUUUUUAAUUAUUGUUUAGUUUUUAAAUAAUUGUUAAUAUUAGAAAUUAUCAAAUAAUAACCUAAUUUUUGUCAAGAUAUUCUAUUGACGUAAAUUCCAAAUAUGGUUUAUGUUUAUAAAGAUAUCAUAUAUCAUUAAUGAAUAUAUGAUUGUAAGUUAAAUAUCAUAUGAUACAAUACAUUGUACCAUAUGCAUAACUACUAUAUUAUUAUUUUAGAAAAUAAAAAAUGCAUUAUAUAUUAGUAAUAUAUUAUAUACAUAAAAACAAAAAUUGUAAGGUAUCUAACCACUUCUUAAUUAACAAUUGAUUAGUUUAAUUUUUAAAUAAUUUUAUGAUGUAUUAAUGAUCUUUAGCUUAACUACUAAAAUAAGAUAAUAAAUUAUGCCACAAAAGUAGCAACUAUUAUAGCUACUAAUUUGUUAAGGAUUGUUUUACACUUUUAUAUGUUUUUUAAUAAAAUAUUUAAUCUAUGAUUUUUAUUCCUUGCUUUAAAUUUCAAUUUUUAUUUUACUCUAAUUUCUAAUAUAUAAAUUCUGAUUUUUAAAUUUUUAAUUUUUAAUUUCUAAAUUUUAAAUAAUACAAAACUCAUAAAUCUUACAUUUUAUUUUUAGUCAAUUUUGUAAUUUAUAAAUUCUAAUUUUUUUAUUUUCUAAAUUUUCUAAAUUUUAAAUAAUAAAUAGUCCCAAUAAUAGGCAAAUAAUAAAGUUUCAAUUUUAUUUUUAAUCUAAUUUUUAAUUUAUAUUUUAAAUUUUUAAAUUUUUAAAUUCUAAAUUUUAAAUAAUAUAAAACAUAUAACAUCAUGAAAUGCAUUAAAUGCGCCGAGUUGUAGCAGCAUGCUACUGAGAUUUGGUUGUAGAGACGGCACAAUGGAUGGUAUGGAGUAUUGGUUGGGAAAUGAAAUGAAAAGAAAGUGAAAUAAAAAAGAAAAAAACAAAUCUCCCAAGCACCCACGUAGCACUGGGACUUUGAAAAGUGAGAAGACUUUCUCACCAACUCUCCAUCAUUUGCCUACAACUUUGAAAAUGAAAAAGAGCAUUACUUCCCACCACAUCUCUAACAUCUACCAUAACCUCCUGAACCUUCCACCAUUUUCACCAUCUCAUCUACCUUCUUAAAAAAUUGUUUCCCACUUGCAAGCCAUAUUCACCAUUCUCCACCAAAGUUUACCGAGCCGGCAAAGCUUCUUAUCUACCAUUUUCAUCGGUCUGUUAUACUACAGAAAUCUACCACUNNNNNNNNNNNNNNNNNNNNNNNNNNNNNNNNNNNNNNNNNNNNNNNNNNNNNNNNNNNNNNNNNNNNNNNNNNNNNNNNNNNNNNNNNNNNNNNNNNNNNNNNNNNNNNNNNNNNNNNNNNNNNNNNNNNNNNNNNNNNNNNNNNNNNNNNNNNNNNNNNNNNNNNNNNNNNNNNNNNNNNNNNNNNNNNNNNNNNNNNNNNNNNNNNNNNNNNNNNNNNNNNNNNNNNNNNNNNNNNNNNNNNNNNNNNNNNNNNNNNNNNNNNNNNNNNNNNNNNNNNNNNNNNNNNNNNNNNNNNNNNNNNNNNNNNNNNNNNNNNNNNNNNNNNNNNNNNNNNNNNNNNNNNNNNNNNNNNNNNNNNNNNNNNNNNNNNNNNNNNNNNNNNNNNNNNNNNNNNNNNNNNNNNNNNNNNNNNNNNNNNNNNNNNNNNNNNNNNNNNNNNNNNNNNNNNNNNNNNNNNNNNNNNNNNNNNNNNNNNNNNNNNNNNNNNNNNNNNNNNNNNNNNNNNNNNNNNNNNNNNNNNNNNNNNNNNNNNNNNNNNNNNNNNNNNNNNNNNNNNNNNNNNNNNNNNNNNNNNNNNNNNNNNNNNNNNNNNNNNNNNNNNNNNNNNNNNNNNNNNNNNNNNNNNNNNNNNNNNNNNNNNNNNNNNNNNNNNNNNNNNNNNNNNNNNNNNNNNNNNNNNNNNNNNNNNNNNNNNNNNNNNNNNNNNNNNNNNNNNNNNNNNNNNNNNNNNNNNNNNNNNNNNNNNNNNNNNNNNNNNNNNNNNNNNNNNNNNNNNNNNNNNNNNNNNNNNNNNNNNNNNNNNNNNNNNNNNNNNNNNNNNNNNNNNNNNNNNNNNNNNNNNNNNNNNNNNNNNNNNNNNNNNNNNNNNNNNNNNNNNNNNNNNNNNNNNNNNNNNNNNNNNNNNNNNNNNNNNNNNNNNNNNNNNNNNNNNNNNNNNNNNNNNNNNNNNNNNNNNNNNNNNNNNNNNNNNNNNNNNNNNNNNNNNNNNNNNNNNNNNNNNNNNNNNNNNNNNNNNNNNNNNNNNNNNNNNNNNNNNNNNNNNNNNNNNNNNNNNNNNNNNNNNNNNNNNNNNNNNNNNNNNNNNNNNNNNNNNNNNNNNNNNNNNNNNNNNNNNNNNNNNNNNNNNNNNNNNNNNNNNNNNNNNNNNNNNNNNNNNNNNNNNNNNNNNNNNNNNNNNNNNNNNNNNNNNNNNNNNNNNNNNNNNNNNNNNNNNNNNNNNNNNNNNNNNNNNNNNNNNNNNNNNNNNNNNNNNNNNNNNNNNNNNNNNNNNNNNNNNNNNNNNNNNNNNNNNNNNNNNNNNNNNNNNNNNNNNNNNNNNNNNNNNNNNNNNNNNNNNNNNNNNNNNNNNNNNNNNNNNNNNNNNNNNNNNNNNNNNNNNNNNNNNNNNNNNNNNNNNNNNNNNNNNNNNNNNNNNNNNNNNNNNNNNNNNNNNNNNNNNNNNNNNNNNNNNNNNNNNNNNNNNNNNNNNNNNNNNNNNNNNNNNNNNNNNNNNNNNNNNNNNNNNNNNNNNNNNNNNNNNNNNNNNNNNNNNNNNNNNNNNNNNNNNNNNNNNNNNNNNNNNNNNNNNNNNNNNNNNNNNNNNNNNNNNNNNNNNNNNNNNNNNNNNNNNNNNNNNNNNNNNNNNNNNNNNNNNNNNNNNNNNNNNNNNNNNNNNNNNNNNNNNNNNNNNNNNNNNNNNNNNNNNNNNNNNNNNNNNNNNNNNNNNNNNNNNNNNNNNNNNNNNNNNNNNNNNNNNNNNNNNNNNNNNNNNNNNNNNNNNNNNNNNNNNNNNNNNNNNNNNNNNNNNNNNNNNNNNNNNNNNNNNNNNNNNNNNNNNNNNNNNNNNNNNNNNNNNNNNNNNNNNNNNNNNNNNNNNNNNNNNNNNNNNNNNNNNNNNNNNNNNNNNNNNNNNNNNNNNNNNNNNNNNNNNNNNNNNNNNNNNNNNNNNNNNNNNNNNNNNNNNNNNNNNNNNNNNNNNNNNNNNNNNNNNNNNNNNNNNNNNNNNNNNNNNNNNNNNNNNNNNNNNNNNNNNNNNNNNNNNNNNNNNNNNNNNNNNNNNNNNNNNNNNNNNNNNNNNNNNNNNNNNNNNNNNNNNNNNNNNNNNNNNNNNNNNNNNNNNNNNNNNNNNNNNNNNNNNNNNNNNNNNNNNNNNNNNNNNNNNNNNNNNNNNNNNNNNNNNNNNNNNNNNNNNNNNNNNNNNNNNNNNNNNNNNNNNNNNNNNNNNNNNNNNNNNNNNNNNNNNNNNNNNNNNNNNNNNNNNNNNNNNNNNNNNNNNNNNNNNNNNNNNNNNNNNNNNNNNNNNNNNNNNNNNNNNNNNNNNNNNNNNNNNNNNNNNNNNNNNNNNNNNNNNNNNNNNNNNNNNNNNNNNNNNNNNNNNNNNNNNNNNNNNNNNNNNNNNNNNNNNNNNNNNNNNNNNNNNNNNNNNNNNNNNNNNNNNNNNNNNNNNNNNNNNNNNNNNNNNNNNNNNNNNNNNNNNNNNNNNNNNNNNNNNNNNNNNNNNNNNNNNNNNNNNNNNNNNNNNNNNNNNNNNNNNNNNNNNNNNNNNNNNNNNNNNNNNNNNNNNNNNNNNNNNNNNNNNNNNNNNNNNNNNNNNNNNNNNNNNNNNNNNNNNNNNNNNNNNNNNNNNNNNNNNNNNNNNNNNNNNNNNNNNNNNNNNNNNNNNNNNNNNNNNNNNNNNNNNNNNNNNNNNNNNNNNNNNNNNNNNNNNNNNNNNNNNNNNNNNNNNNNNNNNNNNNNNNNNNNNNNNNNNNNNNNNNNNNNNNNNNNNNNNNNNNNNNNNNNNNNNNNNNNNNNNNNNNNNNNNNNNNNNNNNNNNNNNNNNNNNNNNNNNNNNNNNNNNNNNNNNNNNNNNNNNNNNNNNNNNNNNNNNNNNNNNNNNNNNNNNNNNNNNNNNNNNNNNNNNNNNNNNNNNNNNNNNNNNNNNNNNNNNNNNNNNNNNNNNNNNNNNNNNNNNNNNNNNNNNNNNNNNNNNNNNNNNNNNNNNNNNNNNNNNNNNNNNNNNNNNNNNNNNNNNNNNNNNNNNNNNNNNNNNNNNNNNNNNNNNNNNNNNNNNNNNNNNNNNNNNNNNNNNNNNNNNNNNNNNNNNNNNNNNNNNNNNNNNNNNNNNNNNNNNNNNNNNNNNNNNNNNNNNNNNNNNNNNNNNNNNNNNNNNNNNNNNNNNNNNNNNNNNNNNNNNNNNNNNNNNNNNNNNNNNNNNNNNNNNNNNNNNNNNNNNNNNNNNNNNNNNNNNNNNNNNNNNNNNNNNNNNNNNNNNNNNNNNNNNNNNNNNNNNNNNNNNNNNNNNNNNNNNNNNNNNNNNNNNNNNNNNNNNNNNNNNNNNNNNNNNNNNNNNNNNNNNNNNNNNNNNNNNNNNNNNNNNNNNNNNNNNNNNNNNNNNNNNNNNNNNNNNNNNNNNNNNNNNNNNNNNNNNNNNNNNNNNNNNNNNNNNNNNNNNNNNNNNNNNNNNNNNNNNNNNNNNNNNNNNNNNNNNNNNNNNNNNNNNNNNNNNNNNNNNNNNNNNNNNNNNNNNNNNNNNNNNNNNNNNNNNNNNNNNNNNNNNNNNNNNNNNNNNNNNNNNNNNNNNNNNNNNNNNNNNNNNNNNNNNNNNNNNNNNNNNNNNNNNNNNNNNNNNNNNNNNNNNNNNNNNNNNNNNNNNNNNNNNNNNNNNNNNNNNNNNNNNNNNNNNNNNNNNNNNNNNNNNNNNNNNNNNNNNNNNNNNNNNNNNNNNNNNNNNNNNNNNNNNNNNNNNNNNNNNNNNNNNNNNNNNNNNNNNNNNNNNNNNNNNNNNNNNNNNNNNNNNNNNNNNNNNNNNNNNNNNNNNNNNNNNNNNNNNNNNNNNNNNNNNNNNNNNNNNNNNNNNNNNNNNNNNNNNNNNNNNNNNNNNNNNNNNNNNNNNNNNNNNNNNNNNNNNNNNNNNNNNNNNNNNNNNNNNNNNNNNNNNNNNNNNNNNNNNNNNNNNNNNNNNNNNNNNNNNNNNNNNNNNNNNNNNNNNNNNNNNNNNNNNNNNNNNNNNNNNNNNNNNNNNNNNNNNNNNNNNNNNNNNNNNNNNNNNNNNNNNNNNNNNNNNNNNNNNNNNNNNNNNNNNNNNNNNNNNNNNNNNNNNNNNNNNNNNNNNNNNNNNNNNNNNNNNNNNNNNNNNNNNNNNNNNNNNNNNNNNNNNNNNNNNNNNNNNNNNNNNNNNNNNNNNNNNNNNNNNNNNNNNNNNNNNNNNNNNNNNNNNNNNNNNNNNNNNNNNNNNNNNNNNNNNNNNNNNNNNNNNNNNNNNNNNNNNNNNNNNNNNNNNNNNNNNNNNNNNNNNNNNNNNNNNNNNNNNNNNNNNNNNNNNNNNNNNNNNNNNNNNNNNNNNNNNNNNNNNGUUCUAGAAGUUAUCAAAAAUGGAUUUUCCAUGGGGAAGAACAUGAAUCUCAACCUAAUGAGCAAAAUGAUAUUGGUGUUGAUACAGAAAUUGUUGACGCUACUGAUGCUGAUAUCCUUAAUGAAGUUGCGGAUGCAUUAAAUGAUGCAUGUGGACACAUAGACAAUGAUAUUAACUUAGAGGAAUCUACUACUCAUGGAAAAUUUGAUUACUUACUUGGUGAAGCUAAUAAAGAAUUGUAUCUAGGUUGUAAAAAGUUUUCUGCUUUGACAUUCCUUGUGAAGUUAAUGCAUAUUAAAGUCCUCAAUCGUUGGAGUGACAAGUCUUUUGACAUGUUACUCCAAGUUUUAGUUGAUGUUUUUCCAGAAAGAUCAAACAUUCCAAAGACAUACUAUGAUGCUAAGAAGAUGUUAAGAGAUUUGGGCUUAGGAUAUGAUUCAAUCCAUGCAUGCAAGUAUGAUUGUGCAUUGUUUUGGAAGGAGAAUGAGACUCUUGAUAAAUGUUCAAUGUGUGAUGAGCCACGAUAUAAGUUCUGUAAUGGAAAAGGUAAAAAAAUUCCUCAAAAAGUAUUGUGUCAUUUUCCACUAAAAUCAAGGCUACAAAGGUUAUUCAUGUCAAGGCAUACAGCAUCAGCUAUGAGGUGGCAUAAAGAAAACUGAAUCAGUGAGGAGGGAGUCCUAAGGCAUCCAGCAGAUUCUGAAGCUUGGAAGGAUAUGGACACCCAAUUCCCUUGGUUUUCGCAAGAACCUCGAAAUGUUAGAUUAGGGCUUGCAACAAAUGGUUUCAAUCCAUUUGGGAGCAUGAGUAAUAGUUAUAGCAUGUGGCCAAUUGUUCUUGUGCCAUACAAUAUGGCACCAUGGAGAUGUAUGAAAGAGAUGUUUUUCAUGUUAUCAUUACUAAUUCUAGGCCCACAAGCCUUAGGGAGAGAUAUUGAUGUAUACCUACGUCCUUUGAUAGAAGAAUUAAAAGAGUUAUGGCAUGAAGGUGUUCAAACAUUUGACAUGUCAACAGGAGAAAACUUUCGCAUGCAUGCAUGUGUUUUAUGGACAAUAAAUGACAUUCCUGCUUAUGGGAACUUGGCUGGGUGGAGUACAAAAGGAUAUAAAGCAUGUCCAGUUUGUAAUGAAGACACAUCGUCACUAAGUAUUAGAAGUAAAAUAUGUUACAUGGGUCAUCGACGUUUUUUACCUCUUGAUCAUGGAUGGCGAAGGAGUAAACAACACGAUGGUAAGCCGGAGUUUCGACCACCGCCAAGAAUGUUCUCUAGUGAUGAAAUAUUGCAACAAUUGUGUUGUCUUAAACAUCAGAAGCCUAGUAAGCAUCCAAACAACGUUGAUAGAAAGCAAAAACGGGUGCCUGAAGAAUUAAAUUGGACAAAAAAAAGUAUUUUCUUUGAGUUGGAGUACUGGUCAAAGUUGAAGUUGAGACAUAAUAUUGAUGUUAUGCAUGUUGAAAAGAAUGUAUGUGAUAGUGUUGUGGGAACUUUGUUAAAUAUUGUAGGAAAAACAAAAGAUAUAAACAAAGCUCGCUUAGAUUUGGCUGAUAUGAAUAUAAGGAAAGAAUUGCAUUUGCAAAUACAAGGGAACAAAUUGGUAAAACCCCAUGCAUGCUACACAUUGACUGUAGAGGAAAGGAAAGAGUUCUGUAAGUUUCUAAAGUCUGUUAAAUUUCCAGAUGGUUAUGCUGCAAAUUUAUCUAGAAAUGUUAGCAUCAAUGAUGGGAAGAUCUCAGGGUUAAAGAGUCAUGAUUGUCAUGUUUUGCUGCAAAAAUUACUCCCUAUCGCUAUUCGUCCAUAUUUUAAUAAAGAUUUGUGUACAACACUGGUUGAGUUGUGUAGUUUUUUCCAAAAGUUAUGUGCAAAGACCUUGUACAUGAAUGAUUUGGAAAAAUUAGAAGAAGGGAUUGUCUUAAUAUUGUGUAAGCUUGAAAGGAUAUUCCCACCAGCUUUCUUUGAUGUCAUGGUUCACUUGAUGGUACAUUUACCACGUGAGGCCAAACUUGCUGGACUAGUUAGUUAUCGAUGGAUGUAUCCAUUUAAGAGGUACAUUUUUACCUUUUUUGUUUAUUAAUAUUCUCAUCUAACUAUGUUACACAAUACAUGUGUUAAGGCUUAUUUAUUAACACUAUUUCUAUUUAGGAACUUAGGAACAUUGAAAAGAUAUGUGAGAAAUAAAGCUCGACCAGAAGGUUCAAUUGCAAAGGCAUACAUCGUGAAUGAAGCUUUAAUGUUUUGUUCAAUGUAUCUUACUGGAAUUGAAACACGUUUUAAUCGAAGUGAAAGGAACGAAGAUCGAUUUGAACAUCGAGUACAAGAAUGUCUUUCCAUAUUUUCAUAGCAAGCUCAACCAUUAGGCUGUCGAUAACAUCUCCAAUUUUCGAAGGAAGAGUUAACUAAGGCACAUUGGUAUAUCAUGAAUAAUUGCCCAGAGUUGAGACCAUACUUAGAGUAAGUUUUAGAAUCAACAUUAAAGAUAUUUCUUUAAUACCUCGUUACUUAAUAUCUAUUUAAUGAUGUAGUGAACAUACAAAAGAAUUGGAGAGGACAAGUUCACAUAACUUAGAGAAACGACAAGAACAAGAGUUUCCUAAGUGGCUUGCAGAUCGUGUAAGUUUUAUUUGUGUAAUUUGCUUGCUACAAUAUAGUUGUAAUGAACUAAUAUAAUUUUAAUAAUAUUUGAUAUUAAACUAUAAAUAAUUAUGUACAUUUAUAUUGUAGAUGAAAGCUUUGCAUGUUAAACAAUCACCAGAAGCAACUGAUGAACUAUACUCAUUAGCGUGUGGACUAGAUAAUCGAGUCCACACAUACAUGGGUUGUAUUGUUAAUGGAGUUCGCUUCCAUACAAAAGAUCAUGAUGAUCGGCGUAUCACCCAAAAUAGUGGGAUAUGUGUUUCUGGGGAGCAUGAUGGUGAGGAGGUUGAUUUCUAUGGUGUUUUAUCAAAUGUGGUUGUUUUGAACUAUGUCUUGGGGUAUAAGGUUAUUCUUUUCAAGUGCACAUGGUUCGACACAAACCAAAAGAAGAAGAGAAUAAAACAUGACUAUAAUUUUACCACAAUCCAAGUUAUCUCCACCUGGUAUGACAAUGAUCCUUUUAUACUUGCUACACAAACACAACAAGUUUUCUACCUAGAUGACUACAAAAAUGGUCAUAAUUGGAAAGUAGUACAAAAAGUGAAUCAUAGACACAUGUGGGAUGUACCAGAAAGGGAUACUAAUAUAGAAAUCGAUGAAGAAGUGUGCGGGGGAAGUGAUGAAGAAGCUUACCAAGAUAAUGAAUCUCAUGAGCUUAACUGGUUUGUAGAGCAAGAUGAUGGAUUUGAAUUUCAACGAUCUGACCGCUUAAACAUUGAUCUAGAAGUUGUUAAUGAUAAUGUUUUGAUUUUAGAGAACAUGAAUGACAAUGAUGAUAACUUCAUAUGUGAUGACAUUGAGGAAGAAGAUGAAACACUAGAUGAUUAUGCUAAUGAGAAUGAAAUGUGGCUUUCAAGUGAUAGUGAAAGUGAAAGUGAUUAAAGAGACUGGUAAGCUACAUUUUAUUUACUUUAUUAUAUGUUAAAUAACAUAAUGUAAUCUAGGUCUAGUUCUUUAAAUUUNNNNNNNNNNNNNNNNNNNNNNNNNNNNNNNNNNNNNNNNNNNNNNNNNNNNNNNNNNNNNNNNNNNNNNNNNNNNNNNNNNNNNNNNNNNNNNNNNNNNNNNNNNNNNNNNNNNNNNNNNNNNNNNNNNNNNNNNNNNNNNNNNNNNNNNNNNNNNNNNNNNNNNNNNNNNNNNNNNNNNNNNNNNNNNNNNNNNNNNNNNNNNNNNNNNNNNNNNNNNNNNNNNNNNNNNNNNNNNNNNNNNNNNNNNNNNNNNNNNNNNNNNNNNNNNNNNNNNNNNNNNNNNNNNNNNNNNNNNNNNNNNNNNNNNNNNNNNNNNNNNNNNNNNNNNNNNNNNNNNNNNNNNNNNNNNNNNNNNNNNNNNNNNNNNNNNNNNNNNNNNNNNNNNNNNNNNNNNNNNNNNNNNNNNNNNNNNNNNNNNNNNNNNNNNNNNNNNNNNNNNNNNNNNNNNNNNNNNNNNNNNNNNNNNNNNNNNNNNNNNNNNNNNNNNNNNNNNNNNNNNNNNNNNNNNNNNNNNNNNNNNNNNNNNNNNNNNNNNNNNNNNNNNNNNNNNNNNNNNNNNNNNNNNNNNNNNNNNNNNNNNNNNNNNNNNNNNNNNNNNNNNNNNNNNNNNNNNNNNNNNNNNNNNNNNNNNNNNNNNNNNNNNNNNNNNNNNNNNNNNNNNNNNNNNNNNNNNNNNNNNNNNNNNNNNNNNNNNNNNNNNNNNNNNNNNNNNNNNNNNNNNNNNNNNNNNNNNNNNNNNNNNNNNNNNNNNNNNNNNNNNNNNNNNNNNNNNNNNNNNNNNNNNNNNNNNNNNNNNNNNNNNNNNNNNNNNNNNNNNNNNNNNNNNNNNNNNNNNNNNNNNNNNNNNNNNNNNNNNNNNNNNNNNNNNNNNNNNNNNNNNNNNNNNNNNNNNNNNNNNNNNNNNNNNNNNNNNNNNNNNNNNNNNNNNNNNNNNNNNNNNNNNNNNNNNNNNNNNNNNNNNNNNNNNNNNNNNNNNNNNNNNNNNNNNNNNNNNNNNNNNNNNNNNNNNNNNNNNNNNNNNNNNNNNNNNNNNNNNNNNNNNNNNNNNNNNNNNNNNNNNNNNNNNNNNNNNNNNNNNNNNNNNNNNNNNNNNNNNNNNNNNNNNNNNNNNNNNNNNNNNNNNNNNNNNNNNNNNNNNNNNNNNNNNNNNNNNNNNNNNNNNNNNNNNNNNNNNNNNNNNNNNNNNNNNNNNNNNNNNNNNNNNNNNNNNNNNNNNNNNNNNNNNNNNNNNNNNNNNNNNNNNNNNNNNNNNNNNNNNNNNNNNNNNNNNNNNNNNNNNNNNNNNNNNNNNNNNNNNNNNNNNNNNNNNNNNNNNNNNNNNNNNNNNNNNNNNNNNNNNNNNNNNNNNNNNNNNNNNNNNNNNNNNNNNNNNNNNNNNNNNNNNNNNNNNNNNNNNNNNNNNNNNNNNNNNNNNNNNNNNNNNNNNNNNNNNNNNNNNNNNNNNNNNNNNNNNNNNNNNNNNNNNNNNNNNNNNNNNNNNNNNNNNNNNNNNNNNNNNNNNNNNNNNNNNNNNNNNNNNNNNNNNNNNNNNNNNNNNNNNNNNNNNNNNNNNNNNNNNNNNNNNNNNNNNNNNNNNNNNNNNNNNNNNNNNNNNNNNNNNNNNNNNNNNNNNNNNNNNNNNNNNNNNNNNNNNNNNNNNNNNNNNNNNNNNNNNNNNNNNNNNNNNNNNNNNNNNNNNNNNNNNNNNNNNNNNNNNNNNNNNNNNNNNNNNNNNNNNNNNNNNNNNNNNNNNNNNNNNNNNNNNNNNNNNNNNNNNNNNNNNNNNNNNNNNNNNNNNNNNNNNNNNNNNNNNNNNNNNNNNNNNNNNNNNNNNNNNNNNNNNNNNNNNNNNNNNNNNNNNNNNNNNNNNNNNNNNNNNNNNNNNNNNNNNNNNNNNNNNNNNNNNNNNNNNNNNNNNNNNNNNNNNNNNNNNNNNNNNNNNNNNNNNNNNNNNNNNNNNNNNNNNNNNNNNNNNNNNNNNNNNNNNNNNNNNNNNNNNNNNNNNNNNNNNNNNNNNNNNNNNNNNNNNNNNNNNNNNNNNNNNNNNNNNNNNNNNNNNNNNNNNNNNNNNNNNNNNNNNNNNNNNNNNNNNNNNNNNNNNNNNNNNNNNNNNNNNNNNNNNNNNNNNNNNNNNNNNNNNNNNNNNNNNNNNNNNNNNNNNNNNNNNNNNNNNNNNNNNNNNNNNNNNNNNNNNNNNNNNNNNNNNNNNNNNNNNNNNNNNNNNNNNNNNNNNNNNNNNNNNNNNNNNNNNNNNNNNNNNNNNNNNNNNNNNNNNNNNNNNNNNNNNNNNNNNNNNNNNNNNNNNNNNNNNNNNNNNNNNNNNNNNNNNNNNNNNNNNNNNNNNNNNNNNNNNNNNNNNNNNNNNNNNNNNNNNNNNNNNNNNNNNNNNNNNNNNNNNNNNNNNNNNNNNNNNNNNNNNNNNNNNNNNNNNNNNNNNNNNNNNNNNNNNNNNNNNNNNNNNNNNNNNNNNNNNNNNNNNNNNNNNNNNNNNNNNNNNNNNNNNNNNNNNNNNNNNNNNNNNNNNNNNNNNNNNNNNNNNNNNNNNNNNNNNNNNNNNNNNNNNNNNNNNNNNNNNNNNNNNNNNNNNNNNNNNNNNNNNNNNNNNNNNNNNNNNNNNNNNNNNNNNNNNNNNNNNNNNNNNNNNNNNNNNNNNNNNNNNNNNNNNNNNNNNNNNNNNNNNNNNNNNNNNNNNNNNNNNNNNNNNNNNNNNNNNNNNNNNNNNNNNNNNNNNNNNNNNNNNNNNNNNNNNNNNNNNNNNNNNNNNNNNNNNNNNNNNNNNNNNNNNNNNNNNNNNNNNNNNNNNNNNNNNNNNNNNNNNNNNNNNNNNNNNNNNNNNNNNNNNNNNNNNNNNNNNNNNNNNNNNNNNNNNNNNNNNNNNNNNNNNNNNNNNNNNNNNNNNNNNNNNNNNNNNNNNNNNNNNNNNNNNNNNNNNNNNNNNNNNNNNNNNNNNNNNNNNNNNNNNNNNNNNNNNNNNNNNNNNNNNNNNNNNNNNNNNNNNNNNNNNNNNNNNNNNNNNNNNNNNNNNNNNNNNNNNNNNNNNNNNNNNNNNNNNNNNNNNNNNNNNNNNNNNNNNNNNNNNNNNNNNNNNNNNNNNNNNNNNNNNNNNNNNNNNNNNNNNNNNNNNNNNNNNNNNNNNNNNNNNNNNNNNNNNNNNNNNNNNNNNNNNNNNNNNNNNNNNNNNNNNNNNNNNNNNNNNNNNNNNNNNNNNNNNNNNNNNNNNNNNNNNNNNNNNNNNNNNNNNNNNNNNNNNNNNNNNNNNNNNNNNNNNNNNNNNNNNNNNNNNNNNNNNNNNNNNNNNNNNNNNNNNNNNNNNNNNNNNNNNNNNNNNNNNNNNNNNNNNNNNNNNNNNNNNNNNNNNNNNNNNNNNNNNNNNNNNNNNNNNNNNNNNNNNNNNNNNNNNNNNNNNNNNNNNNNNNNNNNNNNNNNNNNNNNNNNNNNNNNNNNNNNNNNNNNNNNNNNNNNNNNNNNNNNNNNNNNNNNNNNNNNNNNNNNNNNNNNNNNNNNNNNNNNNNNNNNNNNNNNNNNNNNNNNNNNNNNNNNNNNNNNNNNNNNNNNNNNNNNNNNNNNNNNNNNNNNNNNNNNNNNNNNNNNNNNNNNNNNNNNNNNNNNNNNNNNNNNNNNNNNNNNNNNNNNNNNNNNNNNNNNNNNNNNNNNNNNNNNNNNNNNNNNNNNNNNNNNNNNNNNNNNNNNNNNNNNNNNNNNNNNNNNNNNNNNNNNNNNNNNNNNNNNNNNNNNNNNNNNNNNNNNNNNNNNNNNNNNNNNNNNNNNNNNNNNNNNNNNNNNNNNNNNNNNNNNNNNNNNNNNNNNNNNNNNNNNNNNNNNNNNNNNNNNNNNNNNNNNNNNNNNNNNNNNNNNNNNNNNNNNNNNNNNNNNNNNNNNNNNNNNNNNNNNNNNNNNNNNNNNNNNNNNNNNNNNNNNNNNNNNNNNNNNNNNNNNNNNNNNNNNNNNNNNNNNNNNNNNNNNNNNNNNNNNNNNNNNNNNNNNNNNNNNNNNNNNNNNNNNNNNNNNNNNNNNNNNNNNNNNNNNNNNNNNNNNNNNNNNNNNNNNNNNNNNNNNNNNNNNNNNNNNNNNNNNNNNNNNNNNNNNNNNNNNNNNNNNNNNNNNNNNNNNNNNNNNNNNNNNNNNNNNNNNNNNNNNNNNNNNNNNNNNNNNNNNNNNNNNNNNNNNNNNNNNNNNNNNNNNNNNNNNNNNNNNNNNNNNNNNNNNNNNNNNNNNNNNNNNNNNNNNNNNNNNNNNNNNNNNNNNNNNNNNNNNNNNNNNNNNNNNNNNNNNNNNNNNNNNNNNNNNNNNNNNNNNNNNNNNNNNNNNNNNNNNNNNNNNNNNNNNNNNNNNNNNNNNNNNNNNNNNNNNNNNNNNNNNNNNNNNNNNNNNNNNNNNNNNNNNNNNNNNNNNNNNNNNNNNNNNNNNNNNNNNNNNNNNNNNNNNNNNNNNNNNNNNNNNNNNNNNNNNNNNNNNNNNNNNNNNNNNNNNNNNNNNNNNNNNNNNNNNNNNNNNNNNNNNNNNNNNNNNNNNNNNNNNNNNNNNNNNNNNNNNNNNNNNNNNNNNNNNNNNNNNNNNNNNNNNNNNNNNNNNNNNNNNNNNNNNNNNNNNNNNNNNNNNNNNNNNNNNNNNNNNNNNNNNNNNNNNNNNNNNNNNNNNNNNNNNNNNNNNNNNNNNNNNNNNNNNNNNNNNNNNNNNNNNNNNNNNNNNNNNNNNNNNNNNNNNNNNNNNNNNNNNNNNNNNNNNNNNNNNNNNNNNNNNNNNNNNNNNNNNNNNNNNNNNNNNNNNNNNNNNNNNNNNNNNNNNNNNNNNNNNNNNNNNNNNNNNNNNNNNNNNNNNNNNNNNNNNNNNNNNNNNNNNNNNNNNNNNNNNNNNNNNNNNNNNNNNNNNNNNNNNNNNNNNNNNNNNNNNNNNNNNNNNNNNNNNNNNNNNNNNNNNNNNNNNNNNNNNNNNNNNNNNNNNNNNNNNNNNNNNNNNNNNNNNNNNNNNNNNNNNNNNNNNNNNNNNNNNNNNNNNNNNNNNNNNNNNNNNNNNNNNNNNNNNNNNNNNNNNNNNNNNNNNNNNNNNNNNNNNNNNNNNNNNNNNNNNNNNNNNNNNNNNNNNNNNNNNNNNNNNNNNNNNNNNNNNNNNNNNNNNNNNNNNNNNNNNNNNNNNNNNNNNNNNNNNNNNNNNNNNNNNNNNNNNNNNNNNNNNNNNNNNNNNNNNNNNNNNNNNNNNNNNNNNNNNNNNNNNNNNNNNNNNNNNNNNNNNNNNNNNNNNNNNNNNNNNNNNNNNNNNNNNNNNNNNNNNNNNNNNNNNNNNNNNNNNNNNNNNNNNNNNNNNNNNNNNNNNNNNNNNNNNNNNNNNNNNNNNNNNNNNNNNNNNNNNNNNNNNNNNNNNNNNNNNNNNNNNNNNNNNNNNNNNNNNNNNNNNNNNNNNNNNNNNNNNNNNNNNNNNNNNNNNNNNNNNNNNNNNNNNNNNNNNNNNNNNNNNNNNNNNNNNNNNNNNNNNNNNNNNNNNNNNNNNNNNNNNNNNNNNNNNNNNNNNNNNNNNNNNNNNNNNNNNNNNNNNNNNNNNNNNNNNNNNNNNNNNNNNNNNNNNNNNNNNNNNNNNNNNNNNNNNNNNNNNNNNNNNNNNNNNNNNNNNNNNNNNNNNNNNNNNNNNNNNNNNNNNNNNNNNNNNNNNNNNNNNNNNNNNNNNNNNNNNNNNNNNNNNNNNNNNNNNNNNNNNNNNNNNNNNNNNNNNNNNNNNNNNNNNNNNNNNNNNNNNNNNNNNNNNNNNNNNNNNNNNNNNNNNNNNNNNNNNNNNNNNNNNNNNNNNNNNNNNNNNNNNNNNNNNNNNNNNNNNNNNNNNNNNNNNNNNNNNNNNNNNNNNNNNNNNNNNNNNNNNNNNNNNNNNNNNNNNNNNNNNNNNNNNNNNNNNNNNNNNNNNNNNNNNNNNNNNNNNNNNNNNNNNNNNNNNNNNNNNNNNNNNNNNNNNNNNNNNNNNNNNNNNNNNNNNNNNNNNNNNNNNNNNNNNNNNNNNNNNNNNNNNNNNNNNNNNNNNNNNNNNNNNNNNNNNNNNNNNNNNNNNNNNNNNNNNNNNNNNNNNNNNNNNNNNNNNNNNNNNNNNNNNNNNNNNNNNNNNNNNNNNNNNNNNNNNNNNNNNNNNNNNNNNNNNNNNNNNNNNNNNNNNNNNNNNNNNNNNNNNNNNNNNNNNNNNNNNNNNNNNNNNNNNNNNNNNNNNNNNNNNNNNNNNNNNNNNNNNNNNNNNNNNNNNNNNNNNNNNNNNNNNNNNNNNNNNNNNNNNNNNNNNNNNNNNNNNNNNNNNNNNNNNNNNNNNNNNNNNNNNNNNNNNNNNNNNNNNNNNNNNNNNNNNNNNNNNNNNNNNNNNNNNNNNNNNNNNNNNNNNNNNNNNNNNNNNNNNNNNNNNNNNNNNNNNNNNNNNNNNNNNNNNNNNNNNNNNNNNNNNNNNNNNNNNNNNNNNNNNNNNNNNNNNNNNNNNNNNNNNNNNNNNNNNNNNNNNNNNNNNNNNNNNNNNNNNNNNNNNNNNNNNNNNNNNNNNNNNNNNNNNNNNNNNNNNNNNNNNNNNNNNNNNNNNNNNNNNNNNNNNNNNNNNNNNNNNNNNNNNNNNNNNNNNNNNNNNNNNNNNNNNNNNNNNNNNNNNNNNNNNNNNNNNNNNNNNNNNNNNNNNNNNNNNNNNNNNNNNNNNNNNNNNNNNNNNNNNNNNNNNNNNNNNNNNNNNNNNNNNNNNNNNNNNNNNNNNNNNNNNNNNNNNNNNNNNNNNNNNNNNNNNNNNNNNNNNNNNNNNNNNNNNNNNNNNNNNNNNNNNNNNNNNNNNNNNNNNNNNCUUAGUGAACCGUCAAAACCAGGCCCUGGGAGAUUGUUUGAGACCAUACAAGGAUUUUUGGAGUCUACAAACCUUGUUGAAAUUUGAUGUUGUCUCAAGUCCAGCAGGAAUCUCCAUGUAAACUUCUUCCUCUAAGUCACCAUUGAGGAAGGCACUCUUCACAUCAAGUUGGUGAAGCGACCAAUCAAGAUUAGCUGCCAAGGAUAAAAGUAUACGAACAGUAUUGAGGUUGGCAACUGGAGCAAAAGUUUCUUGAUAGUCAAUGCCAUAGGAUUGGGUGAAUCCUUUGGCGACCAACCGAGCCUUAUACCUGUCCAUAUUACCAUCUACCUUGUAUUUUACUGUGAAAAUCCACUUACACCCAACUGGUUUCUUACCUCUUGGGAGGUCAGUAAUUUCCCACGUACCAUUCUUUUCUAGCGCCCGAACUUCCUCAUCGACUGCCGCCUUCCACUUAGGAUACUUGAAAGCUUCCUGAAUAUUCCGAGGAACUUGUAUCUCUGUGAUGCUAGAAGUGAAUGCACGAAACGUAGGUGAUAGCUUAUCAUAAGAAAUAAAAUUUCCAAUGGGAUGCUGAGUGCAUGAUCUAACUCCUUUCCUCCAAGCUAUGGGCAUAUUAAGAAUAUCAUUUUCUAACUCGAAAUCAACAGUACCAUCAAGAGCGUUGUUACCUGGAAGUUUGCUUGGAUUAGGACCCGGUUCAGCCUCAUGGGUUUGUUGAGAAAGUGCUCCUUCCUCCGUUUCCUCUUGGAUGUGCUCCUUAUCCCACAAGUCAACAAUGGACUCAGGCUUAUUAAAUGACUCUGGAGGAAUGUGAUUUUCAGUGGUGAUGGGUGACUCACUGAAUGACUCAAGAUCCCAAAAUUGAUAUUCCUGAGUUGAAUUCUCCCCCUGAAUAUCGUUUUUGGGAUAGUAAGGCUGGGUUUCAAAAAAUGUGAUAUCCAUUGAAUUGUAGAAUUUUCUUGUGACUGGAGAGUAACACUUAUACCCUUUUUGAUUUGAAGAAUACCCAAGAAAGAUGCACUUGAGUGACCUAGGAUCAAGUUUACUUCUUUUUUGUUGAUUGAUAUGAACAAAGACAGAGCACCCGAAAAUUUUGGGUGGGACGGUGGAGAUGAGACGAGUAGUCGGAAAGGAUUUUAGGAGUGUUUGACAAGGUGUUUGGAAUUUUAGUACCCUAGACGGCAUCCUAUUGAUGAGGUAGGCUGCCGUAAGGACAGCUUGCCCCCAGAAUAAUUUUGGAACAUUCAUGGAGAACAUUAGUGAUCUAGCCACCUCUAACAAAUGCCUAUUUUUCCUUUCAGCGAUUUCGUUUUGUUGUGGGGUAUCAACACAUGAACUUAAGUGAACUAUCCCUUCUUGUGCUAGAAAUUCUCCUAGAAUGGAGUUGAAAUAAUCCCUAGCAUUAUCAGACUUUAGAAUUUGUAUUUUUGACUGGAAUUGGGUCUGAAUCAUAUUUUUAAAAUUUUUGAAAAUUUGACUCGUUUCAGAUUUUUCUUUCAUGAGGAAUACCCAAGUUAAUCUAGUGUGAUCAUCUAUGAAUGAGACAAACCACCUAGUACCAGUUACAUUUUUUAUUCUUGACGGACCCCAGAUAUCGCUAUGAUCAUGAGAUGGACUAGACUCUUNNNNNNNNNNNNNNNNNNNNNNNNNNNNNNNNNNNNNNNNNNNNNNNNNNNNNNNNNNNNNNNNNNNNNNNNNNNNNNNNNNNNNNNNNNNNNNNNNNNNGGGAAGUGAUGAAGAAGCUUACCAAGAUAAUGAAUCUCAUGAGCUUAACUGGUUUGUAGAGCAAGAUGAUGGAUUUGAAUUUCAACGAUCUGACCGCUUAAACAUUGAUCUAGAAGUUGUUAAUGAUAAUGUUUUGAUUUUAGAGAACAUGAAUGACAAUGAUGAUAACUUCAUAUGUGAUGACAUUGAGGAAGAAGAUGAAACACUAGAUGAUUAUGCUAAUGAGAAUGAAAUGUGGCUUUCAAGUGAUAGUGAAAGUGAAAGUGAUUAAAGAGACUGGUAAGCUACAUUUUAUUUACUUUAUUAUAUGUUAAAUAACAUAAUGUAAUCUAGGUCUAGUUCUUUAAAUUUAUGUUAUGUGUUGUGAUAUUCCUUUUUUAUUAUUAUUUAUUUGUCUUUAUUGUUAUUUUAUUAUAGAUGACUCCUGGACGAAAGCGGUCACCUUCUGAGUUAACUCAACCACCCACAACAACACCCAUGACUCCUUUUUAUGUCGAUGUUCCAAUGCACACAUCCAAUGAGGGCACUAGUAGUUGUAAGAAACUUCUUACAUUUAUAUAUUUUACUUAUUAUAAUUUUGUAAGAUAUUUUUUUUUUAAAUUUUAAAUUAUAAUGAGUUGUAAUUUAAUUUUAGUCUUUUUAUUAACUCUUAUUAAUUGUUAAAGUUUAAUCAAUAAUUUCAUGGUAGCACCUAAUAAAGAAAUUUAAGAGGCAAAACUAGAGGUGUCAUUCUUGACAAACUUAUUGAAGCUAAUGGGGGCAAACCUCUUCCGAUCACAAUCAAGCCAUCUAAUGGGAAGCAAACAGGAAAAUAUUGUGAGAAAUUGUCAAAUGAGAUUGGGUUAAUAGUGAGACAACAUGCACCUGUUAGAGUGGAAAAAUGGAACCAAAUGCCUCGAGCUGAGAUCAAUACAAUGCUUGAUCGAAUCAAGGUAAAGUUGCUUGAAAUAUAUAUAUAUUUUUUAGCUUGUAAUUAUAACUAAUUGUUGGUUAUCUCUAAACUUACUUUAUCUCAUAUUAGUUCUUCCCUUGUUUGACUAUGAAGGAAAAGUUUGCCCUAGAUUUGACACAAGAGCAUGUGAAGAAAAGUUUAGAAAAACAAUUAUCUGACCGCUUUAGAAAUUGGAGAUGUGAUUUGCACAAGCACUUCAAAAAGUUCCCAACUGUGGUGGAGGCUAAGCGAAAUCCUCAUGAAUCUGUGUCAAAUCAGGAAGAUUGGGACUACUUUUGUGAUAGAUUUUCAAGUGAAGAAUUUAAGGUAAAGUUUUCAAUGAAUAAUCAUUCAAACCUAUUUCUUAUUGAAUAUUCUACUAACUAUAUUUAUAUUAUUUUCAAUAAUAACUAUUAUUACAGCGUCGUUCAGCAAUCAAUUCAGUAAAUAGAUCAAAGAUGCCUUUUCAUCAUCGAGGAGGCUCUCGUUCAUUUAUCCAACAUGGUCUACAAGUGGUAAAAUAUAAAACUAAGGUUCUUUAGUUAUUCAUAUAACUUAUAAUUCUUAAUAUUAAUGCAUAAUACUUGACAGCCAACAGAGAAUGGAGAGAUGGUUGGCCAAAUUGAACUAUUCAAACUAGUUCAUUGGAAAAGUCAAGAUGGAUGGAUAAAUCAAGAGGCUAGAUAUUAUUAUGUAAGAUUAUUUUGAUAGCUUUCUAUGUUUAAAUCAUGUUUGGGAUUAUGAAUCUUUGUGGAAGUGUCAUCGUGAUAGUUUAUUUACCAUGUUUUGAUAAAUAAGGCACUUCCUUGGUAGUUUUCAUAAAUCUAUAAAUUUUGAUUUGGUUAUUGAUUGCUUGGGUGUUCAAUGUUGUUAAAUUGAUUAAUAGCAGGGAAAAUUUGGCAAAGUCUAAAAAUUAGGAGAGACUAUGCCAAAAUUUCUAUUGAAAUUUUAUCUUACCAACUUAUUAUUAUAACUUUUCUUACUCAAAAUUACAUUUAAGAUUAUUAGUACUUGUAAAGUAUUAUUAUAUCAACUUGUAUACUAGAUUCUUAUUUCAAUUUUUAUAUUAUUUAGUGUGUGAUUACAAGCUAAUUAGGUUCUUCUUAGGUAGAAUCCUUGAAGUAAACUUUUGUUUGGGCAUUAACUAAUCAUAAAUCUUUAUUGUUAAAUAUUUGAUUAUGUGGUUGGUAAAAAUUUGUGGAAAUAGUAAAGAAUUAAAGAGGGAUUAGUAUAUUAUUAACUUGAAUAUAUAAUAGGUCAAAUUUUGGAAAAAAAACUAAGAAAUAUAAGAGAAUAUGCCAAAAUUUAAAUAGGAUUUUUAACUUGUUAACUUCUUGUUAUAAUUUUCUUUGCUUAAAAUUAAGUUGAGAUUCUAUGUACUUUUCAAUUUUUACCAUUUUAUUAUGUAUAUAAGAAUCUUGUUUAUGUGAUAACAAGUUUAGAUACUUUUUUUAGCCAUUUCUUUGCUUAAAAUGAAGUUUAGGAUUAUAUGUGCUUGUGGGGUGUUACAAUAUUUGUAUAAAAAAUAUCAUAUCCUUAUUUGAAAUCUAAUAUUAAGGGACUAUUCCAAAAUUUAAUUAGGAUUUUUAACUUAUUAACUUCUUGUUGUAAUUUUCUUUACUUAUAAUUAAGUUGAGAUUCUAACUACUUUUCAAUUUUUAUCAUUUUAGUAUGUAUAUAAGAAUCUUGUUUAUGUGAUAACAAGUUUAGAUACUUUUUUAGGCAUUUAUUUGCUUAAAAUGAAUUUUAGGAUUAUAUGUGCUUGUGGGGUGUUAUAAUAUUUGUAUAAAAAUAUCAUAUCCUUAUUUGAAAUCUAAUAUUAAGGGACUAUUCCAAAAUUUAAUUAGGAUUUUUAACUUGUGAACUUCUUGUUAUAAUUUUCUUUACUUAUAAUUAAGUUGAGAUUCUAACUACUUUUCAAUUUUUAUCAUUUUAGUAUGUAUAUAAGAAUCUUGUUUAUGUGAUAACAAGUUUAGAUAUUUUUUUAGGCAUUUCUUUGCUUAAAAUUAAGUUUAGGAUUAUGUGUGCUUGUAGGGUGUUACAAUGUUUGUAUAAAAAUACCAUAUUCUUAUUUGAAAUCUAAUAUUAAGGGACUAUGCCAAAAUUUAAAUAGGAUUUUUAACUUUAUAACUACUUGUUAUAAUUUUCUUUACUUAUAAUUAAGUUGAGAUUCUAACUAAUUUUCAAUUUUUAUCAUUUUAGUAUGUAUAUAGGAAUCUUGUUUAUGUGAUAACAAGUUUAGAUCAUUUUUUAGGUAUUUCUUUGCUUAAAAUUAAGUUUAGGAUUAUGUGUGUUUGUGGGGUGCUACAAUGUUUGUAUAAAAAUACCAUAUUCUUGUUUGAAAUAUAAUAUUAAGGGACUAUGCUGAAAUUUAAAUAGGAUUUUUAACUUACUAUCUUCUUGUUAUAAUUUUCUUUACUUAAAAUUAAGUUAAGAUUCUAACUACUUUUGAAUUUUCACCAUUUUAGUAUGUAUAUAUUAUUCUUGUUUAUGUGAUAACAUGUUUAUAAACACUUUUUUAGGCAUUUCUUAGCUUAAAAUUAAGUUUAGGAUUAUGUGUGCUUAUGGGAUGUUACAAUGUUUGUAUAAAAAUACUAUAUUCUUGUUUGAAAUCUACUAUUAUUUACCAUAUAAUAACAAAUUAAGGCACUUGGAUGUUUUGUUGUGCUAAAAAUCAAUUUGAUUAUUAACUAAUUUGAAAUUCCAAUGCUUAUAUUUAUUAUAUAUAGUAGGUAUAAUUUAAAAAAUAUCUACUAAAUAUGGGAGAUCAUGCCCAAAUUUAAUGGAAAUUUUAAUUUACUAACUUAUUAAUUAUGUUUUGGUUCUUUUUUUUUUGUUUUAUUUUUUAUUUUGCAUAUAUAGGAGAAGAUGUUGGAGCUUUAACGCCAGCCUAUUGCAGAAGGAGCUGUGGCUAUGACUGAGGUAGAAAUUUGUGAGAAAGUUUUGGGACAAAAAUCAGGAUAUGUCAAGGGCCUUGGUUUUGGCCCUAAACCAAUCUCAUUUUCUAAAUCUAAACCAUCAUCUUCUGAGCGUGAAAAUGAGUUGGAGCAUAGACUUAUUGAGACUCAACUACUUGUGGAGACUCAACAACAAUAACUUGAGACUCAACAAGAUCGAAUUGACCAAUUGGAGGCCUUCGUACAAAAACAAAAUCAACAACAUCAUCAACAAUUUGAAGAAAUAUUGCGUCAUCUAUGAUCAAGCCAAGGGUCCUCAUGAUCCCUUUUUUUAUGAUGUGCAUAUGAUGGACGUUCAUUUCUUUUUUUUGCCUAUGCUAAUAUAGUUGUUUUGUGAUAGACAUUUUGUUAAACUAAUACUUUAUUUUGUUUUGUAGUUAUAUUAGCGUAGAUAUUAUACUACUAUGAUCACAUGUUAUGGUUACAUAUAUUAAUUACCAAUGAAGUUAUGUGAUAUAUAUUUUGAUUUUUGUAAGCAGGUUUCAGAAUUAACCUUUCUAUUAUAAUUAAUGUUUUAAAUACCAAAUGCCAUACAUUUGUAAUAUGAAAAAUAAAAAAUGUAAAUACAUUUCCUGACAAAAAAAAAAAAUUGUUACUAAAGAUAUUUCCUGAUGAAAUAUUUUUGUUGCUGAAGAUUGUUGUAUCAUCCACAACUAAUUUAUAAUUCACUGGCAUACGUUUUAGGGACAAAAUCAUUUUGUAAAUAAAAGGAUUUAGCAACGAAAUGAAUUUGUCAGUAUUAAUGAUAAAUAUUUUAGUUCAAAAAAAUCCUUUAGCAAUGAAAUAUCUAUUUCAUCAAGAAAAACUUUUAGUGACAAAAUGGAACUUUCGUUGGGAUUGCAAAGCAUAGGGAGACGAAAUUAAAUUGUUACAAAAAAUAUUUGGCAGCAAAAUAAAUUUGUUAGCACUAAGUAUUGACGACUUUGAGGACAAAAAUUUAUAUUUUUUAGUGGCAAAAAUUCUUAUUUUUGUUAAUGAAAAAUUUCGUUGGGGAAAAUAUUUAGUAACAAAAUUUUUAUUUCAUCAGGGAAAAUAUUGGGCGACGAAAUAGGAUUUUUGUCGGGAAACUUUUAGCGACGGGUCUAAGGCAACGAAUGUGACACGAAACAUUUUUCGUUGGGAAAUAUUUUUGCAGACGAAAUUUCGACUUUUAGUGACAAAAUAUUUUAUCAUUGAAAGUUAAUUUUCUUGUAGUUAAAUGAAAACAAAUUGAAAUACUUUUGUAAAUAAAAUUGUAAUUUUUUUUUGUAAAAGCAAGUAAAAAUCAUUUUUGUUGCCAAAUUGAAAUUUUGCAAUAAAUUAUUUUGAUAUAAUAAGUGAAAAUAAAUUUUUUUGAAAAUUAAAUACAAAUGAAAUUGAAUUAAAUCAUUAAUUAAAAAUAAAUUGAAACUUCUUUUUUGGCAAUAAAAAAAAAUUAAAAUCAUUAAUUUAAAAUCAUUUUUAAUAAAUACUUUGAAAUUUCUUGAAAAUUAUUUUUUUAAUAUUUUUUUUUAGUUCAAUAAAUCAUUUUGCAUAAUUCUCUUAUUAUUUAUUUUGUGUAUUCUUGUAAUUAGAUUUCAUCAUUAUUUUUGUGUAUAUUAAUUUUCACCAUGACUUGUACAUACUCAUUUACAUGAUUAUUUUUCUUGGUAUCCAUAAUUAAUUAAUUAAUCAUCACAAUUUCCUUAAUUCAUUUAGUAGAGGGCAUACGUAUACAAGCUUAGAGGGGUGUUACAGCUCAUUACAAUACCUUCCCGAUAUGUAACGGGGGACUCAAACUCAAUUUUUCACAAACUUGUUUUUACUUCGAGAGUCACAUUUAAGGUUUUUCUUUUUUAUUUUGUUUUUCCCUUAAAAAAAUAAAACAAAAAUCAGUAACGACUUUAAGUCUUUUUUAAAAAAUCAUAUUUUUUACCAAAUAAAUAAAAAACGAGUCUCGUUGUCGAGUGGAGACGCACAUGAAAAACGUAGGUCCACACCGAUAUAUUAUAUUAUUUUUUAAUUUAUUUAUAAUUUAAAACUAAUUUCAUUUUUUAUAAGACCUCAAUUAAAUUUCUAUUAAUUAAAUUUAGAAUAUUUUUACAAAAUCAAUAUAGAAAAAUUAUUUAAAAAAAAAAAAAAAAAAACCAACUUGUAGACUCCUUCUCUUGAGCUCUAUUUUUUUUAUGGUCUGAAACAAGGGGGCAUGGCAUGACCCAAGGGAGAAAUUUUCGAUUUUUUAGUGAAGGAGGGGACACCUCCCAAGAAGGUAGCUGCCUUGGACGUGUGGCAAGGGAGAUUGGCUGCCCAUGAAAGUGGUUGCAAGCCCAUGCUUGCUGUGAGGUGAAUAGGAGAGUGGGUGGUGGCUUGCCAAGGAAGGGAAAAAGAGAGAGAAAAAAGGGGAGUUAGAGCUGAGGGCAAGGGUGGAGCCAGAGAGAAAGGAGAAGCCCGAAUGAGAAGAAGGGAGAGGUACGACAUUUACCAUGACUCUUUGGACUCACUUGAUGUAUAUAAUCUCCUUAUUUUUCUCUUAAUAGUUUCGAGUAGAUUAUUCGAACAUAUGUUUCGUUUUAUGGUUCAUAGUUAUGGUUUGGAUGCUACUAUCUCUUUCAUAUUUUUGGUUUGUUUUGAGAGCAAUGAAGCUCUGUUUUAACCUCCUCCUCAUGGCCAUUACCGUGCUCAUCAUCCACCCCCAAUACCCACAUCGUCACGCACCAAUAUACCAGCUCCAUUUCAUCACCAUCCCACGUUCCAUGCAUGGCUGUCACCCUCACCCAUCCUCCCAAUCACCUUUUCUCUCUCUACCCGCCAUACCCAUCCUUCACCCGCAUGCGCGGAACCUGGUAUAUUUGGCUGCCCACCAUGCCCGCGUUCAGCUCAUCUCCACAGGAACCCCCAAAGCCGCCCGUCUACACGCGUGUGUCCCAUGCAUGCAAGCCGCCCCAUCCCUCAUUUUUUUUUGCUGCAUGCACCGCGUCGACAAGGCGUCUGCUCCUCACCAGCCACCAUCACCCGCUCCAGCCAUGCGGGCAUUUGCACCAGCCACCAUGGCGGCAGCAUCUCUUGGAUGCCAUGGGACUACCACCAUUGCUCCUUGAAGACUUUGAAGACUAAAAUAUGAAGAAUUUGAAGACAAACUAUGGAGGAACACAGACUCAAUUCAUUCUGUGAUUCUUUUUUUUUUUUUUACAAUGAAAGAAAGCAUAAAUAAAUAGCCUACAGAUAUGAGAUAAUUCCGGAAUGGUACACUAUCACUGGACGGAAUUUCCCUUACAUGGAAAGUGUUACAUGGAAAGUGAAUAAACUACCUUGCUAGAAUUACUCCUAAAUCAAUUAUAAUAAAGGUUGUACAUUACACUAAUUCAGGGAAGUAAACAGAGGAUGCUAAAUAUGGGGAGGAACAUGCACAGGCAGGAAGGCGACGUGGGCUUGAUUUCCAACACUCCCCCUCAAGCCGCGUUGUAGAUGUUGAUCAUUCCAAGUUUUUCUGUCAGAUCUUCGAAGUUAACUCGAGCAAGAGCUUUUGUGAGAAUGUCAGCCGUUUGAUAGUUUGUCGGAGUGUAGCUGACUUUGAAAACUCCUUCUUCAAUCUUUUCCUUGAUAAAGUGUCGAUCUAUCUCCACGUGCUUAGUUCGAUCAUGAUGAACCGGAUUCUUAGCGAUACUGAUGGCAGCUUGAUUGUCGCAGUAUAACACCAUGGGAUGCUUCAAUGGAACCCAUAAUUCUUCUAGCAGCCUGUUCAACCAGAUUUCCUCGCAGAUACCUUGUUCCAUAGCACGAAAUUCUGCCUCAGCACUGCUACGGGCUACCACUGACUGUUUCUUGCUUCGCCAUGUAACCAAGUUCCCCUAGACAAAUGAACAAUAGCCUGAAGUUGAUCUCCGAUCAGUCACUGAACCUGCCCAAUCUGCAUUUGAAAAAAUCUCAAUCUCUUUCUUUGUUGUUCUUUGAAAGAAAAGACCCUUUCCCGGUGUCAUCUUGAGGCACCUCAAUAUUCUGAUCACAGUAGUCAUGUGUUUUUCGGUUGGAUUAUUCAUGAAUUGACUUACCACACUAACGGAGAAGCCGAUGUCUGGCCUUGUAUGAGAAAGAUAGAUGAGUUUCCCCACAAGACGUUGAUAUCUUCCUUUAUCAACUGGCGCACUUCCAUCACUUUCUUCCAGUUUGACAGUUGUAUCCAUAGGUGUUUCUGCUGGCUUGCAUCCUAGCAUUCCUGUUUCAUUCAAUAAGUCCAGAACGUAUUUGCGUUGUGAGACUGCUAUACCUUUCUUUGACCUAGCAAUCUCCAUUCCGAGAAAGUACUUGAGGUUUCCAAGAUCCUUGAUCUCAAAUUCCUUUGUCAGUAAUUUUUUAAGUAAGUCAAUUUUCUCUUCAUGAUCACCUGUCACNNNNNNNNNNNNNNNNNNNNNNNNNNNNNNNNNNNNNNNNNNNNNNNNNNNNNNNNNNNNNNNNNNNNNNNNNNNNNNNNNNNNNNNNNNNNNNNNNNNNGAUAGUGCCACAACAUAAUUGCACUAUUGUUAUUUUGACAUGAAACCGAAAAAGAAUUACUACCAACUGCCAUUUGAGGUUGUUCUUGUGGAUCGUGGCGCUCCUUAAGGAUGUAGAGUCCAGAGCAUUCCUCAGCAUUGCCAAUCGUCUUCCCCGAAUCCAAAUCCUGAAAUUCACAGUGAGUGGAGGAAAAAUUAGUAAUACACCUCUUUUCCUUAGUGAGUUUACUAAUUGACAAUAGAUUACAGUCCAAGUUAGGAACAAGGAGAACAGAGUUGAGAGUAAGAUCCCUUGAUAGCACAACUGAACCUGUUCCGGCAACCUUUGAUAGUGAACCAUCUACUAUUCGGACUGUUAAAUUAUUUGGACAUGAGCUAUAUGUAUCAAAAAUUGUCGCAUCUCCCGUCAUAUGAUCAGAUGCUCUUGAAUCCACGAUCCAAGGUUUUUUACGUUUCUUACCAGCAGUGAAGGCACUCAAAAAAUUACCUUUGUGAGCCAAGGUUCCGGAACCAAUGACCUGGUUGGAAGAUGAGCCAGUUUGUGACUGUACUGACAAAAGAGGAGACAGUAGUUUCUGAAGCAUCUCCAUUUGCUCCUUAUUAAAAGGGCUAGCUUCAGGUUGUGGCGAUUGUUCAUCGGUAGCCACAUGAUUGCCUCGUCCUUCUUUCUCAGGUGGUUGACGUGGCUUCCAAUCUACUGGCUUUCCAUGAAUCUUCCAACAAGUUUCUCUUGAGUGUCCCGGCUUUCUGCAAUGAUCACACCAAGGUCUACCUCCUUUAAUUUUUUGACGGUUGUCAAAAGGAGCGAAUUGAGUCUUAAGAGCCGAGCUUUCUGCCAUAUUCAAUUGUUGAUGGGAUCCCAUCAUGAGAUUUUUCCGACUUUCUUAGCAACGGACUUCAGAGAAUGCCUCUCUGAGGCUAGGUAGAGGUUUUACUCCCAUGAUUCUUCCUCUAAUUUCAUCAAGAUUUUUGUUCAAGCCUAACAAAAAUUUAAACACACGUUUCCCUUCGACAAUCUUUUUAUACAACAAACCAUCUGUAACACAAUUCCAGUUAUGAACCUCAAACGUAUCAAGUUGACGCUGAUUCGUCCCUAGCAGUGGAAGUGGCAAUGACACCAUUUGAUUCGAGGUUCGAUCCCCGGCAACGGCGCCAUUUGAUUCGUCCCUAGCAGCGGAAGUGGCAAUGGCACCAUCUGAUUCGGGGUUCGAUCCCCGGCAACGGCGCCAUUUGAUUCGUGCCUAAUUGGUGUCUCAGCUGAUUCGUGUCCAGCUGGUGCUCCUUGAUUGAGGGAUUAAUCAACAAAAUUUAUAACCUAUUACACCAUAUACUAGGGUAGCAAAGACAAAGCUACUAUAGCAUAGUGGCUCUAGGAUCGUUCACUAGGAUGGGUUUUCACUUCACAAAUGAUGUUAAUUCAAAGUUGAAUUGGUGCCUUUUCAUUUCAAGGUUAGCUUUAAAAGAAAACAUAAAGAUGCUUGAAUGAAAAAAAUUUGGUUUUAAACUAACCAAAAAUAGUAACUGAUUUUACUUAUAAAGAAAAGUGUUUCUUGGAGUUCAGAUCACUAGGCUCGUUCCUCAUACAAAAUGGAGAGUUCCGGUCACUUGUUUAUUUUCCUCGCAUUAGAGAAUUAACAUAUAGUUCCUUCUCCAACCGGUGUUGUACAGAUGCUUCCCAUUAAUGGGUUCAAACACUAAAUCUCUCUCACUGAUGCAUCUUGCAAUGGUUCAUGCCUCUCACGAGCACUUACCAUUCAAGAUGAUCUUUAACCUUGGAUUUCCCUUCUCAAACUCGCAAGAGAUAACUAAUGGAUGUCUCCUUGGAGUCCAAAAGCUUACCAAGUGUUGGCUAUUCUAGAAAAUCCUACCUACAAGUCACCUCCCAAAGGCUCGCAAGGGGUAAACUAGUGCAUUUCCAUGGUUGGAAAUCACUUGCCUUACCAAGUGUUAGCCCAGGUGACUCUAAGGUGUUUUAAGUUAACUAAAAACAUAGAAAUCACUAACGGGUUACACUUUCUCUUCAUUAAAAACUAAAACAACAAAACUUCCAAAUUAUGCAUGUGGAAACUUACCCGGCUUUCCUCACUCCAAGAGACAAAAAGCUUAGCCUCUCAUCCUCUGUGGAAAAAUCCUCAGAGUUUGGUUGGCUAGAAAAUGAAAAUGAAAGAGAAGACAAGAAUAUAUAUCAAAAACAGAGCAAGUGCUCUGUUCGUUGAUUCUAUAUAUUGGAUUACAUGAUAUAUCUGAUUACAUGCCCCUCUUACAGUGGAUGCAAGAGAGUUUAUAUAGGAAUGUUUUUCCAACCUUCCCAACUAAGAAAUCUUAUGGUUGGUGGAUUACAAGGAGAGGAAUGGAAAUUUAUACAAAAAUAUCUUAAGAAAAGAUCUAAAAGAGUCGGUGGCAAAUAUCGGGAAGCAUUAAGGACCAUUUCGCAGGUGAAAAUGGUGUCUGCGAGAUUUCGCAGACACUCAAGAGGGCUGCGAAAUAUUUUCGCAUCAACAAGCUGAACUCGCAGGACUGCGAAAUUGGCUUCCACCUUGAGGUUCUCAGAGUUCCAGCUUGUGGCAUGUAUCGGGUAGCUUCAGGAGGAAUUCCAUAGCACUGUACAAAAAGGCUGCGAAAUUCUCGCAACAAAAGGCUGAAUUCGCAACACUUUGGAGUGAUCUGCUUGCAAUGGCUGUAACUCCUUCGUUUCAACUCCAAAUCGUGCACCGUUUGAAGCAUUGGAUUCUUGACUUCCUGAGCUUUGAAAUGGUAUAUAGAAUAUAUAAAAUGGACUUCGUGAAGUGUUCCAAAAGUGCGCAAGAAGACUGCAGUUGGCUUUCCUCUGUUUUCUUCACUCUGUUUUCCUCUUCUCCUUGCUUCUCUCCUUGCAUACUUUGAACGACUUUGGCAAAGGGCUAUGGAGCUCCAAAGCUUGGUUCUUCAUGAAUUUGAGCUCUUCAUUGCUUUGCCAUGGAUUCCAAAUAACUCUCCUCAAUCUUGGAUUGUUUUGGUGAUCAAAUUACUAACAAAAACACCAAAACUUACACAAUUUGAUUAGAAAUGAUUGCAAGGGUCCUUAACAUGUUAAUUGAGUUAAAAGGCAAUAACUACUACUCAAAAGUGUUUAAAAGGAUUAAUUACAAGCUACAAAAUAGCACUUUUUGAGUAGUAAUCACUCCCCCCAACCGACAUAUUGCUAGUCCCUUAGCAAUGAAGGUGAUAAAAACUAAGUAAACUAUAAUAAUAUACAUAAAAUGGAUCAUGCAAAUCACUCCAAAAAAUGAUAUGAGUGGCAUGAUGGACAUCCAUGGAUCAAUAAAGAUGUGAAACUCAACCUAUAAUAAGAGUUGUCAAAGCAUUCACUUGAUCAUAGAGUACAAAGAAUGGAUAUUAUGCAGGUUUAAGCAUCAAAAGAAUUUCCACUCUCAAAAGAUCCAAAUCAAAUUCUUCCACUAAAAGCUAAGUGUUAAUGUGAUUAGCUUCCGAGUAUAGUAUGGAUAACUAUCAUCUCCCCCCAACCUAAGUCUUUCUUUAAGCUUAGCAAAAUUAACCAUCUCUUGAUAGGCUAGGAACGCACCUCUUAUUCACAAUUCUUUUCACUUACUAAACUUAACCAAUUCACCCAUGUAACAAGCAGAGGAUCGGUGACUCCCAACCAAUAAAGGCUUAGGGCACCAGGCUUUAAAGGCUUUCGCCACCCCUUCGGACCAUGCUCAGGUUUCAAGGCAAGUAAAGAAGUUUAUUCUUUUUUUUUUUUUUCUUUUUCUUUUUUCUUUUUUCUUUUUCUUUUUCUUUUUCUACAAAGACUCAUUGGUCUUUAUGAGGUGUCCCAACACUAUUAAAGAGAGGUUAAGGGUGUCAAAUUAUGAUUUCUCAAGCUUAGAGGGUGAGAUAGUUUCACAUCUUAUAACCGGAAUCUAAUGUAUGUGUGUGCGAAUAGCUUAAGGUGGAAGAGAUAAGUUUGCAUGCAAUGGGAGUUUCAACAAUUCAUCAACUUUUAGAAGAGCAUAAUACAAACUCUAAGACUCAUGUAAUCAAGUUGAAACUCGACUUCUCUCAUUUAAUUUUGAGAGUUAAUCCUUAAUAUCCAUGGAGUUUAAAGCAAAAAUUUUAAAAAUUAAGCAAAAAACAACUAAAUUACCAAAAUAACUUAGCAUUAUUAACAAUACUUACUUCCUCAACUCUCCCCCCAACCAAGCUGAACAUUGUCCUCAAUGUGACAAAAGCGAUUAAAAAAUAGGGAGGAAGUGGUACCUCCUUAGUGACAUGGAGUCUGAGUCGUAUAGGAGAAACCACAUGUUUCAAAGAAAACAUAAAAGAGUUAGUGAGUAGAGGAAAUAAAAAAAUGCCAAGUUUAAACAAAAAAUGAUGUCUAUGUAUGAUGCAUCAUCAGUAAUACAUCCAAUCCCAGAAUAUAAGACAUCAAAACAUGGAAUUAUCUAUACUAAUAUAAUAUGUAAAGACAAAAAGUAAAGAGAUGAUCAUGUAAUGGUAAGGUCCUGUGGAGCUGAUGUGUCUGUGGUGGCCUCUUGAAUGGGUUGGAUCAGGAUUUUGGCCUCUGUUCUGGUAGUCUCCUUAAGUGGCAUGGUCUCCUCAGCUGGAGCUCUCAGUUAGAGCUAUGAGCUUUGAUGGUUUAAGGAGGUCAGAAAUGGAGUGAGAGGCUUGGUGUGUGUGAUCUCAAGGUGUGCGGGGCUCUCCUCUUCAGAUGCAUGGUUGCAGAGCUCUAUUGGCAUUUUAGCAACUUCCCUUGGCUUUGCAAAGUGUUUUUGCAAAUCACCCUCCAUUUUGCAAGUCAAUUUCGCAAUUUGAAGGCCCUUUCUAAGCUUGGAGGUGAUUUCAUAGCCAUUUCGAAGCUUGGAGAUCAUUUCGCAGAAAAGUGGCAUGUUCACAGACCAUUUUUUAAGCUUGGAGCAUUUUCGCAGCUCAUAGGUGAUUUCGCAGCCAUAUCGAAGCUUGGAGAUCAUUUCAUAGCCAUUUCAAAGCUCAAAAGUGAUUUCGCAGGUGUAUCGCAGCUUCAAAAUGAGGGGAAUUGUGCUGCAAAUGGCACUCGUGUGCCAAAAAGUGGUUUCGCAGCUGCGAAACACCCUUCCAAAUGGCGUCUCGGCUGCGAAAUUCCCGUUUAGCUUUGCGCGCUUGUCUUCAAACGGCCAUAACUUCUUCAUUUCAAAUCCAAAUCGAGUACCGUUUGAAGCUAUGGACUCCUGACUUCUCAAGAUUUGAAACGAGAUAUCAUGUGCAUAAUUUGAGCUCCAGAAAGUGCUUCAAAAAUGUGUCCAACAGUAGCGAAAUUGAGGUGCGACAUUUCCGUUCAUAGUUUGCACAGUCAUCUUCAAAUGGCCAUAACUUUUCUGUUUCAAAUCCAAAUCAAGUACCGUUUGAAGCUGUGGACUCUUGACUUCCCAAGCUUUCAAAUGAGAUAUUGUAUGAAUAAUUUGAACUUCGGGAAGUGAUCGAAAUGUGUCCAACAAUUGCCAAAAUGGGGGUGCGGCUGUGAAAUUGGGAUUUUUCAUGUUUUGGAACUUCGCAGCCGUUUCGUAGCUGCGAAAUGAGGGUUACUGUGCUGCGAAAUGGCACUCGUGUACCAAAACCGGCUUCGCAAUUGCGAAAUACCCUGCGGAAUGGAGCUUUGGCUGCGAAAUUGAGAAUUUUCACGCUUUGGAGCUUCGCAGCCGUUUCGCAGCUGCGAAAUGAGGGUCACUGUGCUGCGGAAUGGCACUCGUGUGCCAAAAGUGCUUUCGCAGCCGCGAAAUCCUUUGCGAAAUGGGACUUUUGUUGCGAAAUCAGCCUUUUUCACUUCGCAAUGCGUUUCGCAGCUGCGAAACAUAUGCUCCUGUGCUGCGAAGUGGCACUCGUGUGCCAAAAUGGGUUUCGCAGCUGCGAAAAUUUUCGCAGAGACUUCUACAGUGUUGCGGAAUGGUUUGGCAACAAAAUGCCGAUUUCGCAGAGGCUGCGAAAUCUCGCAGACCCUUGUUUUUCCCCUGUUUUCGCUCCGUUUGACUCCGAUUUUGCUCUGAUUUUUUUUCUUCAAUUUCUUUGCAAUUCCUCUUGAUUUUGAUCAUUCAAAAACCUAUAUUACAUCAAAACAAAUUAGAAUUAAAGCAUUGAAAUCAAAAUUAAAGCAUUGAAAUCCAAAUUAAAACAUUGAAAUCAAAAUUAAAACAAGAAAUUAACAAAACAAAAAGAUAUGGACUAGCUAGUCUUUAAAAAGACUAAGUCCAUCAAAAAAUUUGCUCAUGAUUUAGCUUGCCCGGAUCCCAUAUGAAGCUUACAUCCCUCACUUGAGACUUGGUUUGUAUGAUUUUGCCAUACAAAGCUUGGAGAAAAGGUGGAGGCAUGCGUUUCAUCAUUUCUUCCUUGAUGACUAUCCUCUGUGGUUCUCUUUGUACAUUAAUAUCAUAGCCAUCAUUCUCUAUGCUUUCCCCCUUUUUCUUUCCUUUGAUUUCCUCCCUAUUUUCUUUCUCUGUUUCACUCUCUUCCUUAUGCUCUAGCUUGCAUGUGGGCAGAUCAACCUCUUUACCACUCCUCAGAGUGAUCACUUCUUCAAUUUCCUUCACCAUUGAAGAUUCUCCCUCUUGAGCCUCCACUUCAUGGAUGCCCUUGGAAUUUUGACAAGGUUGAGAAGGAGAGUUUUCUUUCUCUUGCACUAUGUUGAGGUUGGCAAGCCUUGAGAUUGAAUCUUGGAGAAUAUCUAACUUUUGAGAUAGAUCAUUUUGCAUUUCAUCCAUCCUUUUAUUCAAAGUACUCUCCACUCUAUCAAUUCUUUGAUCGACUCGAGCAUUGGUGGCUUCUUGCUUUUCAAUAAAAUCUCCCAUGACCUUGCAAAGAUUCACCAUAGCUUGUUCAAGGUUUGAGGCUUGCUGUGGUGCUUGAGCAGGUUGCUGAUACUGAGGUGGCUGUGGUUUCCAAGAGAAAUUUGGAUGGUCCCUCCAAUUGGAAUUGUAGGUGUUGCAAUCACCAAACAUUUCCCUCUCGGCUGGAAUGGUAGGACACUCAUCCACCAAGUGCUCAUAUGAUAGACAAAUGGCACAAGGCAUAGCUUGCAAUGAUGACUGAGAGAUGGCUUGCACUUGUUGCAUAUUCGUCAUUUCUAGCUUUUCCAAUCUCCUUUCCAUAGCUGCAAUCUCUGCCUUCAUGUUCAUACCAUCAUUCAAAAUAUACAUCUCACCCUUAGCUUUAGGUUGAGAUGUCAUUCUUCCCAUAUCUCUAGCAUUUGGUUCAUUCCAUCCUCUUGAGACUUCAGCCACAUAACUCAUGAAGUUCAUGGCUUCCUCUGCUAUGGUAUUCAAUAUGGCAUGCACAACUAGCAAUUUAUGAAUUAAAAACAGAGAACACAAAAGAAAAUAAAAGAAAAACAAUUCAAAGAAAGAAAAUUAAGGUAAACUAAAAACUAAAUAAAAGGUAUACUAAAAUAUGAACAAUAAAGAAAUAAAAAGAGUUAGUAAAAGGAAAAGAAAAGUCACCAAACUUGUGAUGAAGAUCACAAGUACUCUAGAAAGGUGAUAUCACUGUAAAGUGGCACCAUCCCCGGCAACGGCGCCAUUUGAUUCGUCCCUAGCAGUGGAAGUGGCAAUGGCACCAUUUGAUUCGAGGUUCGAUCCCCGGCAACGGCGCCAUUUGAUUCGUCCCUAGCAGCGGAAGUGGCAAUGGCACCAUCUGAUUCAGGGUUCGAUCCCCGGCAACGGCGCCAUUUGAUUCGUGCCUAAUUGGUGUCUCAGCUGAUUCGUGUCCAGCUGGUGCUCCUUGAUUGAGGGAUUAAUCAACAAAAUUUAUAACCUAUUACACCAUAUACUAGGGUAGCAAAGACAAAGCUACUAUAGCAUAGUGGCUCUAGGAUCGUUCACUAGGAUGGGUUUUCACUUCACAAAUGAUGUUAAUUCAAAGUUGAAUUGGUGCCUUUUCAUUUCAAGGUUAGCUUUAAAAGAAAACAUAAAGAUGCUUGAAUGAAAAAAAUUUGGUUUUAAACUAACCAAAAAUAGUAACUGAUUUUACUUAUAAAGAAAAGUGUUUCUUGGAGUUCAGAUCACUAGGCUCGUUCCUCAUACAAAAUGGAGAGUUCCGGUCACUUGUUUAUUUUCCUCGCAUUAGAGAAUUAACAUAUAGUUCCUUCUCCAACCGGUGUUGUACAGAUGCUUCCCAUUAAUGGGUUCAAACACUAAAUCUCUCUCACUGAUGCAUCUUGCAAUGGUUCAUGCCUCUCACGAGCACUUACCAUUCAAGAUGAUCUUUAACCUUGGAUUUCCCUUCUCAAACUCGCAAGAGAUAACUAAUGGAUGUCUCCUUGGAGUCCAAAAGCUUACCAAGUGUUGGCUAUUCUAGAAAAUCCUACCUACAAGUCACCUCCCAAAGGCUCGCAAGGGGUAAACUAGUGCAUUUCCAUGGUUGGAAAUCACUUGCCUUACCAAGUGUUAGCCCAGGUGACUCUAAGGUGUUUUAAGUUAACUAAAAACAUAGAAAUCACUAACGGGUUACACUUUCUCUUCAUUAAAAACUAAAACAACAAAACUUCCAAAUUAUGCAUGUGGAAACUUACCCGGCUUUCCUCACUCCAAGAGACAAAAAGCUUAGCCUCUCAUCCUCUGUGGAAAAAUCCUCAGAGUUUGGUUGGCUAGAAAAUGAAAAUGAAAGAGAAGACAAGAAUAUAUAUCAAAAACAGAGCAAGUGCUCUGUUCGUUGAUUCUAUAUAUUGGAUUACAUUAUAUAUCUGAUUACAUGCCCCUCUUACAGUGGAUGCAAGAGAGUUUAUAUAGGAAUGUUUUUCCAACCUUCCCAACUAAGAAAUCUUAUGGUUGGUGGAUUACAAGGAGAGGAAUGGAAAUUUAUACAAAAAUAUCUUAAGAAAAGAUCUAAAAGAGUCGGUGGCAAAUAUCGGGAAGCAUUAAGGACCAUUUCGCAGGUGAAAAUGGUGUCUGCGAGAUUUCGCAGACACUCAAGAGGGCUGCGAAAUAUUUUCGCAUCAACAAGCUGAACUCGCAGGGCUGCGAAAUUGGCUUCCACCUUGAGGUUCUCAGAGUUCCAGCUUGUGGCAUGUAUCGGGUAGCUUCAGGAGGAAUUCCAUAGCACUGUACAAAAAGGCUACGAAAUUCUCGCAACAAAAGGCUGAUUUCGCAACACUUUGGAGUGAUCUGCUUGCAAUGGCUGUAACUCCUUCGUUUCAACUCCAAAUCGUGCACCGUUUGAAGCAUUGGAUUCUUGACUUCCUGAGCUUUGAAAUGUUAUAUAGAAUAUAGAAAAUGGACUUCGGUAAGUGUUCCAAAAGUGCGCAAGAAGACUGUAGCUGGCUUUCCUCUGUUUUCUUCACUCUGUUUUCCUCUUCUCCUUGCUUCUCUCCUUGCAUACUUUGAACGACUUUGGCAAAGGGCUAUGGAGCUCCAAAGCUUGGUUAUUCAUGAAUUUGAGCUCUUCAUUGCUUUGCCAUGGAUUCCAAAUAACUCUCCUCAAUCUUGGAUUGUUUUGGUAAUCAAAUUACUAACAAAAACACCAAAACUUACACAAUUUGAUUAGAAAUGAUUGCAAGGGUCCUUAACAUGUUAAUUGAGUUAAAAGGCAAUAACUACUACUCAAAAGUGUUUAAAAGGAUUAAUUACAAGCUACAAAAUAGCACUUUUUGAGUAGUAAUCAGACGCCAUAGACGAGUAAGAGUAUUGAAAUAUUCAGUUAACGUAAGGUUUCCUUGACGCAAAUCGUGGAGGAUGCCUUCAAUCUGGAUGAUUUCAGAUGUGUUUUCCUUGUCUGAGAAAGUUUCUUUUGCAGUGUCCCAGAUUUCUUUGGCAGUAUCAAAUGAUAGAAAAUUUUCACCAAUAUCAGUGGUCAUAGAGUUGACUAGCCAGGACAUGACCAUAUUAUUUUCUGCUAUCCACUUUUUGUAGGUUGAUGCUGUGGUUUUUGGUGCCACCGAAGCUCCGGUGAUGUAGUCAUCUUUCUCCUUUCCCUGUAUAAACAUUAAUAUGGACUGAGACCAUUGCAAAUAAUUUUGCUCAUUCAGUUUAUGGGCUGUGAUUGGAAGAUGAGAGGUUUCCAUCUGAUGAGAGGAUGAAGACGAUGAGAUGAUGAUAUCAGAAGUAGAGGAUGAUGAGUUGGUAGCCAUUCCAAAGGCUGGACCGUAUUUAGGCAUAAACUAGAAGAAUAGAAUUGAGUAGGAAAAAAAAAUACUGACUAAAGAUGAAGACGAUGAGACAGGAUUAAACCUGCUCUGAUACCAUGAAGAAUUUGAAGACAAACUAUGGAGGAACACAGACUCAAUUCAUUCUGUGAUUCUUUUUUUUUUUUUUUACAAUGAAAGAAAGCAUAAAUAAAUAGCCUACAGAUAUGAGAUAAUUCCGAAAUGGUACACUAUCACCGGACGGAAUUUCCCUUACAUGGAAAGUGUUACAUGGAAAGUGAAUAAACUACCUUGCUAGAAUUACUCCUAAAUCAAUUAUAAUAAAGGAUGUACAUUACACUAAUUCAGGGAAGUAAACAGAGGAUGCUAAAUAUGGGGAGGAGCAUGCACAGGCAGGAAGGCGACGUGGGCUUGAUUUCCAACACUCCUCUCUCCAUGGUGUCGCCGGUGGUGGGAGCUUCCUCUAAGGAUGAUAUCCAGGCGGAGAGGCAAGCUAUGAAGGAGAUGAAGUCUUGGGCUUGAGAAGAAGCCCAACCCAAGCAUGUUGAUGGAGCCAUGCCAUCUCAAAUAAGUGGGAUGUGAGGGGAAAUGAUGCCUUGGGCUUGCCCAUGGUGGGAAUGGAUUUGGGCUUAAGUUGAGGCACCAGGCCCAAGCUAUGAUGAUGAUGGUGCCUUGGGAAGAGAAUGUGUGAAGAAGAACCCAGCAUUUUGGACAAAUCCCUCAUCAUUAUCAAAAUCUGAGCCAAUCGCCAUGAAUCAAUGGAAAAAAAAUGCUUUAAAUCAACAGCAAAGACAUACCUUCUUGUCUACGUAGUCCGCCCAGAACCUGGCCUGAGCUCUCUGGUAUGGGUCACUAGGCAAAAGCGGAGAUUUAUCGUGCCAAACCUCAUCAAUAUACUGAACUAUUAUCAGAGACUCACAAAUGGGCUUUCCAUUGUGGAUCAGAACCGGGAUUUUCUUAUGAACUGGAUUCAUCUCAAGAAGCAGAGGGCUCUUAUUCCUAAGGUCCUCCUCUUUAUAUUCAUACUUGAGGCCCUUCUCUGCCAGGGCAAGUCUGACCCUAAUACCAAACAUGCUAGGCCAAAAAUCCAACAAGAUAAUCUCGUCUGUCAUUGCUCCUACUGUGAUCAAGUAUUGAUGAACAACCCAAGGGAUAUUGUCAAGUAUUUAUAGCAAAUCUCAGAGAGUGAGUCAAAACCUUGGACAUUUCUAGGAGGUGGUGAUGGCGUGAUGCUCAUUCCUUAUCUCAGCAUACACUUUCCUUCCAUAUUAUAUCCUUAUCUCGGUUUUCUUUCUCUCUCCAGAAUUCCAAAAUUUUAAGUUUUUCUAUAUUUUUUUAUCAGUCUAGAAUUUUUUUUUAUCAAAUCUCAGUUUAAUGUAUUCACUUUUUUUAUUAAAAAAAAUUAAAAAUGUCAGUUGAGAUAUUCUUAUAUUUUUAUCAUUUGUACAAAAAUAAUUUAAUUUUAAAAUUAAUAUCAUAUUUAAAUCCAAAAAUAUUAUCAGAUAGAAAGCAAUUUAGCGUUUUUUUAUAUAUAUAAUAUCUGCAUUCAAAAAAAAAAAAUCAGCACAUUUAUUUAUUUUUAAAAACUUAUUAAAUUUUAAUUUUACUAGUAAAUAAUAGAAAUUAAAAUAAUGAACUUGUGCCAUAAGUUUGUGAGAGAAGUAAACUUUGGUUAUGGAGCAUCCAAUGCUCUGGUUGCUUCCACGAGAGGUCAUUGCUGUCGUCAGCCCUGGUCAACUAAGUACACUUGUCCACUCCAUGAAAUAUAUUUAUGUUAUUUUUUAUUUUAAAUUUUUGGUAGGAGAACUCUUCGCUAUGAGAAAAAAACACACUCUCAAAUGUGGGAGAUUGUCAUAAAAAAAAAAUUAAUAAUAAAUAAUAAUAAAUACGGGGUGAUCUCACCACUUACAUAUCUCCUCCGUCAUAAAACCAGAAUCAUUGAAUAUGGUUCUAGUUUACUAUGGUUCUAGCUUUAUGGCUUGAUUAAAAUUUACAAUUUUUUGUUUGUAUUAAAAUAAAAUAGAUAUAUAUUUUUUCAUAAAAAAAUCAUAUUAAAUAUUUUAUUUUAAUUUUAAAAUAUUUUUAUAGUUCUUUGCUCUUAAUAGAUAAAGACAAAAGAUUUAUACUCUAUUUAGUAAUUAUUUUUUGAAAUAAUUUUCUGUUUUUGAAAACCAAAAAAGAAAAAAAAAAAACAAGAAAACAAGAAAACAAAUUUGACAAUUUUAAAAAAAAAAAAUUGAUCUUAAAAGCAAAAAUAUGGUAUUUUUGAAAACAUAUUUUAUUGGUUUUCACUUGAUUUUUUUAUGGUUAUUUAAAAAGUAAACAUGCAACAUAAAGAGUGAUUAAAAAUAAAACAUUACACAUAAAAUUUAUUAUUAAAAUAUAUUUAAAAAUAUAGAAAACAACUUAAAAAUAUUUCUAUUCCAAAACAAAUUUUUUGUCUAUAAAAUAUCAAAAAAGAAAUUUCAAAAACUAUUUUUAAAAAUUUAUUUUUCAGAAUUGUUUUAAAAAUAAGUACACCAUAUAUAUAUAUAUAUAUAUAUAUAUAUAUUAUGUAUGUGACUCAUUUGCUCUAAUUGGACAUGAUCUUCCAUUUUUGUAGGCCUAGGCUGACAUAAAGGGCUUUCACUUUUUUUAUGGGCUUGAGGCUUUCACAUAUCCCAUUCUACAUCCUAGAACCCUACGUACAUCAAUUGAAAAAAUAGAUACGUCGUAUUAAAAAAUAAGCACAUCUUAAAAAAUAAGUACAUCUAUACUUGACUCAUUUGUCCUAUUUUGGACAUGAGCUUUCAUUUUUAUAACUGACUCAUUUGGCCAAUUUUUUGAGGUCUUUGCAUAUCCCAUUUUGCAUAGAAGAACUUUGGGUAUAUCCUUCAGAAAAAAUAAAUACAUCAUAUUGUAAAAAUAAGUACAUUCCCUUAAAAAAUAAUUGGUACAUAUUAUUUUCAUUGUAUAGGUGACUUGUUUGGCUUAUUCUUGUUUGGCAUGUCUUAUCCAACUUGUUUUAAUACUUGUUUAUGUGACAUGAAACGAUGGAAUGGACUAGAAUCUCCCCUGUGACAUUUAGUCAACUUCAAAUAUCUUAGUAACUCUAGUUAGAAUUGUUGAUUAGGUCAUCUAUUUGAACUUUUAUGCACCCUAAUAUCUUGUGAAACACCCUCUAGGCUCUAUUAUAUGGUAGAUAGCUUUAGAAAAUGUCCCUUUUCUUUUUCAUAUGUAAAUUUUUGUCCUCAUCUGGAACCUCCUACAAACCCUUUCCAAUCCUUUACCACUUGGGCAAGCCUCAAGUGGUACCAUUAAAGUGAUAAGCUUUAGAAGAUGUUCUUAUCACUCUUUACUUCAAUUUUUCCUAGGUUUUUGCCAUAUCUAAGGAUGAAGCAACCAAAAUCCCUAAAACUUUUAAAAUUAGCUAGGCUUCUUUUAUUGUAAAGAGUUUGAGUAGCAUCAAUUUUAUAGUAAAUCUAUUAAUUAUGUAAUAAGUUGUAUUAACUUCCUCUACUCAAAACUGUUAAACUAAGCCAUUUCCAUUAAGCAUCUGGAUGCCAUAUGUUGAAGAGUUAUACUUUCUCUUUGUAAAUCUAUUUUGUUAUUAGUUUCUUGUAGGUUUUUAAAGGCAUAUGUACAUUAGAAGUUACUCAUUCAUUCAAUCCGUCCAUCUCCAAAGAACAUGAUGCUUCCUUCAUAUUCAAGAAGGCUUGUAAAUUUUGUUUCAUCACUGUGUUAAGCAACUAUGAUAAAUAAAUAAAUAAAAAACAGUAUGAGUUUUCUUCUAUUACCCAAAUUCUAUGAAAUUAUUUAGAAGCUCUUUUUGGGGUAAUUCAAUUUUCUGCUUUGUUCAAGGGGCUUUUUAUUUUCUUUCAUUUUAUUUUGAAAAUCAUUAGGUUUUCUUUUCUUGAUUCCCUUUUCCACUGUCCUGUUAAUCUGCAUUGAUAUUAUUUAUCUUAAUUAAAUUAGCAUCACAAAAAAUACUUUUAUUUACGUACGAUCUUUAUUAGAGAAUAUGAUAUAUAUUAUGAGUCCAAAUCUUAAUGAUACAAGCUUUUAGAAAAAUUGGUUUUGUCAAUAAGAUAUUAAAAUGUCAUUUAGUGAAAGAUCAUGAGUUUGAAUAUGUUUAUUUCUCUAAUUAAGCUUUUAAUUUUUUUUUUAAUAUAUAGGUUUAUGAGUUUGUUUUAAUACUUGUUUAUGUGACAUGAAACGAUGGAAUGGUAGUUAAAAACUCUUUUAUUUCUUUAAUACAAGAACACAGCUCAGCAAACCCACCAACCCUCAGAAAGGGAUUUCAACCGGAAAGAUUAACGAUACAAUUUCAAAGAAAAAACUUAAGCAAACAGCCAAACACUCAUAUAUAUUAUCUAAUAUUAACUAAACAACACUACUCAAUAGCCCAUGAUGUUUCCCUUUUACUCUAUACCAAGCUUCUUUCUUAUCCUCACAACAAAUCCAUGUGCCCCUUCUACUCUAUACCAAACCUCUUUCUCAUCCCCAUGAUAAAGCCAUGGACCUUGUGUGGGUCUUCCAGAGAAGACGACACGCUCUCCUUUUCCAUGCACCUCUUGGUCCAAGCUACCAACUUGGGGCACUCCGCCUCUAUGCUGAAGUUGCCAAAGGUCUCGUAUGCAUAAAACCAGCAAGAGAAGGUCACCAGGGCCACAUCCACAAACCCAAUUUUUUCACCCCCGAAGUAAGGCUUCUCUCCAAGCUCUCCUUCCAAAAGCUUGAGGCACUCUAUGAAUUCCUUCUUGCCUGUUUCCUGCUCUUCUCCUUUGGUUGACCAUAUCUUCCCUCCAAGUUCAUAGAGCUGUGGAAAACAAUAAAGUCAAAAGAGAGAAAAGGGUUAUUUUUUUGGAGCAUUUCAUCAAGUUUCAACUUUCCGUAUAGUUGGACAAGUUUAUUAAGGACCCUUCAGCAUAGAAAUCUCANNNNNNNNNNNNNNNNNNNNNNNNNNNNNNNNNNNNNNNNNNNNNNNNNNNNNNNNNNNNNNNNNNNNNNNNNNNNNNNNNNNNNNNNNNNNNNNNNNNNAAAAAAAAAAAAACAAAAAACAAAAAACAAAAAAACAAAAGAAAAUGCUUUAAAUCAACAGCAAAGACAUACCUUCUUGUCUACGUAGUCCGCCCAGAACCUGGCCUGAGCUCUCUGGUAUGGGUCACUAGGCAACAAUGGAGAUUUAUCCUUCCAAACCUCAUCAAUAUACUGAACUAUUAUCAGAGACUCACAAAUGGGCUUUCCAUUGUGGAUCAGAACCGGGAUUUUCUUAUGAACUGGGUUCAUCUCAAGCAGCAGAGGGCUCUUGUUCCUCAAGUCCUCCUGUCUAUAUUCAUACUUGAGGCCCUUCUCUGCCAGGGCAAGUCUGACCCUCAUACCAAACAUGCUAGGCCAGAAAUCCAACAAGAUAAUCUCGUCUGCCAUUGCUACUACUGUGAUCGAUAAGAUUCAAACUCAGUUAUUCAAGUAUUGAUGAACAACACAAGGGAAAUUGUCAGGUAUUUAUAGCAAAUCCCAGGGAGUGGGUUAAAACCUUGGAACUUCUAGGAGGUGGUGGUGCUCAUUGCUUAUCUCAGCAUUCAUUUUCCUUCCAUAUUAUGUUCUCAUCUCAGUUUCGUUUCUCACUCCAGAAUUCCCAUAUGUAUUUUUUUAUUAAAUAUAAUGCUUCCAGAGAGGUCAUUGCUUUGAUCAUUCCACGUCGUUGCUGUCGUCAGCCCAAGUCCAUUAAGUACACUGGUCCAUUCUUGCAUCCUUUUGGGCGGACAAGUCAAACUAUUUUAAACUUUGUGUUUAUUAUAACUCCUUAAAAUUUCUGUGAUGUUUGUAUUUUUAUCUAAGCUCUAAACUUGUUUUUAAAUUCCAAAUCUACUUUAUUUUUACGUAUGAAAAAUAUCUAUAAAAUUAAUUAUUUUAUUUCUUUUUAAAUUAAUUUGCAAUCUAAUAUAUUUUUUUAAACAUUUAAUUAUUAUAAUUUAUCAACAUAAUAAAAUUUUUAUAACAAUUAAUUAUAUAAUCAAUAAAAAAAAUAGUAAUAGGAUAGUAAGUACAAUUUCUAAUUAUAUGUUUAAAAAAUUUUUAAACAUCUUGAAAGUUGUGUGGUUUGAUGACAGUCAAAUACUUGUAAGUGUUUGUAUAAUAUUAAUAAGCAGUUGAUAUGGCUUAAUUUUCUUACAUCAUUAUAUUAUAGCUUCCUAUUAGCGCUNNNNNNNNNNNNNNNNNNNNNNNNNNNNNNNNNNNNNNNNNNNNNNNNNNNNNNNNNNNNNNNNNNNNNNNNNNNNNNNNNNNNNNNNNNNNNNNNNNNNGAAUCUUGUUUGACCUAAACUUCACCACCACAUCCAGGCAGCUUGCUUGGGCUGAGAUUUGGUGCAGGGAUGGGAGCCGAAGUGCUCCUGGAGAUGCAUCUGCAUAGACUGUCUUAUUUAGCUGUGAAUUUGUAAUAUGUAACUCUACUGGCAGCAAAGAUAAACAAUAAUGAUGAUGAUAACAAUGAUAUAAGGAAAAGGGUUCAAACUUCAACUCCCCCUCCAAACACUAAUCCCAUAAAUAUUACUAUACUCAGAUGGUUACAACUUAUUUUCGACACAAUAACAAAAUUAACUGAAAUAAAAUUAUUCUGGGACAUAUUCCUAAAUAAUAGAAAACGUUUACUUCUAGACUUCUUAGUUGAAAGCAAUACAAAAACCCAAAAACAACAAAUCAAUCUUUCAUGUUCUUAACAGUUACUGUUCAAACACUUUUUGUGAUCAAUAAAAUAACAAAAAACAAACAAAAAACAAAUAUGGAAAAUAAAAUAACUGAUUCUACAUCUCCACUGGUUUUAGCUACUAGUCAAACACCUUCUGGACUUGGUUCUGGUUGACAUUGGCAUGUUCCAUUGAGAAAACAGAGUCAGGAACCAGGAAUUUUAAUGCUUACAUCUUCUCAAUUAUAAAACAUGGUGAGUGAAUGAAAGUGAUGUGUCCUGGGCUUGUUCUGAGGGGUAGAUGGUUUGUGAUUAUCACACAGGGACCUUGUUUUAAAUUUGUGACUUAGAGUUUGGUUAUUUGCUAAUAUUUACUUGUGGGGUUGAAGCAAGGAGAAGGUUUGUGCAAAAAUAGGAUUAUCUUCAGUGAUUUUUAUGGGGCUCCAUACUAAUGGAUGGACCUUUUAAUGGACACCUGCACAUGUUCUUUGUUUCAAGAUUGUCAAUGAGAGCUAGCACAUACAUCAUGAAUAUUUAGCAUGGACAAGGUAUCCCUAUAGUAGUAAAGAGCAUACAAUCAAUGCUUGAAAUGUCCAGAUCACGUGCCUAAAAGGAUGGGGCUUACUUGUUGAAUAGGCAGAACUACAAAAAAUCAUGGUCUGAUAAAGAGUUAAGACUGAAUUCAUGAUAGUUGACACUGUUAACGAAAGCAAUAUUUCUAGCAGUCAUUGAUCAGUCAUGACAGUAAAGAUUGCACUAAUAAACUCACACAUUGUUUACAAGGGAACACCUACCUGGGGACAUACCACUUGGAGAGAUAAAACAGCUAGAGUAUGAAAUUUAAACCACACAAAUCCCAAGGUAACAUUUUUUUGACAAACCAUAUGUAUUUUUAAACAAGGAAAAAGGCAAAAUAUUCUACAAAAUUUCCUGCACAAACAAUGGGAAGGGGGCUCCAAAAUGAGUCAAAAAGAUGGUUUUAAUUUCACCAUACACACAUAAAGCAGUUUGUACUUGGCUUGAUACUCAACCUAUAAAAUAAGAUAUAUUUUUUUUAGUCUUCUCUUUUGGAGAAUAUUAAAAAUAGACAGAAAGAUUCAGAUGAAUUAGAUGUCUUCUGCUCCAAGCGUCCAACUAUCUUGGACUUGUUCAACUCUGGAUUCUGUUUCUUUUAUGGAACUCGGUUUCCUCAGAAAGAGGACACUGGGAAAAGACAAGCAAUUAAGAAAUGCAGUAUAUAUCAGAAAAUAUCCAAAGGCAACUGAUAUUAUAUUGUUGUUUUUCAGUAAAUAUCAUUUGUCAACCAAGAAAUGCACCAUCAGUGUAGUGCUACCAGUGCAACCAAGAGGACUGAACUGACACUUAGAUAAGAUUAUCGGAUUAAAUCAAAGAAUAAGCCUAUAUUAAGGUUAAGCAAAACCAUAUCCAAAAUGAGAUUUCAAAAUUUUAUUCCAAGGGCAGAUCGUACAACCGUUCUACUUCCAGAAACACAAACUAAAAGAACAUUAUAGAAUUCAGCAUAUAUGUGGAAUUCAAAAUCAAAUCCAACUUCUUAUAAUAAAAUAAAAUCAGCUAUUGAACAUAAAAAUUUGCAACAGAACAUUAUACCAUAAUAAUAUCAGAAACCAAAUAUUAUCUUUGUUGGCCUUCAACAAUUUGAAACUUUUCCCCAUUCUUAUUUGCAUGAUUUCUAAAACCCACAAUGAUUGGUUUUAUUUUGAAUGUAUUUUACUUAGUUUUAAAGCUGAAGGUAUGUUUUAUUCAUCAUUGGUGUGUUUAAGUGCAAGUGAAGUUCCAAGUUGGUCACUUGUCUUCUUCAUCUUCAAUAUUUGCUUUACAGCAUCUUAUUAGUUUCAUCCUCACCUCUUGCUACCAGAGAUGAAAAAUAAGAUACAAAGGCAUGCCUUACCUCUUGCCUUCAAAAUUACUCAUGUCUCUGUUCCCUCAGGAAGAGCCACCAUCAUCUCAAUCUCUCGUCCAGGCCAUGCCUAUGAAAAAAUGUGAAACUGUAAAAAGAAUUCCAUAAGAUGAAUUUUUAAGGCACAAAAUUUGGAGCUGUUAGUGUAAAGAAUCUAACCAUUGUCACAAACAUGGAAUAAUUCAUUCAAUCAAACACCAGCUUCAACAACUAUGCAUACCUUAGAGUGUAACUACUGAAAACGGAAUGGUAAAAUUAAAAUUUCUGCCCAAACAAAACUAGGGGAAAGAGUAAUAAAAACCAGUUCAAACUUCCAUGACAAACAUAUUGAAGAACAACUAAUAGAUCAAUUUCAUAAUUCUUUGAUCAAUUUGAGCAUUAAGAAUCAGGAGCAACUUAACAAUAUGAAAAGGUCAUAACACACUCAGUUACAAAUAACACCCAGAUAGAAUUUUGGAAAACCAAAUACAAUAUGUAAAAAAGGUUAGAUCAAAUGUCUGCAAUAGCUGGACAUCAAAUCAUACAAAGAUUUAGAUCAGAUAUUUGGAUCAUUGCAGGUAGCACAAUUCCGACUGGCCCCGUUGCAAUGAGAGCAAUGUACAAUUAUCUGUUCUCUAAAUUUGGCCUGAUUCGUUGCCGUCGAGGUCUUCCAAGACAACGUUUUGUAACAGGAGGAUCAAGAGAAACAUGCACAUAACCAUUUGGAUCAUGCACAUUUCCAUUUGAAUGAACUGUUGGCAGAUUCUGAAACUCAAGUGGAUGCAAAGUGCCAGAAUAAACCAUUUCCUGCUUGAACAAAUGAUACCAAUCAUCAACAAAUUCAUAAAUAUCUUGGUUCAUCUUCUGUAUCAUUGCGCAUGCAUGCUCACAUGGGAUGCCCGACAUCUGCCAAGCCAAACAAGUGCAAGUAUGCUGCCUCAAGUCAACACUUAUCUUUGCCUUCCCAUCUGAAAAUGUUUCGCUUUUGGCAAUGUUAUGCAAGAGUUUAUCCUCAGUUUUUGGGCCAAUGGAUCUUUCCCAACUCUGCAUUGUGGUUUUAUGCUCAACUAACAAAGAGGCUAGCAUAUCCAUGUGCUUCUCAAUGAAACUAAAUAUUGUGUGAUGUUGUUCUUCUUUGACCCAAGCACUAAAUGACCCAAAGAUAUUAGUAUUCAUUUUGUCCCAACGCUUUUUAGGGAACUUUGACAUCGCCCAGUGUUCAGGAUUGUUAUCUUCAACCCAUUUGGCCAAGUUAGCAUCAAAUCUCCUUAAGUUCUCCAUUGCACUGUUGUAACCAAUUUCUAACCUUGCAUAUGCAACAGCAUCAAGUAGUUUAAGAGCGUUAUCUUUACCUUCCCUUCCCAUCAUCAACUGGUGGCUAAAGUCCUCCUUUAGAUGACAAUAACAAUAUGCAUGGUUUUCAACUCCAAAAACCUCUGCAACACUACGAAUAAUCGCAUGAUGCCUUCCAGAAAUGAUGACCACCUCCAUUUCACCAACUAACUGCUUUAGCCUCUGUAAGAACCAAAACCAGUUAUAAUAAUUUUCCGAACUCACAAUGGCAUAUGCUAAUGGAAACAUGUCAUCAUCAGCAUCAUAUGCCAAGGCUGAAAACAAAGCACCUUUGUGUGGCCCACUCAAGUUGGAUGAGUUAAUGGAUAUGAUAGGUCGGCAUCCCAUUAAAAACCCAUGCACAAAAUCCAUGUGCAAUGAACAAUUGCAUGAAAUUACCUUCGUCUGAGGAAGUCCAUUCAGCAAUUGUCCCAGAAUUAGUUUCCAUUAACUGCUUACAUAACCAGGGCAGCAACUUAUAUGAAUUGUGUAGAAGACCAAAUAUUCUCUCCUUCGCCUUCUCUUUACAUUUCCAAGCUUGAUUGUAGGUCAAUUUCACUCCAUGCUGCCUUUCAAAAUCUUCACAGAUUUGACGGGGCAGGUAAUCAGGGUUAGCCCUUAUCAUAUCAUCAAUUAGAAGAGCCGCUUUAUUUGGUCGUAAUGCAGGCACUGAUGAAGACUCCUCCUGUGCAGAAUGAUUAUGUUAGUUUUCAAAUGUGUGCACUCUCACAAUUUUGGUAGCCCCAACACCACGAGCAGUUAUCUUCCAAGGACAUCCACCAGCUGUGCAACAUGCAGUCAUGUGCUUUAAAGAAUUCCUCUUGAACUUGUAGUUGAAUCGUCCAGCUAAGGAGGUAAGGUAUAGUGCAUUCCGGAAUUCAUCAGCAUUUGUAAAAAUUUCCCACUACCUGAUAUAGCCUUUCCAAGAGUACUUGAAACUGGAGGAAUUGCUUCUAACUCUAUGCAUCUUGAUGCAACUUCAUGUCUCUGAAUGAUGUUAUCAUCAUUUACACCUUGAGAUGAUGAUGAUGGCGAUGAAAAAUGAUUGUUGUCCACAUUAACACUGCACGAUUAACAUAUUCAUGUAAAGUUAGAAUAAAAAAGGAGGAUAAAAUUUAAUCAUGCUGAUAAGCAAGAUAAUAUGCAGGUGUGACUUACAAAGUGCUUUGUUCAUCUAUUACUCCUUGCUUUACUCCUCCAUUAUGAGCUUCAAAUGCAUAGACUCUUGAGAAACCGUCAUUGAAGAGGACCAUGCUAUAUAUGUCAUCAUCAUCAUCCAAUGGCUGGAGUAAAGAUUUAUCAAACUUCAAGGUGCACUUAAAUGACAGACUAGAUGGGUCAAUUUGGACUUUCUUACUUGCUUUAAAAACAAAUUCAGCAUGUGAGAUUCCUUGAUUAAUACAUAUGCCAUUAGUACAUCCACCUUUAUAAUUGAUGGACCCAUUGUCAGCCUUUAUGAUCUCCCCUCCAAAAUAAAGAUAGCAAUAUAUUGAUAUUACUUUCCAUUUACCUACUAUAAAAUAAUGCAACCAAUCCAUUAGUAUGUGCUAUACUUGUUCAAGCCUUCAAGGUAAAAACUACACUUAAUUUUGGUUCCAACGGUGAAAACUAAGUUCAAAUCAUGUAUAUAAGAAGGUUUAAAACAACACAACAUCCCAAAAAGUCUAAUAUAUGAUAACACUACACCCCAUAAUUUAUACCUUGUGCCUUUUUAGGAACUAAAGUUCCCUAGAAUUGAGGUAAGACGGUACGAAAAUCAAUUGGAAAUGAAAGCAAAGAGAUAGCAUAGAAUUUAAGAGUAGCAUAAAUCAUAAGUAAAUAUUAUUUAUAAUUUUGUUUUUUUUUCGAUAACUGAGGAACCUUCUAUGGCCAAGCCCUUAAGACUCUCCAUGGGGACCCAAACCUUGGGGUGUUGACCACACUCUAACAACCAGCACCAAGUAAAUCAAGGUAUCAUCAGUAGCAAGAUUCAGGGACCACACCUCCCAACAUUCGCCCUGACCAACUGGGCUACUCUGGCAGACUAAAUAUUAUUCAUAAUUUAAAAAGGAAAAAAGAAUCCGAAAGAGAAAACAGUACAAAGUGCCUAUUCUGAUUUGAAGCAGAGAAAAAAAAUGGAAGUUUGACCUUUUUGUUUUCUUAAGAUGUAUAAUAGCGGUUUGACUUCUAAUUCAAAAGUGUUACAAUAGUUAAGAAAGCCUUAAAAUUGCUAAUUGAAGUAGGUUCAUUAUUGUUAUUCAUUUCAAUACAAACAAAAGGUGGUUAAAGGGAUAUUGUAACCAAGUUUUGAACAAGAUAAGAACAAAAGUAAAAUUGUCAUUCUGAAACCAGCCUAGUUUCAACACAGCCAUAUUCCUGCUCUGGUUCACUCUAAUAAAUAAAAUUUCUUGUACAAUGGAACCACAUCUCAUGAGCUAGGGAACAUCUGGUUUGAAGGAAAGAGCUGCAAAUGCUACUUGGUCAUAGCUCUAUUUUAACUAGGUAUCCCUAUUUUUGACUAAUAUAAGGGAUAAAGUAAAAGAGCAUGCACAUGUGGACAAGCGCACACACACAGAGACAGAAAUUUAUAGGAAACUGCAUCAAUUCUACUAGAUUAUUCAUAUUUGAAGAAGGGGAAUGAAGUGUGGUACCAAAGCAAUUCAAUAUGUAAAAGUUUCACAUAUUUCAAUCACAAAAAUAUUUCUACUUCAAUGCAAUUUUUAAGAUGCUAAUAAACUUUCAGAAACCUUAGCAAGUAAUUUGCCAGGCCAAAAGAAGUAAUGAAUUGCAUUUACAUCCAUAUAAUAACAAAACAUCUAAAAAUCAAAGCAACAUCCUAUCUCCAUACAAACUCAUCCAGCUUGUAAUAGCAAUGACGAAGGAAGUUAAAGGAAUUAAAUCAAAUUUAUUAAUUCCGUUGAGAACAUAUAACAAAUGCAUGAGAGAGAGAGAGAGAGUAAAAAAACUUAUUUAAUAAAUGAAACUUUUUAAGGCCAUUAUUUAUUUUUCCCUGAGUAAACAAAAAUUUAGUAGCAUAAAUCAUGGACGGAUGCAUAUGUAUCUAUGUGUAUACAACCAUCAACUAAUAUUUAUCACUUAUCAGCACAAACAAUAAAAAUCUAGAACCAUGAUUCAUACACUCAAAACCCCAAAUCUGCAGGGGAAAAUGAUAGCAAAGCCUGCCAACUUUGUCUCCGGAUGAAACUCCUGAUAGAUUGCAACUUUUAGCAUACAUCUGUAUGAAGGCCCAAAAGAAAUAAUAUAAAAUCGAGUCCAUCGAUAAGGUAACAUGUCACAUAUGAAUCAAUCCCUUGAAAGUUAUACAUGGGACAAAUUUCAAAAUUCAUUCAUUUCUUGUAGCUACAAUUUGAACAAAAACUCGGGUUUCAUCUACUUGAUUCAGUAAAUACAACAAUAUUUAUAUCUCACAUGGGUCAAUGCAGUUUAAAACAUAUUUCUUAACCAUUAAAUUGCUUUGGGGUUCUGUUAUACAUACUUCAACAAAACUUUGUCUUAAAAAAUUUCUAACUCGUACUUUGUACACAGAAUAUAUGGUUACUUCAUUCUUUAUAUAGCCAAGAAGUAUUGUAGACAAACUAUAGCAGAUACAGCAUUAUUUUUAUGCAAUUAACUAGAUACAAUAAUUUAUAUUAAGCAGAAAGCCAUGGUCACCAAAAAGAGGGGACCAAAGAAAGAAUUAGGUCUCUAAAAUUACAGGCGAAAUUGCAUAAAACUUAAUGAAGUUCCUGAAAGGACGAAAUCGUGGCGAAAUUGUUACUGUGAUAAAUCACAUAAAUUAGGAAAUCAAACACCUCACAGGAACAACAAAUCUACCAAAAAGAGCAGAGCCAAAUAGUGAAAUUGAUAAUCUUUAUCAUUCAUUUUUUCAGUAGAAUUGAAGCUCUCACUACAAAAUUUUCCCUGAAGUUUGAUGGAAUUAAAGUCCCUGAAACUGGCAACAUUUUAGCAAAUGAAGCCUCCUCACGAAGACAAAAUGCACAACGAGGGUGUCUUUGAACUCGAAACAAAUUGAAGGCUAAAAAGAACAUAAAAAAUUACAGGGCCCUUCAAAAUCAUUAAAAAAAAAUUAUAUUAAAAUAGAAUCCAGUCCACAGCUGAUAAUGUACGAUAUUGGGCUGUUUGGAUGGUGAGAAGGUUAAAUAAAUAGGUGUUGGAACAUUUACCUAUAAGAGAAAGAAAAUGGGUAAACUUGGGUGACGGGCCUAGAGCCUCCUUUCAUUCAUGGUGUUUGAGUUAAGAAAUUUCUGAGGACUGUCGGAGAUUUUCCGAAAUUUUCCCGCCUUUAGGGUUCUGCUUUACAUGCAGGAGAGGUGAGAGGGUGCACGGAUGUCUAGUGUGGUGCAAAAUCCAGCAGCACUAUGCGUGUGUUGCGUUUUUGCUAAUUAAUAUAAUUAUUUUUUAUUCAAUAUUCAUAAAAAGUAAUAAAGGAAAAAAAUAUCAAUCCAAAACUACCCUACUCGCUCUUAUUUUAACCCAAAGUUUGAAAUCCAACAAAAUUGAUGUCAAAGUAUAAUUUGAAUACAAAAGUCAUUUUUACUAAAAUUAUUAUUAUUAUUUUAAAUAAUGUUAGAUUAGGUUUGACAGUGAUUUUAUAAAAUAUUUAUAAUCUUUUUAAUACUUUAAAAGAUAAAAUUUUUUUAAGUGUUACAAAGUUCAGAAACACUUCCUAAGAUUACUAUCAAACGCAUUUUUAAUAUCUAUGCUUGUUCCAUAUGGUAUAAGUGUCACAUUUUUUUUUUCUUUUUUAUAAAUUAUAAUUAAAAUAGUAAAAAGAAAAUCUUUGUUACUUCUAAUAGAGAUUAGAUAUUGAAAUAUUAAGUAUGUUUGUUAAUCUCUCAAUUUAUUUAGAACACAAAAAAAAAACAUGUUUAAUAAUAUAAAAUAGAAAACAUCAUGGUAUUUUUUGAGAAUAUCUUUUGGUUAUAUUCAAUUUUUUUCAUUAUUUGAUGAGAAUUGUUUUAAAAAAUAAUUAUACAAAUAUAAAAAAAAUGACUAAAGAUAAAAUAUUAUAAAUAAAAAUUAUUUUAAAACAUUUGAAGUUUUCAAAUAAAUUUUUAUUUUACAAAAUAUCAAAAAAUUAUUUUCAAAUUAUUUUCGAAAACACCUUGUAGAUAGUUUUUAUAACAAAGCUUUUUUUUUUUAUGCCUAAUGAAUACAGACAUUUGAAAAGGAAAAAAAAAAACUAUACAGUACUCAAUUUUUGUGAGAGUAGAGUUUGAGGUUAAAAUACCAUUUAAUUUAUUUAUUAAAACUAGUAAAAUCAAUUAUUAUUUUUAAAAAAAAAUUAAAAAAAUAUUUAUUUGAUAAUAUUAUAAUAAUUAAUUAAAAAAAAUUGUAAGAUAUUUAUUUUAAACAAAAUAUUUAUUUAACAUACAUGGUCACUAAUGUUGGACACCUUCCCACUUAGUAGAGUAACCUAGAAUAUUAAUACAUUAUAAUGAGAGUAGAUGAUAAAAAAAUUUGCAAAAGGAACUCAAAAUAAGUGACUUUCUACUACAAAGGGUGCUCAACAACAAGAGAAACCCAAAAGAUGGAAAACUAGGGCUAAAUUAUGAAGACUCUAUCAAAUCUACCAUGAAGCUGGAAUUUGCCUUUUCAAAAUUCAAUCCAUUCAAGGGCAACAACUCAAUUGCUCAUGAAAUGUUAUUGAAUUCAAAGACAUUAUUCAUUGAAGUAGUGAAAAAUACAUUGUUGAUCUAUGUAUCCCAAAUAUUAAGUGAUGGGAAGUAGUGAAAGUGCAUUGUUGAUCUAUGUUACCCCCAAAAAAUAAGUUGACCAUCACCUAGGAACUUUGGAGUCCUUAAUAAGAGCAUUAUGUCACAGACUUAGUCUUUUCCUAAGCUUGUGCAACACUUAGACAAGUCAAGACACUUGAUCUUGCUAAGUCAGCCUAUCUCCUAAUGUUUAGCUUGCUAGGCUAAGAUGCUCACGACUCGGAAGCUUGAGAAGGCGUAGUAGGCAACUCUUAAAGAAUGGAAGUUGUUAUUACUCAAGGAAACCUUUACAAGUGCUUUUGGGAACUCACUUGCUUGGUUAGGAAGUGAUUUGGGUGGUCCAUUGGCCAAAUGAGGCCCUCACCUAUUUAUAGGCACCAAUGGAACUCUCUGGAACCUUGGAGGGUUCCUUACAAAUUAAGAAGAUUCUAGAAUACCCUACACAAUUCUAUGUACAACCCUAUGUACAAGAGAUCUCUAGAAUUCUUUAGAAAGCCUUGGACUCCUCUCAUGCCUUCCACCAUAGUGUAGAGAUGUGUGGACAUCUAUAGGCAUCUCUAGAACCUUCCACACUCUUCCCUCUAAUAGCUUAGUGUAGAUGGCUCCAAGAGUCUCUAGAAGCUUCUUGGGCUCUAUAUAAAUCCAUGAGGAGGCUCAUUUGAAGCAUCCUAUGACACUCUCCCCAUCCUAUUCCGUUGACGUCUUUUUUGUUGCCUCUUUCUGAAACCUCUCGAUGUGUUUCCAGAACCUUCUCAAGGCAUCCGCAUAUUCCCAGCUUACAUGCCUCCUAGGUAGUCCUUUCCAUCGGACUAGAUACUCUAUCACAGGAGGGACCCUUAUUCUCCUGGUGACCCAUUCAACCAGGAUAUUUUUCACCUCCUUUUCUUGUGAGGCCUCGGAUGGAUGCAGAUCCUUGCACUUUCGAUGCUUGGAGUGCUGCUUCCUCUUACCCAUCAAGUUCACCUUUCCCUUGGUGACCUUGUCGAUGUAUGUGCGGGCUACCUUAGCUUGCUCCCCUUUUGCCUCCUUUACUUGCACCCUUGAUAGUAAGGAGGUCUUAGGCGUACUAGACUUUGGGUUGAAUUGGAGGGCACCUAGUAACUGCAUCAAGCCCAUAUGUGCUUCGUCCUCCUGUUCCCUCUCCUUGAUCAUGGCAUUGAGCGCCUUUCUCUUUGGACAAUCCCGUGCCCAAUGUGGAUCGUCACAUAGGAAGCAUUUGAUUUUAGGCGUAAACUCCUUCCUUUCCACCUUACCCCUUCCUUCUCGAACAUUAAGCGUCUUGCCUAAUCCCAUUCUAAGAGCAUUGUGGUCCCUUGAGACCUCAUCUCCCCCACCCGUGGCGUGGCUAUCCUCCAAAGACUCAACCUUGGAGGAGUCUCCCCUUUUGUAGUCCGUUAAAGACUCUGCUACUGCCAUAGUAGUGGCUAAGUCUUGAACACCUCGACGCCUUAAUUCCUGCUCGGCCCAUUCUUGUAGGUUAUCCAUGAAGUUGAAUAGCAACUCCUUCUUAGUCAUAUUAGGAAUCUCAAGCAUGAGUGAAGAGAAUUCCUUAACAUAGUCUCAUAUCGAGCCUAUAUGCUUGAGACGCCUCAUGUUUUUCCUAGCCAAGUAGGCCACGUCCUCAGGGUAGAAUUGCCUUUUGAUUUCCCUCUUGAAGUCUUCCCACGUCUCUAUGGUGCAAAUGUCUUUCUCCAUAUCGGCAAACCUCUAAUGCCACCAUAGAGUAGUUGUGUUAGUGAGGUAGAGGGUUGCAAUCCUUACCUUAGCCGCCUUAUUAUUUAGUGCGAUAGCCUUGAAGUAUUGCUCCAUAUGCCAUAAGAAGUUGUCCAACUCCUUAGCAUCCCGCUUGCCACUAAACCAUUGUGGCUUCAACACCUCCACCCUAGAUGCCUCUUAGGUGGCCAUGACUUGUGCCAACACAACAGCCUUAUAGAUGGCCAACUCCUGCCUAACCUCAUGGUCUUGGGACUCCAUUCAAGUGGCCAAGGCCUUUAUCCUUGACUCCAUGUUAGCAAGCAUGCUAAAGACCUUUUCUUGGAAAGACAUGAACUCCUCAUGUGACACCGGUUGAACUUGUGAGCCUAGCACCCCCUCACGAAGGUCUUAGAUAUGCUCCCUUAGAUCCUCAAUACCCUUCUCCAUGCCUUGCUCGAUCAAGUCCACCCCUUCCCGGGUGUCUGCCAUGGCUAGCUCCACCUUGGCUAGCCUUGCCUCCAUGUUGGCUAUGGCAUCACGAGACUUAUCCUUCCUGCCCUUGCCCCGUGCAGUAGGCUCGAUCUCCCUUCCACGGGUUUGCUCGCUAGUCUCCUCCAUGUUAGAGCCCAACAUGCUUUCUUUACUAUGCUCGUUUCAUAGCCGCGCUCUAGUAUCACUUGUCACAGACUUAGUCUUUUCCUAAGCUUGUGCAACACUUAGACAAGUCAAGACACUUGAUCUUGCCAAGUCAGCCUGUCUCCUAAUGUUUAGCUUGCUAAGCUAAGAUGCUCACGACUCGGAAGCUUGAGAAGGCGUAGUAGGCAACUCUUAAAGAAUGGAAGUUGUUAUUACUCAAGGAAGCCUUUACAAGUGCUUUUGGGAACUCACUUGCUUGGUUAGGAAGUGAUUUGGGUGGUCCCUUGGCCAAAUGAGGCCCUCACCUAUUUAUAGGCACCAAUGGAACUCUCUGGAACCUUGGAGGGUUCCUUACAAAUUAAGAAGAUUCUAGAAUACCCUACACAAUUCUAUGUACAACCCUAUGUACAAGAGAUCUCUAGAAUUCUCUAGAAAGCCUUGGACUCCUCUCAUGCCUUCCACCAUAGUGUAGAGAUGUGUGGACAUCUAUAGGCAUCUCUAGAACCUUCCACACUCUUCCCUCCAAUAGCUUAGUGUAGAUGGCUCCAAGAGUCUCCAGAAGCUUCUUGGGCUCUAUAUAAAUCCAUGAGAAGGCUCAUUUGAAGCAUCCUAUGACAAAUAGCUCAAAAUAAAAGAGGAAAUCCAAGUAUUGAAAAAAAGGUUAGUUUUCUAAAUGUAGUUGACAUCAUUUGAUAAGGUAGUGCCUUAAAAUUAUGCUAGUUCUAAAUAAUUUGAGAGGGCAUAUGCUCUAAAAAUGCAAAUGAUCUAAAUAUAGGAAGAGAAAUCCAAUGAGAAAAAGAAAAAGAAAGAAGACCGUUAUCAAAAGGAAUUUUGGAAUUCAUGAUAAAAAAAAAAGAAGGAAAGUGGCCUACUCACGUAAUCCAUUAUGCAACUCUACUAUGCCUACCUAUGGUCCACUAUAUUUGAUGCUAUUAUAGUUAAGUUAACCCUUGACACUACUAUAAUUGAGUUUGCUAUUGACAUUGUUGCAACUAAGUUCACUAUAUUACAACCAUACUCACUAUUAUAGUCUUCUUACAAACAUACUCAUUAUCCGUACAUCUUUCGAAGGAACCCUUCAAGAUCUCAACUCUUUUACCUAUUAAGUGUAUCUUAAAUGAGCCUUCUAACUAUUGAAUUUUGAAGGUAAGACAUUAAUUCUCUACAACAUCAUCGAGAUUCAUCUCCAAUAAGGGUGGAUCUACCUUAAGAAUAGUGUUUUCAUCAUGGAUCUACUUUAAGAAUAGUAUUUUCAUCAGACCUUAAUAAUUCUAAUAUGAUAAGUACCUAAAUUCCCUUUUGUUAUUUCAUUAUUUGUUGAUGUUUUGUGUUCAACUUAGUUUAGACUUAGUUUCAACCUUCUAGAAUAUUUAAAAACAACCACGGUUGAAAAUUUCUCUUUUUUUGUUGAAAUUUCGAUGAAAUAUCGGUUUCGGCGAUCGGCGAUACGAAAGAAGGGAGCGAAAUGUCGAUGGAGAAAUUUCAGCAAAUUUUGGUUAAAAUCGUCGAAAAAUUGGCUCAUAGCGAAAUUUCGACGAUUUUUCUUAACUUUUUCGAUUGGUCAACACGGGUUAACAUGCUACAGUGCUUCUGUUACAGUGAAAUGCUACAAUAUGCCAUUACAGUGAAAGCUUGAUAAAAAUCCAAAAUGCUAUAGUGUGCUACUAUAGUGAAAGCUUGAUAAAAAUCCCUUUUAGUUUGUUGUUGGGGAGACAAAAGCUUCAAUUGAGGUGUGGUGAACCAUUAGGGCAAGUAUGCCCUUUGUUAAAUAUGUUGCACCAAACAUAUUUAUAUUAAAAGUCAUCAAAUAAACAAAAUAUUAAAAGAACAUUUUAAAUAACAAAUUAAUUAUAAUUAUUUGGGAAAAUUGUGUUUUGGGCCUAGCUAGGCCCAAAAAUUAAUGUAUGGUCCAUAUAAGUUUCAUAUUUAAGCCCAACACCCAAUAAAAGAGUGGAAAUUGAGAGUAAGGAUAUUGUCUUUAAAAAAUCCCUAAAAUACCCUUGACUAUUAAAUGAAAAAACUAACCAAUCACCUCACCUUUCUCAUUCUCUCUUUGACUUUUUUGCCCUUCUCUCACCUAUUUAAUAGUGGAACCAACUUGAAUAAUUUUUCUUCAUCAAAUAUGAAAGAUGGUUAAAAAUUAUUAUUACCAAAUGUAUUUUUGAAGUGAAUAACUUUUAAAUACCUUAUCAAAUAUUAUUCUUUUUUUCAAACUUACAUAAUAUAUAAUAAAUAUCAUUCUUUAUUUCAAACCUAUAUUAUUUCUUUAUGUAUAUUAAAUAAUUUUUAAACACCUAAAAUAUUAGUAUUAUUUGUUUACUCUAACUUGUAAAUUAGAUAUUAUCAAAUAUUAUAUUUUUUCAAAUUUAUAGAACAUAUAAUAAAUACUUUUUAAAUACCUCAUAGAAUAUUAUUAAUUUUUUUUUCUAACUUGCAAAUUAGACACAUGGUGUUUAUUAUUAUUUUGAAUAUAAUGUAAAUACUCACAUGCAUAUAUAUAUAUAUUAAUCAAGAAGACAAUAUUUAUAAGACUAAUUUACCAACCUUCCAAUAAUUUUGAAAAUGUAAAUAGAGUAAUUGUCCGAAUUAAAGUCUUCAAAAAUAUUCAAAAUUUCUCCAUUCCAAAAUUACCUAAUUGCUCUCCACACUAAUCCUAAAUAUUUUUGAAUAAAGAUUUAAAUAUUUAAAACCAUUAAAAUAAAUACUUUCUUAUUAAAGCAAUUUUUUCAAAGUAAUAAGAUAAAAAUCAUGAAAUCUUCAAAACUAUAAUUACAACAAAUAUUUUUAACUUUAAAACUAAUUUCAUAAUUUAAAUUAAUGAUUUUAAAAAAUAAAAAUGUUAUAAAAAUAAUUUUUUUAUUUUUAAUGCCAUUUAAAUAUGAUUUUUUUAAUCUCUAUUGAUAACAAUGAAAUUAUAUUUACAAAGGCAAAAUAGUAAAAAUAUAUAUUUCAUUUAGUUUACUUAUAAUGAACAAUUCAAACAUGAAUGAUUUUAAUUUUAUUUCCUAAGUGUUAAUUUUUGUAGAGAAUGUCUUAAUGACAUAGUUUGGUAAAAAAAGAAAAACAAAAUUAUCAAUAAUCGUCUUAAUGUCAAAUUCAAGUUAUUUAAAAAUCGUAUAAAACCUAUUAGAAGUCUUGUACACCCUUGUACACUUAGCACAUUUCCCUUGUACAGUUAGUGUAAUAUCCUUGUACAGUUAGUGUAAUACCCUUGUACAAUGACACAAAUUUCAUAUAUCUCCUAAUUUAUAUAUCCAUGUAGGUGUAUUAAUCAUAUUUUCAAUGGUUUGGUUGAGAAAAUGGUGGAUGACUUAGGGUCAAAUUUUUUCCCCAAAUAUCAUUAUUGGGAAAAAUAUUAGAAUUUUCAUGUAAGAAUUAAAUAAAGUGCAUGACAUAGGUGUACAAUCAUUGGGUGACAAGGAAAAUAAAAAAGUAGUUUAGAGUCAAUUAAAAUCAUUCACAAAGGGUAAUAUUGUACACUUUUGUACAAUUAGUACAUUUCCCUUGUACAGUUAGUGUAAUACCCUUGUAUAAUGACACAAAUUUUAUAUCCCUCCUAAGUUAUGUGUCCACGUAGGAGUGUUUAACCAUAUUUUCAAUGAUUUAGUUGAGAAGAUGGUAGAUGAUUUAAGGUCAAAAUUUUUUUUCUCCAAAUAUUAUUAUUAUGGAAAAUAUUGGAAUUUCCAUGCGGGAAUUAAAUAAAGUGCAUGACAUAUAUGUACAAUUCAUGAGUGAUAAAAAAAUAAAAAUAAAGGAAUGACUCAUAAUCGAUUAUAAUAUUUCACAAAGGGUACCCUUGUACACCUUUGUACAGUUAGCACAUUUCUCUUAUACAGUUAGUGUAAUACAAUUGUACAGUGACGCAAUAAAUAAAUAAAUAAAAUUUAUUACUUUUUUAUUUUCAUAUAAAAAAAAUAGUACUAAACAAGGUUUUCAAUUUCAUUUUAAAAAAUAGUUUUCAUUUUUUAAUUAAAAAUAUUUUCAAAAGGAGACAAUAUAGAAAAUAAAAAUUAUUUUUAAAAAUAAAAAAUAAAAACUAGAAAAAUAUUUUAAAACCAAACUCAAAUAUAAUCUAUAUAAUAAUAAACAAAUUUGUAACAUUUCAUAUAACUUAUUACUAAAAAUCAUGUUCAAAAAGUUAUUAAAAUAAGGAAGAAAGAAGAUUAAAAAAAAAAUAAACAUUUUAUUUUAUAAUAGUAAAAAAAAACUUUAAAAUACAUUUUAAUAUAAAAAAAAUUAAAAUAGUGAAUAUAUUUAUUUUAAAUAGUUUUUUAUUCAUUAAAUUAUUUACUUCUAAAAUAUAAAAGACAAAAAUAAAUGUAAAAUGUAAUUUUUAUUUAUUUAAAUUAAUAUUUUUUUAGAAAGUAUUUUUCAAAAUAGUCUUUGAAUCAUUAAUAUAAUUUUUUUAUUUAUAAUUUAAAAAUAAAAAAAUAAUUUUGAUUUUUCAAUUAUUUAUAAAAGAGUUUAAAAAAAUAAUGAAAAAUCCAAAAAUGAUUAAAUAAGAAAGAAUAGUGGCAUGUGAAGAGUGGUAGAAUAAAGACAAAAAUGAGUCAAGUGGGUAUUUUUGUCUAUUCCUAUCUCAUAUCCUUGAAAUCAAUUAUAGGUGUUUGAAGGACUCUUUAUUAAUUACCAAAGCCAAAUGGGUCUAAAGCCCAAUUCUCCCUAAUUAUUUUAUAAUUAAAUAAAAUUUUUUCAUUUAAUUGAUUACCAAAAAUAUAAAAUUAUUAUGAUAAUUUUCUUCAUAGUGUUUUUAAUAUCAUUAAUAAAUUAAUUAAAUAUUAAAAAGUUAUACAUAUAUCACAAUUCAUUUUAUAUAAUUUAAUACAAUUGAAUUAAAUGAAUCAUAAUUUUAAUAUUAAAUAUAUUUUAAAAUUAGGCAUAUUAUAAUCAAAUAUCACAAUAUUAUUAUGAAAUAAUAUUUGAUAUAAUUUAAUAAUAAAUGUACACUUAUCAAAUUCUUCAGCAAAACAAUUUUGAAAUGUCUAUUAUAUUUCUAAUUACAUUUUUAUAAGGUUUUUCUUACAUUCCUAUGAAUUUUGAUUAAUUUUAGGUCUAUCGAUAUUUUUUUUUCCAAAAUAUCUGUCGAUAUAUCUCUGAUAUAUCCGUAAUUACCAAUAUUUUUAUCCUUAAAAACAACACAACACCACUUGUACCAAAGGCAUAACACCCACUAAAUUUAGUUAAGUCAUUGAGGGACCCCCAAUUACUUUGAAAGAUUGGAAUGACACGUGGAACCACUUAUAUUCCAUGGAUUUCUUAUGUUAAUGGGAUUUUUUAAAAUUUUUAUUUGGUAAUUGUUGUGAGUAUUAAGUGGUAAGGUAUGACAAAUUUGAUGAGGACAUUCUUUACAUUUAGAGAUCCUAGCAUAUGGGUUCAAUUUGUCUUACUCUUCAUUAAGAAUUAACUUUCAAGGAAAUGUAGUUAAGGAUAUCAAAUGGAGGUAUUCUACAUCAAUUUUGAUCUAAAAAUUUAAGGUUCUAGUCAGGCUGAGCUUUUACCUAAAAUUAUUUAAAAACGUUUUAGGAUCAUGAAAUUAUCAAAAAGUUUAAGCUUUACUUUGAUUAUGACCAUCAUUACAAGUAAUUAUAUAGUACAUGUCUUUCAAAAUUUGUGAUAAAUCAAUAUUUCUUGAAUAUGUUUAUUAUAUUUGCUUCUUAUUAAAAUGCAUUAUAUAUAUAUAUAUAUAUAUAUUAUUUGAAUGUUUUGCUCAAAACUAGAUUUUUCUUUGGAUAUUGGUACUUAGGUAGUUAAUUAACUUCUUGUUAAAUCUUGUAAAUGGCAUGAUUAUGAAUGAUGAAUGUAUUUACUUUUAACGUUAUAAUACACCCUAGACCAAAUUUUUAUGAGACGAGGUACAAUUGGCAUCCAAAUAACCUAGUUAAUGUGCCAUGUGAAAAAAGGGUUGCAACACUAGCAAGUAGCUAAUAUAUAAUGUGAAUGUGCUUAGUAUCAUGUGAGGAAGGACACUCUUAUUGAAUUGCCAUGUGAUCAAUUAUGUUGAUGGCUAUGAUGAUGGGCACAUAUCAUUAUGUGUAUGAUAAUUUUUUUUAAUGUAACUAUGAUUUUUGAAGAUUUGAUUAGGCUAAUUAAUUUGAGAAGUUAAGGACACAAGUCCAUGAAAACCAAAAACUCACUAUUCACCUUAGCACUAUUUAUCAAGCUUAGAUUUACAAUUACAAGAGAAUUAUACAUUAUUAAUACGAUAAUGAUAUUUAAUGUCAUCAAUCUUCACUUAAUUAGAAUGAUUAAAGGUUGUUUACAUAGACUUCUUGUUUUUUAUUUUAAAAUUUGAGAUGGUACACUUUUUCUAUAUCUUAAUUUUUAAAAAUUCAUUAUCCUUUUAAGCUAAAUUUUUAAAAAUUCUUUGAUUUUAUAUUUCAUUUGUUUUAUGAAAGUAAAAAACAAGAAAUGCAUCCAAAUAACAUAUUUAUUAUUCACUCAUAACUGUUCUUUCCCAAAGUAUUAAAAAAAUUUGGAUUCACUAGAAUCAAUAAAUAUGGUAUUUUAAUCGUAAAUUUCAUAGGUCUUGAAUCAAUUUUUAAAGUAAUCAAUGAAUUAAAAUAACAAUGAAUUCAUUGCAAACUCAAGUCAAUGCUUAAUUAACCUCAAUUUGAAUAAUUAUUUUGAAUAUAUUUAAAUGAGUCACAAAAUUCUAAUAGCAAGUACAAACAGACCAUCAUCAAGUUGAAUGUAUUCAAGCCAAACAACCUCCAAACUUCCUUUCUCUUCUUAAUCUAUUUUAGAAUCUAAGGAAGAUAACAUUUCAUUAAUCUAUUUCAGGAACCCCAAAAUAUUGAAGAGUGAAAAUAUGCUUGCUUUCUUAGCAAAUACUGAAUCCUAAAUCUAUGCAUAUCUUAACUACAAAAGAUUUUAUUAGUGCUUUAAAUAAUCUUAAUUGCCAUAUAUUUAGAUUGUGAUGUUAUAUCAUUCAUCUUUUGUUUAUUAUCUUCCUCUCUGAUUUAAAUUACUUAUUAUUUUUAGCAAUUUUUUUUACAAUUAAUUUUCAUUUUUAUUAUCGAAAAAAUAAAGUAUUUUUAUUUUAAUACAAUGAGAGUAAAGUUCCCAUACUAAAAAAGUCUACAUAAACUUUAGGUAUACUGGACUCUUAGAAAGGCCUCUAUAUAAAUGCUUAGCCCAUCACUCUUAUUUUCUUGCCUCUAAAUUGCCAUGGAUGUAGGGCAUAGGAAGCCACAAGAAGCUAUUGGAGAUGGAGAAAACAAGACUUCUUCCUAGAAGAGUCUUUUUAGGACAUGACUUCAUACAUAAAUAUAGUAUCCUAGGCAUUUUUAGACUUAAGGACUGCCUUUUGGAUUGAUCAAUCGAGACAAGUGAGAUUCACCUUCUCCAAGAGAAGAGCGAGACCACCAUGAAAAGGCAUCUCACUUGGUGGGACUUGGUGUGGAUAAGGUUUAGAUCAGUCGUAGGGUUUUGCAUAUUCAUCAUCACUUGUUAGGAAGCUUGUAAUAGUGUAAGACUCGCCAUAUAUAGUAUUAUCUUAUGUCGCUUUGGGUCUCUCAUAUCGCUUUCCCUACUUUAUUACACAUAAUUCACAGUUGAAAUACCAGUCGUAAGAGAUCCUUUCUUUUAUCUUGAGUAGAAUUAAGUGAUUUUGUUACUGUAGAGAACCUUAAAUUACUUCAUUCCCUGUCCUAGUAUUAGGUUAGGUGCAUAUUCCUAAUACUCUAGAUCUAAGCACAAUGGAAACAUGGCAUUAAAAAACAAUAAUAAAUAUAGAUCUAAAGAUAGUGAAUCUUUACCUAAGAUUUAGAUAUUCCCAGACUGAUUCCUGUUGAUGUGAAAAACUCUAAAUCCAUAGAAGAUCCUGUAAACCCCCAAUCUCCCACCCUACUACUCUUCCUUGAAGCUUGAUACUCAGAUGGUAGAAGUCUCUAGAAAGAAGAAUGGUGGUAGAAGAUUGAAGCCUUAACCUAUAAGGGGUAUUUACAUGGUUCAUAUUGGGUUUAAGUAAUUUGAACCCAUUUUAAGCUUGAGUCACUUAAUCUAACCCAAAAAGGUCUUAAUUGAUUAAUUAAACCAUUAAAUAUUUAAUUAAUCAAUUAGCCCAUUUCAAAUAUGUCGUCUACUUAUUCCUAUGCAACCUUAUGUAAUUACCAAUAUGCCCUUAUGCACAUAGGUGAACUAAGAGCUGAUCCAACCCUCAUAAGUUGUGUUAUCAAGGUUAUGAACUUAAAUUAGGGACUAUUGGAACCCAUAGAAUAGUAUUUUCAUGGCUCUCUUAGAAUCAUACUUUAAAGUUGACUCAACAUCUCACUACAAUGAGUCAACUGCAAUCCUAUACCCCAUGUAUAGUAUAAUGAGAUACUAUAUGCUUGGGUUCGUGACCUACCAUCCACUAUAUAUGGUUUCCCCAUUAAUUGAUAUCUGUAAUCUAACAAGGUGAAAGUUAUUAACUUCUCAAAAUUACCUCUACUAUCCUUCAUUUAGAAGUCCUCAUAUUAUGUGAUCAACUAACAUGUCUUAACUCAUAAAGAGCUCAAGUUCCAAUUAAAGAACUACUAUGGUCAUAGUUGAUCUAAACGCAUGUCCUUAGGAUAACCCAAGGCAACACACUAUCUCAAUCCUAUGAGAUAUCAUGGUGCCUUAUUGAGAAUAUUGGUCGCUAUUGACUUAUAUCAAUUGUGACCUAAUCCCUAAGGAAUGUAUGAUUAUUUUAGGAUCUCAUCUAUAGGUUCAAGCAUAUGCUAACAGUGAUACCGACUCAAUAUUCUUUUCAAGUUGAGAUAAAUACAAUACAAUACAACAACUUAAUGAAAUUAUAACUACUAGAUAGCCUUAUGUUAUAACUCAUCGUAGGCUCUGUCCAAUAUAUAAUCUAUACACACUAAUGCACUCGUCAUAGGAACCACAUCCCGUUGACUAAGACUAAUCAUCCCUUUAAUUAGGAGGUAGUACACUACAACUUCAAAUAGAUUGCCUAAGUUCACAAAUUGAUUGUGAACAAAUCAUUUACUUGCAACAAGCUCAUGACUUGGAUCUUCUGUACAACUUUUAAUGCACCUAAGUCAUGUACAAUAUAUGAGAUGCAAGUCAAAACACUUAUAAAGAAUAAUGAAUGGAAUAAGGAUAGAUGAAAGUGCAACUGAAAUAUAAUAUAAAUAAAUAGUCAAUUCUAAAGUUUGUUACAUCAUGUAAUGCUUUGAAGGGCUCUAUCUUAAUAGUUGGGUUCAUUAUAGCUAGGAACAUUCUCUUAGACGCCAUUCUUGGGGCAACUAGGUGGGUGAUUAUUAAUCAUUUGUUGCUCACAUGCAGUAACCUUUAUAUUAUCAUGUAUUGCUUUAUUUUUUACUAUUGAUAAUGAUGUUAGUUGAUUGAGGUUUGUAAACCUCAAGUCAGUUGUGUGAGGCUUUACCUUUUAUUUGGAUCAUGAUCUUAUAUUGAGCAUGCUUAUUUUUUAAUACAAGGUUAUAAUAGUUUUAGGUUAUGUUUGGAAACUGUCUUUGGUUAGUGCAUUGAUAUUGAUGGGAGUGUUGAAAGUGGAAGUAGGCUAGAAGGUUGAACCACAAUAAAUCUUAGUGUUAUGUAAUUAAUUUUGUUGAAAUUGUUUUAAUUGCAUUUGGGAGCUUUCUUCAUAUUAUACUUUAGAUUAGCCCUAGGCUCUGGCUUCAAGAGAAAAAGACCUCUUCUUUUGUACUCUAUCUACCAAUGUGGCUUAUUGCACAUCUACUUCAAAAAACUCUAACCAUAGUUCAAAUUCAUAAUCAUAUAUAGAACAUAAUAGAUGAAUAUUAUUUAUUGGUAUUGCUAUUAUUAUUCCUUCCACAUUAUUAUUAUUAUUAUUAUUAAGCAUUUACAAUAUCAAUUCAUAAGCAUGUCCAUGGUUUUGCAUUUUCAUUCCAUGCAUUGGAAAUGAUAAAUCAACUUUCCUUAAUCUUUCAUUUUGUUUCACAUUUUAUUGGAUUGAAAAAUAUGUUAAUUUGAGCAUGGACUUAUUUAUUUAUUUAUUUAUUUUUUUUGCAUUUCUUAUUAAAAAUCUUGUAAAGAUAAAUAGCUAUCUGAAGUAAUAUUUAAGAAAAAAAAAAGAGAAAAAAAAAAAGCAUUCUUCCUUAUGAAUAUUAUAUACCUCUUUAACUUCUUCUCAAGAUUAUAUUCAUAUCUUUUUUAACUCAAUCAUAAAGGAAAAGUUGACUCCACUCUAAAUAUCUAUCAAUCAUAUGAGGAAAAAUUGACUAUGAUGAUGAAAAUCAUAGCUAAAUAUCCAAAAAUUACAUUAUUAACUUGCAAAAUUUAUCGUGCACUCACUAAAUUUUUUAAACAUUGAAAAUGUUAAUUUCAUGGUGUUAUCCUAUUUAAUUAAUUAACUAUUUCAUCAUAUAAACUUCUUAAAUAUAGAAAGAAGAUCAUUUCCUACCAUUAUCCUACUUAAGUACCAUAAUUUUUUAUCCUAUAAUCUUUUUUAAACAUAAUAAUCGCAUGGCGCUGUCCUAUUUAAUUAGACCACCAUUAAGCUGCCCAACAUCUCAUUCCUUUCAUUUCUAUCUUCUGAAAUAUUUUUUGUUCAUAAAGAUUUUUGGCCAUGUAGAAGAAGCGAGCCAAAAGCCAUGAAAAGGUUGAGAUGAGAAAGAUGAAUAAUGAAGAAGAUCGCCUUGUUUCCUUCUUGAAGCAUAGAUCUGGGAUCUACAGAAAGGCAAGUGAGCUUUUUACCCUUUGUGGUACAGAAGUUGGUAUUUUAGCUUUCUCCCCAAAUGGGGAGCCAUUCUCAUUUGGUCAUUGAUGCGACUCAUGGUAGCUUAGCUUUAAAGGCGUAUCAACAAAAUUUAUACCUUGAAUACUAUUACUAAAGUAGCCAAGCUACUAUAGCAUAGUGGUUCUAGGAUCAUUCACUGGGAAGGGUUUUCGCAAACACAAGUGAUAUUCAAAUUAGGAAAAUAGGUGAUUUUCUUAUGGAUGUUAGCUUAAAAAGAAGAUGUAAAUGUUUUAGAAAGAUUUAAACUAAUCUAAGCUAACAUUAAAGACUAAAAUGAAAGGGUGUAAAAACAAGUUUCUCAAAGAUAGGAUAGCUAUGCUCUGGCUCUUAUGCAAAUUGGAAAUCUCAGGAUAGGCUCCUCGCGUUGGGGUUGCAACUAUGGUGAUGCUUGCUUCCCGAACCGGUAUGGAUUUAGCAAAUCAAGUUUUAAUCCUUUAAAAUGACAAAACAGAUGGUAGUGAAUUUCAUCCAUGGUUAUUCACCUUAGACUUCCUUUGAAUGGCUCGUAAGAGAUAACUAAUGGUCUAAAGCCAAAAGCUUAUCAAAUAUUGGCAACUCAAAGUCAUUCCAGGUGAUAAACUCACCUUUCAAUGGCCAUUGAAAUUGGUUCUAACGGAUUAAUACAAAACUUGGAAUUGAAAACCUCACCUUCCAAUAGCUCGUAGGAGAUAACUAAUGGAUAGAAAUCCAAAAGCUUAUCAAGUAUUGGCCGUUGGAAGUUGUCCAAAGGAAAUAAAAACCAAACUUUGCAUUAAUGAACCUUUAAUGAAAAAGGACUACCUUACCUUCCGGGUGCGAGAAAUUUCCAUGGGAUUGCAUUCAAGUCAUCACAUAACAUCCAUACUUUGAGAAACUAAAAGUUUUAGCCAAUCAUCCUCUGAGGAAAAGCCCUCAGAGGCUGUUUGGCUUCCAAGAAAAUAGAAAUGGGGAAGAGAAAAGAGAAAUGAGAGAGCUCUGUAUAUAUUCUCUAAGUGUUAAACGUAAUAUCUAUUCUAUAUGAUCCAAGAGGUGAUUUCCACCCCUUAUAUAGUCUUUACAAAAGCAAAAGCUUGUGAUUGGUUAGUUACAAGGAUAAGAAAGGAAAUUACAUCACAAAAUACAAAGGAAAAUAUCUAAAGUGGAGUCGGCAAAAGCAGAGGAAAAUUCGCAACACGCAUGGGUUAUGCGAAUUUUGAAGGUGUUAUGCGAAAUUUUCGCAUAACCUGGAGCAGUUGGCUUCCGAAGGCCAUAUCUUCCUCAUUUCAGCUCCAAAUCGUACACGGUUAGAAGUGUUGGAUUCUUUACUUCCAGAGCUUUGAAAUGGUAUAUAGCAUAUAAAAAAUGGACUUCGGAAAGUGCUCCAAAAGUGUGAAAGAAGACUGCAGCUGCUGUCCUCUGUUUUCCUCUUCUCCAUUGUUCUUUCCUUGCAUACUUUGAACGACUUUGGCAAAGGGAUAUGGAGCUCCAAAGCUUGGUUCUUCAUGAAUUUGAGCUUCCAAAAGCUUUGCCAUAACUUGUCCAAGUAUCUCCUCCAUCAUUUGGCAUGCUUGAAUUGAUUCAUAAGCUGAUAAAAACAUGUAAACUUGCCACAAAAUGGUUAAAACCAAUUACUAAGGACCUUAAUGAAUUAAUUGGGUUAAAUGAAUAUGAUUACUACUCAAAGGUGCUUAAAACCAUUAUAAUUAGGUCUACAAAAUAGCACUUUUUGGUAGUAAUCAGUCAUCCAUGUAUCAAGUCAGUUACUAAUAAGCUUUUAAGUGAAAUACCAUACACCAUGUGAUGGAACCCAAAAUCUUCUUGAGCCUUACCAUCGUGUUAGGCUUAAUGAGCUUCACCAUAACUAUAAAGAAGCUUGCAAGCAAAAGAAAGCAGCCAAGGAGCAAGAAAAAAAAAAUCAAGAAAAAAAGCCUGAUCAAAGGCUGGUGGGAAGAACCUAUUAUUGAGCUUGAUAUGGAUGGUCUCAGGCGAAGGUCAGAUCUAAUUCAAAAGCUUCAUAAGCAUGUGCAACUCCAAAUCAAGGAGCUAUAGACCAUGGAAUCAUGUUCAACUUUACCAUCUAAUACCCAAACAGUUGGCCAUGGCCAUGCUAAAUAAAUGUGCUUUGUAUUAUUGAGAGUCUUGAACAUUUCAGUAUCAAACGAUAAUGGUUCAAUGCUUUUAUUUUUGAGUAAUGGGUUUUGUGUUGGAGUAGCCAAAAAUGUGAUAUUGAUUGAUUAAGCUUCCUUUUUCCCCACCGAAAAGAAGUCUUUUAAUAGUUGAUGUGGGUGACAUAUCAUGUGAUUCUUGUGUAGAUUCCUUAUCUUCAUAAUAGUAGGGUCGUUUUAUAUUUGUCUGGUUUUUGACCCUUGACUCUUGUGUGAUUUCCAUCUUAAUGAUCCUAGUAGAAACAGAUGAGCAUGAUGCUCUUGAGGGUUCAUAUUUUGAAAUUUUAGGAAUUCGAGAAUGACUGAAUGAAUUUGUUAAGCCCCAAAUUCUAAAAUUAAAGUUUAAUUAAAUUAACAUAGGCCAACUCAGACUUUUUGCACUUGAGAUGUGAAUUAAGGAAGAAUUUGGUGAAGUUUAAAGUUUGAGGGCAAACCUAAUUCACCUGUGUUAUUUAAGUUUUUGAACAAAGAAGUUCCCUAUAUUUGGAAGAAUUCAUGUUUUUCCUAUUCAUGGACUUUGUGUAUCGGAAAACUUACACAUUUUAACUCCAUGGCCAACCUUUGUAAAAAGAGUAUGCUUGUAUGGGUAUUUUUUUAAAUCUCUCAGAAAAAUAAGCAUCCAUAUGACUAUACUAAGCUCUCAGAGCUUGUUUUAGUCUAUAUAGUGCCUUUUUAUUUUUAUUUUUAUAAUUUAUGAACUUUAUGCUCACUUUUAGGCUUCGCAUACUCAAGAGGUUUAUCGAUAAAAACCUGUUCUUAUAGAUCACCAAGCAAAAAUACUGAUUUUACAUCUAGUUGGAAGAUAGACCAUGAGUUUUAAGAAGUCAAUGUAAUAAAUAGCUCGAUUGCAUCAUGUCUUGCAAUAGGAGUAAAAACUUCUUUAUAAUCCACACUAAACUCUUGUUUAUAGCCUUUAGCUACUAAGUGCACCUUAUUCUUGCCAUCUUUGUCAUUCUCCUUCAAUGUUGUCUUGUAUACCCAUUUGACACCAAUUUUUUGUGGUCUCUUGGAAGAUCAAUUUACUCCCAAGUGCUAUUUUGGUUAAUAAUUUCAGUUUGUCUUUCAUAGCCUUCCUCCACUUUGAAAGUUGUAGGAUUGAAAUAUGAAAAUAGAGCAAAAUGUGUAAGCAGGUUCUCAAUGGGUCAAUUUCUAUUUCCUUGUAAUCAAUCAUCCACAUAGGUCUUCUUCAACCAUGUUUUGUCCUUUGUUUAUCACCUCUUUAGCUGCAAUUGGGCUUUGAGCAUCAACAAGGACAUUUUUGGGUAACUUCGAGUUAUUGAACAUUUCCCAUAGGUUGUUGCCUUAUGCCAUCAUCAUCAAAAUCUAUUGGAAUACGUUUUUCAACACCAUUCUUGUUCCAAAACCAAGUUCAUUCUUAAUAAAAAAAAUAUCGUGACUAAUAAUGAUUUUCUUUAUGCUAAGAUUAUAUAGCUUAUAAGCCUUUGACUGAUCAUUAAUACCAAGACAAAUGCAUAUUUCUCCCUUGUCAUCUAGCUUUUUCCUCUUCUCAUCUAGAACAUGGACAUGGGUAUAGGCUAUGCAACUAAAAAUUCUAAAGUGUUAGGGUCUUCAUCUGUUCCAUGUUUCCUAUAGUGUUAUAUUUUGAACAAUAAAUGUUGUACUUCUCUUCAAAAUAUGAAUGCUCCAGUUGAUAAUGUUAGGCUAGAAACUCUUCAAAACUCUAAUCCUUGCCAAAAGACUUCACACCUCGUUAAGAAUCGUGCAAUUAUUCCUCUCGCAUACAUCAUUUUAUUGAGGCUAAUAGGCCUCUAUAAGUUGUCUUUUGAUGCCAUGAGUCUCAUAAAAAUUUGCAAAUUCAUAUGAGUUAUAAUCUCCCCCAUAAUUAGUGUACAAUAUUUUUAUUAAGCUAUUGACUUCUUUCUCAACAAGUGCUUUAUAAAGUUUAGAUGCUGCAGACACCUCAAAUUUUUCCUACAAAAAAUACACCUAAAAUUUUCGAUUAAAAUUAUCAAUGAAGGUAAUUAUGUAUCUUUUACCUCCAUUAUUUGGAAGAUGGAUUUAUUUGUCCAUAAAAGUUAGAAUAAGCCAACUCUAACGUCUUCUUUGUUCUCCAUGACUUUCCUUAUGGAGAUUGAUUGUGGUGUUGUUGGCUAACAACACAUAUUCAACAAAAACUUGUUGAGAGCAUUCAAUUUGAGAAAGCUUAAUCACCAUAUUUUUUUGCUGCAAUGUCUUGAGACCAACAAAGUUUAGACGCCCAUAACAAAAAUGCCAAAGCCAUGCUACAUCCUUCAAUUGAGUAGACACUACAAGAAAUUUCACCCUCUACCACAAAAUUUUUGGCCAUCAAUAUAAUUUCAUCUCUAAAGAUGAUAUUGGGAGACAAAAUUCAAGUUUGUUAUGAAAAUUUGUGUCUAAAGUUUUAAUUGAAUGUGACAUGAGGCCAAAUUAUUUGUGACGACAUCAUAAAUUUUAACAACAAAAUAUUUCAUGGUGAAAAAUAUAUUGGGAGACAAAAACCUAGUGUUGUCCCAAAAGGUAAAUAAUGGGUAACAAAAUUAUGUUGUUGUAAAAUAGUUUUGGAGAGAAAAAUCUUAACAAUGGGAGACAAAAAUAUUGUCCUAAUAUCACUAGAUGAAGGAACAAAGAAAAUUAUUGGGGAGGAAAUUGUUUUAUUGUAAAAACUCAAUAUUGGAGACAAAACUAUUUCAUCCCCAUUAAAAUGCAUUUUCCUUUUUCAAAAUGAAUUUAUCAUUUUUAAAUUUAUUUAUACUAUUGAAUACUUAACAUGAUUUAUUUGUUUUUUGAGAAAGUUUCAUAAUACUUUAAUAUUUAUGAAACAACACAAUUAUUAUUAAAGAAAGUAAAUAUUAUUUAGAAAUAAUGUGAUAUUGUCAUAUUAUAAUAUUAAUAUAAAUAUAAAUAUAAAUAUAUAUAUAGUAUUAAAAUUUAAAUAUAAUGACAAUUUUUAUUAUAUUUAAAUUUUAAUAUAUAUAUAUAUAUAUAUAUAUAUAUAUAUAUCAAUAUGUAAUAAUAUUUAAAUUUUAAUACUAUGUGUAAUAAAGUAAGAAUUUAAAAUUUUUUUAGCUAAUGUUGAAUCUUCAAUUCUGGAUAUCAUACUCAUGAUAUGUGAAAUGUAAUAUUUGUUUAAUAAAAAUAUUAUUUUAUUUAGUAUAUAACUUGAAAUUAUAUAUAAAAGAAUUUAAUAUGGAUUAAAUUAAUUACCUAAAAAAAAAAAGGGUUACAAUGUUUGGACCAUAAUAUUAUUAGUCUUCUUCUUGUUCUUGAGUACAAAAACACAAAGAUUAAUCUAGAAUGUAUAAUAUGGUAAAAUUCUAAUCAUAAUAUAUUUUAUUUUUAUAAUAUUUUAUUUUAUUAAUGAAUUUAUAAGAUAAUAACAUUUUUUUUGUAAAUUCUAUUAUAAUAUAACCAUCUAUUAUUCUUCUAAUCUUAUACUUCCUAUAAAAUAACUUUUUUUCUUUUUCUCUAAAUAAUAAUUUCAUUUUCAUGUAAAUACUUUGAACAAUCCUUAAUAAUAUAUAAUAAAAUAAAACAAAAAUAGAUUGAGAUUCAUUUCCAUGUUUAUAACUUGAUAUUUUAUAUAUCUAAAAAUGUUCAAUUAGGAAUUAGGAUUAAAUUGAUUAUAUUAUGCAAAAAUAAAAAAAUUAGUUACCAUGUGAGAACCCUAAUUUUAUUAAUCUUCCUUAUGUUAUUUACAGAUAAAAAUCAAUCCAAAUUGCGAAUGUACAAAUAAAAUAAUUUUAGUUAAUAGUAUAAACAUUUAUUACUUACCUACUUUUGUUGUUCCCAUAAAAUCAUCUCAUGUCUUUAUUUGUAAGUAAUUGAUUUCAAUGUCAAUAUUCUAAAUUAAAGUAUAAAAUAAAUUAAAAAAUAUUACAUUAAAAUAACUUAUUUUGUAUAUAAAUUUUUAUUUUAUAUAUCUAUAAAAGUCAAAUUUGGAUUAAAUUGAUUAUACAAAAAUAUAAAAAGGGGUUUGACAACCAUAACACUAUUAGUCUUCUUCGUAUUAAAGUAGAAAAAUGAAUCCAAACUCUAAAUGUAAAAGAUAAUGAAAUUUUAAUAGUAAGUUACAUUGGCUUUUUCAUAAUAUUAUAUUUUAUUAUAAUUCAUAUAUGAAUUUAUAAGAUAAUGACAUUUUAAUAAUGAUUUAUUUCAAUUCUUCUUUUUUUUUUCUUCUUAAUUUUCUAAUUGAUUUUUUUUUAAAAGAAAUAUAAAAAUUUAUAUAUGACUUAAAGUUGAUAAAAAAAAUUCAUUUCUCUUUUAAUAAUUUAACAAUAUAAUGUUUUACCAAUCUCAUCUUUUCUAUAAAAUCAUCUCAUUUCCUUAAUUUUUUUAUAGAUAUUUCUUAUGGUUAUUCUUUAGAAAAAAAAAUUCUAAUGUUAACUAUAUAAGACAAUAAACUUAUAUUUUUAAAAAUUAAUCCUUUAUAAAAAAAGACUUUUAUAAAAGUUUUAGUUAAUUCUAUAAUAGUAUAAGUAUCUAUUAUUUACGCAAUCUUGUUGUAGACCCCCUUUGGUGGUAAAAGGCUCGGGGGGAGGUGAUUUCGAAAGACUUCUCAUUAUAUUUAGAAGGGGUAGGGGACCCCUAGCGGCUGAAGGAUGGACCCCUUCUCUAGGCACGGACGUGCAGCUGCAGGGGGGCGGUUGCAAGCCCAUGCUUGCUGAUGCAUGAACAGGGGAGGUGGGUGAUGGUUGGCUGAAGAGAGAAAACAGAGAAGAAGACGUCUACGAGGGGGGUGGUUUUUGCAGGAGAGACGACUAGUGAAGGAGGAGGAAGGAUCUUUCUGCUGAUAGCUUGUAAGUAUUGCUCUGUUUCAACUCCCUUUCACAUUUCCUUAUUCUUUUGUUGCAAAAUGAUUCAUGUUUGGUCCCAAGGUGGUGAUUGAUAGUCAUGCAUUAGUUUAUUUUCCGUUCGUUCUAUUGGUUUUUCAAUCUGUUGAUGAUGCAUGAAGUGAGGUUACAACAAUUAAAUCCUCAGACCUCUCAUCCUUGCUCGGUUUCUUAGCGAUCUCUUUCUCCAUACUUCUUAUGCUACCAACCCCCUGCUCAUGCACACGUGGACUGCACACCCACUCCUACCCUCCAUUUUCCCUUCUCAUUUUCCUCUCGUUCUUCUCACUCCUCAAAACACCAGAAGUAGACGUCUACCAGGAUAGCAGCCGAAGAUGCUCAAAACUUCAAUCCCCAUUUCGAGCCUACCGCCAAAGCUCCAAAAAUCCUAGCAAAUGGAGAGCCUCCGAUGCAGUUCUGAGAGCACGAGGCUCUCUUGCGGCGCUCCGGCGAGUCCCAUGCAUCUCGCGUUCCACGUGAAGGCGUCGCCAUCAACUCUCCCCUCACCGUCGCCGCCCUUUGAAAACACUCUACCCAGCCCGCCCGCUACACACUACAAGGAAAAUGUCAAAAGAUGACGCUUUUUAAGUGUCAAGAUAGAUAUAAGAUGACGCUUUUUAAAAGCGUCAUAUAUUAGACUGUCAUCUUUUUAAAUCGCAUACGUUGACACUUUUUAGAAGCGUCAUCUUCUUUGCACGUCAACCAUGACGCUCAUAGUAAGUGUCAUUAUUUGAAAUAUUGACGCUUUAUAAGUGUCAUCAUAUGUUAAUAAUUUCAUUCAUGUCAAUAUUGACACUCAAUGAAGUGUCAUUGUAUAGGUAGAAGCAACAUUGACACUCAAUAUAAGUGUCAUCUUAUAACUUUUUAUUUGUAGGAGCAACGUUGACACUUAAUAAAGCGUCAUUGUAUAAGUAGAAGCAACAUUGACACUCAAUAUAAGUGUCAUCUUAUAGCUUUUUUAUUUGUAGGAGCAACAUUGACACUCAUAAUAAGUGUCAUCGUAUAGCAUUUUAUACCUUGACACUAAAAAAAAUGCCAUGUUUUUUUAACAUCAACCUUGACGCUUUUGAGAGGUGUCAUCUUCUGUUUAUUCAAGUAAAGCAUGAUGCUUUAAAAAAGCGUCAUCUUAUCUCAUAUAAAAUUUUAAUAGCCCAGAAAUUAAAAUGUCCUAAUUAUGCCCUGUUUUAUAAUUUUCUAUCAACAAUUAAAUUAAUAAUAAAAACUUAAUUUAAGAAUCUCCAUUGACAAAAAGGAUCAAAUAUGGUCUUCCUUUUUCACUAUUACAAUUUAUCCAUAAACAUCAUAUAUAAUCAACAACUAAAACCAACAAUUUUACAACUUCUUCUUCUCAACUUUGAAUUGUUCAUAACCUUCACUACAUCUAGUUUUACAUCAUUUUUCUUCCAAGUGCAAAAGGAUGGUUGUAACUCACUUUCUAGAUGCUCAAUCUGCAAAAUAAUUGAGAGGGUUACAUAUUUAUUAGUAUUAACAAAUAGUUAAGAAGCAACUUUGUAAAUGAAAUGUGUAUAUGCCAAUUUUUAAAUUUCCAAAAUAUCUUUCUUCCAUUGCAAUAAAUUUCAAAAUAUCAAAAGAACUCAACAAACUCCAAUAAUUUUAUUACACCAAAUUUCUAAAUAUUUUAGAACUCUCAUUCUAUUUUUUUUUUUUAAAAAAAAGUUUUUAUCUCAUUGACUAUUUUGGUAUGAUUUUUAUCUUAUUUAUGAAACUUCAACCAUUAACAUCUUCUCAUUCUUCUUAUAGGUUGUACAAGACAUUAGAUGUUUUGCAUGAGAAGAAACUAAGGAAUGAAAAAAAAAAACAAAAAAAACUAGAAGUCCGAAAAAUUGUAAAAUUGUAAAUUAACAUAUUUAUGUAAAAUUAUAAAAUUGUGUUAAAAUAUCUAUGUUCUUCUUAUUGUAUUAGUAUAUCAACAUUUAAUAACAUGAGGAUAUCUAUUAUCUAAAUAUGGAACUUGCAUGAAAUGAUCUCUAAACAUGGAAUUGAUUCAUAAAACUUACAAUAACCACAUGUUACCUCAAAAUUCUUUUGAUGAUAUAUUUUGAAUUGUUUGUGGGUGUCCUUCAUCAAGAGUAGAAGUGAUGUUGUUAAUAGAAUGACCUAUGCCUUUUUGUACAACCUGAAGAAUAUAUAAUAAACAAUUUAACAACCAAUUAGUAAGAGGUGCUAUUUCCUUCCAUAGGCUUAUUUGUAAGAAGUCUUAAACUAACUUCCUAUUUUUUAAGUAAAAGAAAAUGGAAGUACAAGAUAUUAUAGACUUUAAGCCCAUUAGUAUAGUAGGAGACCUUUAUAAAUUUAGAUUAAAGAAGUUUAUAAAGCUAGUAAUCUUAAAGACCAAAAAUGCUUUUGUAGAGAAUAGACAAAUUCCUAAUUCAUGCACAUGUAAUGAAACUAAAGGCUCUACGAAAAUGAGCUUGGACAUGUAGGAAUUUUUGUAGCUAUGCUAUUGUAGGAUUUCUCCAAAUCUAACUGAUAAUAAUUUGUAGAGGAAAUAUACAAAAGUUGUUACACCUACCAUGUCUACUUGGCUUCACCUCUCAAUAUGCCAACUAUACAUCAAUCAUAAUAGAGCAACCCCCAAAAUGAUCCAUAUUGAAAACACUGCCAACUAGAAGUACAAAGAUAUACAUUAACAAAUUAUCAUUGUGAAUAAAUCCAUUAUAAAAUUAACAUUAACAAAAUAUUGACUACAUCUUUAAAAGAAUAUGAAGUUGUAUUAGACUAUAAGUUAUAAGAGGUACCUUCAAACAUGAGUAAUGAUUAACUGAGUCACUAACAUAACCCAAUCUGAUUGAACUUCAUUAAUUUCCAUUUCACUAUAUGAUUUCUUCCCGCAAAACUGAAUUGGAGUGACAUAUACAAUUCACUAAGUUCAAUUGACCAAAAAAAAAAAAAAAAUGCUAUAGUAAAAUGACCAACCAUAUGAAUUGAAUUGAGUGCAAACCUUUGAUGUUAGUUGGUUUGGAUUAGCAAUGAUUUCCUUCAUAUAUCUCAUCACGUAAUACCCACAUUCCACACUACCUGGUUGUCUUGGGCACUAUGGGAAAAGUAUCAACAAUUGCAAUAAACACUAGAAUGAUGUUCUUACUUCUUUAGCAUCUUAUUGAUGAUCAUAUUAAUAACCAUCCAUUUUCUAAUUUUGUCAUAAAUUAAGUGGUGAAGCAAUAUAUUUUAAUCUAAACAAAUAAGUACUUACAACCACUUUCACCCAAGUUGGCUCCCUCUUUGAUGUUUUCUGUUUUUCCGGUGGGUUGAUUCUCAUUGCCCUACAAAAAGAAUUAAAAAGAUGUUAUAUAGACACUAUCAAUUGUAUUAAAAUAGGAGAAAAUAUAUACUUACAUGUUAACUAUGUCCUUAAGAUCAUCACAUGGUUGACAGGCCAUUGGAUUAAGGUAAUAUGCAAUCAUUUUCUUCAUCUCCAAUGCCACUAACACCCAAUGGAAACUAAAGAAAAGAAAUGAAAAUUGUAAUAUAGUAUCCACAAAUUCAAACAUCACAAACUAACUUACAAACACCAUAUUGAUAUUUAGGAUAAAAGGUUACUCUGGGUUGUAUGGAAUAAGCAUAUAUUCAGCAUGCUUUGUAUUCUUUAGUCGAUCUGCAAUAACCCUUGACCUGUUUUCCUUGCUUCCCUCUCCCAUUCCAGCUUUUGAGACCAAUACUGGAUUGACAAAAACAUAUCGUUCGGCCUGCUAUGCAUCAAUCAACUUUCUAUGCAAAUGCUUGAUUAUAACCCACAUGACAAGUUAUCAACAAUCAUUAUAGGUCAUUAGAAAAUAACCUUCUAUCUCAUAAUCUUGUGAAAAGUCAUUCAAAAAUUAUAAAAUCCCUUACCAAAUGUAGUAUAAAAUACAAUUGGAUGACACUUCUUUUGAUGAUAUUAUCAUUUCCAUAUCUUCUUUCAUCAUGAAGGUCUUGAAACUCUCACCAAAAACAUCAUCUGGGAAGUUUAUAGGGUAUGUUCUUGAUGUACUCAGAAUGAGGCCAACCAAUGUCUCAAAAUUUUUCAUAUCUUGUGGUUUUUCACCCUUGGAUUUGACUUCAACUUCAUUUACUUUUUGUUUCUUUGCUUUCUUAGAUGCUUGUACAAUUAAGAACCAUGGUACAAAUCAAAUUAACUAGUUUAUAUAUAUAUAAAGUCACUAUAAACUUUGGUAAUUAAAUUUACUUACUAAGAUGGGAGUACGGAUGAUGACCAAAUUAGUUGGCCACAAAACUUGGUAACCAAUUGCAGCCCCAACAGUAGUAGUUUGUCCAGGAAUAGGAAUGGGAAGGGGUGCACUUGAAUCAUAAGGAGCAUCAACAACUACUAAAUAGUUGGGACCACAUUCAAGUAUAAUUGUUCCACCUGCCACUAUAUUUUCCUUGGUGCCUAUGGCUGUAGACCCCCAUUUUGGGAACCUCACUUUUGUGCAUAUUUUGCAGCUCUUUUUGCCAGGUGUCGCAGCUGUGAGCAGCCACGUGUCGACUCCCGUCUGGUUGCUAUGGCAUCAGAUGGUGGAAUCAAGGAGCAAAUAAGAGGUUGACACGUGUAAAGGAGAUUUUGCAGGCGGUUAGGAGGAGCGUAUGAGAGAGGGGAUAUUCUGCAGAAAGUGAGGUUGCUUUUGGGAGGUUGGUUAGGAGAUAUAUUCUAGGAGGGCAUAUCCGGGAGAGAACAAAAAUAAGAGAAAAGGGGAUUGGUUGGUGGAAAGGGGCUGCAGAGUGUAGUGGUGCUGGUGGCUGUUGCUGCAAAGAUGGUUGGAGGGGCAAAUCCGGGAGAGAAAAGAGAUAUCGCCUAGAAGAGGAAGGCAGCUAGGAAGGGAUGCAGGGGGGUGGAGAGUCUGUUAGAGGGGGAGCGUCUCUUGCAAGUGGGCAGGAUUUUCAUGCUGGUCUGAGAGAUUUUUCAGGCAGGGUGAGUGGAGAUAUUGAUUUUUGAGGGGAAGAGGAGAAGAUCUUUUGAGCUGAGGAAGGUAGCAGGCUGCUAAGGAUUUGGAGAGGGGAGAGCUUUUGUUUGGGUGUUUUUUUUGGGAGAAAGGAUUCUGGAGAGGAAGCAGUAAAGCUUCUUUUGUGAGAGAGAACGAGGGAGAGAGAACAGAGAAGGUGGGGGCAAAGAGCGAGAGGGGGAGCUUGGGAGAGUAUUCGUUUGGUGUGGAGCAGCAAACUGUGAGGGAGAAGUUGGAAGCUGCAAGAAAUGUGAGUUUUUGGAGAGCUUAGAGAGUGAUAUUUCUUUAGGGCAUUGCUUGACAAGCAAGCCGGACAGGAGAAGAAGUUUUCUUAGAGCUUGAGGAGAGCUCAGAGAGAAAACCAGAGGGAACUUGCUGGUGAGAAUAGGAGGGGAUAUCUUUUUCUUUUCUAGAGGUAGCAGAGUGGAGAGGAAACAAGUUUGAAGGUAAGCAUCUCGGGAGUAAAAGGACUUCCUCAGGUAUGAUUGCUAUAGGCUUAUUGAUUGUUUUUGGCUGUUUAUCACUCUCAUAUGUCUCUUGUUGAUAUUUGAAUAUUUGUUGAUUUGCUUGGGGUGGAUAAUGGAGGCCACUUAUUGCUUGUUGAAAUAUAAUCCUGCCUACAUGUUUACCACUGUUAACCUUAGUGUGUUUUGCUCCUAUUAUGAAAAUGCCCAUAGUUGCCUUUGAAAUGUUGUUUCUCACCUAAUCAGAGGGUUCACGGAUGACUCAUGAAGUGAAACCUCUGAAAAUCACCUUUACUCAUUUUCUUUUGCGUUCUUUUCAAUGGCCUUUUUCUUUGUUGUGACCAAUACUUUGCUUCUGGGCCUCGUUCAAUGUAAUGGUUGUAAAAAAAAGUAGAUCUGGGUCUGGCUGUGUACUCAUUCAGAGAUCAAAUAUGUUGGGAAGAGACUAUGAUUGGGUGAUGAGAUUCUACUAUGAGGUUCAAGGGAGGUUCAAUCGGUUCAAUGAUGCCACUCUGAAUUUGUUGAUAUCCUAUGUGUGUAGAAGAGAUGCUCAGUGGGACUCCUUUGGGUAUCAAAACUCUGUUUCUCCCAGAUAUCAGUGGCAUGCUUAAAGGUAUAUUAUCAAGUCCUGGCCUGGUUGUAAGUAUAUCUAUUUCAUCUGCUGGAUUCUUGCGAAGAAAUCUCCCUCUAGUAGUUCUGGGAAAUGGGAAGACGUCAAUGGGAAUGUGUCUGUGGUUUCUGCUCAUGAGAAUAUAUUGAGUGAUCAGCCUGAGUUGCUGCAGCGACUUGGAAAGGACCUUUCUUUUGUUCCAAUACUGAUCUAUGACCCAUUGAUAGAAGUCUACUUGGCAGAUUUUUGAAGAUGGAGAGGCUCGAAAACCAUCUAUGCAUACUGAUGUAGGUCCCGUGUCUGAGACAAGAGGUGCAGAAAAUACCGAUUAUGCUGAUUUUAAUAAUAAAAACGGUGGGAUUUCUUGGGUCUUUAUUGUGAUGGUUGCCCUAUGUCACUCCCUCAUGAGGAAGAAGACACCAAAACAGAAUAUCUCGGUGAAAUGAAUUAUGGUAUCAGCAGGGAAUGUCUCAAUGUCGUUACUGAUGAGUAAACUGACAUGGUUGCUGAGAAAGGCGUUUGUUUCGACAAGUCAACAACAGUUGAAAUCCUGGAAGCUGUUCAUAAUCCCUGUCCCGUGGCAUUUGAAUACCCAAGGCACCUGUCACUAAGCCAACCUCAUGACUCCCCAUCCGUAGUCCUACAGCCGCAAGUGUUGUUCCAUUCUUGCAUGGUCACUCACCAAAGUUUCCCUCUCCAUUGAAUCCAAAUAUCCUCACACCAAUCAAGCCCACCCACUAAUCCAAUCCAUCUUUCAUCCAUCCCACUCUCUACCCUACACGCAUGGCAAACCCAUUUUUUUCUUAAUAUCCAUCUAAACCCAUCUCUCACUCAUGUUCGUGUCUUACCCACGUUCCAGCUCACUACAUUUCUUCAUACCCAUUGCCUAUAGCCAUACCCAUAUUUCAUAAUCUCCCAUGCAUGUUCAUUUCUUGAAAACCCAUUAAACCCUCUGAACCCAUAUUUGUUUGGCCAUGUAUGGCCAUACAAGACGUUUCCACCAAGCUCAUUAUCCCUGGAUAUUCAUAUCCGUUUCCUGUAGUUGGGCACUUGUCCCAAUUCACGUGACUUCAAUGGAGGCUGUGUUGAUGGAAGAUGUCAUUGCUUUCUUGGAUUUCAUGGUCAUGAUUGCAGUGUAUACGAAUGGAUGCUUGGGCAUGAUAACUGCCUAUAGAAGGUCUAAGCCAUAUGCAGAUCCUGAUGCAAAGAAGAUUGAUGAUCAGGGUGAUGAGGAAGUGCCCAACAAGAUGCCGAGGAAUCCAAGAAGCUGCUACCAUACCCAUGUCACCAUGCCUUACAAAUCCACUCCGUUUCUCCACCACCUUUAUGGAUUCUACACCAUCACCUAUCUAUACUCAAACCGUUGCCCCAUUUCUCUCACUAAAUCCCGCCACCCAGUCCACUCAUUGAUUGAGGAGACCAUACCCAUAUGCAUGAUCGUUUUAACGCAUGCAUGACCUUCUUGAAAGACACGAAGAUGUUUGGCGCGCCUAGAGCUUGACUGGCCACAUGUGAUGAGAUUCUUCUUUGCUGCCUUCGUCACGAUGAAGCUGUGAGCAUGAUGAGAAACCUCUUUGAUCAGCGCGAAUUAGUUAGAUAUGAUGACGAGUGUAGUCUAUCACACAGAGCAACUUGUUAUUCUAGUUUGUACAAAUCGUAACAUCAAUAUGGGAAGGUAUUUAUGUGAAAGGAAGCUGCAGGUUGUGAAAUAUUAACAUUGGUCCAAAUGUAAGUGAUCCUGGCUAUUUAGAUUUGGUAAGAAUCCGCUUGCUUCAAAAGAUACAGGUGAGGGAAUGUGCUGAGUUACUUGGGAUAAGUCUAUCAUUUAGAGUCCCAUUUGAGAUUGUGGGUGAUGUCAUGCUUAUGCAACUCUCCUGCAUUCAGCAAAGAGACAAAUCAAUUGUGGAAACUCCAAGGUAGACGUCACGUGGCGCAUUGAUAGAUAUUUGUGGAGUUUUUCAACUAGUUCAAAGGUGUCAUUGCAUGAAGAAUAACUGUAGCCAAGGAAAGGGCUGAUCUGGACGUUCUCUAUAUCAGAGCAUCAAAAUGGGAAUAUCAAGGUGCCGCUAACACACUCAUCACUAUCAUGUUUGCACAAUCAAAAGAGGAUGGAGUCGACCUAAUCGAACACGGACAGACCCAGACUGAAGACUUGCUGAGAACAGAGGCUCAGGCUUUGGGGUUAAGGUAAUUUCAAUAUGCCUAGGGAUUCUCAUUUGUGCCACUCAGACUCAAAAUAACCUCUGUAAGAAAGGAAGAGGGAUGAGAAAGCUGGCUACAGAGAUUCAAAGGAGAGUCACUACGAUUCAAGCUUCUUGGAUAACAUGCUGUUCAGAGAGUUUGCCAUAGAGUUUUGAGUUUUUGUUGUGAAAAGAUGGAUGAGAAUAUGUCGGUUGGUUGUGAGUAAGAAUUUCUAUGCUCGGCAUGCCAAGUCAGUAAUAGUUGAAGAUGGGAUCUAAAGGGCAAGCAAGGCUCAUAGCAUCGUGGCCUGAUUCAGUGACUAUUCUGGCAUCCAGUCAAACCUUCAGGGCAUGUAUCGCAUGGUCACCUUCAGGCAUACUACUUUGCCCAUGUGUCCUUCUCACUUCCUCCUUUCAUCUAUUUUAAAAAAAUAAUUUCCCACACUCUCAUUCCUCAAAAAUAAUUUUUCAAUUUCCAUUUUGUAAAUAACUCUUCAAAUUUUGAUUUUCAGAUAAAUUUCAACUCUCCUCCUUCAUCCUUAGAACCCCUUUGGUUCCAAAGUCUCUUUUUCCAAUAAAUCUUUGUUGCCAUAUUUCCUUUCGGCAUACAAUUUUCACAAUUCUUUUGUUUUUUAAAAUGUUUUAAAAUAAGCUAAAAUCAAAUUCCAUAAUUCUAAGUGAUAGAGUUUGCGGAAUUGAUUUAUGCAAAAAUGAAUCGGGCUUUGAUGGAGGCCCCACAUAUUUGACUUCAUGAUUGAUUGACUGAUUGAUAGAUUUAUUUGCCAUGCUUGAUUGGUUUACUCUAUUCCUUGAUAUGCGCUUAAUUAUAUCUGUUCAUUGUUCACUAAUCAUGUUUCAUGAUAGCGCGUUCGUGAUUGCCGCCCAGGUGCGCAUCUAUUCAUAUUUCGCCUAUUCUUUAUACAUGCUUUACUUCUCAUAUUGUGCAUGAUCAAUUUGAGUAUUCAUCAAUUUUCUCAUUGAUUGCCAUGUUAGCUUCAUUCUAUUAGUAGAGACCCGACUUUAGGGACUUAGAGGGGUGCUACGGUUUUUACCGUACCUUCCCGAUAAGUAACCUGACCCCCGAACCCGAUCCGGUUUUUCACAGACCGCCUUUUCCAAAAUAAGGAGUCACACUUAGGGUUUUUCUUUCUUAUUUUGUUUACCCUUUAAAAAUAAAACAAAAAUAAGUGGCGACUCCAAGUCAUUUUUCUUAAUCAAAUAAAAUCAAUUUUUCAAAUAAAAAUCGAGCUCGCCAUCGAGUGGGAAACGCAUUGAGCCGAAAAUGCGGGGUCCACAAUGGCCAGCUCACAUUUUCUAACCUACAAAACUCAAUUCACAAUAAUCACUUCAAUAUUAGUGGGUUUAUACAAAACUAACAUAAAUGCAUUAUCAUCAUCAAUCACCUUAUAGCUCCUAUUACAAUGAUAAAUGCAAUUUCAUUUACAUUCAAUUGCAACAAACUUGCAUGAUAACAUUUCAGUCCAUUGCAUAUAACUCAACCCAUAAUUUAGACAUAUCCUAUUAUAUGUUGCCACAUCAAAGAAGACCAUAUAUGUUGCCACCAACAUUUGAAGUCAAUUCAAACAACAAAAUUAAAUUAAAUUAUUUCUCGUAUUAGAGGAAACUUUGUCAUCAAAUUAGCUUAAUUGAAUAAAUACCUUCUUCUGUGGUUCUAUUGCUUCUGGUGGGGUCACAUCUUCAACUUUACGGAUUGCCUUAUCCACUGCUUCUGGUAGGAGAAGUUGUUUUUGCUUCAUGUUUGAACUACUAACAUCAGAUUGGGGAGUAACAACUCCUACUUGAGUCAGUUUUGCUAGCACUUCUGCCUGAAAUAUUCUUUGUUCUUCUUUAGAUGCUGCUAUGAAAUCCCUGACAGCACGAUCUACAGCACUAUUGAAAUAUUGGCGAGGUGUGUAGUGCUUCCCUUUGGCCCUAACUCGACCACUAUACUCAGGAGUACCCAAUGCUUCCACAAGUAUAUCAUUACUUCCACUAACACUUCUACCAUUCUCUUGAGACACUUUCAAUAGCUUGUCCUUAAAAAAUAUUAAUUAUAAAGUUAAAUUGCAAAUUUGUUAUUGUAAAUAACUUAUUAUAAAUAUAUGUAAUUAAAAUUGAAAAAUAUUCACUUACUAUUUUCUCAAUUACUGGUAUGGCCACUUCAUCAAAGGUGUCGUCCUUUUUUUCCCUUGCUUUCUUCCAUAAUAUGCUUCGAUCAAUAGUUUCAGUUGAUCCACUUGCAACCAUCUUUCAAAAUAGGACAAUGUAUAAUAUAAUUAUCAUAUAACCCUAUUAUGUAUUAUGCAUAAAAUAAAUAAAAAACAAUUAAUAGGCUUAUACUUACCAUCUCUUCCUCAAGACCGGCAUAUCCUUUCCUACUUAGAUGGUGAUUAUAAAUGUUUCUCUUUCUUCUUUCUUUUUGAAUUUCUCGAUAUUCCUAUAAAUUAAAAUUUUAUAAUUAAUGAAUGUGAAUAAGAGGUAUGUAAAGAGUCUUAAUUAUACCUUAAAGUUGUCAGACAAUCUAUCUUUGACAAAUAUUGUCCAAUCUUCAUCCUCAAUAAAAGUAUAUUGAAUUGGUGGUCUUUUGAGGAGCUCCGGUUGGUCUUCGAAAGGAAGAAUGUACUUCACUGUUAGCAAGUUCUUAAAGGACCAAAAGCAUUUUCCCAUUGUUACCAUACAAUUCCUCCUGCUUUUAUGAUUUAAUGAAAAAGCAGUUUGCACAUUAAUACCAAACUUUAGUAAUUUCAAGAGGUUAAGAAUGAUAGACAUUUUGCAUCAAAGUGAUUUAAAUAAGAAAUGGUUACCUCAAUGUUGUCCCAUAACUUAUCCUUCAACUGUUUAGGUACAACAUGCCAAUUUUUAUAUCUUAUUGGCACCAUAGUGCGUGCUAACACGCCUAAGUAGCUUGUUAGAUGAACUGCUGAUUCUCCUAUGAAAAUGCCAUCAAGAUUGUACUUAACCGGCAACUUAACCCCCUUGCUUCUGUUUUUUAUAAUCAUAUGCUUCUGUGUCAUCCCUCUGUACUUCCUUUUUAUGGGUUUUUCUCCUUUCUUUGUCUCCAUUCUUGUAACAAAAAAAAAAUAAAAAAUGAUAAAGAUUAGUUAAAAUUAUAUUGCAUAUAACCUAGUCAAAGAAUAAUUGUAAAACAUAACUUUUCAAAGAAACAAAUCCAUAAUCAUUGUACAAUGAAAUGCAAUAGAUCAUGAAUUCAAUAGAUCUUUUUAGAAUUGUUCAUCAUAUAACAAGGAUAACACUUCAUUUAAACUUUUUUUUGUCCCGUUUUGUUUAACAUUUCAUUUAUUUUAAGCAACCCAAGGGCCUUUGUAUAAGAAAGCUAAAUUUGCAGUAGGAAUUUCCUAUAAGAAUCAACAUGGAAGGAGCACGUGGUUUCAACAAGUUCAUCAAGUCCAUAAGAACUUAUGAAAGCUUUUGGACUAUCGGUUUGCGUUACAUUAAGUUUGGAAAACACAACAUGCAUAUUGAUAAUAAAAAAUUUCAUAAUUUUUUUACUCACAAACAUAACUAAUUUAGUAUCUUCCAUGCACAAUUUAGGGAAAAGGUUUUAGUAAAUAUGUUAUUGGGAGAUGUUAAAGAAUGGUCAAUAUUUUGUGCAAAAAAAUAAAGAAAGGAUAAAAAUUACCUAUUUUGUGGCUGUUGCAACCCAUUCCAUGGCCUUUAUUCAUACAUUAGCAUUAAAAUACAGCUACAUAGAGGAUUUGUUCUCAAUCCAAAUCCCCUCACAAUCGCCUCGCAUACAUGUUGCAUCUGAGUCAUCCAUUACAUCAAGCGCUUCAAUUUGUGGCAAUGCCCCUAUAAAGGGAUGGUGUUUAAUCGAAUUGUCAACAAAGUCUUCACCUCCUUCCAUAUCCAAGAAAUCUUUUUGAGGAGUUGACAAAACAACUGACCAUCUUGGAUCAAGUUGGUCUUGCACAUAAAAUACUUGCUUAGCUUGGGAUGCCAAAAUGAAAGGAUCUGAUUUAUGAGCAAUUUUGCUAAAGUCAACUAAUGUAAAGCCAAGAUCAUCAACUUUUAUGCCAUUUUUAUUAUCAACCCUAUCACACUUGAAAACUGGUAUCCUAAACAUGGUAUAAUCAAGGUCCCAGAUCUCGGUAAUAAUGCCAUAGAAACAAAGCUCACCAAACACUGGAUUUUGAUCAUUUGCACUUGCGAUUUGCAUUGUUGAAGCUACAAUACUAACUCCACUAUUUUGGGUAGUUCGUAAGUCAUCUCGUUCCUUGGUAUGGUAUCGACACCCAUUAAUGACAUAUCCAUGAUAUUUAGAGACAUAAUAGCUAGGACCAUGAGCUAUCCACUUAAGGGUUUCAGAUAUAGGUUCAUUAUUACCAAUUGCAGCUUCAAUAUGUAAUUAUAAAUAAUAGUUAUUAUGUAUGUUAAACAUUAGUAAAAAGAAUACUUCACAUUUUAACACCAUUCCAAUACCUUUUUUCUCAACCAAUAAGUAAAAGUCCGCAGGUGUUCAUCCUGGAGCCACUUUUGUCUUUUUGAUUGACGAGGAUUUUUCAAUUUCAACCAUUCCAUGUGCUCUCUAUGUAAUUAUUUAUAAGAAAUUCAAAGUUAAUGUCUUAAAGUUAUUUUAAGUAUCAGACACAAAUAUUAAGUGUUAGUGGUUCUUACUCAAUAUAAGGUUGAACAAUAGUUGUAUUCUUUAAAACAUAAUGAUGUGCAUGUAACCACAAAUUGGAAUCAAUUGUCACAACUUGACCUCCAAGUAUUGGUGCCCCAACUUUUUGGUCAAUGUUUGCACUAAUAGGAAUCCCAAUCGCAUCCACAUUUGACAAAUACUCUAUACAAAAUUCAACAGCUUUCUCUGCAAUAUAGCAUUUAGCGAUACAACCUUCGGGCCGAUUACGGUUUCGUACAUACCCUUUCAAAACUUUCAUGAAUCUUUCAAAUGGGUACAUCCACCUUAGGUAAACUGGUCCACAAAGUCUCACCUCCCUUACAAGAUGUACAGUAAAAUGAAGCAUGAUAUCAAAGAAGGAAGGUGGAAAGUACUUCUCAAGCAAGCAUAAUGUCACCACCAAAUCAUUUUGUAACUUAUCCAGUGCAGACACAUCAACCACUUUGCUACAUAGAGCAUUGAAAAAAAACUCAAUCUACAAAUAGCAUGCCUUACAUGCUUUGGAAAAAGGGAUCGUAAUGACAUUGGCAAUAACUGUUGCAUUAAUGUAUGAUAGUCAUGCGAUUUAAGACCAUAAAGCUUCAAGUCUUCCAUUGACACAAGGUUUCUCAUGUUAGAGCAAUAACCUUCAGGAACCUUUAAUUGUGAUAAAGUUUGGCAAAAAACCUUUUUCUCCACUUUAGAUAACGUAUAACAUGCAGGUGGGAGAUAAGUUCGAUUUGAUUCAAACCUUGGCCCUAAUUCACACCUUAAGCCCAUCUCUAGCAAGUCUAGGCGAGAAUUAAGUCCAUCUUUCGUCUUACCUGGAAUGUUGAGUAAGGUACCAAUGAUGCUUUCACAAACAUUCUUCUCUAUGUGCAUUACAUCCAAGCUAUGACGAACAUGUAGGUAUUUCCAAUACUCAAGAUCAAAGAAUAUGGACUUUUUUUUCCAACAAUUUGUAGUAUUGACAUUCAACUUGCCUCGGGAGUUUUUAUUUUUUCCCCAUGAAUUAGAAAUGACAUCAAUUUUCCUUAGGAUUUCCUUUCCACUCAAUGGUUGCGGAGGUGAGCUAAACUCUUGUUUACCAUUAAAUGCCUUCUUUUGUUUCCUAAAAGAAUGGUUGCAAGGAAGAAAUCUUCUGUGACCUGUAUAUGAGUUCUUUUUCCCAUGCUUCAAUAUGUGAGAGAAUGUAUCUUGCCCACAUAUGGGACAUGCAAAAUAUCCUUUAACUACACAACCAGAUAAGUUUCCAUAUGCAGGAAAAUCAUUGAUUGUCCAUAGUAGAACAACUCUUAAUGUAAAGACCUUUUGCUGAUGCACAUCAUAACAUUCAACCCCUACAUUCCACAACAUUUUUAAGUCAUCCAAUAAUGGUGCUAAAUAAACAUCAAUGUCAUUUCCAGGUUGUCGUGGACCUGAUAUUAAUAAAGAUAGCAUCAUAAACUUCCUUUUCAUGCACAACCAAGGAGGAAGGUUGUAAAUGACCAUUAUAAUAGGCCAACAACUAUGUCUACUGCUCAUUGAACUAUGAGGAUUUAUACCAUCUGCUGAAAUGGCAAGUCUAAGGUUUCUAGGUUCUGAAGCAAAAUCAGGCCAUCUGUGAUCAACUAGCUUCCAUGAUGGGGAGUCAGAUGGAUGACGUAUUUUACCAUCAAAUUCUCUUUCUUGAGCAUGCCAUAUGAGGUCUUUUGCAAUUUUUGGGGACUGAAACAAUCUUCUAAAUCUUGGAAUAGGAGGAAAAUACCACAUUACUUUUGCAGGGACUCCCUUCCUCUUUUUAGUACCUGUUCCAUCUAACUUCCACCUUGAAGUUCCACAAGUAGGACAAGAAGUUGCAUCAUUCAACUCAUUUCUAUACAAUAUGCAAUCAUUGGGACAUGCAUGUAUUUUCUCAUAUUCCAUUCCCAAUGUAUUCAAUGUUUUUUUUGCUUCAUACAUAGAUAGAGGCAACUCAUUAUUUAGAGGCAACAUAUCUCCAAGAAUACUUAAAAGCUCUGAAAAGCUUUUAUCAGACCAUCCAUAUCGUGCUUUUAGGUUGUAUAAUUUGACCAAUGCAGAUAACUUUGUAAAGUUUCUACAACCAGGAUAUAAAGGUUUUUGAGCAUCUUCAAGUAAUGUUUCAAACAAUUUUGGGUCAUUCUUACGAUCAUCAUAUGCAACUUGAACUGUUUCUAUUGUACUAUCCACAUCGUUAAAUUCAACUGUAUGAUGCCAUUCUGCCCUACUAGUUGGUGGUCCACUUGGAGCAGCGUCUCCAUGCCAAUACCAUGUAUGGUAACUCUAAUCAAUUCCAUAGAAGAAUAAAUGUUCUCUAAUUUUUUGAGGAGUGUGGAAUAUCGUAUUACCACACUGAAGGCAUGGACAUUUCAUGGAGUUUUUAUAUGUGGAAUAUUGUAAUGCAAAUGCGAUAAAGCUUUCUACCCCAUCUGCAUAAUCCUUUGAUCUCCUAUCCUUUGACAUCCAAGAACGAUCCAUUUGAUGUACAAGAGAUAAACACAACUCCUAGAUACCACCAACAACUAAAGUUAUUAAUAAAAUCCUAUUAACAGGCUUAAAAUAUAUAAUCUACCAAAUUAAAAUUUCCCACAUUGUCACAAAACUUAGACCAAUCCAAAAAACGACAAUGUGCAAGUCAUCUAACAAUAAGCAAUAUGACAAGAAACAUAAUUAGUAUAUUAGGUUAUUCAAUAUUAGCAUAAAAAAUGGAUCUUAGUUCAUUCAUGAUGUUUGCUUUAUUCAUGAAUAGGAAUGAAAAGCAAGAUCUAACUUUUAGUCUUCUCUUAUAUUAUUGAAUACACUAAGUUUGAAAAUUUUAAAAACACAUAACCACAUGAGACAAUGAUACCAUGAACUAAAACAAUUAACGAAUGGAACUAAGAUUCGAAUGAAUAGAAGCAAGUGAUUUAUACAUGAUUUAGGCAUUCUAACAUCUCCAACAUCCUUAAUUAGGUGGUGGUUCCUAUCCCAUAUAGGAAUACAUAAUCCCUGUGUCAAUUGCCAAUAUACUUAAAUUCAUUUUAAAGAAAUUUCGGCAACAUUUCCCUAUAGUUCUCCAAGUACACAAAAUGGAUAAGGCACAAUAUGUGACCUUGUCCAAAUAUGCACCCAAAGAACAAGAAGAAAGACUACCAAAUUUUCUAAAAAUUGAAUUAAGAACAAGCAAUUAACUUCAUAGAUAUCAUGUUUUCCUAUACUGUCCAACUGGACAAUUCAAACAUCAUUUGCAGAGAAAAGAUCUUUAUCACAUGGAAGACAAAUUUAGUAGUUGUCAACUUGAAACUGGCUUAAAUAUACCCACAUUUCACAUUUUGACAACUUAUUGUCUUAGUAUGUAAUAAGAGAAACUUCUGUCUCACAAUGAUACUUGAAUGGGAAUUCUAAGGUUUCAUGCAUGCAUAGUUGAUUAAAACUAAAACAUAAAUACUUAUUAAAAUAUUACAUCUAGUUAUGUAUUAUAAAUUAUUCAUAUCAAUUGCAAUGGUGAGAAUAGGAAAAUAUUGUUUGUAAGCAUCACAUUUUAGGCCUAAGUUCACAAACUUUGCUAAAUCCAUUAAAGACCCACUACAUAAAGUUCAUGUUAAAAUUGGUUCAUCUCCAACCCCCAAAAUGAUUUAUCAAAGUUACUCAUUUUUUAGAGUCUUGAUUAAUUAGAUAAUCAAUAUAGAUACAUAUAAUUUGUAUUAAUAUAAUAUCAUGAUAUUUUUUUCAUUUUGUUAUUAGGCUUAGACUUGGGUAGAUUUCCCAAGUAAGGCUAAAGUAGAGCUAAGCUGCACCUUGACAUGUGUUCUACUUAUGUUGGGGGUGACCAUUCUAGUUUGGUGGAACAUCCAUGAAUGUUAUCGGUGGAACAUCCAUGAAUGUUAUCUUCUUGAUUUGGAGUAAGAACUUCAUUUUCUCAAUCGAAAUUGGCUGGAGCUUGCUGGUUCAGUUAGAGACAGAUUUGGUAAUGAAACUUGAGUGUGGGCAUCGGGUGAGGAAAAGGCUUUAUUACAUUUAUCUCUUUUUUUUAAUUGAAAAAUGUGAGUAAUUAUAAAAUGAACAGAAAAUGUCGCUUUUAAAAGCACCAAGGUUGAGGUUCUCCUACAAUGGCACUUAAAAAAGCGUCAUUAUUUGAAAUGCAUUGUACAAUGACGCUUUUAAAAGCGCCAAGGUUGAGGUUCUCCUACAAUGACACUUAAAAAAGCGUCAUUAUUUGAAAUUCAUUGUACAAUGACGCUUAAAAAAGUGCCAUUAUUUAAAAACGUCAUUAUUUCUCCCAUUAAAGCGCCAAGAUAAUGCAAGCGUCAUUAAUACCCAUUUUUGAGAAUAAAUAAUAGCACUUUAUAUAAGCGUCAAGAAAAAAAGCGUCAUAAAUUACAUUUUUUGUAGUAGUGACAAGAACUUGAUGGUCGCGGCAUUGUCGGCGACGCACGUGGCGGAAAGUCGACAGCCUGGACUAACUUUGAGAACCUUCGGCGAUGCCUCUCUCACCUCCGCUUUCUCCGUCAUAGUCUUCCUGAGGUGAAGAAGAAGAGCACAUGGCUGAAAGGCCCAAAGAGAAUGAGAAUGGAUUUGGGUUUUAGUAAGUUGGACCCAAAAGAGAAGCCCAAGUUUGUGAAGGCUUUAAUUGCCUUGGGCUUGCCCAUUGAUAUCUUUGGACCUGAGCUUGAAUUGGGGCACUAGGCCCAACUUGGUGAUGGAUUAUUGUAUUAGGUUUGCCCAAUGAAGACAUUGGACUUGGGCUUGAGUUGGAGCCCAAGCCCAGUUCGUGUGGAUGAUAGGCUCCAUGCCAAUCCUUCAAAUCAUUAUCCCAUAUUUAUUAUUUAUUCAAAGUCCAAUCUAUAAAAAAAGGUCACAUGUUUUAAUUUAAUUCUUCGAAUACUCUUUUAAAUCUCAUAUUUAUCAAUUAGAACUACUACCCUAUAUUCUCCUAUCUAUCUAUGUCAAUCCUUCAAAAAUCCUAAGAUUUAAUUUAAUUCUUGUUUAAAUCAUAUUUUCAUAAAUCAAAUCAUUAUCCCGUAUUUAUUAUUUAUUCAAAGUCCAAUCUAUAAAAAGGGUCACAUGUUUUAAUUUAAUUCUUUGAAUACUCUUUUAAAUCUCAUAUUUAUCAAUUAGAACUACUACCCUAUAUUCUCCUAUCCAUCUAUGUCAAUCCUUCAAAAAUCCAAAGUUUUAAUUUAAUUCUUGUUUAAAUCAUAUUCUCAUAAGUCAAAUCAUUAUCCUGUAUUUAUUAUUUAUUCAAAGUCCAAUCUAUAGAAAAAAGGUCACAUGUUUUAAUCUAAUUCUUCGAAUACUCUUUUAAAUCUCAUAUUUAUCAACUAGAAUUAUUAUCCUAUAUUCUCCUAUCUAUCUAUGCCUAUUCUUCAAAAACCUCACACUUUAAUUUAAUUCUUCAAGUACUUGUUUAAAUCUUAAUCUCAUAAAUCGAAUCAUCAUCCCGUAUUAUUAGUUGUUCAAAGUCUAAUCCAUUAAGAAAAUCCCAUGCCAUAAUUUAAUUCUUCAAAUACUCGUUUAAAUCUUAUGUCCAUCAAUGGGAAUUAUUAUCUUAUACAUUCAUUUAUUAUCUAGCCUAACCCUUCAAAAAUCCCAUGUUUUUUAAUUUACUUCUUCAAAUACUUGUUUAAAUCAUAUUUUCAUAAAUCGAAUUAUUAUCCCAUGUUUAUUUAGUUAUUCAAAGUCUAAUCCCUCAAAAAUCCCCUGUCUUAAUUUAGUUUCUCAGUAAUUCGUUGGAAUCUUGUUUUCAUCAAUUAUGAUUAUUAUCUCAUAUUCGUCUAUUUAUUUAAAAACUAGUUCUUCAAAAAUCUCAUGUCUUAAUUUAAUUUUUCAAUCCUAAAAAUUCUGCAAUUCAUCUAAAUUUUAUCCUCACUCAUUAGAAUCGUUAUUCCAUAUCUAUUCAAAGUCCAAUCUUUUGAAAACCCCCUGUCUUAAUUCAACUUUUGAUCCCAGAAAUGCCAUUAUUCGUCAAAAUUUUAUUCUUGUUAAUUAGGAUUCUUGUUCCGCAUCUAUUUAUUUAUAUAAGGUCCAAUUCUUGAAAAAUCUAAUUUCUGAAUUAAAACUUCAAUCCCAAAAAUUCUACUACCCAUCUUUAUUCGCCUAAAUAUUAUUCUCGUUAAUUAGUAUUAUAAUCUCAUACCUACCCAUUUAUUCAAAGCCUAAUCCUUUAAAAAUCCAAUGCCUUAAUUCAAAUUUUCAAUUAGAAAACUUCCACUAUUUUAUUCGUUCAAACAUUAUUUUUGUUAAUAAAUAUCAUUAUUCCAUAUUUGUUUAUUUAUUUAUUUCAAUCAUUAAAAUUCAACUCUUCAAAACCGGAUUUCCAAAUUUAACCUUUAGACUAAAAAACAAAAAAAUUCCACCAUUCACUUUUAUUAAUUUAAAUAUCAUCUUUGUUAUCGUUAUCAUAAAUUCCACGUUUACUUAUUUCUUUCUUCUAAAAAUUCCAAUAAUUAGAGUUUAAUUAUUCAGAGGUCCGACUUUCAAACUUAAUUCUCAAAAUCCCACUAUUCACUAUUCAUCCGUCCAAAUAUCGUUUUGAUUAAUUAGUAACAUUACUCCAUACUUACCCAUUUGUUUCUCUUAAAAAUCUCAAUCAUUAAAGUCUAAUUCUUCAAAUUCCGAUUUUUAAAUUUAGCUAUUUGAAAUUCCAAUUGUCCUAUCUCCGAACUUAAUUUUCAGUUUCCCAUGCUCCAAUUCCCGUAUUUAUCCCGCUACUUAUUAUUAUCAUUAUCACUAUCAUCUUAUUCAUUAUUUCUAUAAAUCCUACCUUCGAAUGAUUUCCAAGACCUCUAAUUUUUAUACAUCAACUUUCAUAAUUUCUACUUCUCAAAUAACUUACGAUUCUGAUCCCUUUCAAAAUUUAACUCCCAUAAUCCCAAUUUUUGUAACUUAGUUUUUCUUAAAAAUCCCGAACUUUCAAAUAAUUCUUCAAAAUCCCAAUUUUAUUUCAAAUUUAAUUUCUAAAAGUUCUCAUUCUUACAUCUAAUUCCUAAGAAUCCAAUUUUCAAAUAAUCUCUAAGAUUCCGAUUCUCAAAUGAAUUUCAAAAACCCAGUUUUCCUUCGAACAAUUUUAAUCCCUGUUUAGUGAUGCAUGUGAUAUGUUUUGUGCUCUAUAUGGUGUACUAACCCUCUCUAUUGAUAGCGCAUGGUGACUCGUUGCCCAGGUAUGUACCCAUUUUCCCUCUAAUCGUUGUCUAUGCAUGUCUCGAUUUUUAUGUGUGCAUGAUCAUUCAGAAUAUUCAUUGAUUUACUUAUCAAUUGCCACGUUAGCUUCAUUUUAUUAGUAGAGCCCCACUUUAGGGACUUAGAGGGGUGCUAUGGUCUUCACCGUACCUUCCCGAUAAGUAACCUGACCCCUAGCCCGAUCCGGUUUUUUAUAGAUCACCUUUUCCAAAAUAAGGAGUCGCACUUAGGGUUUUCUUUCUUAUUUUGUUUACCCUUUUUUUAAAAAUAAAACAAAAAUAAGUGGUGACUCCAAGUCAUUUUCUUAAUCAAUUAAAUUCUUUUGUUCAAAUUAAAAUCGAGCUCGCCAUCGAGUGGGAAACGCAUGAGCCGAAAUGUGGGGUCCACACUUGUACAUCCCAUAAAAUGACAUUAUGCUUUUAUCUAGAAGUAUUUGAUUUUAAUGUCAAUAAUUUAAAACCAUCCUUAAUAAUUAAUAAUAAAAUAAUAUAUAAUUAUAAAAAAAAUAAAUUUUUUAAAUUAAAAUCAUUUAUUUUGUUUUUAACUUUUACUUUAUAUAUAAAAGAAAUAAAAAAAAUUGAAUUUGGUUUGUAUUGAUUAUACAAAAUAUAAAAAUAGAUUUAUCAUGUACAACCAUAACAUUGUUAGUCUUCUUAUGAAAGCCUAAAAAUAAAUCCAAAUUCUAAAUGCAUAAGAUUAAAAGAAAAAAAACAAAAAAACAAAAAAAAAGCAUGAAAACAUUUGAGAACCAUAGUAUAAGUCUUCAUCAUACAAAAACAUAAAAUUUAAUCCUAAUUGUAAAUGUAUAAGAUAAAAAAAAUAAAAAUCAUACUUUUUUAAUAAUAUUAUAUUUUACUUUUAAUAUGUAUAUGAAUUUAUAAUAUAAUAAUUAACAUUUUAAUAAUAAUUUUCUUCGAUUCUUCUUCUUUUUUCUUUUUGUUAAUUUUCUUCUUAAUAUUUUUUAGAGAUAUACAAAGGCUAUGGAUCACUUCAAAGAAAAUAUAUAUUUUCAUAAAUUAUAUUAGUAAUUAUUAUAAUUCUAAAUAUAAUCUAUUAUAACAUUUUUUUCUUUUUAAAACACCAUAUAUUUAUAAGACCAAAAGAGAUUGGUUUCUUUAUAUUUAUCUUAUUUAAAAUAUAAAAUAUUUAAUCAAGUAUUUUUUAAGUAAUCUUGAAAUUUUUUUAAAAGAAUAAAAUCUCAAAAUAAAAACUUGUCCUAAAACUUGUUGUUUUAUACUUGGAAACUUUAAACCAAUUAUCAAAGUUUUAAAUAAUUAAUCUUUUAUAACAUUUUUACUUCUUAUAUAAAACACUAGAUAUCUAUAAAACUAGAAGAAAUUGAUUUCUUUAUAUUUAUCUUAUUUAAAAUUAAAUAAUAUUUAAUUAAGCAUUUAUGAAGUAAUCUUCAAAAUUUUGAAAAUAAUAAAAAUUAAAAAUAAAAAACUAUCCCAAAAUUUUUUACUUCAGAAUUGGAAAAUAUUUAAAGAAUUGGUAAGUAAUAUUGUAAAAUAUUAAAUGGAAACAAAAAUAAAAAAAGAAAUCAAAAUAAAAAGUUUUCCUAAACUCUCCACAAAAAUCCUCUAUUCUGUUUCUCCUUAAAUAGCAUCUCCAUUAUUUCAAGCCCAUCACCAUAUUCAUUGUCCAUCACCACAGACUGCCAUCAACUACUGUUGUUGAGCAUGGACUACUGUUGUUGCUGACCAUGGACUGUUAUGGAAUACUACUAUUGCUGAUUGUGGACUGUUGUUGUUGCUGACCUUGGACUGCUUCUAUUGAUCGCUUGUUAUCGUGGUCCCAUGGUGCUUUACAACAUUGCAAAAAAAGCAAAUCAGGUAUGUUAUCACCACUUUAUAUUUUUAUUUUAUUUAUUUUUAGAAUUUCUUGCUUAUUAAUUAAUUAGAUACAGAAAAAUAUUCUAUGAGCUUUUGAUUUUUACCUUUUCUUGAAUAAAUACUUUGUUGUGUUUUGAGUUAUGUAAUAGGAGUUGUUUGUGGCCUAUUAUUAAUGAAUUCAUCAAUGCUGUUAUCAACUUACCACCAAUUAUUCAGCCCUAACCAAUAUUUAAGAGAGUGAGAUCUUGAUUAUACAUCAUAAUAUCUAUCAUUAAAGUUGUUACAUACACACAAAUUUAUAUAUUAUUCUUUUAAGGGAAUUCAAUUAGCGAAAAUGAAAUAAAGAAAAUUAAAUUAAUAUCAUGUGUGAAAUAUUUUUUUUUUAUAUGGUUAUAGAUGAAAUGAAAAAUAUAAAGUUUUGUUAUUUUAUUAUUGUAGUUAUAGUUCAAUAUAUAAGCUCAUAGAAAAAUAUUCUAUGAGCUUUUGAUUUUACCUUUUCUUGAACGAAUACUUUGUUGUGUUUUGAGUUAUGUAAUAAAAGUUGUUUGUGGCCUAUUAUAAAAGAAUUCAUAAAUGCUGUUAUCAACUUACCACCAAUUAUUCAACCCUAACCAAUAUUUAAGAGAGUGAGAUCUUGAUUAUACAUCAUAAUAUCUAUCAUUAAAGUUGUUACAUACACACAAAUUUAUAUAUUAUUCUUUUAAGGGAAUUCAAUUAGCGAAAAUGAAAUAAAGAAAAUUAAAUUAAUAUCAUUUGUGUGAUAUAUUUUUUUUAUAUGGUUAUAGAUGAAAUGAAAAAUAUAAAGUUUUGUUAUUUUAUUAUUGUAGUUACAGUUCAAUAUAUAAGUAUAUUUAGAAACCCACUUUAUAAGUUAUUUAAAACAUUAAACCAAUUUUCCAUUAGAAUUGGUAAUAAGCGUAAAGAAUGAAUAAAGUAAAAAGUGUAAAUAAGGAAUAGGGUUGUUCGAAAUAUGCAUAUAAAAACAUUAGUAGGUCAAAAUAUAUGACCAACCAUGACUAGCUAUCCUUUUAUGUAAGUUAAUUUAUUUAUCUUGGAUAUUGAGCCAAUUGUCAAGGAAAAUAUAAAAUAUUUAUAUUUAGUUAUAAAGUAGUAAAUAAUGAAAUUCAUAUUUUAAGAUUGGAGUAAAAUGAAAUUUGUAUCAUUUUUACCUCAACUAUAUUGUUUUGAUAUUUAUAUUAAAUAUUGACACUAAUUUUGAAAAUUGUGGAUUUGAGAAAAAAAACUUCACUUUUUCAAAGAGGUUAUUUGUAUCAAAUUACAAUAAAAAACUAUUUAAUUAUUAUUUAUAGGCAUAAAAAAAAAUAUUUAUUGAAUAAAAAUUAAUUUAUCACCAGCUUGUUUGGCAUUUUAAUGCUCCUAUAAUUUGGGCUUGACAAAAAUUUACCUUUUAUUCCUUGUUUUAUAUAUACGUUUUUUUAUUUAUGUAUUGAUUUUUAUGAGAAAAUAAUUCAUAGACAUAUUUCCUACUUAUAAAUUCAAGAUAUAUAACAUAGAUUCAUAGUAUAGUUUAGACAUUUCAAAAGUUAAGAUUGGGGUAAAAUAAAGUUUUGUAUCAUUUGUACCUCAACUAUAUUAUUUUGACAUUUAUAUUAAAUAUUGACACUAAUUUUGAAAAUUAUAGAUUUGAGGAAAAAACUUCACUUUUUCAAAUAGGUUAUUUGUAUCAAAUUACAAUAAGAAACUAUUUAAUUAUUAUUUAUUGGCAUAAAAAAAAUAUAUUUAUUGAAUAAAAAUUAAUUUAUCACUAGCUUGUUUGGCAUUUUAACACUCCUUUAAUUUGGGCUUGACAAAAAUUUACGUUUUACUCCUUAUUAUAUAUAUAUAUUUAUGUAUAUAUAUUUAUUUAUGUAUUGAUUUCUAUGAGAAAAUAAUUCAUAAAUAUAUUUAUUUAUUUAUGAUUUUAAUUUAAAAUUUUUAUUUCUUUUAUAAUUAUAUAUUAUUUUAUUAUUAAUUAUUAAGGAUAGUUUAAAAUAUUGACAUUAAAAUCAAAUACUUCUAGAUAAAAGCAUAAUGUCAUUUUAUGGGAUGUACAAGAUUACGUAAAUAAUAGAUGCUUAUACUAUUAUAGAAUUAACUAAAACUUUUAUAAAAAUCUUUAUAAAGGAUUAAUUUUAAAAAAUAUAAAUUUAUUGUCUUAUAUAGUUAACAUUAGAAUUUUCUCUCUCUAAAGAAUAACCAUAAGAAAUAUCUAUAAAAAAUUAAGUAAAUGAGAUGAUUUUAUAGAAAAGAUGAGAUUGGUAAAACAUUAUAUUGUUAAAUUAUUAAAAGAGAAAUGAGUUUUUUUUUUUAUUUUUAUUUUUAUCAACUUUAAGUCAUAUAUAAAUUUUUAUAUUUCUUUUAAAAAAAUCAAUUAGAAAAUUAAGAAAAAAGAAGAAGAAUUGAAAUAAAUUAUUAUUAAAAUGUCACUAUCUUAUAAAUUCAUAUAUGAAUUAUAAUAAAAAUAUAAUAUUAUGAAAAAAUCAAUGUAAGUUACUAUUAAAAUUUUAUUAUCUUUUACAUUUAGAGUUUGGAUUCAUUUUUUCACUUUAAUACGAAGAAGACUAAUAGAGUUAUGGUUGUCAAACCCCUUUUUAUAUUUUUGUAUAAUCAAUUUAAUCCAAAUUUGACUUUUAUAGAUAUAUAAAAUAAAAAUUUAUAUACAAAAUAAGUUAUUUUAAUGUAAUAUUUUUUUAAUUUUUUUUAUACUUUAAUUUAGAAUAUUGACAUUGAAAUAAAUUACUUACAAAUAAAGACAUGAGAUGAUUUUAUGGGAACAACAAAAGUAGGUAAGUAAUAAAUGUUUAUACUAUUAACUAAAAUUAUUUUAUUUGUACAUUCGCAAUUUGGAUUGAUUUUUAUCCUUAAAUAACAUAAGGAGGAAGACUAAUAAAACUAGGGUUAUCACGGUAACUAAAUUUUUUAUUUUUGCAUCAUAUAAUCAAUUUAACAUCGAUGGUAAGAGUGGUAGGAAUGAUGGCUUCAGCAUCAGCAUCAAUCCAGAAGUCUAAAUCUCAGUAAGAGUGACAGCGAUGAUGGCUUCAACAUCAAUAGUGGCAAUCUACCCUCCUACUAAAACUCCACCAUGACUCGAUUAGUAACACCAUCAAGAGUAGUAACAUGAUCUUCAGUAGCUAGCUACACAAGCAAUUUCCAUUGAUUGAGCCUUUUCACCCUUCAUCACUUCUGUCUUAUCAACUACCUGAUGAUCUUUAGGUCCAAGCAUUGACUCCCAAUGAGAAGAAUCUGAGUCUACCUCAAUAAUAAUAACUGAGUCAACUUCCUUUGCAUGCUGCUCUUGCUCUCUAGUCUAAUUAGUACCUUCUUGAUGCUCUUCCUCUUCUCAUCUUCUUCUUCAGCUUCUUCCUUAGCUUGCACCUCAUUAACAUCAGCAGUAACAACAUCUGGAAUUCCCCCCACCUGAAGGUCUAUAUCAAAUGAAGGAACCUCAUGUCCUUUCCUUUAGCGAUAAGAGCUUCACACAGUCAGUUAACAGCUCUAUGGCCUGUCCAUCCUUUGCAUAAAUUGGAGCUUUACUUACAUAAAAUAUGGAAUAUCUCCUGAAGAUAAAGUGGGGACAGUAGAAAUAGUCGAAGGACCUUGUGUAGAACUUGUGACUAAAGGUACAUGAGCAACUGCCUCUUCAACUAUUCUGACCAUCUGCCUCAUCCUUUUCUUUGUACUUCUUUCCAUGAAAAUUCUGUAAAAUUUCCAAGCUUCCACUUUGUAAAAUUUUGUAGCGUCAUAUUUUUCCUCAUUCCCACUGAAUUUAAAACUCUUUCUAAUUGAAUAGCCAGUGAAAAACUUGGACAAUGCCAAUGCAUACUUCUUGCUGUGAGAAGUCUUGUUUUCAUUCACUUUUUCCACAAUAUAUAAAAACGUAUCCACCAUCAAUACAUGAGAUCACCAUCCCCCCUUACAUAAACAAUACAAUUCCUCUAAAGGAAAACCUCUCCUUUCUGUGACAUGUCUAUAAGGAGAGAAAUUGGUUCUAUACACCUGAUCCACAAACCAUAGCUCCUGUGAUGCCUCUAGUCUUCUGGCAGUUGUGGGAGAGCUAAAACCACAAGGCACUGAAGUGGCCACCAUCCUCUGGGAAGUAGGGUUAGUGUAAGGUAGAAAAUUUCCUCCUUAAGAUGGCAUUGUAGGCAACCCAAAAGCCUAUGCCAAAGAUUUUUCAGUGAUCAUCCCCUCUCUUUCAUUAAUGGAAAAAUGUAACACAGAUUUUCCAGGGGCUCUCCUCUCAAAGAUAGCAUAAAAAUCUCUCACCACAAUAGGAUAAACAUAAUCUAUGGAAUACACCAUAGGCUCUAUCCCAUAUCUCCUCAUUAGCUCCAUUGAACUCAUUGUCUCUGGAAAAGUAAUGUAUUCAUCAGGCACCAAAUAAUCACUGUCUGCCAAUAAGAAUGCAUUCCGGUUUCCUUUAGACUGGUAACUACAGCUUUUCCCUUCUUUUUUUCUGUCAAUUUCUUUGGCUAAACUUUUUCUAUUUCUUUAUCCUUCUUCUCAUCUCUUUUAGCUUUCUUUAUAGCUUCCUCUGGAGUCAUUUCAGUUCCAGGCUCUUUCUUCUGUCUGUUCAUAGUCUCUUUAUUUGGCUUCUUACUUGGUGUGGUUACUGCCACAUUCUUCUCCAUAGGAGACUUCCCUUUCAAAGGAGAUUUAUCCUCAGAUUGCACCUCUUUUUCUUUCCACUUUUUAUUCUUCACAGCUUGUAGUGAUUGUUCACUAGCUAUCAUCAGUCUAGGUGAUCCAUCAAUAAUGAUUCUUCCUAUCUGCUCAAUGACAGGUUGUACAUCAAUCCUUUUCAUAGUUGGGGCAUCUAAAUCUGAAUCAGUGGAUUCAGAUUCGUAGACCAUUAGUGCCUAACCCUUAUCUUUAUCCUUUUUUUCAUUCUGCAUUUUCAGAGUGCAAACAAAAAUCCGAAAACAUAUUACAAACAAGCUUGACAUUUCCAAAAACAGUAUAUAUUCAUUCAGAGUCAACAGAUAUUCAUAGAAAAUAAUUAAGGCAUAUUAAUGAAGAAAGGAUACAAAUGGCAGAGUUCAUCCAAACAUUCAUUCAAAGACGCAAAAUCUAUCCAGAAGGAUCAUUGCACAUGCAUAUGUUAACUUUGAUAUAUCCAUGUACAGAUUCUCAAACAAACAUCUGUUAUAGUAAAUAUAAGGGGUGCAAGUUAAAAACACUCCAAAAUUCAAUUUUAAGCACUGCAAGAUGACAAGUAGGAAAAAGCGCGACUAUAAUAUUUAGGUACAAAUCAAGUAGACAGCAGCACAUAGUAACUAUAAGGGGUGCAAAUAAAUCCUAUAGUUGCAGCCACGUGUAAACAUGGGACUAGAGGGUGUGAAACUGUAGCUGCGACCAUGUAUUUUCUUCUACUAAAGGUUCUAUUAGCUGCAGCUUCUCGUGGCCAUGACUACAAGGGUGUGAUGAAUAGGAAACUUAAAAAUAUAUUGUUUAUACACACGUGAUUUGAAAUUCAUUUCUAUGGUGAAAAAAUUUAUUAAAAUAUAAUUAUGUGAAGAAAAGAAACAAUAGUAAUUGUGAACCCAUUUUUAUUUAUAAAUUUCUGUUAUUAAUUAGUUCACUAUUUGAGUUUCAAACUAUUAUUUAAAGAAUACUAGACUCGUUAAUAAAUUCAAUGCAUGAAGUUUUGUUUUAUUUAAAGUUUAUUUAUCUAGUGAAAAAAAAAAAUUUUAAAUUGGUUUUAUGUAUAAGAAAAAAAAUAGUCAUUUUUGACAAUUUUUUGUCAAAAAAUUUCUAAUAUUAAUUUGAUCACUAUUUGAGUUUCAAGUUAUUUAUAAAAAUUAUUAGUUAUUAGCAAAUCUAAGCAUCAAGUCUUGCUUGAUUUGGACUUUAUUUGGGUAGUGAAUUUUUUUUUUUUUGCAAAAAUAUGAUUAUAUGUAAAGAAGAAACUAGUCCAAGUCAUUCAAAAUAAAUCCUAAUUUAUGACUUUAUAAUGUUAUUGGGUUCCAUGAUUAGUAAUUAAAUUGGGUUUUAACUUUCAAAUUAUUUUUACAAAUUAAUAAAUUUUAUAUAUAAAGUGUAAUUUGAUUUUGAAUUUAUUUAUUUAAUGGAAAGUUUUUAUUAAGGUAAAGGAAAUGUUGAAGGAGUCAAUGUUUUUGUUAUGGAUCUGUUGGGUUGUCCUAGUCUCAAGGUUAUCUAUUUUUUUGUUCUUUUGAUUUGUUGCAAAACAUGGUUGAAUUUACGUAGUUUAUAGGAGUUAGUCUUUACAUGGUUCAUGGUCUUAGCUAGUGGUUAAAAGUAGUGGAUUAGAGGUCUUUAUUUUCUUAGCAAUUUCCCAUUGGUGUACUGCCUCUUUAAAAGGCUAUUUGGUUGAUGAGAGAAGAUCAUCAAAAGUAAUUUUCUCUUCCAACUUUUCUAUACAUUUUUUAGCUUAAUCAAUUUUUUGUACUCUUCCAAGAUUUUUCCUCUACUUGUAAUAGUGGUAUCAGAGCUGGUUGAAAAUUGAGAAAGUGAGAAAAGUUAAGAGCCAAAAUAAAAAGAAAGGACGUGAGAUAAAGAGAAUUUUAGUAGCAGUUCUUAUUUCACUUUAUUUUGUUUUUGCAACAGCAACAGUAAGGGAUAGCCUCUAAAAACUUUGUCUAACUUAUAAUCCCAUACUUUGAUGGUCACUAUAUAUGACCAUUGGAGCAUGUUGAUGGAGAAAUCCUUUAAGGUCUAAGGAGUAUUGGCAGGUUGUCUUUGACAGAGUAGCAGAAUCGACAAAUAAUUUGUAGAUAGAGUACACGGACUUUUCAAGGCUUGAGCACUUGUCCUAAGGGGGUCAUGGUAUGUUUGUCUUCAAACCCUAGUGCCCAUGACCAACUAAUUGGUACUCAUAUAUUGACAUUGUGCUUGUUAUAAAAGCUAAGAACCAGUUAGCACUCUGAGGAAAUAAAAAUCUAAGAAAUUGUACCUUGUUCUAAAGAGAUUGGGGAGAAACCUUAAAGGGUAAGUGGCCUUUCAUCAUCCUCAAUACCUAGUGUCUUGGGAAGAAUCUUAGGAGUUGUCAAUUGAUCUUUACUAAGCUACAUAGAAGGAGCUUUCCUAGGAUGGACAUGUGAAAUAAAAAAAGAAAAAAGAAAAUAGAUAUGAAAAACAAUGGAAUGAAAAAGCAGAAAAUGAGAUAAAAUGGCGCUCUUCCAAAACUAGUCAUGAACAGUUUAUCUUAGGUAGAGGAAGGAAAUUCUUAAAAUAGGUGCUCCAUGAGGAUGCUCUUAAGCUAACAUUUGAGUUUUGUUAGGAAAUCACUUGUGAAGUUGAUGUCGAAGAGACUAAUGGAUUCUAAACAUUGAGGCAUGCUUUUGUAUACAUUUAUAUGGUGAGUGAAUCUUUUUGGAGUUAUGCUAUUUGACUAUGAGCUUAUUCUUGAAGGGAUAAUAUGUUUUCAGUAACUGAAUUUAUUGAAGCUAAUUCAUGCUAUUUAGUAGUUGUUGUCUUAAUUGCUUAGGAGUUUUACUCUUUAUUUAUUUCUAGAGACCAACAAAAUUUAGGUUGGGGAGGAAAUGAUUUGUGCUUUAAGUCAUGGGUUUUUUCUAUUCCCUAAAUGGUAGAUUCUAUAAUGAAAAAGAACGUAAACUACUCUCUUCAGUUUAUAUAUAUGCUAGUACCUAACUGGUCUGAGUUCUUCAAUUUCAUGUCCAAUGGAGAAAUUAAAGUUAAGGUCAAUCUCAGGAGAUUAAUAAUUGGCUCUGGUUUCAGAGAUAUGAAUAUGCUCUAGCUUGACAUUCUUGAAGUGGAUUAGCAGAGUGGGAUUCUCUACUCAGCUGAUUGCCUUUUCACUGAGUUCCAAGGAUCAAUAGGAGAUCGUGGAUUUGUUGACAUUCUCAUUCUGAGAGCAACUGCAUCAGUAUCAUACAUGUUUGCCAGUUGGCAAUAUAAAAUUGGUAUUUUGGUUCAUAUUUUCUACAACCUGAAAGCCACUAUCACUACCACCAACUAUAUGAAUAGGCAUCAAUUCUUCAGGACGAUGAAGAAGGUAGAGCAUAUCACUAGCUCAAAUGGAGGAAUGUGGUCCCAUAAUUCUUUAGGAAAUAAGUAUCUAGAAACAGGUAAAAAGAACCAAGAAUCUUGAAAGACUUCUUUCAUCUUGUUCAUGUUGCCUAAAGGACAACCUGUGGGCCUUUGAAUUAUGUAUUGAAACUAUCAAGUCAACUGGAAUAGAUUCAUUUCUGAAGCUGCAGGGUUUAUGGUCAACCAUAUACCAAACCCAAAGUUCUUCAGUAGUCUAUUGAGAAAAUCCCAUUUGGAACCUAACCAUGAGAAAGUCCCAGGUUUGUUUAAGGCUGGGCUGAACCUAUGUGCAACCUUCUGUCUUCUGGGACCUUCUCUAACUAUAGUUUCAUCAACACAACACAGCUAGCCUUGUCCCAGCUACUAAGGCUGGGUAAAACUAUUCUGAAUUAUUGUUCCAUGCAUAUCUUGUUUGUGAAUGAUCUCCACUAGGAUCGACUCUUAAGUAUGUACCGAUCAAGAAUCAAAUCUUGUUUGUGAAUUAUUGCUCCAUACAUUCGCCUGACCGUUGGAUGGGUGAAGAGGCAAUGCAGAUACUUGUCCUAUAUUCCCAUAGGUAUCAAACUUCAGUGCAGUAGUUGACACAUUGACUACCUUUCUGAGGUUAGGACAAGAUAAACUCAUUAGUGGAUGGAGAAUAGAAGACCAUAUACUAAUUUAUGUGGUUCAGAAUUUGAAUAAAGAUCAUGAUAAUAAGUGCGAGAUUCGCGCAUCUUUGGAGUGUUUCAAGUUGCAGCUAGAUUGCCUAUAUAAAGAGCAUGGAGGUUUAUAAUUUCCAGUAUCAGCAACAAAGAGCAGGUGUGAAUUAUAGAGAGUAAAUAGGGAAGUUGUCAACCUCCCUCAAAGGCUUCCAAUUUUCCUGGCUAAUUAUCAAGGUAAGAAAGUUGGAAGCCGGUGGGGGACCUUGAAAGCUUACCCCAGAAUCAAUAUUACUCAUCUGGUUAUUUGGUAUCAGUUUCCCUGAUCAUUAGGAAGACAGUAAGAUUGAUUUCAGGUGAGAUGUUUCCCCUUCUUCUCAAAAAAACUGCAAACUUUUUAGAGAUUUAUGCUUAUGGUAUUUUAAGAUCCCGUUUGAUAGUAAUUUUAAGAAGUGUUUAUAAUAUUUUUAACACUUAAAAAUUAGUAUCAUUCAAGUGUGAGAAAGGUUAAAAACGUUUUCUAAAAUCACUAUCAAACGCAAUUAAUCUAAAUCAUUUAUUAGAAAAUAGAUUUGGGAUAAGGUGGAAAACUCUUAGUACCACAUUAUUACCAAUCUUAUUUCAUUGCUCCUUUCACCCACACCCUCAAGAGUGUCAUCACUAGUUAUAGGGCAUUUUUAUCCUAUCAACUAAUGAUCAGGGUUUAUGAAGCAUUUUAAACACUGCCUUAUUAUGCAAUUAUUUAGAACCAUACCUUCUAUGGAUGAUCCCACAAUUUUGAUAGGGUGUUGUUUGGUUUUUGGGGUAAGUGAGGAGAGAAAAAAAUAAAUUAAAUUUUGGAGUUUAUGUUCUUACAUUUGGCAUUAUGUUUUAAUUGGUAUUAUUAAUAGAAAAAUAUUUAAGGACAUAUAGUGGAAUUUGAUUAGUUGUUUGUUUGAUCUAUGGGAGAAACGAGGAGAUAAGAAAAUAAAAUUAGAUUUUGGGGUAUAUUCUUAUUCUUACAUUUCGCAUGAAAGUAUAAUUUUUUUUCUUCUCUAGUUUCUCCAUGUUUGAAAUUGGUGUUUUAUUAGAAAAAAUGAAUUUAAGUUGAGUUUUGACCAAUUGUUGUUUGAUUUCUAGGAAAGGGAGGGAGACUAGAAGAAAGAAGGAUUUUGAAGCUUUCAUUUUAAGUAAUGCUAAUUUUACAUUUUUUAGGCAAACAAAGAAUUUCUAUAGGUGAUAUAAAUUCCUUAUUUGGUUGCUGAGAAAACAGAGGGAAGGAAGAAACAACAUAUAUACAUUUUGGAGCUUAUUUUCUUGUCCUAUUCUUGUUCUUACAUUUUCCAAGCAAGCAAAAAGGGUGUAUUUUUAUCUGGGCAAUAGAAGUUCAUCCUUUUUGUUUUUUUUUUAAUGUUUAUUUUGUUGUAACAAGUUCAACUGGAGUUAAAAAGGAGGUGUUUUGUGUGCAAUCCUGCACAUGUUUUGAGCUCUCUAAGAAUUUUGUGGCCUCUUUGUGCGAUUAGUAUUGGAAAUGAGUUAAUUAUAUUAUGCUUUGUUUGGAUGGGGAAAACUACAAGAGAAACAAAGCAAAUAUUUUCCUGAGUUCUAGGGCUUGUUUGUUGUCUUAGUUUUCAAAAGAUGAGAAGUUUUUCCUUCCUUGACUAAGGUGUUUGUUUUGAUAAUCAUAAGUGUUGAACUUUUUUUCUUUUGUUUUUUUAUCAGGUUUUGCAAGUUGAGGGAUUUCUCAUUCUUUUCUUGUAAUCUCUUAUUUUUAAAGAAUAUGUUUUUGUUUUUGAUAAAAAGUUCAUAAUUGUUGAAAAAAAAUGUGAAAAUCCCUACAAUCCAUUUAGUGCAUUUGAUCUAUGUAAAUAGAUUUAAUAGCUCCUUUUUCCUUUGAAAGCUCAAACUCUAGUGUCUCUUCUUAAGAUUUUUCCUUUUUAUUAUUUAAACUUCUCUUUUUUAAAUUAUUUAUACAUUUACAAUAUCAAGUUAGUUGAACAAAACAUUCAAUUUUUCUAUAACUCAACCAAACAUGUUUUUGUUGUUUUCGAGAACAAAAACUAUUUUCCAUAAUUUAGUUCCUAAACACAACUUUUUUUUUUUUUUUUUUUCUGAAAACACAAAAAACUGUUCUUAAAAACUAUUUUUCAUAAUAGUUUUCAAAGACACCAAUCAAACAAACCCUAAUAUUUUGACUUUAAGCAAGAAGAGUACCAAUCUCCACAUUUUGUAAUUUAAUAUCUAGGAGUUGCUAGAAACUUUUGCUCUGAUAUUUACAAUCAACCCUUGAGAAAUUGAGAUCUAUUUGGUUACCACAUGACUCAGGAGGUUUAUUAGGAUUUGGAUUAAGGUUGUUAUGGUUGAUAGCAUUGACUUAUCCUCAUGCAUAAUUGGCUUUGCUUGCAUCUAUUGACUUAUUGUCAUACAUAAUUGCCUUUGUUUGCUAGAAAAUUUUGCUGUAAUAUUUAUAAUCAACCAGUGAGAAAUUGAGAUCUAUUUGGUUACAUGUCUCUGGAAGUUUAUUAGGAAUGGGAUUAAAGUUGCUAUAGUUAAUAACAUUGACUUAUCCUCAUGCAUAAUUGGCUUUGCUUGCUAAACACUUUUGCUCUGAUAUUUAUAAUUAAUCCUUGAGAAAUUGAGAUCUAUUUGGUUACCACAUGGCUCAGGAGGUUUAUUUGGAAUUGGAUUAAAGUUGCUAUAACUGAUAACAUUGACUUAUCCUCAUGCAUAAUUAGCUUUGCUUGCAUCUAAUUUUUGUAAGUUAAAUAUUUUUUCAUGUUGAAAAGUUGGGUGCAUAGUUGCCUUUCAAAUAUAUUUGAAUAAAUAAAAAAUUUGAUAAAGCUAGAAAGGGUAGGCAAAAGGAAAUAAGAGGUUAUAUAAUACACCAUGGAAUAAUUAAAAUAUUCAAUAAAAUAUUUUUUUAAAUCCCCAAAUUUAGGUUUCAUAUCCACAUGGAAAGUUGUCAGAAACAACUUUAAUGUAAAAAAAAUUUAAGAAAAAUUACAAAAAAUUAUGUAAAUGUGAAAUGGAAUAGUUAUUUUAAAAAUAUGUUUACUACAAAUGGAGUUAGAAAGAAAAAUUAUUGUAGUUACAACAAUAAAUUGCUAUCAGGUUUUUAAAAAACUCAAAUUAUUAGGAUAUAAAUCAAACAAAAACAUAGUGAAUGAGGACAAAAAUUACAUAUUUAGUUAUAUUCAUUAUACUCAAAUAUAUCAAUAAAUUGUUUAAUAUUAAAAAUUUCUAUUUAUUAUUUAAGAAUACAAAAUAAUAUUUGAGUUGAAAGAAGAUUUUUGUAUUUCUUUUCUUUUUAUCUCAUUUAUGUAGAAUAAAAAUGGUAAACCUUACAGUGGGGGCUACUUGUGGCAUGUCUCAUAAAGUUGUUAUCUAUAUUUUUUUUCUCUCUUGGUUUGUUGAGGAGAAAGGACUAUAUCUAGUAUUGCAUCCCUAUCUAAUAGGAAUAAUAAACUUCCUUUACCCAUAUUGAAAAUCAAUCAAAUUUGAUGACUGUUUGAGAAUCAUAUAUAUAUUAAACAAUAUGAAAAACCAUAAAUGUAGGUGAAAGUAGGCCAAGAAGGUGAUGACCUAUAUAUGACCACAAAGACAAUAUAAUUAUUUUGCAAUUUUUAAUAAUAACACAAUUCCACCACAACUUGAAAUUAUUAUACAAGAGAGACCAACUUUACUAUAAAAUUAUAGAGAAGCAAAUUGGAAAAUGUGUACACAGCCACAUCUAAUCAACAUGAAGCAUUUUUUUUAUUGGAAACUAAUAGUCAAUUAUGAGUAGAAAUUUUAAUUUAUUAACUUACUAGUUGUAACUACUUUUCUUGUUAAAAUUUAAGUUUGGGAUUAUGAGUGCUUGUGGGUUGUUAUAAUGUUGGCAUAUAAAUGCUAGAUUCUUGUUUGAAACUUAAUAUUAUUUGUUGUGUUGUGACAAAUUUGCAGAUGAAAGUUUCCUUACACUAAAACUAAAUUUGGUUAAAUUUGAAAUUCAAAAUUUAAAUUACUUAUAUAUUACAUUUAUAAUUUGAAAAAUGUCUUAAAAAUGUAAGAUAUCUUACGAAAAUGUUGAUAGAAAUUUUGAUUUACUAACUUAUUAGGUUUUAUUUAUUUUUUUUAAAAAAUGGUUUUGUUUUAUUGUUCUUUUUCAUUCAUAUAUAGAAGAAGAUACUAGAGCACCAACACAAACCAAUAGAAAAGGAAGUUGUGAUCAUGACUGAGUUAGAAAUUUGUGAGAAAAGUGACCAAUUGGAGACCGUCCGUACUACAACAGUAAGAUCUACAACAUCAACAACCUUGCAUCAUCUAUGAUUAGACUAAGGGCCUUGAUUAUGCAUAUAAUGGAUCUUCCUUACCUUUUCUGUCUAUGUUGAUAUGGUUAUUUUGGGAUGGCAUUUUAUUAACCUAAUAUUUUAUUUUAUUAACAUACACAUUCUAAUCUUAUAAUCAUUUAAUAUUGUUACAUAUAUUAUCAACGAAGGUAUACAAUACAUAUUUUGAUUUUUGUAAGCAUAUUUUUUAAUGAAAAUUUUCAUUACAAUGUAUUAAUUGGGUACAAAUAGUACUAAAAAUAUAUAUAAUUACACUAUUGAAAUGAAGUAAUCCAAGUAUUCCAACAACUCCCCACUAACUUGCAAGGGCAUGAUAUGAGAUUUUAUUGAAUCCUAUUUAAACCUAUUACUUGUGGCCUUAAAGUUUUCUCAUUAAUUGUUCUUCUAAUUUUUUUAAUUUCCUUUUAUCACAAGGAUAUUGUUUGAAUGCUGCCAAAGCGGGAUAUGAUGUCUUGUUUCCUUUUGUAUGGUGUUGACCUAAUGUGAUCUCUAUUUCACAAGAUUAGAAGAAUGAUUAAAAUGUAUGCUGUUUUUCUCUUGCUUCACUUUUAAUGUGUAGCCUAUAUUGUACUCAAUCUUAGGUGGUGUUUGUUUUUUUACUUAAUUCUAAAUAGAACCUUAAUGCUUAAUAGUGUUAAAUAUUAGGUUGUUUGUUUUUAUAGUAUUUUAUUUCUAUUAAGUAUUAAAAAGUAAAAAAAAAACCAAUAUGUUAUUUUUUCUAUUUAGAAAAAACUACAUAUUUUGGCUUUUUCUAUUUAGUAAAAAGUUUAUAUUAAGUCAUGAAAAAGUAGAAAAACAAAUAAUCUAAAUUCUGAAAACAAAUUGCUUUCAGCAAAAAGCCAAAAAAACAAACACCACCUUAAUGUAAAUCUCAACCAUCAAUACAUCAUUUUAAUUUGUUAGAUAGGUUCAUGAAAAUUUCAUACGAGUUGCUAAUACUAUCGAUAUCUCUUGUACUCAUUUCAAUAUUCUUCAAUUUCUUUAUAAUUGGAUUCCAUUAAUAUACUCAGUAAGUCAUCAUUGACAGUUUCACCCACCUUCAUAGCUUUCUCUCUUUGGUCAAUAAUACCCCUUAACAAUUCUUGUAUCUCUUCGUCAGCUUUCUUUAUUCUUUUGUUUCCUUUCUUUUCGUAAAAAUCUACAUGUAAACAGUCUUGGUUGUAAAUGUCAUGACAUUAAAUAAUAAGAAAAGAUAACUGGAAAGAAAAUUUAUGGUAGUUGUUUAUCCAUUGCUUUAAUUUCUUCUUUUUUUUUCCUCAAUUUUCUUGGAAAUUUCAGGAAGCUUUAAAUUUGUUGAAACAUUUUAUGCUCACCACAACCCUGGGAUGUAAACUAUCAAAAAAAUCUUGAUGGUAAGCUAUGCUAGUUCUUCUUGGAGUAGUAAUAUCCUUCUUCCUUCUUCAUAGCUACUACCAAAUGUUGUUCAAGAAAUGAUAUGACCUUCCAAAUUUUGAAUAUGGAGCCAUACAUUCAAUUAACUUACCUGAACCUUUUGUGGAGACAAUCUCCCAUUUUCUUAUCGUAUUGCUAAAGCUUAAAAGAAAUGUAGGUAAAUAACAGUAAAAAAAAUAUUUAGCACCCAUAUUUUCAUGGUUGGAGGACCAGUCACUGCACAUUUGAAAUAAACAUCUUUAUCUAUGCAAUAUAACUUCCAAACAAUUUUCUUUUUAAAUAGCAUAAAAUAUAAUGUAUAUGAUUAAAAUUAAGAUGGAUAAGAAAACUAAAGAUGAAACUAAAAAGAUUAUAUAAUUUGAACUCUAUCUAUUAGGAUCUCCUUACAAGUAGGCUAAAAGGAAAAAAAAAAAGAAAGAAUACUUCAGUGAUCUUAGGAUGAUUCACAAGCUAAGGUUAGCUAGACGAUCAUUGCAAAGAAAGGAGCAUAAAAAAGAAAAUCCCUAAAACACAUUUUGAAUACAAUUUCAAACACUAUAGAGAACAAAGGCAAAAAAAAAAAAAGUUAGGAUUUCAGAUCCAAAGCAAGGAAAGGAAGAAAAGAAGUUAUUUUUUUCUUUUUUCAGGGAAAACUUCAAGUUGAGAGUUUUAUUUCAACUUAUUUUCCUUUUCCUUAGAGUAUAAUCGUUAGUUUCAUUUCCCAAAGAAUAAAAAAGAAAUAAUUAAUAGAAAAGUAUAUAGAUAGAUAAAUCGGCGUUUUAAUAAAUAUAGAAUUCAUAAAUCUUAAACCUGGAGUUUUUUUGAGGUUUUGAUAAUAAGAAAUUAACACUAUGGUGAAAAUAUCCUAUGGAUUUGUAUUUUUUAUUUUAGAGUGUUUUAAAAAAAGUGUUAGCAAUAAAAGCAAAUCCCACAUUCAUUGAUGUUUUGUUAUUGUGAUUAAAGCCAUAAGGCACUACAAGUGGAGACUAAGAUCAAAUCUCAUACUCAUUGAUGUUUUGUCAUUGUAAAGAAAUCCAUAGGAACUGUAUAUGAAGAUUAUAGGGUUAUUGUGGGGAAACUUUGAGAAUAGUACAAUAUGGUUACGAAAAUUUUUGAAAGUAUAUUUUUGAGGUUGGAAAAUAAUAAGAUGUUUCUUGGGAAUAAUAUGUAUUUGUAAGCCUAGUAGGUUGCACAAGUGUUUUUGGUGUGGUUUUAAGGUAUAGAAGAAUUAAUCUUAAUAAAACGUUAAAUAAAUGAUUUGGAUAGUUGGAUGCAAAAAAAAUUAGGAAAGCAAGUUAAGUCAACCUAAGUACAUGAAAUUGGAUAUUUCCCUAGAUGAAUUAGGGUUAAUUAAUAAAUAAAUAUACACUUAGAGCAGUAUUUAUCAAAACUUUAAUUUGAAUUAUUCCUUUAAAUCUCUCAAUUGAUUCAUAAGAAUUUUCCACAACUCUAUUCCUUUGGAUUUAUCUAUCUUGAGUAUAGGGAUUUUUUGUAAAUAUGUUUUUUUUUGUUAUAAAUAUUCAAAUGUAUUUUUUUUUGUAAAUUCUGAAACUGUUUAAAUACGCUUGAAAUACUAAACUUGAGAAUUAUUUUUAUUUGACUAUAUUUUUUUUCCUUAUAUGUGCAUUCUAGUUAUCUAGCCUAGUUAACAAGGGAAAAAAUGUUGACCUUUGUUACCCUUGGUGGGGCUAAAGAUGAUGUUAAAACCAAGUCAAUAGGGUGUUUAUCAACUUAUGAUAUACCAUUAGAUUGGUUCUGGUUCCAUUCACCAACAUGUAAGGAAUGUCUGAGGUUAGCCACUUCUAUAAGUCCCACUAUGAUGGGCUUUGUUAGGAAAUCGAGUCUUGUUUAUAUGUUGACAAUUUUGUUCCUUUUUAAUUUUGACCAUAGAAGUCUCUUUAGAUAGUGACUUGCUCUCCAUUGAAGAUCAAGAGUUGUUGUUUGUCCAACUGGGAAGUCACAGAUACAUUUAAAAAGGUUUGACUUGUGACAAUUUAGGCUCCUUCGAGGUAGCUACUUGGAGUGAAACGGACUUUGAUGAUAGUGCUUCCAUAGCUUUUGAAGAUGCAAGGUACGAUCUUAAUGACUUCUUAGCUUUUAUUGCAUCUGUGGAAUCUGUGCAUGAUAGUGAUUAUAAUAGUGAUAGUGAUGAUGAGUUUAAUGAUGAACAAAAGGCUGAAUUCUUGAGCAAUCUUGUUAUUGAGCAUGAAAAACUAAUUAAGAAUUAUUUAAAAGAUCAUGAUAUUCUUGAAGCUCAUAAAAACAAGACUGACAUUCUUAAUCUAGAAAAAAUUAAUUUACUUGAGAAAAUUAGAUUUCUUAAGUCUAAGGAUCAUUCUCUUCUUAUGAAGAACAAUACUCUCACUCUAAAGAUCAAGAGUAAUAAGCCUUCUUCAUUUGUAAAUGAAAUAUUUCACCCUAGAACUAAAGUGCUUAAUGAAAUUCUUGAUAAAUGUAAAACCCAUGGUGAUAAAAGAGGUUUUGGGGUAUAUUAACAAAGAUGAAACUCCCUCUAGUGGAGAAACUAUGUUUGUCAAAGGUAAAGAUGAAACCCUUAACCAAACAACAUCUCCUAAAAAGCCAUCACUAUGCAUACACUGUAACAAAACUAGACACUCUCAGUUUAGAUGCUACACUAGGUUCCUAGAAAGGUUUGAAUCUCAAAUGAGUAUGCUAAUGAAUGAUUUUAACUCCCUUAAAAAUAAUAUAUUGAAUAAUGGGAAAGGGAAUAAAACUAAUCAAAAGCUUAGAAGUCAACCUAAUUCCUUUAAGCCACCACCUAGGACUAAACAAGUUUGAUCGAGAAAUGAUAGGGUUAAAUGUCAAGUUGUGUUCAAUGCUCUUAAAGCUAAAUCUUCUUAUGACUGGUACUUUAAUAGCGGCUACUCAAGACACAUGAUUAGAGAUAAAACCUUUUCACAUCUCUUGAGGAUUAUAAUGGUGGGACAGUUACUUUUGGAGAUGGGCACUUAUCAUGUGUGAAAGGCAAGGGAAGUUUAUCUAUCCUUGGUUGUCCUAAGUUAGAUGAAGUUCUCUAUGUUAAUGGACUUAAGGCAAAACUACUAAGCAUUAGUCAAAUUUGUGACAAGGAGCAUAAGGUGAAUUUUUUCCAAGACUUAUGCAAGAUAGUUAGCAAAGAGGGAAAGGUCAUUGUCACAAGACAUAGGAUAGUUGACAACUACUAUGCAAUAAAUCCUAUAUUUAGAACACCUCUUAUGUGCAGUAGGACAAAGGUAGAUCCUAUUGAACUUUGGCAUAGAAGGUUAGGUUGCAUAAACAAUAGGGACCUUGUGCACUUAGUGAACAGUGAAAAAGUUAGAGGCAUCCUUAGACUUAGUGAUGAACGUAAACCCAUUUGUGGUGAGUGUAUGAAAGGUAAACAAACUAAGAGUUCACAUAAAAAGGUUAACCAAAUUAGGAUCGGUAGGCCUUUAUACCUUCUAUAUAUGGAUCUUAUGGGUUUAAUGCGGACUAAGUAGAGGUGGUAAGAAAUAUGUCCUGGUUGUUGUGGAUGAUUUUUCAAGAUACUCCUUUGUGAGUUUUCCUAGGGAAAAGUCAGAGACCGUUGAACAUUUGAAGUCACUAUUCAAUAGAAUACAACGAAAAAUAGGUCAUCCAAUUAUAAGGAUUAGGAGUGAUAGGGGGAAGGAGUUUGACAAUGUGGAUGGCCUCUUUUGCGAGUCUAAAGGAAUUAAACAUGAGUUUUCAACCCCUAAAACUCCUCAAUAGAAUGGAGUGGUUAAAAGAAAGAAUAGAUUGUUACAAGAAAUGGCUAGGGUGAUGAUUCAUAUGCAUAACACCCCUAUGCAAUUUUGGGUAAAGGCAAUUAAUGAAUCCUGUUAUACUACUUAUAUGGUUUUUCUUAUAAUUAUGGACUAGGAGAAAACAUAACCUUAAGUAUUUUAGGACUUUUGGCAGUGAGUGUUAUAUACUCAUGGAUGGGAGAACCUUGGAAAGUUUGAUGCUAAAUCUGAUGUAGGUAUCUUCUUAGGCUAUUCUAUUACUAGUAAAGCCUAAAAGUUUAUAAUCAAAAUUCAUAGAUUAUCUAUGAAUCCUCUAAUGUGGUUAUAAAUAAUGCUAGGUAUGAUCAGGAUAUAAUUGAGAGUCAAAUUUUAACCUAGGAUUUAAUUGAGUAACCCUAAAUAUGUGAAGAUCACGAAAGACAACCCUAAUGAUAUCCCUAAAAGAGACAUUGAUCCUAAUAAGGAUGAAUAUGUACCUCUAAAUGACACGUCUAAUGAAAUGAGGAAUAAGCAUAGAUCUAAAGUACUCAAGAACCACCUAAUUUAAAAUGUUAUAAGUAAUGUAAAUGAACGUGUGACAAUUGAUUAGGUACACAUUUGAUGAACGUGUACCUCUAAAUGAACAUGUACCCAAGAGCUACAUAGGUCUAGCUCGUAUACCUACGGUCUCUACUAAGCGAAUGGAGGAAAUCAUGACAAUUGAUUAAUUAAUCAAGGAUACCAAUAAUAGGACAACAAGACACAUAUAAGUCUUGAGGUGAAAAAAGUGUACAUAAGAAUGUACACAAUUAAUGAAUGUGAAAUGCACAAAAUAGAAUUUAAUUAUUUGUUAAAGUUGCAACAUUUCAAAGGAAGUUCAAAAGAAAUUUAUUUAUAUUGGGAACAAUUUUGAAUUAAAUUUUUCAAACUUAUUUAUUCACAAAGUUUCAAUUUAUUUACAAAAGAUUAUAUUUUUAUUCACAUCCAAAAUUAAUUAAAAAAAAACUUUUCUUGAUUUUAUUAAAAGAAUUUUGAUUGAAUUUGAAUUUAUUAAAGGGAAAAGCUCAAUUUGACCUUCUAUUUAUAAAGAAAUGAUUUUGGCUUACACUUUAUUUAAAAAAAAAAGAAAAAGAUGCCAUAAUUAUAACGAAACAUCAAUUCUAUUUUUGGAAAAGUGAUUUUUACAAGGAAAAGGGGGUUUACUUAUUUUAAUUAUAAGAACCAAAUUUCAAUUUACUAAGAAAAUAAAUUUUUAUAACUUUUAUUUACGAAAAAUAUUUCCAAAUUAAAUUUAUUCAAAAAGAGAUAUUUUUACAACUUUUAUUUUCUUUAGAUUUUUAUUAAAACAAUUUUCAGGAUUUUUUAUUAAAUCAAAAUUUGGAACUUUAUUAAAACUAUUUUGGAAUUCUUUAUUAAAAGAAAAUUUUGAAACUCUUAUUAAGCAAACUUUUGGAAAAUUUUAUCAGACACAAACUUAGAGAACUUUAACUUAAAAUUUUAAGAACUUCAAUUUAAAACACAUUUUAGGGAUUUUGAUUAAAAAACCAACUUUUAGAAAAUUUAUUAAAACACUGAGGAUUUUGGAAACUAACUUUGGGGGUUUUUAUUAAACAACUUUUAGAAGUUAAUAAGACAAACUUUGGGAGUUUAUUAAAAACAAAUUUUGUGAAUUUUUAAGAUUUAUUUUGAGAGUUUAUUAAGACAUGUAUUAAAACUUUUAAGACUUUUAUGGAAACAAACUUUAAGUAAAUUUAAAAGACAUACUUUGAGAACAACUAUUAAAAUAUUUAUUUUGAAAUCUUUAAUUAAGCCGAAUUUGAGAACUUUUAUGAUUUUUACGACUUUUAUGAAAACAAACUUUAAGAAUAUUUGUUUAAACACUUAUUUUGAGAAUUUGCAUUAAACAAACUUAUGAAAAAAAAUGACUUCCUAAAGAACAUUUAUCAACAAAUAAUUUUCAAUUAACAAACUUAUUAAAAUAAAAUGACUUUCUAAAGAAAAUUUAUUAAAACACACUUUUCAAAUAACAAACUUAUUCAAAAAAAAAAAAAAAAAACAACUUUCUAAAGAACAUUUAUAAAAACACAAUUUUCAAUUAACAAACUUAUUAAAAAAAAUGAUUUUUUAAAGAACAUUUAUUAAAACACAAUUUUUAGAAUUUUCAUUAAACAAACUUUUUAAGGGAAUUUCUCAAAUUUUAUGCCUCUUUGUCUUUCAAAGAAGAAUGUUUGAAAUUUUAUGCUUCAUUGGCUUUCAAAGAAUACUUUCACAGUGAGAAAAAUUGUAGAUAUCUAACUUUAAAUUUUGAAAGAUUUGAAAAACAAAUUUAAAAGUUAAAAAAAGAAAAGAAUUUCCCAAAUUUUAUGCCUCUAUCGCUUUCAAAAAAUAGUUUCAGACUUUGUUACAUAAGAAAAUUAGAGUGUGUUCGGCAAUAUUUUCAUUUUUUUUAGUGAAAAUAUUUUAUCUAAAAGUGUUUUCAAGGGAAUUAUUUAUAAAAUACUACAAGUGACUUUUCAAUACUAUAAGUAAUUUGUCAAUGCUACAAAACUGUUUCUUAACUUUUGUCAAACACCUUAAUUUUUUAUUUUUUUAUAAACACUUCUUAGGUUAGAAGUGUUUUUCAAAAACACUGUUAAACAAACUAUCUAACUUUAAAUUUUCAAAUAUUUGAAAAGAAAAAAGUUCAAAGAAUAAAAUUUAAAAGUUUGGCAAACAAGUUAGAAAUGUAAUCAAUUUGAGAUCAAGUAUUAAAGUGCUUCUUGCUCAAGCAAAGGACUAAGUCCUAGAUCAAGGCUUAGGUCCAAAGGUAAGCUAAUGUCACAGACUUAGUCUUUUCCUAAGCCCAUGUGGCACUUAGACAAGUCAAGACACUUUAUCUUGCUAAGUCAGCCUUACUCCCAAUGCUUAGCUUGCUAGGCUAAGAUGCUCACGACUCAGAAGCGUUAGAAGGUGUAGUAGGCAACUCUUAAAGAAUGGAGCUUUUAUUGCUCAAAUGAAGCUUUACAAGUGCUUUUGGGAACUCACUUGCUUGGUUGGUUAAAUUCUUGGGUGGUGCCUUGGCCAAAUGAGGGUCUCACCCAUUUAUAAGCACCAAUGGUACUCUCUAGAACCUUGUAGGGUUCUUUACAACUCAAGAAUAAUCUAGAACUUCCUACACUAGUCUUAUGUAAGGGUAUGUACAAGAUGACUUUGGAAUAUUCUAGAACACCCUACACAAUUCCAAUUCUCUCUUAGCCAAGUGUAGAGAUGUGUGGACAUCUCUAGCCCUCUCCAGAAGCUUCCAUACUCUUCCACUUUGUAGCUAAGUGUAGAUGUCUCCAAGGGUCUCUAGAAGCUUCCCACCUCCUAUAUAAGACCAUGGGAAGGGUCAUUUGAAGCAUCUUGUGACACUCUCCCCCACCUAUUAUUGUGCGAGCAAAAGCUUUGAUGCCAACAAUCACACAUAUGGUACACAAGGUUUUAACGUGGUUCGGCCAACCAUGCCUACGUCCAUGGAUGAGAGAGAAUGAUUCCACUAUACAAUAGAGAAUAUUAUAGAGGACAGAAUCAGAUACAACUUUUGGGUUCCCGCAACAUCCCAUGUUUCCCCACUCCUUGUAUCCAUACCCUACUACGAGCUCUCUCGCUCUACCGAGUACCUCCCGUUCUUUCUCACAUCUCUAUCCAACUCGUAUAGUCUCUACAUGUCCAUCUCCAUCUCAUGACUUUUUCCCCUUAUGACCUAGAAUAUUUAUAAAGAUAUUUUCAACAACCUUCCUUAUUCUAUAUGGAAGUCUAAUAUUACAAUAAUAUAUCAACCUAGAAAUAUUCUAUAUAAUAUUCUUUACAAAAAAAGGAAUCUAUACUAAUUAGGAAUUUGGGACACUUCCUAACAAUCUCCACCUUGGACCAAAUUCCAUGAAGUUAAUCUUCAAUCUCUCCAUGAUACAAACCUUUUUGUAUCAUAUCACCACAAAAGAGCAAUUGACUCCACCUUCAGUGAAAAUUCCUUUUGUUUUCAUUUUGUGUGCUUUGUGAUCUUUUACUCUUCUAGAAAUCUUCAACCCAAGACCAUACUAAAAAACCCUAAUUACAAAAAGCGGUUCCACAAUGGGUUAAACGAGUCUAUCGGCCCAAGCCUUUGCUCCAUGGACUAAGCCUCAAUAAAUCUCCCAUUAAAAAACCAUGCAAUAUUAUUCGGGUCAGGUCGUCAAACCAGAUCAAACAAAACUAAGCUCCACAAAGCCUAACAAAUCUCCCACUUGGAGACUAGUUCAAUCACCAACAUCAAACCGCUAUCCUCCAAGAGACAAUCCCUCAUCCCUGCAACUCAUCCUCCUAUCCUCAAGCUAGAAGACCAAUUGAAGUUGUGCACAACUUCAACUUCUCAAUAGUGACACCCUUAGUCAACAUGUCUGUCGGGUUCUUAAAUCCACAAAUCUUCUCAAGUAUUACUAGUUUAUCUUCAACAAGGUAACGGAUAAAGUGGUAUUUUUUUGUAUAUGCUUCAACUUUGAAUGAAAAGUCGAAUUUUUGGCAAGAAAAAUUGCACUAUGACAGUCACUAUGUAGAAUGUCCAUCUUCUACUUCUUACCCAAUUCAUCUAAGAAACCAUGUAGUCAAAUCAUCUCCUUUCCAGCUUCAGUUGUUGCAACAUACUCAACUUCUGUAGUAGACAAAGUAACAAUCUUCUGUAGAUUUGAAGCUCAUAAUAUAGUUGUACCACUUAGAGUAAAAACAAAACCAGUAGUACUCUUUCUACUAUUAAUAUCACCAGCAAAAUCAACAUCUACAUAACCCUGCAGUUUCAAACUUGCACCUGUGAAGCGAAGACAUGUAUCCAAUGAACCCUUCAGAUAUCUUAAUAUCCACUUGACUGCCUCCCAAUGCUGCUUUCCAGGCUUACUUAUGAAUUUGCUCACAACUCCUACUGCAUGUGCAAUGUCUGGCCUUGUACACACCAUAACAUACAUCAAGCUGCCAAUAGCUGAGGCAUAGGGCACCUUGCUCAUAUGACCCCUUUCUUCUUCCGUCUUCGGUGACUAUUCUUUGCUUAGUUUGAAAUGACUCCUCAAGGGUGUGCUCACUGGUUUAGCUUCAUUCAUGUUGAACAUGCUGAGAACUUUCUUCACAUACUCUGACUGUGAAAGCUUCAAUGUACCAUUAGCCUUGUCUCUAAUGAUUCUCAUACCAAGGAUUUGCUUUGCAACUCCCAAAUCCUUCAUUGCAAACUGUUUGGACAAUUGCUUCUUCAGAUUAUUAAUCUUCUCAAUGCCAGACCCUGCAAUAAGCAUAUCAUCCACAUACAAUAGUAAUAUGAUGUAAGAGUUAUCAAAAAACUUAACAUAGCAACAGUGAUCAGCUUCACAUCUCUUGAACCCAAUUCUAUGCAUAAAACUGUCAAACUUCUUGUACCACUAUCUAGGAGCUUGUUUAAGGCCAUACAAGCUCUUUCUCAGUUUGCAAACUAGAUUCUCUUGUCCUUGAACAAUGAACCCUUCUGGUUGAAUCAUGUAAAGGCCUUCCUCCAAGUCACCAUGAAGGAAUGUUGUCUUCACAUCUAAUUGCUCAAGAUGUAAGUUUUCUGCAACCACCAUUCCCAGUACAAGUCUGAUUGUUGACAUCUUCACAACUGGAGAAAAUAUCUCUGUGUAAUCAAUGCCCUCAUUCUGCUGAAACCCUUUAACAACUAAUCUGGCCUUAUAACGUUUGCUACCAUCAUGCUCAUUCUUUAUUCUGUAUACCCACUUGUUAUGCAAAGCCUUCUUUCCUACUGACAAUUCAGUCAGUUCCCAUGUCUGAUUCCCCAACAAGGAAUCCAUCUCAUCCUUCAUGGCUAACUCCCACUUGCUUGAAUUCUCAUCUUGUAAAUCUUCAUCAUAACACUUUGGCUCACUACCAUCACUCAACAGGAGAUAAUUUAAAACAGGUGAAUAACGCUGUGGAGGUCUAAUGUUCCUGGAAAAUCUGCGAACUUCAGCUACAGGUGUACUCAAAUCUACCUGAGAAUUUACAUUCUCCUUAUCUUCUUCACCCCCUUUUUGGACAGUACUUUCAGUCAAUUCAUCUAAGUUGAUAAACUCAGAUUUCUUUUGAUCUAUCUCUGUAACAUCUGACACUACAAUUGACAUGUCCUUGUACAUAACCUGUUCAUUAAAUAUCACAUUUCUACUUCUGAUGAUUUUCCUGUUUUGUUCAUCCCAAAACCUAUAGCCAAAUUUCUCAUCACCAUAACCAAUGAAAAAGCAUAUUUUAGACUUUGCAUCAAGUUUACUACGAGCAUCAGAAUCAAUAUGAACAUAAGAAACACAACCAAAAACUUUUAAAUGUGAAAACUUUACCUCUUUAUCGCUCUAAACCUCCUUAAGAAGUCUGAACUCCAUGGGAACUGAUGGUCCUUGGUUUAUCAGGUAGGCUACAGUGCUAACAGCAUCAGCCCAAAAAGUUUUUGGUAGUCCAACAUGCAACCUCAUACUUCUAGCAAGCUCAUUGAGAGUUCUGUUCAUGCGCUCAGCCACACCAUUUUGCUGUGGUGUCCCAAGAAUGGUCUUCUCCAUCCUAAUUCCCUGUGCAACACAAUACUCACCGAACCCUCCAUCUAUGUACUCUCCUCCAUUAUUUGACCUCAAACAUUUUACUUUCAAACCUAUUUCUGUCUCAACCAUGGCCUUCCAUUUCUUAAAAUUUUCAAAUACAUUAGAUUUAUUUUUCAGAAAAUAAACUCAUACCUUUCUGCUUGAGUCAUCAAUAAAACUGAUGUAGUACCUUGAACCUCCAAGGGAUGCAACCGGAGAAGGCCCCCACAAAUCAAUGUGUACUAGUUCUAAUUUUUUAGCCUUCAGUGUCCUGCCAGUUUUCAAGAAGCUCACAUUUUUUUUGCUUUCCUAAGAUGCAACUUUCACACAUGUCAAAAUCAAUGGACUUUAAUUCUGGUAGUUUUCCUUUUGACAACAACAUCUUCAUCCAUUUCUCACUCAUGUGACCAAGUUUGCGGUGCCAUAGGCUUAUAUCAGUACUUGCAUUAGCAACUGCAAUUGUGUCUCUUGGACAUGAGGUCAUAUACAGAGUACAAGUCUUCUUUCCACAAGCCAAUACCCUAGCUUCCUUUGUAACCUUCUAAGUACCACCAACAAAUAGUAUUGCAUGUCCUUCAUCAUCAAGUUGUCCAACAGAAAUCGGAUUCCUCUUCAGGUUAGGAAUAUCUCAAACCUUCUCCAGUAACCAAAUAAACCUAUUGGGCAACAAUAUUCGGACGUUUCCCAGACCCACAACAUCCAAGGCUGAACCAUCAGCCAAAUACACCUUACCAAAAUCACCCGCAACAUAAUUCUGUAUGAUUUCUCGAUGUGGAGUGGUAUGAAAUGAAGCUUCUGAAUCCAAAACCCAAUAAUCAAGUAGACUGUCUACUGCAAGAAGUAAUGCAUCUUGUACCUCUUCUGUUACAGCAUUAGUAGAAUCAUCUUCAUUCUUCUUCUUAAGACUUUUGUAUUGCCUUCUAAAGUGACAUGUUUUCCCACAGUUCUAUCAUAGUACUUGUUGGCCUGAUCUAGAUUUGCUUUUAUUUCGAUUAGAAUUUUUGGAUUUUGAUCUACCCCGGUUUGAAUUUUUUUCAUUACCUCUGUCUCUUGUCUCAAGGUUUAGGACAUAACUAGAUCCUGAGGUUUCGCUUGCAUCUCUUCGACGAAUCUCCUCAACUAGAAUUAAAUCUCAUAUAUCAUUGUACUUGAGUUUUUCCUUUCCCGUAGAAUUGCUUACUGCCAUCCUCAUUGCCUCCCAACUGUUUGGCAAAGAAGCCAAGAUGAUCAGAGCACGAAUCUCAUCAUCAAAAUCAAUUUCUACAGACGACAAUUGAUUUGUGAUUGUAUUAAAUUCAUUUAGAUGUUGUGCUACUGAGAUAUUUUCUACCAUCUUCAAAUUGAAUAAUUUCUUCAUCAGAUGCACCUUAUUGUUUGUGGACAGCUUUUCAUACAUACCAGACAAAGCCUUCAUCAGAUCUACUGUGGUCUUCUCUUUUACAACGUUGUGUGCAAUAGACCUAGACAGAGUUAACCUAAUAACUCUUGGAACCUGUCUGUCAAGAAACGCCCAUUCCUCAACCUUCAUACUCUCAGGUUUUGUCCCCAAAAGAGGCAGAUGCAAUUUCCUCCCAUAGAGAUAAUCUUCAAUCUACAUCCUCCAAUAUGCAAAAUCUGUGCCAUCAAAAUUUCUAUUAUAGACGCCUUUCCUGCUUCCUCUGCCAUUGCUCCCACUCAAACCUAACCCUAGGCUCUGAUACCAGUUGUUGUGCCAGUGAAAGCUUUGAUGCCAACAAUGUUAGUUCAAGAACACAAAGAUAAAACAAUCACACAUAUGGUACACGAGGUUUUAACAUGGUUCGGCCAACCAUGUCUUGAUUCAUGCCCAGUCGAUGUAUCAGUUGACUUAUGUCCAGCUGGUGCUCCUUGAUUGACGUAGUAAUCAACAAAAUUUAUAACCUAUUACACCAUGAACUAGGGUAGCAGAGACAAAGCUACUAUAGUAUAGUGGCUCUAGGAUCGUUCACUGGGAAGGGUUUUCAACUCAUAACUGAUACCAAUUCAAAGCUGAGUUGGUGCUUUUUCAUUUCAAGGUUAGCUUUAAAAGAAAACAUAAAGUUGUUUGAGUGAAAAGGGUUUGGUUUUAAACUAACCAAAAAGAAAGUAAUGGAAAUUACUUAUGAAGAAAAACAUUCCUUGAAGGUUUAGGUUCACAGGGGAGAUUCCUUAUACAAAACAGAGCUCCGGUCAUUUGGUUUGUUUCCUCGCAUUAGAGAAUUAACAUAUAGUCAAUUCUCUAACCGGUGUUGUACAGAUGUAACCUUUAAAUAGAUUCCAGCUCUAAUUCCCUCUCACUGAUGCAACUUGCAAUAACUCGUGCCUCUCAUCUAGCAUUUGCCAUCAAGGUGAUCUUUAACUUUGGAUUUCCCUUCUCAAGCUCGCAAGAGAUAACUAAUGGAAGUCUCCUCGGAGUCCAAAAGCUUACUAAAUGUUGGCAAUUCUAGAAAAUCCUACCUCCAAGUCACUUCCCAAAAGCUUGCAAGAGAUAAACAAGUGCAUCUCCAUGGACGAAGAUCACGUGUCUUACCAAGUACUGGCUCAAGUGAUUUGAAGGUGUUUUAAGUUAACUAAAAACAUAGAAAUCAUUAAAGGAUCAUACUUUCUCUUCAUUAAUCACUGAAACCACAAAGCUACUAAUUCUUGCACUUAGAACCUUUCCCUACAACCUUAACUCCAAGGAAUUAAAAGUCUAGCCACUCAUUCUUUGAGGAAAUUUCCUCAGAGCUUGUUUGGCUAGUAAGAAAACUAACAAGAAAACAAAUAUAUGAUAGAAAACCAGAGCAAGUGCUCUGGAAAUAUAUUUCUUGCUUUUCUUGAUUACAAUAUAGAUCGAUACUCUUUCGAUUCGAUAUCCUCUGUAAAGGAAAUUACAAACUAUUUAUAUGGGUUUAUUCACCCUUUUUAUUUACUUAAAAACUAAGGAAUCCCAUGAUAGGUGGAUUACAAGGAGAGUUUGGGAAUUUAGACAACAAAUAUCUAAAGCAAAAUAUCCCAAAAUAUCGCUCGAAAAUGUCAGGAAGGUUCAGGAGAACACCAUUGCACUAUACUGAGAGAAAAACUUUGCAGGUAAGCGUUAUCAGAAGGUCCGGAUAUGUAUAUCCGGAGAAGUCGAAGCGUCCUCCUCUCCCAUCCGGCUAUAGGAUAUUCGGAUGUAAAAUGUUGGCGCACGGAACGUCCUCCUUUCCCAUCCGGAUGUGAGAUAUCCGGAUGAAAAAUGUCGGCGCACAGAACUCGUGAAAAUCACACCCGGCUGAUAGCAUAUCUUAUUUGAAUAUGUUGUCCGGAUGCCCUUCGAUGGUAUAUCCGGACGCCCUGUCCGGGUAUACUCCUUGUAUGGAUUCCAAAGAACUCUCCUCAAUCUCAGAUUUGCUUUGGUGAUAAAAAAGCUAUCAAAACACCAAAACUUAACACAAUUUGAUUAGAAUUGAUUGCAAGGGUCCUUACUAUGUUAAUUGGGUUAAAAGGUGAUAACUACUACUCAAAAGUAUUUAAAAGAGUUAAUUACUGGUUAUCAAAUAGCACUUUUUGAGUAGUAAUCACUCCCCCCAACCGACAUAUUGCUAGUCCCUUAGCAAUGAAGGAGAGAAAAAAAAACAGUACUAUAAUUUACAACAUCAUGCUGAACAAAAAACAAUUUCCUAGCGGCAUGAUGAUCUAACUCUCACAUGGAACAUUAAAGAAAUAAAACUCAAACUUCAACAAGAGUUAUCAAAUAACUUGUCUAAUCACAAUUCUUAAAGAGAAGGCUUUAUGCAAAUUUAAGCUUUAAAAGAGUUUCCACUCCCAAAGGGUCAAACCUUACUCUUCCACAAAAAUCUAAGUGUUAUUUAUUAGCUUCCGAAUAUAGUAUGUAGAACUAAUCUCUCCUCCCAAUCUAGUUUUUUUUUUUCAAAGCUUAGCAAACUGGUCAACCUCCAAUAUGCUAAGAACGCACCUCAUUUUUUUCACAACAAUUUUUUUUUCAUUGUAGGAGUACAAGGCUUAAAGGUAUUAUUUUCUAACUUGUCCAUGUAACGGGGGUCCAUCGAUGACUCCCAACCAAUUAAGGUUUAGGGCAUCAAGCUUUAAGGAUAUUUCAACCACUAGCUCCUCGGAUUUUACCCCGGACUUUUGAGAAUGAAUUUUAAUACCCCAGCACCUACAGUAUGUUAGACUCCACCUAUCCACCCUUGUUACGAGCAUUGAGGUCGGUGACUCCCAACCAAUGAAGGCUUAGGGCACCUGGUUUUAAAGAUUUUCACCAUAUAUCCCUCAGACCUUGCUCGGGUUUCAAGGCAAGCAAACAUUUUUUCUUUCUUUUUCCAAAGGCUCAUUGGCCUUUUACAAGGUGUCCCAACACUAUUAAAUGAGGUCAAAGGUACCAAGUCUAAAAUUUUCCUAAGUCAAGAGGGAAAUAGUUUUUCAUCUUAUACUCGGAACCUAUUGUGCACAGUGUGUGAAUAGCUUAAAGUGGAAGACAUAAGCUUGACUUCAAUAGAAGUUUCAACAAUUCAUCAACUUUAAUAAGCAUAAUACAAACUCUAAGUCAAGUGAAAAGAUAAAAAUUCAAUUUCUCCCAUUCCAUUUUGAAAAUUUUUCCUUAAUAACCAUGGAGAGUAGAAUAAAAACUUUUAAAAAUUUUAAAAUUUAAGCAAAAAGCAACUAAAUUACCAAAAUAACUUAGCAUUAUUAAUAAAAACUUCCUUCCUCAACUCUCCCCCCAACCAAGCUCAACAUUGUCCUUAAUGUGACAACAGCGAUUGAAAAAUAGGGAGGAAGUGGUACCUCCUAAGUGACGUGGAAUGAUGGCUCAGCGGCUUCUCCUGUACUCCCAUUCCAUUUUGAAAAUUUUUCCUUAAUAAUCAUGGAGAGUAGAAUAAAAACUUUUUAAAAUUUUAAAAUUUAAGCAAAAAGCAACUAAAUUACCAAAAUAACUUAGCAUUAUUAAUAAAAACUUCCUUCCUUAACUCUCCCCCCAACCAAGCUCAACAUUGUCCUCAAUGUGACAACAGUGAUUGAAAAAUAGGGAGGAAGUGGUACCUCUUGAGUGACGUGGAAUGAUGGCUCAGCGGCUUCUCCUGUAGGAGGCUCCGGAUGAGGUGGGAAUGGUAUGCUCAGGAGCUGAUGUACUGUCAAGAUGAUGCUGAAUCUGCCUCAGGACGGCAGUGUGCUGGGCCUGAGUGGCAAGAAUCUGCUCCUGCUGAUUCUAAUCAUUCAAAAAGCUAGUUACAAUUAACAUAAUUUAAAACCAAAAUUACAAUCCAAUAAUUUACAAAACUUAAAAAUUAACAUAUUUAACAAAAUUAUGGACUUUGGUGAAACCAAGUCCAUCUAACCCUUCUCUGUUCAGGAUUUCUAUGGCUCAAGGAGGUUGAUUUCCUCCUUUUCUGGCUUGAACGGCUCAAUGUAUGGCUUGAGACGAUGCCCAUUCACUUUGAAAGUUUGAGUGCUCUUGAAGUUGAGUAGUUCCACUACUCCAUUUGAUUGCACGUCAUGAAUUAUGAAAGGACCCGUCCAUCUUGAUUUCAAUUUUCCCGGAAAAAGAUGGAGUUUAGAGUCAUAAAGCAAGACUCUUUGUCUCUUGAUAAAAUUCUUCUGAUUUACCAACUGAUCAUGCCAUUUCUUCAACCUCUCUUUUGCAAUUUUUGAAUUGAGGUAAGCAUCAUUCCUCAUUUCCUCCAAUUCGUUCAAAUGCAAAUAUCUCUUUAACCCGGCACUUGUCAAAUCCAUGUUGAGCUUCUUGAUCGCCCACCAUGCUUUAUAUUCAACCUCCACUGGGAGAUGGCACGCUUUGCCAUAAACAAGGCGGUAAGGAGACAUUCCAAGAAUGGUCUUAUAAGCAGUCUAUAAGCCCAUAAUGAAUCCAGGAGCUUAGUAGACCAAUCCUUCCUAUUCACAUUCACCACCUUCAUCAGGAUAUUCUUGAUUUCCCGGUUGGCUAACUCAACUUGGCCACUUGUUUGAGGGUGAUAAGGUGUAGCUACCUUGUGCUUGACCCCAUAUUUGGCUAGAAGAGUCUCAAACGACUUAUUGCAAAAGUGGGUUCCUCCAUCACUGAUAAUGGCCUUAGGCACUCCAAACCUUGAAAAUAUGUUCUCCUUGAGAAAUUUGAGAACCACCUUAUGAUCAUUGCUCCUACAUGGGAUUGCAUCUACCCACUUAGAGACAUAAUCCACUCCCACCAAAAUGUAGGAGUGUCCAAAUGACAUUGGAAAUGGUCCCAUGAAGUCUAUCCCCCAAACAUCAAAGACAUCCACUAUCAAGAUGGGGUUCAAGGGCAUCAUAUUCCAGCGUGUUAGCUUCCCAAGCCUUUGACACCAAUCACAUCCCUUGCACAUAGAGUGGGCAUCCUUGAAAAGAAAGGGCCACCAAAAACCUGAUUAGACCACUCUCAUGGCUGUUUUCUGGGAGGCAAAAUGACCUCCACAUGCACUAUCAUGACAAUGGGAUAGAAUUCCUGAUUGCUCUUGUUCAGGAACACAUUUCCUUAUGAUUUGAUCCGCACAAUAUUUGAAGAGAAAAGGCUCCUCCCAAUAAUAGGCAUGGAUCUUAGCAAAGAAAUGCUUCUUGUCUUGGGCACUCCACUCACUUGGAACUUCUCCAGUAACCAAGUAAUUUACAAUGUGAGAAUACCAUGGAGUUACCUCUAUUGACAUGAGAGACUCCUCAGGGAAGUCAUCAUUAAUAGGUAGACCAUGUGAGUCAUGUGCUAUCACAAGUCUGGACAAGUGGUCAGCUACCACAUUUUCUACUCUCUUCUUAUCCCGGAUUUGGAUAUUGAAUUCUUGAAGCAGAAGGAUCCAUCUUUUCAAUCUUGCCUUGGCAUCUUGCUUGGUUAGCAAGUACUUUAGAGCAGAAUGGUCAGUGAACACCACUAUAAAGGACCCUACCAAAUAGGCACGAAACUUAUCCAAGGUAAAAACUACUGCCAACAACUCCUUCUCAGUAGUUGUGUAGUUCCUUUGAGCCUCAUUCAAAGUUUUGCUUGCAUAAUAAAUCACAUAGGGCUUUCCAUCUUCUCUUUGCCCCAAAACAGCCCCCAUAGCAAAAUCACUUGCAUCACACAUUACCUCAAAAGGUAAUUUCCAAUUUGGGGCUCUCACUAUUGGUGCAGUUGUAAGGAAUUGCUUCAGUUCCUCAAAACUCUUCUGGUAUUUCUCAUCCUACACAAACUUGACAUCCUUUACCAAUAGUUCACAAAGAGGUUUUAAGAUUUUUGAGAAAUCCUUAAUGAACCUCCUAUAGAACCCGACAUGUCCUAGGAAUUGCCUAAUUCCUUUAACAUUUGUGGGAGGUGGCAACUUAACAAUUAGCUCCACCUUUGCCUUAUCUACCUUAAUGUCAUUCUUGGAGAUUAUAUGUCCUAAGACAAUUCCUUUUUGUACCAUAAAAUGGCACUUCUCCCAAAUUAGCACUAGGUCUUUCUCAAUACAUCUUUGGAGAACAGCUUCUAAAUGCAACAAACACUCCUUAUAAGAACAUCCAUAAACAGUGAUGUCAUCCAUAAAGACUUCCAUGAUGCGUUCUACCAUAUCACUGAAGAUGCUUAGCAUACAUCUUUGGAAAGUUGCAGGUGCAUUACAUAGACCAAAGGGCAUCCUCCUAUAGGCAAAAGUACCAAAGGGGCAAGUGAAGGUUGUCUUUUCCUGAUCUUCCAAAUCAAUUUCUAUUUGGAAGUACCCCGAGUAACCAUCUAGAAAACAGUAGAAAGGAUGCCCUGAGAUUCUCUCAAGGACUUGGUCCAUGAAAGGCAAUGGGAAAUGGUCCUUCCUAGUCGCUGAAUUUAACCUCCUGUAGUCUAUACACACCCUCCAUCCGGAGGUAAGACGUGUAGAGACUUCCUCCCCUUUUUCAUUCUGGAUCACAGUAAUUCCAGAUUUCUUUGGAACUACUUGGGUUGGGCUCACCCACAAGCUGUCUGUAAUGGGAUAUAUGAUCCCUGCUUGAAGUAGCUUCAAAACUUCACCUCUUACUACCCCUUGCAUGUGAGGAUUCAACCUCCUCUGGGGCUGCCUCACUGGUUUUGCAUCUUCCUCCAUGUAGAUAUGGUGGGUGCAUACCAAAGGGCUAAUCCCUUUCAGAUCAGAAAUUUGCUAUCCAAUGGCCUUUUUGCAUUUUAUGAGGACUCCCAAAAGGCUAUCCUCUUGAUCAGUGGUGAGCUUUGAAGAAACCACCACUGCACAUUUCUCAUCUUUCUCCAGAUAUGCAUACUUCAAAUCAACAGGAAGUGGCUUCAAAACUGGUUUUGGAGGGUCCUCCGUAGCUGCUCCUUGUGAGUCCUCCUUAUUGAACAAGGGCAAGAUCUCUUCCCUUCUCCUCCAAGGAGACAUGAUGGCUAAUGGUUCAAAGGGUUCAGGUAACCCUGCUUCAAGCACUCCAAUGCUUUCAUUCAAGCUUUCUUCUAAAUUCUUGUCACAAUGCUCUUCAACCAACGUGUUGAUCAAGCACACCUUCUCCAAUCCUUCCUCCUCUUCGGGUUGAAGAUGCCUCUUGCAUAGGUGGAAUAUGUUUAGUUCCAAGGUCAUGUUCCCAAAUGUGAGCUGCAUAACCCCAUUCCUAUAAUUGAUGAUGGCAUUGGAGGUAGCUAGGAAAGGUCUCCCAAGGAUGAUUGGCACAUAAUUUGGUUCCUUAAUAGUGAGAUCAGUAUCAAGCACCAAAAAAUCCACGAGAUAGUAGAAUUUGUCCACUUGAACUAGAACAUUCUCAAUCACCCCCCUUGGGAUUUUGACCGACCUAUCAGCUAAGGAGAGAGUGAUGGCUGUGGGCUUCAAUUCUCCAAGUCCCAGUUGCUUAUACACAGAGUAUGGGAGCAAAUUCACACUUGCCCCCAAGUCUAAUAGAGCCUUCUCCACAUGUGUCCCUCCAAUGUUGGUUGAAAUGGUGGGACAUCCCGGAUCUUUACACUUAACUGGAGACUUACUCUGAAUGAUGGCACUUACUUGCUCAGUGAGGAAUGCCUUCUUUGUCACAUUUAACCCUCUCUUAACCGUGCACAAGUCCUUUAAAAUUUUUACAUAUGUGGGGACUUGCUUGAUCAUAUCAAGUAAGGGUAUAUUCACCUUCACUUGUCUCAAAACUUCAAGAAUUUCUGAUGAAUUCUUGAUUCCCUUCUUUCCAUGUAAAGCUUGAGGAAAAGGGGGAGGCAUAUGUUUCUUCAUCAUAUCCUCUUUAAUCACUAUCCUUGGCUCUUCUUCAAUGCUUGAUUUAGAUGCAUUUUUCUUCCCACUCUCCUCUUCUUGGUUAUUGCUCUCUUUAACCAAGGUUUUCCUUGACAUGAAUUCUUCGUCUUGUCUCACCUUAGGCAAGGGUUGAUCAACCUCCUUCCCACUUCUCAAGGUGAUCACAACUUUGACCUUCCUCAACUUUGAAGACUCUCCAUCUUGGGUUUCAACUUCAUGAACACCCUUAGGAUUUUGGCUUGGUUGAGAGGGGAACUUUCCCUUCUCAUUCACUGUGUUGAGGUUGGUAAGCCUAGAGAUGGAGUAUUGACUAUUAUCUAUCUUCUGAGAUAGAUCAUUCUGCAUCCCAUCCAUUCUCUUAAUUUGAGAACUCUCAACAUUUUCAAUCUUUUGGUGCAAUUGGGAGUUGAUUGCCUUUUGUUCACCCACAAAGUCACCCAUGACUUUACUUAGGUUUACAAUGGCUUGCUCCACUGAAGAGGUUUGUUGAGGUGCUUGGGUUUGGGCUUGUGGUUGGUAUGGAGGUGGCCUUGGUUUCCAAGAAAAAUUUGGAUGGUUUCUCCAGCUUGAAUUAUAGGUGUUUCCAUAAGGUGCAUUGUUGUUGGGCUUAAAUUGCCCCACAACAUUGGCUUGAUCACCUAAGAUCUCCCUCACAGCUGGGAUGGUUGGGUACUCAUCUACCACAUGAUCACAUGAUUGGCAAAUGGUGUAUGGCAUGACAUGGACUUGUGUCUUUGAAAUGGCUUGGACUUCAUGCAUUUUUUUCAACUCAAGUUCUUCCAACCUCCUUGCCAUUGUUGCCACCUUAGUUUUCAUGUCCACGUCUUCACUUAACAUGUACAUUCCACCCUUUGGAUUUACAGGAGCUUUCAUCCUUCCCACUUCUCCUCUAUGCGGUUCAUCCCAUCCCCUUGAGACUUCAGCUACAUAACUCAAGAAAUCCAUAGCUUCCUCAGGAUUCUUACUCAUGAAAUCCCCUCCACACAUUGUUUCGAGGAGCUGCUUCAUUGAGGAAGACAUCCCAUCAUAGAAAUAACUUACCAACAGCCAUGUAUCAAAGCCAUGGUGAGGACAAGCAUUAAUGGCUUCUAUGUAUCUUUCCCAACACUCAUAGAAUUUCUCAUUCUCUUUAGCUAAGAAGUUUGAAAUUUGUCUUUUCAAGCUGUUUGUUCUGUGAGUAGGAAAAAAUUUCUUGAGGAAUUCUACUUGUAAAUCAGUCCAAGUACGGAUACUCCUUGGCCUUAAAGAAUUAAGCCAAAUCUUGGCCUUAUCCUUUAAAGUAAAAGGAAAUAGUUUAAGCCUCAUCAGGUCAAUAGAAGCUCCUCCCUCUCGGAAUAUAUUACAAACAUCUUCAAAUUCCUUGAUAUGGGAAUAAGGAUUCUCACUUUCCAUUCCGUGGAAAGUUGGCAGAAGUGGCACAAUAUAGGGUCUGAUUACUAGCUGUUCUGUAGGAGGCACUAUACAUGACGGUGCACUCAUACGAGGUGGAUGCAUAUGGUCCCUCAUUGAUCUGAAUUCAUUGGGAUUGUCCUGAUGAUCAUGGUGACUAUGCUGAUCCUCAGGUGUAGUUUCCAUGAUGUUCAAGAUUACUUCCAACUCCUUGUUAUGAGGUGUUUCAAUUUUAACAAGCCUUCCUCCACAAUCUCGUAUCCACUUGGGCAUACACAACUAGUAUCAACUGUAACAAAGAAAGAAAAAGAAAAACAGAGGAAAACAAAAAAACAAAACUACCAAAAAGAGUUCAAUUAACUAAAACUAAAUUCAAAACUAUGCUAGAAUAUAUAAACUAGUAAAAGAGAAAAAAAAAAAACUAAAAGAGUUAGUAAAAUGAGAGAAAACUCACCAAACUUGUGAUGAAAACCACAAGUUCCAUGAAAUAAUAUCAAUAUGAAGUUGGCACCUUCCCCGACAACGAAGCCAUUUGAUUUGUGCCCAGUCGGUGUAUCAGCUGACUUAUGUCCAGCUGGUGCUCCUUGAUUGAGGUAGUAAUCAACAAAAUUUAUAACCUAUUACACCAUGAACUAGGGUAGCAGAGACAAAGCUACUAUAGUAUAGUGGCUCUAGGAUCAUUCACUGGGAAGGGUUUUCAACUCAUAAUUGAUACCAAUUCAAAGCUGAGUUGGUGCUUUUUCAUUUCAAGGUUAGCUUUAAAAGAAAACAUAAAGUUGUUUGAGUGAAAAGGGUUUGGUUUUAAACUAACCAAAAAGAAAGUAAUGGAAAUUACUUAUGAAGAAAAACAUUCCUUGAAGGUUUAGGUUCACAGGGGAGAUUCCUUAUACAAAAACAGAGCUCCGGUCAUUUGGUUUGUUUCCUCGCAUUAGAGAAUUAACAUAUAGUCAAUUCUCUAACCGGUGUUGUAUAGAUGUAACCUUUAAAUAGAUUCCAGCUCUAAUUCCCUCUCACUGAUGCAACUUGCAAUAACUCGUGCCUCUCAUCUAGCAUUUGCCAUUCAAGGUGAUCUUUAACUUUGGAUUUCCCUUCUCAAGCUCGCAAGAGAUAACUAAUGGAAGUCUCCUCGGAGUCCAAAAGCUUACUAAAUGUUGGUAAUUCUAGAAAAUCCUACCUCCAAGUCACUUCCCAAAAGCUUGCAAGAGAUAAACAAGUGCAUCUCCAUGGACGAAGAUCACGUGUCUUACCAAGUACUGGCUCAAGUGACUUGAAGGUGUUUUAAGUUAACUAAAAACAUAGAAAUCAUUAAAGGAUCAUACUUUCUCUUCAUUAAUCACUGAAACCACAAAGCUACUAAUUCUUGCACUUAGAACCUUUCCCUGCAACCUUAACUCCAAGGAAUUAAAAGUCUAGCCACUCAUUCUCUGAGGAAAUUUCCUCAGAGCUUGUUUGGCUAGUAAGAAAACUAACAAGAAAACAAAUAUAUGACAGAAAACCAAAGCAAGUGCUCUGGAAAUAUAUUUCUUGCUUUUCUUGAUUACAAUAUAGAUCGAUACUCUUUCGAUUCGAUAUCCUCUGUAAAGGAAAUUACAAACUAUUUAUAUGGGUUUAUUCACCCUUUUUACUUACUUAAAAACUAAGGAAUCCCAUGAUAGGUGGAUUACAAGGAGAGUUUGGGAAUUUAGACAACAAAUAUAUAAAGCAAAAUAUCCCAAAAUAUCUCAAAAAUAUCGGUCGAAAAUAUCAGGAAGGUUCAGGAGAACACCGCUGCACUGUACUGAGAUAAAAACUCUACAGGUAAGUGUUAUUAGAAGGUCCGAAUAUGUAUAUCCGGAGAAGUCGAAGCGUCCUCCUCUCCCAUCCGGCUAUAGGAUAUCCGGAUGUAAAAUUUCGGCGCACGGAACGUCCUCCUUUCCCAUCCGGAUGUGAGAUAUCCGGAUGAAAAAUGUCGGCGCACAGAACUCGUGAAAAUCACACUCGGCUGAUAGCAUGUCUUAUCCGAAUAUGUUGUCCGGAUGCCCUUCGAUGGUAUAUCCGGAUGCCCUUCGAUGGUAUAUCCGGACGCCCUGUCCGGGUAUACUCCUUGUAUGGAUUCCAAAGAACUCUCCUCAAUCUCAGAUUUGCUUUGGUGAUCAAAAAGCUAUCAAAACACCAAAACUUAACACAAUUUGAUUAGAAUUGAUUGCAAUGGUCCUUACUAUGUUAAUUGGGUUAAAAGGUGAUAACUACUACUCAAAAUUAUUUAAAAGAGUUAAUUACUGGCUAUCAAAUAACACUUUUUGAGUAGUAAUCAUGUCUACAUCCACGACUGAGAGAGAACGAUUCCACUAUACAAUAGAGAAUAUUAUAGAGGACAGAACUAGAUACAACUAUUGGGUUCCCGAAACAUCCCAUGUUUCCCCACUCCUUGUAUCCAUACCCUACUACGAGGUCUCUCGCUCCACCGAGUACCUCCCGUUCUUCCUCACAUCUCUAUCCACCUCGUAUAGUCUCUACAGGUCCAUCUCCAUCUCAUGACUUUUUCCUUUUCAUGACCUAGAAUACUUAUAGAGAUAUUUCCAACAACCUUCCUUAUUCUAUAAGGAAGUCUAAUAUUACAAUAAUAUAUCAACCUAGAAUUAUUCUAUAUAAUAUUCUUUAUAAAAAAAAGAAUCUAUACUAAUUAGGAAUUUGGGAUGCUUCCUAAUACCUAUGCCAUCGACGUCCCCAUUGUGGCCUCUUCUUGAAACUUCUUGAUGUGUUUCCAAAACCUUCUCAAGGCAUCUGCAUGUUCCCAGCUUACUUGCCUCUUAGGUAGUCUUUUCCAUCGAACUAGAUACUCUAUCACAGGAAGGACCCCUUAUCUCUUGGUAACUUGUUCAAAUAGGAUAUUCUUCACCUCUUUCUCUUGUGAGGCCUGAGAUGAAUGCAAACACUUGCAUUUUCGAUGCUUGGAGUGCUGCUUCCUAUUGCUUAUUGAGUUCACCUUUUCCUUAGUGACCUUGUCCAUGUGUGUGUGGGCUACCACAACUCGCUCCUCUUUUGCCUCUUUUACUUGCACCCUUGAUAGUAAGAAGGUCUUAGGAAUACUAGGCUUUGGGUUGGAGGGUACCUAGUAGCUGCAUCAAGCCCAUAUGUGCUUCGCCUUCCUAUUUCCUCUCUUCGAUCAUGGCCUGAGCGCCUUCCUCUUUGGGCAAUCCUAUGCCCAAUGUGGAUCGUCACACAGGAAGCAUUUGAUUCUAGGCGUAAACUCCUUCCUUUUCGCCUUACGUCUUCCUUCCCGGAUGCUAGGCAUCUUGCCUGAUCCCAUUUUAGGAGCAUUAUAGUCUCUUGAAACCCCGUCUCCCCCACCCGUGGCGUGGCUAUUCUCUAAAGACUCAACCUUGGAGGAGUCUUCCCUCUUGUAAUGCGUUAAAGACUCUGCUACUACCAUAGCAGUGGCUAAGUCUUGAACACCUUGGCACCUUAAUUCUUACUCGGCCCACCCUUGUAGGUUAUCCAUGAAGUUGAAUAGUAGAUCCUCUUUAGUCAUGUUAGGAAUCUCAAGCAUAAGCGAAGAGAAUUCCUUGGCAUAGUCGCGUAUCGAACCUGUGUGCUUGAGACACCUCAUGUUUUUCCUAGUCAAGUAAGCCACGACCUUGGGGUAGAAUUGCCUCUUGAUCUCCCUCUUAAAGUCCUCCCACGUCUCUAUGGUGCAAAUGUCUUUUUCCAUAUCGGCGAACCUCCGACUCUACCAUAGAGUAGCUGUGUUAGUAAGGUAGGGGGGUUACAGUCCUUACCUUAGUCGCCUCAUCAGAUAGUGCGAUGGCCUCGAAGUAUCGCUCCAUAUGCCAUAAGAAGUUGUCCAACUCCUUGACAUCCCGCUUGCCACUAAACCCUUGUGGCUUCGGCACCUCCACCCUAGAUGCCUCUUGGGUGGGCAUGACCCAUGCCGACACAACAGUCUUGUAGAUGGCCAACUCCUACCUAACCUCCUGGUCUUGGGACUCCAUUCGAGUGGCCAAAGCCUCCAUCCUUGACUCUAUACUAGCAAGCAUGCUCAAGACAUUUUCUUGGAAGGACACAAACUCCUCGUGCGACACUGUCUAAACCUAUGAGACUAGCAUCUCCUCACGAAGGUCUUGGAUCUGUUCCCUAAGAUCUUUCAUACCCUUCUCCAUGCCUUGCUCAAUCAAGUCCAACCCCUCCCGAGUGUCUGCCAUGGCUAGCUCCACCUUAGCUAACCUUGCCUCCAUGUUAGCAACGACAUCAUGAGAUUUAUCCUUCCUACCCCUGCCCCGUGCAGUAGGCUCGGUCUCCCUCCCACGGGUUUGUUCACUAGUCUCAUCCACGUUGGAGCCCGACAUGCUUCCUUUACUAUGCCCACUUCAUAGCUACGCUUUGAUACCACUUGUCACGGACUUAAUCUUUUCCUAAGCUCGUGUGGCACUUAGACAAGUCAAGACACUUUAUCUUGCUAAGUCAGCCUUACUCCCAAUGCUUAGCUUGCUAGGCUAAGAUGCUCACGACUCGGAACCUAUUUAUAGGCACCAAUGGAACUCUCUGGAACCUUGCAAGGUUCCUUAAAACUAAAGAAUAAUCUAGAAAUUCCUACACUAGUCUUAUGUACAAGGGUAUGUACAAGAUGACUUUGAAGUAUUCUAGAACACCCUACACAAUCCCAAUUCUCUCUUAGCCAAGUGUAGAGAUGUGUGGGCAUCUCUAGCCCUCUCCAAAAGCUUCCAUACUCUUCCACUUUGUAGCCAAGUGUAGUGUCUCCAAGGGUCUUUAGAAGCUUCCCACCUCCUAUAUAAGCCUAUGGGAAGGGUCAUUUGAAACAUCUUGUGACACUAAGCUCAACUUAUGUUGGGCCUAAGUCCAAGCCUAAUAGCAUGUUUUAUAAAACUUAAUAUUUAAUACUUAUUACUUAAUGACUUAUGUUGACUUUAAGUUAAAUUGUUUGAUAAAAUUAUUUUAAGUUAUUAAAUUAACAUAUUUACCCCAUUGGUUGUAAUUAAUAUUUAUUAUUAAAAUUUUAACUAAUAUUUAUUUUUAUUAAUUUUAAGUAAUAAAUUUUUUUAUUAAACAUCCAUACUUGAAAGUAUUGUAGAUUUAUGUAAUAACUUUAAAAUAUUUAUUAGAAAAAAUGUGUCAUGGAUUUGGUUGUUAAAUAUAUUUUCAUUAGAUAUGAGCAAAUAAGACAAUAAAAAUUUAGGAUUAAGAAUAAGUUAACUAUUUUAACUUAAUAUUUAAAUUUAUUUUUAAUUUUAGGUUGUGAUAUGAAGUUGUAUUUAAAAGACAUGUUUAAUCUACUUAAUAACUUAAAUUAAAUUAUUAUGUCACUUUAAGGCAUUAAGUUAAAUUACCAAUUAAACAUCCUAUAAGACCAAAAUAAGACUCUAAUCAAAUAUAUAUAUAUAUAUAUAUAUAUAUAUAUAUAGAGAGAGAGAGAGAGAGAGAGAGAGAGAUUAUCAUUUAUAUUUGAUUACUAUAUAUACAAUAAAAAAUCAAUUUAGUUAUAAUUUUGAGAAAUUCAUGCAUAGAUUAAGGUGAUGUUUGGUAAAACUUAAUACCUAUUACUUAAUCAUUUAAGUUGACUUUAACUUAAAUUAUACUUAAAUUGUUAACUUAAAACUUAUUAUUUAAGUUUUACUUUAAGUAUUAAGGUUAUUUGAUCAAAUUAACUUAAAACUUAUUCUAAAUUAUAAAAUUGACAUAUUUGUACUCAUAAAUUAAAACUAGGGCAAAAAAGAUCGAAUAAUAGCGGAUGUUGUAGAGUAGCAAAAGAGAUGGUCUAGUUAAUUAGGAUAAAUAAGAGUAAAAAAGCAAAAUAAAUAUACGAACUUAAUUAUUUUUACUUAUUACUUAAAGUUAUUUUUAACUUUAUAUCACACCAUUAAAUUAUUUUACUAAUAAAUAAGAGCAAAAAAGCAAAAUAAAGAUAUGAACUUAAGAAUAAGUUAAUUAUUUUUACUUAUUAUCUAAAACUGUUUUUUACUUUAUGUCACAUUAUUAAAUUAUUUUUCCAAAUAUAAUUAAUGUAGUUAAUGAAUUAAAUUAAGUUAUCAAGUUAUUUUAAGUUAUUAAAUUGAUUUAUGAAACACACACUAAAUAAAAAACUUAAAUUUAUUUAUUUAUUUUUUUGUUGUCUCUCAUGAAUAAUUAAAAGAAAAGAAAAAGUAAAAUAUCACAUUUCCCAAAAUAAAGAAAUAAACAUACACUCCAAUAUUUUUCUUUUCACUUCAAUAGGCCCUCAAUAUAUCUUAAUCAUAUUGUCCAUUGUCUACUCUCUUCAACCCUUUUGGGAUAAUAUGUGAUGUCGGACAAUUACAUGAGUUGGGUUUUCACCGGGCAAUCAACUAUUUUAUAAUGGCAAUAGACCUCUGUCUUAAUUGAGGACAAAGCCUUGCACUUGGGAUCUUUUCCAAGGGAUCCUUCUAAGAAUCCAAUGAUUUCUAAACCAUUAACUUUUAUUAUAAGGAUAACCCAGUUCAUGACAAUGGGAUAUGGGCUACUUGGAUGUCUAUUUUUUUUCCUAAUUUCCACAUGCAAACUGACAAAUAGAAUGUGAACAAAAUAAGGAUAACCCAGUCCACGACAAUGGGAUAUGGACCACAUGGAUGUCUAUUUUUUCCUAAUUUCCACAUGCAAACUGACAAAUAGAAUGUGAACAAAAUAAGGACAGCAUGGUAAUAAUGAUUGAAGAAUAACAAAUUUAGUAUUCGAUGGAAUAUAUUUUCUUUUUUUUUAAAAAAAUACAAUAAUUUCUAUGUAAAAUAUAAUAAUUUUUUUAUUUAUAAAAAGGUUUAAAUUGAAAAUGUAAUGAUUUUUAAAAAUUAAUUUAAAAAAGUGAAGUGUUAAAAGCUUUUUACUACUUUAAAUUUUGAAAAAAAUCAAGGAUAUAAAAGUUAAUAUUUUUUUAUUAGAGUUUUUAUUUUUUAAAAUAAAAAAUAAAAAAUUAUAUUUAAAGAAAGCUUUGCUUUAUAAAUUAUUAUAAAAAGCCUCAUUUUUUAAAUAAUAAGAUCAUCUGGUCAUUCCAAAGUGUAUAUGGAUUGUACGUUCUUGAUGGUUAUUCUUCUUGGAAGAUAUCAUCCAUACAAACCACUGCCAAUUUUUACAAUGGCUUCGAGUGAUAAAUGACAAAUACAAGAAUGACGAAUAAAACUAUGUUAUAUAUAUAUAUAUUAUUAUCAAAAUUUUGUUUUGUCAUUGCCAGCAUUUAUCUGCUGGUGGUAGAAACUAAGUAUACAAGUGCCUCUUUUCUUUGUCACGGCUUAAAAAUUUUUAAAAAUAUUUAAUUUUUUUUCGAAAACAUUUUUUUAAGUUAAAAACCUUUUCUAGAAUUACUAUUAAAUGACUCUUAAAGUCCAUUUAGUAAUGAUUUAAACAUUUGUAAUUAAAAAAUAAAAAUUUUCAAAUGUUAAAGGUAAUAAAAAUACUUUUUAAAAUUACUACUAAACGUAUUUUUGGAGUCUGUUUAACAGUAAUUUUAAAAAGUUUUUUUAUUUUAAAAAACAUUUUUGAAAAGAAAUUAAGUAUUUGAGAAAAUUUAGGAAACAAUUUUAAAAAUCUAAAAAAUUACUUAUAUUUCUAAUUUUAUAUUUACGGUUUCAAGAGAGCCUUAGGCAUCGUUUGUAGUAACCAAUGACAUAAGCAAAGAUGGUGGUGAUACUACGAAAUUUUUGGAAUACUGAGAAGUUGAAAAGCUAAUAUUGAUAGAGACCAUUUAAGACAUAGUGUACAGGCUUUGAAAUGAUAACACGUGUUCCUAUCGUGAGGCAAUAAAAAAGUGGUGUAUAUUUGCCGGCCAUUCCUCGCCAGUGCAUAGGAUAAGAAGUGAUGGGGCUACUCGUAUAAAUUGGUUCUCUCAACUAUGAAGUAAUUCAGAGGUCGCUCCUUGAAGUCUCUUCCAAAGCGGAAAUGAAGCUUAGCUCAGUUGCAAUCUCCUUUGUUUUUAUUACUCUCUUGAUAUAUGCAUGGAGGUUAUUGAAUUGGGUGUGGUUGAGACCAAAGAAGCUAGAGAGAUGCCUCAGGCAGCAAGGUCUGACUGGGAAUUCCUACAGCUGCUUGUAUGGGGACUUUAAAGAGAUGUCGAGAAUGAUUAACGAAGCAAAUUCCAGACCCAUCAGCUUCUCUGAUGAUAUUGUGCAGCGAGUUCUACCAUUUCACGAUCAUUCCAUCCAGAAAUAUGGUAUGAAAAUGAGCUACUCUUUAUCAUUGCACUAAAAUAUAUUUAUUUGUGGAAUUUUCCCCAAGGGAUUGUUGGUCUUUGGUUUUUUUUUUAUUAGUUAUUUUUCCUAUCCAUUUUUUUUCUUCUCUAAGAAGUUAUAGCCCAAUGGAAUUUCAAUGGUAUUUCAAAUUUCUUUUUUCUACGUCGGAGUGUAAUUUUUAAGGUUUAUUUGAUUAAAAAGAAUAAAAUAAUCCCAAGUUUAGAAAAAUAUCGUUAUGAUAAAAAAAAAAACUCAUUUUCUAAAAAUAAAAAUAAAAAUACUUAUUGUUUUUCUUUUCAACCUAAAAAAUGACCUUUUUUUUUUAAUAAAAUCAUACCCCAAAAAAAUGUGUUUUCAUAUGGUAAAAAAAAAAAAUUACAAAAUAGGAACUCAAAUUUAUAAAAUACAAAUUUCAAACAACUAUCUAAAAAUAAUUACCAUUUUAUGAACUUUUUUAUCUAAUGUGCUACCUUUGAUCAUCCUUAGUACUAUCUUUGAUAGGUAUAGAGGAUUCCUAUUUUAUAAUCAUUUUUGCCUGAGUGUGUAAAAACUCAUUUGUUCGAAUAUACUUAUUGUUUUUCUUAUAAAAAUAACAAUUUUUUUUUUAAAAAAAUGUACAAAUAAAUUAUCAAAAUAUUAAGAGAUGUUUAUAUAAAAAAUGAACUAAUUUUUAAGUUGAAAUAUGAGAGGUGUUAGAUUUACAAAUUUAGGAUUAUUUUAUCCCUUUUAAUUGUGUAAUUCAAUUUUUUUAUAAGCUAUAUGUAGGUAUAUAUAGAUGUCAACUUUGAUAAAUUGUUUAAUCAUUGGGAAAUGUGAAUAGUCUUUAAAUUUUUAUGCUAAUUGUUUCUCAUCUUUUCAAAUUUUGCAUGAACUUCUGACUUUUGAUAAUUAAUCACAUCAGUAUACUUUUCUUUAGAUAUUUGAGCUUCUUCAAUCAGAGAGCCUUGCAUUUGACUCCUUGAGUAUUCAGGUCCUUUAGAUCCUUUCUGACAUUUAUCCAACAAUGGGCAUUAAAAAUGCAGGUAAAAAUAGUUUUACAUGGUUGGGCCCAAAACCAGUGGUAAACAUUAUGGAGCCUGAGCUGAUAAGGGAUGUUUUCUUAAAGCACAAUGCCUUCCAAAAAGUACCGCCACACCCUCUCGGCAAGCUGCUGGCCACUGGUGUUGUUGCAUUGGAAGGUGAACAAUGGACUAAACGUAGAAAGAUCAUAAACCCAGCUUUCCAUCUAGAGAAGUUGAAGGUAGUUUUAAACUUUUGAGGCACUAUUUUUUUGGUUAUGCAGCCAGACCCCAACUUGUUGCCUGGUUUCUCUGCAUAGCCCUCUUCUUAUAGGAAAGAAAAUAAAUUUCUGAAUGUUCCAUAAUUUAGUAGACAUAUUCACAAUUUUACUGCCUCUUGUAAUCUUUUUUCUUAUGCAUGAUAAAUUUUUUCUAAAUUUAUUAUUUGUGUUUGAAUUUGUAUAGCACAUGGUAUCGGCAUUCCAAUUGAGUUGUAGUGAUAUGGUCAAUAAAUGGGAGAAGAAGCUCUCCCUGGACGGCUCAUGUGAAUUGGACGUUUGGCCCUAUCUUGAAAAUUUGGCGGGAGAUGUGAUUUCUAGAACUGCAUUUGGUAGUAGCUAUGAGGAAGGAAGAAGGAUAUUCCAACUUCAGAGAGAGCAAGCACAUCUUGCAAUCCAGGUUACUCGGUCAAUCUAUGUUCCCGGAUGGAGGUAGGCAUAAAAUAUUUCAAGGGAUUAAUCUGAACCUCAGUACUAAUACCCAAAUGCUAUAACUUUCACAGUAUCAUCAACAACAACAGUAAUAAUAAAAAUAAAAAUAAAAAAGAAGAAGAAGGAGGGUUUGAUCCAGCAUGGGACAAAAGCAAGAAUAAAAUUAAUAACUGUUAUAGCAUUUAAGAACUGUAUGAUGUUUCAUUUAUUUUGUUAAUAUGGCUCUCGACUAAUUUUUGUUUUCCUUUAAGAGCUUUCUUUUUGUACAAAUUAAAGAAUAUAGCUGUGUCUUCAAAACAAAAAUCAAGUUCAAGUAUCCCCUUUUCUUUUAUUGGCAGAACAUCUUAGCAAGAUGCAUGGUGAAAUACUACUAUAAAAUAUAUGUAGACUCAAUGAAGUCAUGGAUGAAAAUGCAUUAGUUGUUUCCUGUAUUUCAUUGAUCUUCAUUUACUUGGAUUACUUCCAAGCAGGUUUUUCCCAACAAAGACAAACAGGAGAAUGAGGCAAAUUAGCAAUGAAGUCAAUGCAUUGUUGAAGGGUAUCAUUGAGAAAAGAGAGAAGGCAAUGAAAGUUGGCGAAACUGCUAAUCAUGAUUUAUUAGGUCUACUAAUGGAAUCCAACUACAGAGAUAUGCAAGAAAAUGAUGAGAGGAAGAAUGUUGGAAUGAGCAUCAAAGAUGUCAUUGAGGAGUGUAAGCUAUUCUACCUUGCUGGCCAAGAGACUACCUCGGUUUUACUUCUGUGGACGAUGGUUCUAUUAAGCAAGCAUUCAAACUGGCAAACUCGCGCAAGGGAAGAGGUUUUACGGGUUUUUGGUAAUAAAAAACCAGAUGGUGAUGGCUUAAAUCACCUCAAAAUUGUGAGUAUCAAUCCAAAAUAUAUUCAAUUUAGUAACUCUUCUUGAAAAUAAUAUAUUACUCUUUUCUUUUUUUUUUCUUUUUUUUUCAAUCUUGAGGCAAAAUAUGUUUUGUUUCUGUAUCCUUUUUACUUUAAUUGAAAACUAUAUGCAGAUACUUGGUAUCCCCAAUGGAAUUUUUCUUUCCUUAUCUACGCGCACAAUGCAUCAGCACUGGCCAAUUGACUUUACUGAAGAAGGGGCGGACUAUUCUUUUCUUUGCGUGAAUUUUUUAUUUGCUUGUUAGGUUGUUUUGAGUGUGGUGAAAACUUUAUGCAAAUACUUAGUAUCAAUCAUUUACAAUACUUUAUGAUAAUCUUGAUAUUUCCUCUUGCCAAGCGUGUUUUCUUGAAAUUGGAACUCUGGGCUAUAAUAAAUUUUCCGGGGGUUCUUAGUUUGUAUUCACCAGUUACUGUAUGGCCCUAUAUGUACAUGAAAGUAUGUCAUGCAAAAAUUUAAACAAUCUCUCUCAUUACUAUAUUCGAAAAGUUCUUUCAUGGUUUGAUGUAUGCUUCUUAGUAAUCAUUUAGUGUAUUUCAGUAAUGAAUUUUCAUGAUAAAAAUAUUUUCUAUAUUGCAGGUUACUAUGAUUUUUCAUGAGGUCCUUAGGUUAUAUCCACCAGUGUCCAUGCUUCUUCGAACUGUUUUUGCCGACAGCCAAGUGGGAGGAUUGUAUUUACCAGAUGGAGUGCAGAUUGCUUUGCCAAUCCUCCUACUUCACCACGAUCAUGAAAUUUGGGGAGAGGAUGCAAAGGAAUUCAACCCGGGGAGAUUUUCAGAAGGAGUUUCUAAGGCAGCAAAGACCCAAGUUUCAUUUUUUCCAUUUGGUUAUGGUCCUCGGAUAUGCGUUGGACAAAAUUUUGCAAUGAUGGAAGCAAAAAUGGCUUUGGCAAUGAUCUUACAACGUUUCUCAUUUGAACUUUCCCCAUCCUAUGCUCAUGCACCUAUUAGUCUUAUAACUAUGCAACCCCAGUAUGGUGCACACCUGAUUUUACAUGGACUUUAGCAUCAGAGUUCUUGUUAUCAGUGAGAGUUAGCAAGACCUUUAAACCUAGAUAGUGUUGAAUUUAAAAUGCCCACACUUCCUUUCACUUGAAAUGAGUGCUCUUUAAAGCCAUUAUAUUAAUAAAAUUCUCUUUUGUAUGUUUGUAAGAGAUCAUAUAUAAAAAUGAUCACUUUACAAGGAGAUGCAUUUUUCUCUAUUCUUGUCCCCCCAAAAUGAAAAGAAAAGAAGAACUGCUGACAAUCUAUAUUUGGAGAAUGGACAUACAUUGAAAUUAUUUCUGAUGGGUGACCAUGCAUGUUGUGAUAUCUACAAGGAAACUACCAUUCCAAUAAUAGGAGAAAUAUUCUCAUUUGUUCUUAUCGUUAUAGAGUGGUGUCUCAUUCACUAUAAUUGGGUAGUAGACUCUUACGGAAUUUUAUGGCUAGGUAUCUGUAAAGAAGUUCGUACUAAAUUGGGUAGCAAGAUAAUACAAUUUUGGAGUUACUACCUCUAAGAAGUUGUCUGCGUACACUUGAUUCCAAUCCAUGUAAUGACAAAUUAUAAACCUCAGGGGCCCGGUCCACCCCCUAUUUUUAUUGGAUCUACAAUUUUGCCAUUCUCCAAGAGUUUUAGACAACUUCACAAUGUUCCACAACCUUAACGAACCUUUUGGAUGAGCUUGAUGUGGUUGCAGUAGCUUUACAUGAUUGCUAUAAUCCCAUAUUGGAAGCUUAAGAAAGAGGAACCUCUCCUAGUACCUAUAAAAAGAGGACCUUGUAAUUUAUUGUUGAUAAGAGAUCGUAUAGAGAAGUUUCUUAUUGUUAUUUCACUUGAUUUCUUCAAGUGUAGUAUUCUUAUUUUCUUCUAGUUUCACUUCUGCAGCAAGCCAAACUCACUGGGAUGCUCAGAGUUUUUAGGUGCUCAAACACUACAUGGAUUUUUAGGAGAGAUCUUGGUCUACCAAAAGUGGUGGACUUGUUAGAAAGCACUAGCAAAAUAAAAAUAAAAAUAGAAAGAAAGAAAGAAAAGCGAAGAAAUCAUUGAUAAUAAAAUAUUCACAACUGAUCUUGACAUGUGGAUAAAUGAUUUCAUAAUCAAGAAGUAUUCACAAUUGCAAAACCAUCCACAAGCUUACAUGCAUGCCCUUUUAGCUUUGUGCUAUAUAUUUAGAAUUUUGGGAGAAGCAAAGAAAGAAAAAUGAAGAAUAUUUUUUAACAAUUGAAUUUAAAAUCAUGAUGCACUUUCAUCUAUUUAUAGCUAGGCAUAACAAUAAAUUAUAACAUUUUAUAUAUUUUAACUUUACAAAGUCUACCAAUGACUUUACACCUAUUCUAACAUUACAAUUUAUUUGUGAAUUUAUAAUGUAACUUCACAAUUAAUUUGUAACUUUAGAACUUUUGUUUCUAACUUCAUAAUCGAUUAUAAAUUUACAACUUUUGCAACUUCACAAGUUAUUGGUGUCUAUCUACUACCUUUUGUAACUUUAUAAUUCAUUGUACAUUACAAUAUUUUAAUUUAUAAAGUAAAUGUCUAUGAUUAAUUAACUUAUUUGUAUGUUAUGAACCCUUUAUAUUUCAAAGUUAAUUGUCUCUUAUCAAUAAGUUAAGGUGAGGACAUAUGGUAUGGGACCUUUGUGGGAUCUUUAAUUACAUCCUUAGUAAGUUUGUUAUGUUUGUUCCAAAUAAAUUUAUUAAUUAUAAUUAUAUUUAAAACAUAUUAUAAUUUCACCCCAAGAAUAGGAGAUAUAUAAGUCAACUUCCCACUUAUAUAUAUACAUAUUAAUCCUUCCAUUAAUUAAUAUUCAUAACAAGUUUAUUAGGUUGAACCAAGAUGACUGUCAUUACCCAAAUUACAAGUGCAUCACCUCUUAUAAUUGGAUCUUUAAGAAAAACAAUUUAAAAAUUCCUAAUAAACAAUAUACUAUAUUAUAGAUAUGUACACUUGAUAGAAUACUUAUUCUAAAUUGACCAACUGAUAUUUUAAUAUAUUUUGUAAGUGACACAAUAUUGAAUAUUCUCUCAUAAUAUAGUCUAUUAUUAGACAUCAACAACUAACAACAUCAAAGCUAUAUUUACAUAACUUGAUGACAUCCUUAAGCCAAAGGACUUUAUGCAACACUAAACAAAACAAGUUUUUGUUGGAAUAUCUAGAUUACUCCAUUCCAAGCAUCGUCUCAUGGAGUGCAUACUACUACAAUCCUAAGGAUACUAGAUUUAAUGCAAUGGAAGCAACAAAAACAAAAAUGUUAGAUUUAGGUGCUCCAGAAAACAAUACUUAUGAUUUGAACAGUCCUAAAUCAACUCUAGUUGGUCAAUAGUAUGAUUUAGAUCUUGAAAACAUUGCAAUUUUUUUUCUAAUGGCUCUCUCCUAAACCUUACAUGUGAGAAUGGUGGAAUCCUUUCUAUGGAGAUGAAGGCUAAGGCUCUAUCUUGUUUAAAGGUUGAAUAAUUGAAGUUAUAAGCCUUAAACCCUCAAUAGGAUUUAUAUAGUCUUUGUCUAUGGGCUUAAGUGGCUUGUGCCCAUCUUGGGUUUAGGUCGGUUAAUCUAGCCUAUUGGUUCCUAAUUAAUUAAUUAGUCAUAUUGGGAUACAAUUAUGCAACCUUGUGUAUUUAUCAAAAUACCCUUAUACACACAUAUGAACAAAAAACACCCUAAUAUCCUUCAAAUAAUUAAUGUGCCACCAAGGAAUAUGAACUUGAGUAGGGACUAUAAGGACCUAUAGGAAAAUAAUGGCCUUUUCAUAAUCUAAUUAUGAAGUUAACUCAACACUGUCAUGCUUCCUUGCACCCUUCUAUACACAUAAGGUUCAUUCUUGUUUUGACCAAAAUCAAGGGUCUUAAUUUCAUGUUCUAAACAUUUGUUCCAUGAGCAAGAAGCUUGAAUUAAUCCAAAAAUAGACUUAUGCAAUUUGCAUACUAGAUGCUCUCUGCCCUUUGCUAUGAAAACAUCUGGUUGUAUCAUAUAAAUGCUCUCAUCAAGGUAGUCAUUUAAGAAUAUUGUCUUGACAUCCAUAUGACAUAUCUCAUAAUUGAGAUAAACUGCAAUGUAUAUGAGUACUUCGAUGGAUUUGAGUAUGGCUACCAUAGAAAAAGUUUCCCAUAGUCAAAACUAGGUUUCAAACUAUAAACCUUUAGCUAUAAGCUUAGCCACAAAAGUCUCAAUUGUUAGGAUAAAGCCUCAAAAGCAUGAGAAGAUGUCAUAAAAAAAGUUUCCAUUUCUAUCAUUGAUUGCAUUAAUUUUUACCCGAGCAUUCAAAGCUCGUAUGAUUACUAGUCAAAAAGUGUUAUUUCAUAGCUUGUAAUUAACUCUUUUAAACACUUUUGAGUAGUAGUUAUCACCUUUUAACCCAAUUAACAUAUUAAGGACCCUUGCAAUCAAUUCUAAUCAAAUUGUGUUAAGUUUUGGUGUUUUGAUAGCCUUUUGAUCACCAAAGCAAUCCAAGAUUGAGGAGAGUUCUUUAGGAAUCCAUGGCAAAAGAUGUCCGGACAGGGUGUCCGGACACACCAUUAGAGAGCGGCAGAACAUGGGCUGUAGCAAGGCUUGCUCACUUUAGUCAAUGUUUUCCAUCCGGACAACAUAUCCGGAUAGGAUAUGCUGUCAUCCGGGAGAGGGGUCCCUAUACCUUGCACACGCAGACGGUCCCCCUUGCGCAGCAUAGCUCAGUCCACCCGGGGAGGAAUUCCGUCCGUCGACAUUUCACAUUCGGAAUUCCAUGCGCCAACAUUUUACAUCCGGAUAUCUCACAGCCGGAUGGGAGAGGAGGACGUUUCAACUUCUCCGGUCAGACAUAUCCAGAUCCUCUGAUAGCGUUCACCCGGAGAGCAUCUGCGGUCGACAUUUCAGAUUACCCGGAUUUUGCACAAUGUUGCAGUGUUCUCCUGAAGCUUCCCGAUAUUUGCCACCGACUAAGAUUUUUUCUCUUAAGAUAUUUUGUGUAAAUUUCUAUUUUCUCCUUGUAAUCAGUCAAAGAUAUUAUUGGGAUAUUUCUUAGAAAAUAACUUCUCUAUAUAUAUCUUUGAACCAUUGUAAAGAGGAGAGAUAUUAUAUAUAUAUAUAUGAAACCGAUGAACAGAGCACUUGCUCUGUUUUUGUUCUUCAUAUUUUUGUUUUCUUGUUAGUUUUCUUUCUAGCCAAUCAAACUCUGAGGAUUUUUCCUUAGAGGAUGAGAGGCUAGGCUCUUUGUCUCUUGGAGUGAAGAAAGCCGGGUAAGUUUCCUCAUGCAUAAAUUGGAAGUUUUGUUGUUUUAGUUUUUAAUGAAGAGAAAGUGUGAUCCGUUAAUGGUUUUUAUCUUUUUAGUUAACUUAAAACGCCUUUAACUCACCUAGGCCAACACUUGAUAAGGCAAGUGAUCUCCAUCCAUUGAGAUGCACUUGUUUAUCUCUUGCGAGCCUUUGGGAGGUGGUUUAGAGGUAGGAUUUUCUAGAAUUGCCAACACUUGGUAAGCUUUUGGACUCUAAGGAGACAUCCAUUAGUUAUCUCUUGCGAGCUUGAGAAGGGAAGUCCAAAGUUAAAGAUCACCUUGAAUGGCAAAUGCUAGGUGAGAGGCAUGAGCCAUUGAAAGUUGCAUCAGUGAGAGGGAUUUAGUGUUUGAACCCAUUAAAGGGAAGCAUCUGUACCACACCGGUUAGAGAAUUAACUAUAUGUUAAUUCUCUAAUGCGAGGAAAAGAAACAAGUGACCGGAACUCUCCUUUUUGUAUGAGGAACCUGAGCCUAGUGAUCUAAACUCCAAGAAACACUUUUCUUUGUAGUUAAAAUUAGUUACUAUUUUUUGUUAGCUUAAAACCAAACCUUUUUCAUUCAAACAUCUUUAUGUUUUCUUUUAAAGCUGACUUUGAAAGGAAAAUGCACCAAUUCAUCUUUGAAAUAAUAUCAAUUGUGGAGUGAAAACCCAUCCCAGUGAACGACCCUAGAGCCACUAUGCUAUGCUAGCUAAGGCUAUCCUAGUAUGAUUCAUUCUCAAUUGGUGUCUCAGCUGAUUCAUGUCCAACUAGUGCUCCUUGACUGAGGAAGUGAUCAAUAAAAUUUAUAACCUAUAUCACCAUGCAUUAGGAUAGCUUUAGCUAAUAUAGCAUAGUGACUCUAGGAUCGUUCACUGGGAAGGGUUUUCAACUCACAACUGAUACCAAUUCAAAGCUGAGUUGGUGCUUUUUCAUUUCAAGGUUAGCUUUAAAAGAAAACAUAAAGAUGUUUGAGUGAAAAGGGUUUGGUCUUAAACUAACCAAAAAGAAAGUAAUGGAAAUUACUUAUGAAGAAAAACAUUCCUUGGAGGUUUAGGUUCACAGGGGAGGUUCCUUAUGCAAAAACAAAGCCCCGGUCAUUUGGUUCAUUUCCUCGCAUUAGAGAAUUAACAUAUAGUCAAUUCUCUAACCGGUGCUAUACAGAUAUAUCCUUUAAAUGGAUUUUAGCUCUAAUUCCCUCUCAUUGAUGCAACUUGCAAUGGCUCGUGCCUCUCACCUAGCAUUUGCCAUUCAAGGUGAUCAUUAACUUUGGACUUCCCUUCUUAAGCUCGCAAGAGAGAACUAAUGGAUGUCUCCUUGGAGUCCAAAAGCUUACCAAGUGUUGGCAAUUCUAGAAAAUCCUACCUUCAAGUCACUUCCCAAAAGCUCGCAAGAGAUAAACAAGUGCAUCUCCAUGAACGGAGAUCACUUGCUUUACCAAGUGUUGGCUCAAGUGAAUUGAAAGUGUUUUAAGCUAACUAAAAACAUAGAAAUCAUUAAAGGAUCACACUUUCUCUUCAUUAAUGAUUGAAACCACAAAGCUACUAAUUCUUGCACUUGGAACCUUUCCCGGCAACCUUAACUCCAAGGAACUAAAAGUCUAGCCACUCAUUCUCUAAGGAAACUUCCUCAGAGCUUGUUUGGCUAGUAAGAAAACUAACGAGAAAACAAUUAUAUGAAGGAAAAACAGAGCAAGUGCUCUGUGAAAUAUAUUUCUUUCUUCCGUCGAUUACAUAAUAGAUUGUAAAGAAAAUUACAAACUAUAUAUCAGGUUAUUCACCCUUUGUUCUUACUUAAAGACUAAGGAAUCCUAUGAUAGGUGGGUUACAAGGAGACUUUGGGGAUUUAGAAAACAAAUAUCUAAAGCAAAAUAUCUCAAGAUGUCGGUCGGAAAUAUCAAGAAGCUUCAAGAGAACACCGCGGCACUGUAUACUGAGAGAAAAACUCUCUUAGUAAGCGCUAUCAGAGGAUCCGGAUAAGUCUGACCGGAGAAGUUGAAACGUCCUCCUUUCUCAUCCGGCUGUGAGAUAUCCGGAUGUAAAAUGUCGGCGCACGGAAUUCCGGAUGUGAAAUGUCNNNNNNNNNNNNNNNNNNNNNNNNNNNNNNNNNNNNNNNNNNNNNNNNNNNNNNNNNNNNNNNNNNNNNNNNNNNNNNNNNNNNNNNNNNNNNNNNNNNNAAAGCUGAGUUGGUGCUUUUUCAUUUCAAGGUUAGCUUUAAAAGAAAACAUAAAGAUGUUUGAGUGAAAAGGGUUUGGUCUUAAACUAACCAAAAAGAAAGUAAUGGAAAUUACUUAUGAAGAAAAACAUUCCUUGGAGGUUUAGGUUCACAGGGGAGGUUCCUUAUGCAAAAACAAAGCCCCGGUCAUUUGGUUCAUUUCCUCGCAUUAGAGAAUUAACAUAUAGUCAAUUCUCUAACCGGUGCUAUACAGAUAUAUCCUUUAAAUGGAUUUUAGCUCUAAUUCCCUCUCAUUGAUGCAACUUGCAAUGGCUCGUGCCUCUCACCUAGCAUUUGCCAUUCAAGGUGAUCUUUAACUUUGGACUUCCCUUCUUAAGCUCGCAAGAGAUAACUAAUGGAUGUCUCCUUGGAGUCCAAAAGCUUACCAAGUGUUGGCAAUUCUAGAAAAUCCUACCUUCAAGUCACUUCCCAAAAGCUCGCAAGAGAUAAACAAGUGCAUCUCCAUGAACGGAGAUCACUUGCUUUACCAAGUGUUGGCUCAAGUGAAUUGAAAGUGUUUUAAGCUAACUAAAAACAUAGAAAUCAUUAAAGGAUCACACUUUCUCUUCAUUAAUGAUUGAAACCACAAAGCUACUAAUUCUUGCACUUGGAACCUUUCCCGGCAACCUUAACUCCAAGGAACUAAAAGUCUAGCCACUCAUUCUCUAAGGAAACUUCCUCAGAGCUUGUUUGGCUAGUAAGAAAACUAACGAGAAAACAAUUAUAUGAAGGAAAAACAGAGCAAGUGCUCUGUGAAAUAUAUUUCUUUCUUCCGUCGAUUACAUAAUAGAUUGUAAAGAAAAUUACAAACUAUAUAUCAGGUUAUUCACCCUUUGUUCUUACUUAAAGACUAAGGAAUCCUAUGAUAGGUGGGUUACAAGGAGACUUUGGGGAUUUAGAAAACAAAUAUCUAAAGCAAAAUAUCUCAAGAUGUCGGUCGGAAAUAUCAAGAAGCUUCAAGAGAACACCGCGGCACUGUAUACUGAGAGAAAAACUCUCUUAGUAAGCGCUAUCAGAGGAUCCGGAUAAGUCUGACCGGAGAAGUUGAAACGUCCUCCUUUCUCAUCCGGCUGUGAGAUAUCCGGAUGUAAAAUGUCGGCGCACGGAAUUCCGGAUGUGAAAUGUCGGAGCACGGAUUUCCAGAUGUGAAAUGUCGGCGCACGAAAUUCCUCCCGUGUUGGACUGAGCUAUGUUGCGCAAGGGGGACCGUCUGCGUGUGCAAGGUGUAGGGACUCCUUUCCCGGAUGACACAGAGUGCGCAAGGCUAUCCGGAUCAACUCCAUCUGGAUUCCCCAAGAAGACAUGUGGUGCGCUCCCCUAUCCGGACUCCCUCAGGGAGAAGCACACGACACUCAUGAAUAUCACACCCAGACGAUAGCAUAUCCUAUCCGGAUAUGUUGUCCGGAUGGAAAACAUUGACUAAAGUGAGCAUGCCUUGCUACAGCCCAUGUUCCGCCGCCCUCCGAUGGUGUGUCCGAACGCCCUAUCUGGACAUCUUUGCCAUGGAUUCCAAAGAACUCUCCUCAAUCUCUGAUUGCUUUGGUGAUCAAAAAGCUAUCAAAACACCAAAACUUAACACAAUUUGAUUAGAAUUGAUUGCAAGGGUCCUUAAUAUGUUAAUUGGGUUAAAAGGUGAUAACUACUACUCAAAAGUGUUUAAAAGAGUUUAUUUCAAGCUAUCAAAUAGCACUUUUUGAGUAGUAAUCAUAGUACAUGGUGUAAUAGGUUAUAAAUUUUGUUGAUUGCUCCCAUCUGAGGACUGAAAUCAAGACACCAGUUGGACACGAAUCAAAUGGCACCACUGUCAGGGACCAUUGAGAGGACACGAAUCAGCUGAGACACUAAUUGGGAAUGAAUCAAAUGGCGCCAUUGCCGGGGAUGGUGCCACUUUACAGUGAUAUCACCUUUCCAUAGUACUUGUGAUCUUCAUCACAAGUGUGGUGACUUUUCUUUUCUUUUUACUAACUCUUUUUAUUUGUUUUUGUUUUUUUUCUUUGUUCAUAUUUUAGUAUAUCUUUUAUUUAGUUUUUGGUUAAUAUUAAUAAUUUUCUUUUUUCUUUAGAUUUUUUUUUCUUUUAUUUUCUUUUGUUUUCUCUAUUUUUAAUUCACAAAUUGCUAGUUGUGCAUGUCAUAUUGAAUAUGAGAUAGCAGAGGAAGCCAUGAACUUCAUGAGUUAUGUGGCUGAAGUUUCAAGAGGAUGGGAUGAACCAAAUGCUCGAGAUAUGGGGAGAAUGACGUCUCAACCUAAUGCUAAGGGUGAGAUGUAUAUUUUGAAUGACGACAUACACAUGAAAGCAAAGAUUGCAGCUAUGGCAAGGAGAUUGGAAGAGCUAGAAAUGAAGAAGAUGCAAAAAGUGCAAGCCAUCUCUCAGACACCAUUGCAAGCUAUGCCUUGUGCCAUUUGUCUAUCUUAUGAGAACUUGGUGGAAGAGUGUCCUACCAUUCCAACGGUGAGAGAAAUGUUUGGUGAUUGCAACACCUAUAAUUCCAAUUGGAGGAAUCAUCCAAAUUUUUCAUGGAAGCCAAGAGCACCUCAGUACCAACAGCCGACUCAACCAUCUCAACCAUCCCAACAAGCUUCAAGUCUUGAACAAGAAAUAGUGAAUCUCAGCAAGGUUGUGGGAGAUUUUAUUAAAGAACAAAAAUCCAUCAACUCUCAACUCAGUCAAAGAAUUGACAGUGUAGAGAAUAGGAUGGAUGGGAUUCAAAAUGAUUUAUCUCAGAAGAUAGAUAAUCUCCAAUAUUCAAUCUCAAGGUUUGCCAACCUCAACAAAGUGCAAGAAAAAGGAAACUCUCCUUCUCAACCUCAUCAAAAUUCAAAGGGUAUCCAUGAAAUAGAGGCUAAGGAGAGAGAUAAAAAGGUUGAUCUGCCCACAUCCAAGCUAGAGCAUGAGGUAGAGAGUGAAACAGAGAAAGAAAAGAGGGAGGAAAUCAAAGGAAAGAGAGAGGGGAAAAGCAUAGAGAAAGAUGACUAUAUAGAUGAAGAACCACAGAGGAUAGUCAUCAAGGAAGAAAUAAAGAAACACAUGCCUCCACCUUUCCCCCAAGCUUUGUAUGGGAAAAACAUACAAACCAAGUCUCAAGUGAGAGACACAAACUUCAUAUGGGAUCCGGGCAAGCUAAAUCAGGAUCAAAUUUUUUGAUGGACUUAGUCUUUCUAAAGACUAGCUAGUCCAUACCUUUUUGUUUUACUUAUUACUUGUUUUAAUUUUGAUUUCAAUGCUUUAAUUCUAAUUUGUUUUGAUGUAAUAUAGGUUUUUGGAUGAUCAAAAUCAGAACGGAAAUGUUGCAUUUUGCUACUGUUGGACACAUUUUUGAAGGCCUUCAUGGAGCUCAAAUUAUGCAUACUAUAUCUCUUUUUUAAUCUUGGGAAGUCAGGAGUCCAUAGCUUCAAACGGUGCUCGAUUUGGAGUUGAAACGAAGAAGUUAUGGCCGUUUGAAGACGAUCGCGCAAAGCACCAACGGGAAUUUCGCAGCUGCAAAAUGGGCUACAAAAUUCCCAUUUUGUUGCAGGAAAGCCCUCUCACUGAGAUCACACACACAAAGCCUCUUAAUCCAUUUCUUACCUCCUUAAAACCAUCAGAGCCCAUAGCUCCAGUUGAGGAGACUACCAAAGCAGAGGCCAAAGUCCUGAUCCAACCCACUCAAGAGGCCACCACAGAUGCAUCAGCUCCACAAGACCUUACCAUUACUUGAUCAUCUCUUUACUUUUUGUCUUUACAUAUUAUAUUAAUAUAAAUAAUUCCAUAUUUUGAUGUCUUAUAUUCUGGGAUUGGAUGUAUUACUGAUGAUACAUCAUAUAUAGACAUCAUUUUUUGUUUAAACUUGGCAUUUGUCUAUUUCCUCUACUCACUAACUCUUUUGUUUUUUUUGAAACAUGUGGUUUCUCCUAUACGACUCAGACUCCAUGUCACUAAGGAGGUACCACUUCCUCCCUAUUUUUCAAUCGCUUUUGUCACAUUGAGGACAAUGUUCAACUUAGUUGGGGGGAGAGUUGAGGAAGGAAGUUUUUGUUAUUAAUGCUAAGUUAUUUUGGUAAUUUAGUUGCUUUUUGCUUAAUUUUAAAAUUUUUUAAGUUUUUAUUCUACUCUCCAUGGUUAUUAAGGAAAAAUUUUCAAAAUGAAAAGAGAGAAAUUGAAUUUUUGUCUUUUUCACUUGACUUAGAUUUUGUAUUAUGCUUACUAAAGUUGAUAAAUUGUUGAAACUUCUAUUGAAUUCAACCUUAGUUCUUCCACUUUAAACUAUUCACACAAUGUGCACAAUAGGUUCCGAUUAUAAGAUGAAAAACUAUUUCCCUCUUGACUUAGGAAAAUUUUAGACUUGGUACCUUUGACCUCAUUUUAAUAGUGUUGGGACACCUUAUAAAAGGCCAAUGAGCCUGUGAAAAAAAAAAAAGAAUAGAGAAAGAAAGAAAAAAAUGCUUGCUUGCCUUGAAACCCGAGCAAGGUCCGAGGGGUAUAUGGUGAAAAUCUUUAAAACCUGGUGCCCUAAGCCUUCAUUGGUUGGGAGUCACCGACCUCAAUGCUCGUUACAAGGGUGGAUAGGUGGAGUUUAACAUACUGUAGGUGCUUAGGUAUUAAAAUUCAUUCUCAAAAGUCCGGGUUAAAAUCCGAGGAGUUAGUGGUUGAAAGAUCCUUAAAACUUGAUGCCCUAAACCUUAAUUGGUUGGGAGUCAUCGAUGGACCCCCGUUACAUGGACAAUUUAGAAAAGAAUACCUUUAGCCUUGUACUCCUACAAGAAAAAAAUUGUGAAAUGAGAGGUGCGUUCUUAACCUAUUGGAGGUUGAUCAGUUUGCUAAGCUUUGAAAAAGAACUAGGUUUGGGGGAGAGAUUAGUUCAACAUACUUGUAAACUCCCAUUUGGGGCUCAUUCCUUUGCAUCUCUACAGGUUAUAAUUUUUUGCAAGUGGAGGGCUCUCAAGGAGCCACGUGCCCAUUCAUGGUUGGUUGCUGUGGAAUCAGCUUAGUGGAGUUGAUGGACGAAUGGGAAAGCAACACGUAUGAAAGGAUAUGCUGGGGAUUUUGCAAGCCGUUAGAGGGAGCAGGCCAGCGGUAGGAGAGGGGAGGCGUUUCUGUUGAGGGGCAGCAGGCCAGCUGCAGGUGGUGCGUUUUUCUGGAGGUGGAGUGCUUUUCAGGUGGGGCUUUUCCAUUAGAGGGAGGCUGCAGAGAUCUUUGAGAGGGAGCUUUUGGUUUGGUUGUUUCGGGGAAGAAAGCUGGUGGGAGAGAGGGGAGGCCUCCAUUGACGAUUGCGAGAGAUAUUUUUGGGGCCUCAGGGAAAUCUUGACAGGAGGGAGCUUUUUUUUAUUUGGUGGUUUUUGAGCUUAGGCUGCCGGAGAGAUAUUAGAGGGAGAGUGUUUUCCUUCUGCAGAAGGAGGAGUUUUUUUUUUAGAGAGGAGAACGAGAGAGAGAGAACAGGGAGGUUUAAGGUUGGAGCAGAGAGGUGAGUUUUGGAGAGCUUAGAGGAGAGUAGAGAGAAACCCAGAGCAAAAAGGAAAUGACAUUUUGGUGGUUGUUGUAGUACAAGGAUGUUUUUGAGGGUGUUCAUUGGGCUUGAGGGGCAAGUUUGAGGGGAAGAGAUGAAAGAAGAUGCUGGAGGCAAGUCUUGCUGAGGGUUAUUUUUGUGAGAGGAAAAAGUUUUGAGGUUAAGGAAGGAGCCAUAGUCUGGAGCAGAGAUCUUGAGGAAAGUAAAUGAGCAGAGGAAGGAUAUCUUCAGCUGUUUAGAGAGAGUUCAUGAAAGCUGUUUGAAGAAAGACACAUAGGAAUAGCCUUGGAAGAGGGUGAUACAGGUAUUGUUCUUGUAAUAUGAGGAUUCUUUUGUGUUCAUGGCAUUUUAUUAUGUUUACUGGUUAUCAUGAGAUUCUAUCUUGACAUAUGAAUGCAAGCAGGUGAAACUCCUACCUAUGUUCUCUCAAUAUUUGUGUUCGCUCACCCUCAUCCUGCGUUUGGUUUCUAACUUGUCAUCUGGACUCUGUUUUAUGAGUUGUCGGUCAUUUUGAUUUAAUUUCUCUUUGCAAACUAUUUGAAACCUAUUUUUUUUCUUUAUCCACCUCUGCGUCGUGAGCUCGUUAAUUGAAAUAUGAAACGCAGCUUUCAUGAGCCCCUUUUUGUUCCUGCUCUGUGCUCUGUUUUUGCCACCCUCCUCUGUUCUUGGUAUUUGAUCAUGGGAGGUUGCCCCUUAUGUGUGAAGAAGAGAGUAUUGGCUUGAUAGGUCUGGAUUCUCAAGUCGUCCAUAGUGGUAGAGGACGUAUUCUGGGGAUCAGAUCCAUGACUUUGUUGCGUUUUUGUUGAUUGGAGGAGUGACAAUUUCCCAAGGGCAUGUAACGCAUGUGCUGGUGACUAUGGCAGAUGACAAUGAUGACAUUAACGGACUAUGACCACUAUUUUGGAGCCAUGGCUUGACACAUGGCAUCGCGUAGUGGAUUGGUUGAUACUAUUGAGUGGCCCAUUAAUAUCGAUUAUCCUGAUCAAUAACAAAGGGAAACUGAGCAUAUCAACCAGCUUAUCUCUUCUCUGUCUGAUGAGAUACCUCAUAUACAGACCUUCAAAGGGAAAUGGGCAGUUAUCAGAGGCAAGCUGAGUGAUCUCAGGACCCAAGUGGCUGAUUUUGGUGACUUUCCUGGGUUCAAGUCCAAUCCUCUUUCUAUGGAACUCAUGCAGUCCAUUUCGCAGACCCUACAAGACGCCGUUUUGGUGGCUUCGAGGUGUAGAGAGUCUGAGUUGUCUCAGGGGAAGCUCAAGACCCAAAGCGAUAUAGACUCGAUUUCCGCGAAGCUGGACCGUUUGAUCAAAGAUGGUGAGAUCUUGAUAGGGAGUGGAGUGCUUCAAGAUGGGGUAUUAGUGGGUUCGAAGAAAGAAGUAGUGCGUCACUUACAUGAAGACAUGCCUCAAAUUGUUGACAUCUAGCUCAUUGGGGAGACUAUCCGAGUUUUUGAGACUUACCUAGCUGAGUAUUGAUGUUGAAACGGAGAUGCGGUUUAGUAGGAGCGGCAGUCAUGAUUAGCAAGAAGGUGUGGUAUUGUCAUGCAAGUUCCCUGGGUUUGAGUUUAUGCUUUCUGAAAGGUGGUUGUUUAAUUAUGAUACUGUUCCACCAUGGACUCUUAGAUCUGGUGCAGUGAUAUCUGCUGCUUUUCUUUGGUUGAGCUUUUAGCUCAAUUAUUCAAGGAGUGAGAUGGGAUUGGACUUUAAAUUCUGAUUUGACCUUCUAUCCAUCCCAAUCAUGCAUGCAUAUAGGGCCAUCCUCCAUAAUACCCGCAUUCCCAUUCUUCAAAUAUCCAUUAUUCCACCCUUCCCACUACCUAUUCCACCCAUGACGCCCAUUUCCUCCAUUCAUUACACCCAUCUGCUAUAACCCAUUCCACAUAGCCAUAUCCUUUAUGCCCACCUUCUCACUACCCGUAUAUAUGCUUCAUAGCCUUCAUCCCUAUUCCCAUGCAAAUGCCUCACUAACUCUCUAAUGCCCAUCUCACUCAUUCUUUUCAUCACCACCCCACCUUCAUUAUUUCAUACCCAUUUCUAUUAUCACCAUUCUCUCUCUACACCACCAUGCACCAUGUCAUUCCUCAUCUGCUCAUCAUAUCCAUGUACCAUAGCUAACCCUACAACCAUAUUCACGUCAAAUUUUCUUCCAUGCAAACCCAUUUUCUAUAAAUCCCAUGCGUGUUGCUACCCUUACUCACCUACAUCAAUCUCUCCCCCUCAUUGUCAACACUGGUCAUCUGGAGUCUGUUGGUCCAUGUUCUUAGGCAGCCUUUCAUCACCGGAGUGUCACGGGUCUGGAAGUUGUUUCCCUUAUCACUCACAUUUGGAAAGGUAUAUGUAUUGGGCUACUUCCAUCUUUGUUGCAUUGGGCCUGUGUUGCUUCUUCUAUAUUUUGGGCGCAUGGCAACGAUGUGGUUUCGGGAAGGGAGACAGCAUGGACAUUGAAGUCACCAAACAAGCGGACUGCCGUUUCUCUCCAAUUUGAAUUUUGAGACUCGUCAUGAAGAUGAAGCAGGAGAAUGAUUGCUGUCGUACAGGGUGAAGUAAGCUCCUAAAAUGAAUCCAGUGUUUUAGGAUAGAUAUUGUUGUUGACGGGGUGGCAAUUAGAUGUAGUUGCGGAACUAGCUGCUCCCAAAGAAGAUAUGAAUCUGACUUGUUUGUUGAAUCAGCAGCUUGUGUAGCAACAGAACAACCCCUUGCUUGCUCUAUUAGGUCCAACUGGAAACAAAUUGAAGAGUAAGGGUGCUACUUUAAUCCUCAAAGCAUUGGAAGGAUACCAAGCACAGUUCGGCAAGAUCAGUUGCAAGCAAUCAUGGAUUUGACCUACUAAACAUCAAUGGUGAUUCCGCCAAAGUGUCAUUGUGUGAAAUAUAGGGGGAUGACUUGAGUCAAUACCUGGGCAACCUAUUGUUAAUCCACCCUCACCCCAUGCAAGUCUGGGCUCGUCUUUUAAUCCUGAAUAUAUUUGGGUCAAUGGACGCCUCCAGGGUAUUUUGAUGUACCCAUUAAUGCGAGCUGAUCAUCCACUCAAAGUCUCGAGAUGGCGGGUCAAUUUCUGGAAAGGGUAAUUGAAGAGGAAACUUGUGCAUAUAUAGACAGAAUGGGACUCUGUUGCAAGGAAAUUUAAUGAGGACGUGAACGUUAAGUUCCUAGGCUUCAAAGGAUUUGGAAACUUAAGUUGUGCAGAGAUGACACCCCCUAUUUGCCAGCAUUUUGAGACCAGAGGCACAAAAUCAAGGCGGAAUUGGAAAGUCUUUUAUUAGUGCCCAAGUCAAGGACAGUUGACAGUUAUUUGAUAUUCCGAGAAGCUUGGGAUAGGAUUCUUCCCUCAUGAUCUUGAAUGGGUACAUGACAAUAGUACCAGUCUUCAACCCCAGGGUAUUCUUACCCUGGACCCACUCUUUAAGCUUCUUAGUUGCAUGGCCACCUUUGGCAUGCAAUUUUGGACCACUUGUCCUUGCUCCAUUUUUUCUCUUUUUGAUUUUAAAAAUAAUCUUCCUGGAAUCAAAUACCAUCUUGUAAAUAUUUUUUUCAAAUUCUGAUUUUCAAAUGAUCCAAAAUUUCCCAUUUUCCAUCCUUAGAAUUUUUGGAUACCGAAACCUCAUUUUCAAUAAAAAUUCGGUUGCCAUUUUUUCUUCCGGCAAGCCACUUUUGCAUUUUCUUUAUUUUUAAAAUAAGUAAGAAUUAAAUUCCGUAAUUCCAAGUGAUGGAAGUUAUGGAAUUGAUUCAUGCAAAAUAGAUCGGGCUUUGGUGGGGGCCCAACAUCAAAUAAUUUUUCUUUAAAAUAAAAAUGAAUUUUGAGUGAAGUGUUAUGCGUGCCUUUGAUGAUUUUGUGCUUGAUUUUGUGACAUGUGAGUUAUGUUUAUACUCUUUGUUUUGCACUAACCCUUUCUCUUGAUAGCGCAUAGUGGCUCGCUGCACAAGUACACACUCAUUCCCACUCUGAUUAGUUUAUAUGCAUUUUCUGACUCUCGUAUGUGCAUGUUUCGCUCUGAGUAUUCAUUGAUUUCCUCAUCAUCGCCAUGUUAGCUUCAUUCUAUUAGUAGAGACCCGACUUUAGGGACUUAGAGGGGUGCUACGGUCUUUACCGUACCUUCCCGAUAAGUAACCUGACCCCCGAACCCGAUCCGGUUUUCACAGACCCCCUUUUCCAAAAUAAGGAGUCGCACUUAGGGUUUUUCUUUCUUAUUUUGUUUACCCUUUAAAAAUAAAACAAAAAUAAGUGGCGACUCCAAGUCAUUUUUGAAUAAAUAAAAUCAAUUUUUUCAAAUAAAAAUCGAGCUCGCCAUUCGAGUGGGAAACGCAUUCGAGCGAUCUAAAUGCGGGGUCCACAAUACUAUAUUUGGAAACUAAUAAAUAACACUUAGAUUUUUGUGGAAGAGUAAGGUUUGACCCUUUGGGAGUGGAAACUCUUUUAAAGCUUAAAUUUGCAUAAUGCCUUCUCUUUAAGAAUUGUGAUUAGACAAGUUAUUUGAUAACUCUUGUUGAAGUUUGAGUUUUAUUUCUUUAAUGUUCCAUGUGAGAGUUAGAUCAUCAUGGCACUUGAAAAUUAUUUUUUGAUCAACAUGAUGUUGUAAAUUAUAGUACUGUUUAUUUUUAUUUUUCUAUCCUUCAUUGCUAAGGGAAUAGCAAUAUGUCGGUUGGGGGGAGUGACUACUACUCAAAAAGUGCUAUUUCAUAGCUUGUAAUUAACUUUUUUAAAUACUUUUGAGUAGUAGUUAUCACCUUUUAACCCAAUUAACAUAUUAAGGACCCUUGCAAUCAAUUCUAAUCAAAUUGUGUUAAGUUUUGGUGUUUUGAUAGCCUUUUGAUCACCAAAGCAAUCCGAGAUUGAGGAGAGUUUUUUAGGAAUCCAUGGCAAAAGAUGUCCGGACAGGGCGUCCGGACACACCAUUGGAGAGCGGCGGAACGUGGGCUGUAGCAAGGCUUGCUCACUUUAGUCAAUGUUUUCCAUCCGGACAACAUAUCCGGAUAGGAUAUGCUAUCAUCCGGGAGAGGGGUCCUUACACCUUGCACACGCAGACGGUCCCCCUUGCGUAGCAUAGCUCAGUCCAUCCGGGGAGGAAUUCCGUGCGCCGACAUUUUACAUCCGGAUAUCUCACAGCCGGAUAGGAGAGGAGGACGUUUCAACUUCUCCGGUCAGACAUAUCUAGAUCCUGUGAUAGCGUUCACCCAGAGAGCAUCCACGACCGACAUUUCAGAUUACCCGGAUUUUGCAUAGUGCCGCGGUGUUCUCUUGAAGCUUCCCAAUAUUUGCCACCAACUAAGUUAGAUUUUUUCUCUUAAGAUAUUUUGUGUAAAUUUCUAUUUUCUCCUUGUAAUCAGUCAAAGAUAUUAUUGGGAUAUUUCUUAGAAAAUAUCUUCUCUAUAUAUAUCUUUGAACCAUUGUAAAGAGGAGAGAUAUAUUAUAUAUAUAUGAAACCAACGAGCAGAGCACUUGCUCUAUUUUUGUUCUUCAUAUUUUUGUUUUCUCGUUAGUUUUCUUUCUAGCCAAUCAAACUCUGAGGAUUUUUCCUUAGAGGAUGAGAGGCUAGGCUCUUUGUCUCUUGGAGUGAAGAAAGCCGGGUAAGUUUCUUCAUGCAUAAAAUGAAAGUUUUGUUGUUUUAGUUUUUAAUGAAGAGAAAGUGUGACCCGUUAAUGGUUUUUAUCUUUUUAGUUAACUUAAAACGCCUUUAACUCACCUAGGCCAACACUUGAUAAGGCAAGUGAUCUCCAUCCAUUGAGAUGCACUUGUUUAUCUCUCGCGAGCCUUGGGGAGGUGGUUUAGAGGUAGGAUUUUCUAGAAUUGCCAACACUUGGUAAGCUUUUGGACUCUAAGGAGACAUCCAUUAGUUAUCUCUUGCGAGCUUGAGAAGGGAAGUCCAAAGUUAAAGAUCACCUUGAAUGGCAAAUGUUAGGUGAGAGACACGAGCCAUUGCAAGUUGCAUCAGUGAGAGGGAUUUAAUGUUUGAACCCAUUAAAGGGAAGCAUCUGUACCACACCGGUUAGAGAAUUAACUAUAUGUUAAUUCUCUAAUGCGAGGAAAAGAAACAAGUGACCAGAACUCUCCUUUUUGUAUGAGGAACCUGAGCCUAGUGAUCUAAAUUCUAAGAAACACUUUUGUUUGUAGUUAAAAUUAGUUACUAUUUUUGGUUAGCUUAAAACCAAACCUUUUUCAUUCAAACAUCUUUAUGUUUUCUUUUAAAGCUAACUUUGAAAUGAAAAGGCACCAAUUCAUCUUUGAAAUAAUAUCAAUUGUGGAGUGAAAACCCAUCCCAGUGAACGACCCUAGAGCCACUACGCUAUGCUAGCUAAGUGUCACAAGAUGCUUCAAAUGACCCUCCCCAUGGCUUAUAUAGGAGGUGAGAAGCUUCUAGAGACCCUUGGAGACAUCCACACGUAGCCACUAGUGGGAAGAGUGUGGAAGGUUCUAGAAAUGCCUAGAGAAGUCCACACAACUCUACACUAUGGUAGAAGGCAUGAGAAGGGUCCAAAGCUUUCUAGAGAAAUCUAGAAGUCUCUUGAAUAUUCUAGAAUAGUGUAGGACAUUCUAGAAGUCUCUUGAAUAUUCUAGAAUAGUGUAGGACAUUCUAGAAUAUUCAUGAAUUGUAAGGAACCCUCCAAGGUUCUAGAGAGUUCCAUUGGUGCCUAUAAAUAGGUGAGGGCCUCAUUUGGCCAAGGCACCAAGCAAGUGAGCAUCCAAGCACUUGUAAAGGCUUUCUUGAGAUAAUAAAGCUUCCAUUCUUUAAGGAGUUGCCUACUAAGCUCUUAAGCUUUCGAGUCGCUAGUGUCUUAGCCGAGCAAGCUAAGCAUUGGGGAUCAAGGCUGACUUAGCAAGAUCAAGCGUCUUGACUUGCCUAAGUGCCGCACGAGCUUAGUGAACGACUAAGUCCGUGACAAGUGGUAUCAGAGCACGGUUACAAGGUGGGCAUAGCAAAGGAAGCAUGUCGGGUUCCAACGUGGAGGAGACUAGCGAGCAAACCCGUUGGAGGGAGACCGAGCCUACUGCACGGGGCAGGGGCAGAGGUAAGAAGGAUACAUCUCGUGAUGUUGUUGCCAACAUGGAGGCAAGGUUAGCCAAGGUGGAGCUAGCCAUGGCAGACACCCGGGAAGGGGUGGACUUGAUCGAGCAAGGCAUGGAGAAGGGCUUAGAGGAUCUAAGGGAGCAGAUCCAAGACCUUCGCGAGGGGGUGCUGGUCUCGCAAGUUCAGUCGGUGUCACACAAGGAGUUCAUGUCCUUCCAAGACAAGGUCAUGAGCAUGUUCGCUAGUGUGGAGUCAAGGAUGGAGGCCUUGACUGCACGAGUGGAGGCCCGAGACCAAGAGAUUCGACAAGAGUUGGCCAUCUAUAAGACCGUUGUAUCAGCUCGGGUCAUGGCCACACAGGAGGCAUCUAGGGUGGAGGUGCCGAAGCCACAUAGGUUUAGUGGCAAGCGGGAUGCCAAGGAGUUGGAUAACUUCUUAUGGCAUAUGGAGCGAUACUUCGAAGCUAUCGCAUUGACGGAUGAGGCGGCUAAGGUGAGAACUGCGACCCUCUACCUUACUGACACAGCUACUCUAUGGUGGCGUCGAAGGUUUGCCGAUAUGGAGAAAGGCAUUUGCACCAUAGAGACGUGGGAGGACUUCAGGAGGGAGAUCAAGAGGUAGUUCUACCCGGAGGACGUGGCUUACCUGGCUAGGAAAAACAUGCGGCGUCUUAAGCACACAGGCUCAAUACGCGACUAUGUCAAGGAAUUCUCUUCGCUCAUGCUUGAGAUUCCUAACAUGACUCAGGAGGAGUUGCUAUUCAACUUCAUGGACAACCUGCAAGGGUGGGUCGAGCAGGAAUUAAGGCGCCGAGGCGUUCAAGACUUAGCCACUGCUAUGGCAAUAGCAGAAUCUUUAACGGAUUAUAAGAGGGGAGACUCCUCCAAGGAUGAGUCUUUAGAGGAUAGCCACGCCAUGGGUGGGGGAGACGAGGUUCCAAGGGACCACAAUGCUCCUAAAAAGGGAUCAAGCAAGACGUCUAACGUCUGAGAAGGAAGGGAUAAGGCGGAAAGGAGGGAGUUUACGCCUAAAAUCAAAUGCUUCCUGUGUGACGGUCCACAUUGGGCACGGGAUUAUCCAAAGCGGAAGGCGCUCAGUGCCAUGAUCGAGGAGAGGGAGCAGGAGGACGAAGCACAUAUGGGCUCAAUGCAGCUACUAGGUGCCCUCCAAUUCAACUCGAAGCCUAGUACGCCUGAGACCUCCUUAUUAGCAGGGGUGCAAGUAAAGGAGAGCGAGCUGAGGUAGCCCUUACACACAUGGAAGAGGUCACUAAGGGAAAGGUGAACUCAAUGGGUAAGAGGAAGCAACACUCUAAGCAUCGGAAACGCACGGGUCUGCAUCCAUCUGAAGCCUCACUGGAGAAGGAGGUGAAGAAUAUCCUGGCUGAACGGGUCACCAGGAGACAAGGGGUCCCUCUUGUGAUAGAGUAUCUAGUCCGAUGGAAAGAACUACCUAAGAGGCAGGUAAGCUGGGAACAUGCGGAUGCCUUGAGAAAAUUCUGGAAACACAUCGAGAAGUUUCAGAAUGAGGCAACGACGAGGAUGUCGACGGCUUAGGUGGGGGAGAGUGUCACAAGAUGCUUCAAAUGACCCUCCCCAUGGCUUAUAUAGGAGGUGAGAAGCUUCUAGAGACCCUUGGAGACAUCCACACGUAGCCACUAGUGGGAAGAGUGUGGAAGGUUCUAGAAAUGCCUAGAGAAGUCCACACAACUCUACACUAUGGUAGAAGGCAUGAGAAGGGUCCAAAGCUUUCUAGAGAAAUCUAGAAGUCUCUUGAAUAUUCUAGAAUAGUGUAGGACAUUCUAGAAUAUUCAUGAAUUGUAAGGAACCCUUCAAGGUUAAUAACCUAAACAUCUUACCUCAAUAUUCUUUUAUGAAAAUUUUCAACUAUUGCAGGGUGUCCUUCAUGUCAUUGGUCAUGUUCAGGUCUGAAUAAGUAUGAGUAGUGGUGACAUACUUAAGAUAAUGACCUAUGUAUUUCAAUACAACUUGAAGAAUAUACAAUAAACAAUUUAGCAACAAAUUAGAUUCUUACAAGUUUUAACACAUUAAAUUCAAUAAGCAUAUUAAUUUCAAAGAAGGUUGGUAGCCAAAGGUAGUAAAAUAAUUGAGAUAAAGAAACGAAGAAUGAAGAGAAAUUAAUUUCAACUAAAACAUUAUAAUUAAAUUGAUCUUUUAACUUGACAUGUUAUGAAUCCAUGAAAAAUAAUACAUUGGUAAUACUUUAUUGAUUAAAAGAGUAAAAUAACACCAAAGAUAGAAAAAACUACGUGAUAUGGACAAAGGGUUUAUUUUUGUAACAAUGACCAACAGACUAAAAGUAAAAGGGCCUUGGUGGAGGAAAAAACUAUUAUGUCAAAAUGACUAGUUUCUUUCCUUACAAUUGUAUUUAGAUUAAGGAGCUAGCAUUCAAGUUGAUACCCUGUUUUAGAAAAGGAGGCUUUAGAGGCCUAUAUUAGGGAGAAUGAGGUGCUAUUUUUUUUUCCGUAGGCUUAUUUGUAAGAAGUCUUAAUCUAACUUCCUAUUUUUUAAUGUCAAAGAAAAUACAAGUAUAAGAUAUUUUAAACUUUAAGCCCAUUAGUUUAGGAGGAGGCCUCUACAAAUUUAGAUUGAAAAAAGUUAUAAAGCAAGUGAUCUUAAGGGUCCAAAAUGGUUUUUUUGAGGAUAAACAUAUUCCUAAUGCAUGCACAUGUAACAAGACUAAAGACUUUACAAAAAAGAGUUCGAAAAUGCAUGAAUUUUCAUACCAUUACAACACUAGGAUUUCUACCAAUCUAACUAAUAAGGAUGUGUACAGGAAAUACACAAAGGUUGUGACACCUACCAUGUCUAAUAGUCUUCACCUCUCAAUUUUCCAAUUACACAUCCAUCAAAAUAGAGCAACCAUUGCAUGAUCCAUAUUGAAAACACUACCAACUAGAAGUACCAAGAUAUACAUUAACAAAUCAUGACUAAGAAUAAAUUAUACAAUUAACAUUAACAAAAUAUUCACUAGAUAUUUAGAAUAAUAUGAAGUUAUAUUAGACUACAAGUCAUACAAGGUACCGUCAAGCAUGAGUAAUGAUUAAUUGACUGUUAAUUAAGAUGAGAUUGUCAAUUUGUAAUAAAUAAUAUUUAUGAUUCAAUAAUGUCACUCUUCCUAAAUUAUAGACUAAUAAAUUUUAUUCAUAAUUAAUUUAUUAUUUUCCAAAUAAAAACAAUAUGAAAUAGAAUAAAGACAAAAAGAAAAUUAGGAUUGUUGUUUAAUGUAUAAUCUAGGUUAUUUUGUCAUUUAUAAUCAUUUUAGGAAAUAAGAAAUUUUUAGAAAAAAUAAUAUUUUUUUCAAAUUCGAUAUGAUGGUGACUUCACAAAGAAAGUCAUUCUAUAAAUUAAGGGAUGACUUUAAUAGCUAUUAAUUAUCCUAUUGAUGGCUGUCAUUUCAUCACGUUUUACUAAUGAUGAUCCUUGUAGGUUUAUUUUGUCUAACAUUAAGUAUAUUUUGACAAGUUGAAAACAAAACAUAUAUAUAUAUAUAUAUAUAUAUAUAUUUAAGAAUGUAGGCAGCAUAUUAAUUACCAUGAAAAAUUAAAACCUCCAGCUCACAUCACACUAAUACCUUCACCCAUAUCUUUUCACAUUAGUAAAUACAGUUCAAAUACAAUACCAAAAAACAUGUACAUGCAUGUACUUAGCCAAUAUAAGUCAAUCCCAUUAUUUUAUAUUUUGAUCUCAUUACUUAUAUUUGAUCUUAAUUUCAUUUUGAUUAUUUUAAUCUUAUUACCUAUACCAUCAUCCAACUGUUUACAUUUUAUCCAAAAUUUUUAAUGGUUGGGAUGUAAAAUUCAAUAUGUAUUUCUUUAAGAUUUUCCUAAUAAACGCAUAAUUUCAUAAUAGUAUAGUGGAACUAUAUAGGGAUAUAAACAGGUGGCUCAUUUAGGCUCACUUAGGCCCACUUAGGCACACUCAGCCCAUUUGGACACCCCUAGGCCCUAUAGGCACAUUUGGCUCAUCUAGACUCACUUAGGUCCAUUUAGGUACACUUGGCCUAUCUAGGCUCACUUAGGCCCACUUAAGCCCACUUAGGCCCACUUAGGUUUACUUAGGCCCACUUAAGCUCACUUAGGCCCACUUCGGCCCACUUAGGCUCACUUAGGCCCACUUAGGCACACUAAGCUCAUUUGGACACUCCUAGGCCCUUUUAGGCACAUUUGGCCCAUCUAAACUCACUUAGGCCCACUUAGGCACACUAAGCCCAUUUGGGCACCCCUAGCUUUAGGCACAUUUUUUAAAUGGAGAAAUUAAGUUUUAAAUCAAAAAAUCAGGAUAUUUUUUAAACAAAGGAGUUGACACUUGAAUGUUUAAAAAUAAAAAUAAAAGAUUAAGUUUUUAGAUUGGAAAAUCAUUUUUUUUUAAUAAUGGAAAGGAUAAAUUUCAAAAUAUGAAAAUGAAAUUUUGGAAAUUUGGGAGACUUUUUUGUGGAGGGGAUAUGGAAUUCUAAGAGAGGAGGACUCCUCCAAAGAUACAGGGUUGCCAAUUGCCAUAGAAAAUGGGGGUUGGUGGUUUUGGAGAGUGGAGGAAUUUCUUUUAAAAGGGACUUUCAACACGCACGGGAGGGGGGAAUAGAAAAAAAAGGAAAGAAAAGGAGUGAGAAGACACAGCCGGGAAGAAGGACAUCUUUAAGGGUGGAGAAAACACACAGCCUACCUUGGGAACUUUCCACUACUAGCCGCCACAAGAAAAAUAAAAAAAAGAUCAGAACAUAAGACUCUACAAAAUAAAUCUAAAACAAAUAUCUAGAAGUUAAUUUUUAUCCUGAAAAUUUUCAAAGAACAUCUCCUAUAUAUCUAGUUUACCAUCUAAGUGACCAAAUCAAUUAACCAACCCUCAUUUAGUACCAGAUUUCAUAAUAAUGAUAAAUAGGUCCAGAACUGGGCAUCUUUUUAAGGUGUUCAACAAUUGAUUUUUCUAACUAAAUUCAAGAUGUCCUAAAAUCAUAAAAAAAUUUACAUAGCUAUCUUAAUAUAUAUAUAUUGUAUGAAAAAUAAUCACAGGGCAAUAUCACAUUCAUAACAUACUUAAAAAUAAAUAAACAUCUCUCCACUCCAGAAGAGCAUAUGUGUAGUGGGUGCAAGAAGAAAGAAAUUAUAUCUCUCAUUUUAGAAAUUAUUUAUUGAUAUUUUAGGCAUAAACAAUUAAAUUAAGAAGUCUAGAUUAAAAUAAAAAUAUUCAAAUAAAUCAAAUAAACCAUUUAUUAAUUUAAUUUUUCAGAACAAUACUAAGUGUAAAAAAUAGAGUGAAAAUUGAACCUUCCGAAAGAUUGAUUUAUAUCUUCUAAUUGGAAAACCAUAUUUGACCCAAGAAAUAUUCAAAAAUCAAGCUCAAGGAUUCUAGAAUGUCAUAGAAUAAUUAUACAAAUUUUAAAGGGUUUUUAAGUUACCAAAUUCCAAUUUACGAAUGCAAAAGUACAGUGAAUUAUCCAUAAUUUCAAUAAAUAAAUACAAACUUUGUUUUGAAAAAGACUUAGUAUGUAGGGAUCUAUUAAAUCCCAUUUUAAUUUCCAUGAAUUUAUCCAUGAAGACUCCAUUGAUUGGAGUUAUGAAAUUUAAUUCACGUAUAUUCAAAACCAAAAUUCAUUUUAAAUUUUCUUUUUCAAACUAUGCAUACCAAAUAAAAUUGGUUGCAUGAAUUUUUAGAAAAUUGAAUUUUCAUAACCUAAGAAUGUCCAAGACAAAUUUGGAAAAUUGAGAAUUAAUUUUUAGAAAGGUAGCUUGAUAAGAAUUUUGAAAUUACUAGCAAACACAAAUAAUCACAUAAAGUCCCACAACCAAAAGAAGAAAAUUCUUAAGGAGACAAAGUGGUGUGUGCCAAGGGUGAGUGAAGCAUGUUGACUUGUGUGUGAUGACAAUGAAAGUGUGGCUGUUGUGUGUGUGUUCAUAGUAACAACCUGGUGGUCUACUUUUCUAUGCAGCUAUGCAUGCCUUUCUUUAUCAAUUUAGCUAACGUUUGUUCUCCAAAAUUCAACUAGCGGUGUUGGUCUUCACAAGCUUAUGCAAAUUCUCAAAAUUCAGCAAUCUGAUGUGUGCUUGGGCUAGCAAUCUGGUGGUUUCAAAAUCUAAUAGUGUGAUCAUGUGUGAUACGUUCCCAAUUGGUGUCUCAGCUGAUUCAUGUCCUCUUAAUGGUCCCUAACAAUGGAACCAUUUGAUUCGUGUCCACCUGGUGCUCCUUGAUUGUGGUCCUCAGAAGGGAGUAAUCAACAAAAUUUAUAACCUAUUACACCAUGUACUAGGAUAGCCUUAGCUAGCAUAGCAUAGUGGCUCUAGGGUUGUUCACUGGGAUGGAUUUUCACUCCACAAUUGAUAUUACUUCAAAGAUGAAUUGGUGCUUUUUCAUUUCAAGGUUAGCUUUAAAAGAAAACAUAAAGAUGUUUGAAUGAAAAAGGUUUGGAUUUAAACUAACCAAAAAUAGUAACUGAUUUUACUUACAAAGAAAAGUGUUUCUUGGAGUUUAGAUCACUAGGCUCAGGUUCCUCAUACAAAAAGGAGAGUUCCGGUCACUUGUUUCUUUUCCUCGCAUUAGAGAAUUAACAUAUAGUUAAUUCUCUAACCGGUGUGGUACAAAUGUUUCCUCUUAAUGGGUUCAAACACUAAUUCCCUCUCAUUGAUGCACCUUGCAAUGACUCAUGCCUCUCACCUAGCAUUUGCCAUUCAAGGUGAUCUUUAACCUUGGAUUACCUGUCAAAAGCUCGCAAGAGAUAACUAAUGGAUGUCUCCUUGGAGUCCAAAAGCUUACCAAGUGUUGGCUAUUCUAGAAAAUCCUACCUUCAAACCACCUCCUAAAGGCUCGCAAGAGAUAAACUAGUGCAUCUCAAUGGAUGGAGAUCACUUGCCUUACUAAGUGUUGGCCCAGGUGAUUUAAAGGUGUUUUAAGUUAACUAAAAACAUAAAAACCAUUAAUGGGUCACACUUUCUAUUCAUUAAUAAUUGAAACAACAAAACUUCAAAUUCUUGCAUUUGGAAACUUACCCGGCUUUCUUCACUCCAAGAGAUGAAGAGCCUAGCCUCUCAUCCUCUGAGGAAAAAUCCUCAGAGUUUGAUUGGCUAGAAAGAAAACUAACGAGAAAGCAAAAAUAUGAAGGAAAAAUAGAGCAAGUGCUCUGUAAAAUAUAUUUCUUCCUUCUGCCGAUUACAUGAUUUUUGUCUCUGAGAAAAAACUCCUGAGAUUCGAUUAUAUAUAAGGGGUUAUUCACCCUUUGUUCUUACUUAAAGACUAAGGAAUCCUAUGAUAAGUGGGUUACAAGGAGAUUUUGGGGAUUUAGACAUCAAAUAUCUAAAGCAAAAUAUCUCAAAAUGUCGGUCGCAAAUAUCAGGAAGCUUCAGGAGAACACCGUAGUUGUGCGUGCAAGAGGGCUGUGAAAUUUCGCAGCAAAAGGACAACAUUUUCGCAGCCCAAGGCUGAUUUCACAGUCGUGCAAAAUCUGCCUUCAGCUUGGAGUGAUUGGCUUCCAAUGGCUGUAACUCCUUCAUUUCAACUCCGAAUCAUGUACCAUUUGAAGUAUUAGAUUUUUGACUUCCUGAGAUUCGAAACGACAUAUAGCAUGCAUAAAUUGAACUCCAAGAAGUGCUCCAAAAGUGGCUGACAUGACUGUCAUCUAGAAUGCUUCAUGUUAUAUUUCUCUUUGCUUCCCCUCCUUGCAUUCUGGAUUUGCUUAUGGCAAAGGACUUCAAAGCUUCGGUUCUUCAUGUUUCUGAGUUCUUCAUUGCUUUGCCAUGGAUUCUAAAGAACUCUCCUCAAUCUUGGAUUGCUUUGGUUAUCAAAUUACUAACAAAAACACCAAAACUUACACAAUUUGAUUAGAAAUGAUUGCAAAGGUGCUUAAUAUGUUAAUUGGGUUAAAAGGUAAUAACUGCUACUCAAAAUUGUUUAAAAGAGUUAAUUACAAGAUAUAAAAUAGCACUUUUUGAGUAGUAAUCAAUGUGCUUGUUGCUUUUCUCCUCACAACCAUGCACUAUCAACUUACCUUUCUACCAUUAACAAUUCGUACACAAUCAGUUUGCCUUCCCAAAGUUCUAAAGACUUCCCUUUAAAAUUUCUAAUAAUUAUUUUAUUCCCAUCAAAUUUCAAAUAUGCCACUAACUGCUACCUCUCUAAUACCUUCUCAUCUUCUUCGCUUCAAGCCAAAACCAUGCACUAAAUUUAUGUGACUCUCUAGAACCUUUUGUCAAUUUUUUUUUUUUUACAAACUGUGCACCAAACGAUCUUCAUUCUAGAAAAAACCGGUGCUAACACCAAUCCCCACCAUGUCCACAAUCAACUCGGGCGUUCCCUAUGGUGUGUGUUUGGAGCCCUUUUCAAAGGUACAAAAUUGUUUCUCUUUUAUGGCAGUAUGCUAGCGUGAAUAGAGAUGCCCUCUAACAAUCAACAAGAGAAUAGUUCCUAAGCCUUCCUAUCAAGAGUUUUCUCAAUCUACAUAAAUGGUAAUUGUCUACACUAAUUUCUAAAUACUUAGCCCCUCUGAUUAUGGGUUGAUGAACACCCAUUUGAACAUAACGACCACUUUCCCUACCUUACGUACAAUUUUGCAGUUUCCUUUCUCUAUAAAUACUAGAUUUGGACCAGAUGUGACAUUUGGCAUGCCCAAGGGCAUGGACUAGAAGCAAAGGAAAGCAACAAAAAAUAGGGCAUGAAUGGGUAAAACAAAAUGAACUAACAAAAGCCACAUUUCAUACCUAAUCAACAAAUCAAGAAUAGGUAAUAAAAACUGAGAGAAGUAAUAUGAUUAUCAAAUACUAAACCUAAAGGUAAAUUUAUCGAUUUACAAAGGGAAAUCAAAGAAUCCAAAAUGUGACCAAAACAGAGCAUGUAUGUAGACAAUUAGAUUCAGUCAAACCAACCAAAUAACUUUUGAUGUCCACACCAAAUCAACAAGACAACACUCAUAAAUCUGCAUAAAAUAAAAUAAAAUAGUAUUGAAAAUGAGGAAGAAAUGAAGAUCUUACUUGGAAGGCUCCCUCCUUGAAGUUGUUGCAUGUUGAAGAUCUUAGAGUGAGCAGUGUUUCUUCUCCACUAUAGCCCCUAUAAUUAGGGCAUGAUUUUCAAGGGGAAACUCAACCAACAUCAAAGCACUUGCAAUAAAUGAGGAAUAUGGAGUUGAAAGAGUGGAGAAUCACUUGAUUUUUUGCUCAAUGGUGGAAUUUGUAAGAGAAGAAAGGAGUUUUAGUGCUUAUUCUCUAUUAUGAGAGUCACAAAAUGGAGAUUCAAAAAUGAUUUCCAGAUUUUUAUACUCAAGAUCUCACACUAGGGCUUGGAAACGCACCGUGUGACAAGAUUUCCAGUGUCAAGAGCCUCAUCUAGAGUCAUUGAUCGAUAUUGAUUGUAGUUAACUAGGCUCCAAGGGUUUGUCGGGGUUUUGAAAAAAUGGAGGGAAUGUUUGGCGUACUAUGAAGUCGUGGGUGAGAAUGGGAAAUAUGUGAGCCAUAUAUAAAGGUGUUAUUUUGAUGUCACUUUUAUAGAGCACCAAGGUAAAAAUAAAUAAUAAAGACACUUAUAGAAAACCUCGUGCUAUAGGAAGCAUCAUUAUCCCUCAGCAUAAAGCGCCAUGGUCUAACAUUUUCCUUUUAAGCGUCAACUUCGACCACUUAUUUACUCAAUUGCCCCUCUAAAAGCCAAGUGACGACAUUUUUUUUGAAGCGCCACAAAUUGUGUUUUUUGUAGUAGUGUGGAGGUCUUCCUAUACCCUAUUUAACAUAAUAUAACCUUGCGUACAUGCUUUAGAAAAAUAAGUAAAAGUUUAGAAAAGUAUUUACAUUUGAUUUGAGUUGAAUCAUUCCCUUAUUCGACCUAUUUUGGGUCUAAACUUUAACUUAUGUAAGCCUCGUGAUGCUUUCCUAAACCUUAUUUAGCAUGGUAGAACCCUAGAUACAUCAUUUACAAAAAUAAGUACAUUCUUAAGAAAAAGUACAUCAUUUACAAUAAUAAGUAUAUUCUUAAAAUAUCUAUAUAUACAUACAUUCAUAAGGAAAAUACAUACAUUUGAUUUGAGGUUAAUCAUGACCUAAUUCAACCUAAUUUGGAUCUAAGAUUUGACUUAUGAUGCCUCAGAAUGUAUUUUAUGCCUUCCAAAACUCCGUUCAACAUGAUAGAAGUAUAGGUACAUUCUUUAGAAAAAUAUGUUCGAAAUCUGAAUUUUCCUAUUUGAGGUCUCUUAUAUAUAUUUAUGUAAUAUAUAGUUGUAAAUUAGAUUAGAAAAAUGUGUAUAACUGUAAAUUAUAUUAGGAAGAACAAUCUUUGAUUUAUAAGGAUUUACUUGAUUUAUAAGGAUUAUUAGUUUUCUUUUCCUUUAAUUUUUUUUGUAAAUAUAAGAUAUAAAUUAAGAUCGUAACAAGUAAUUGAAUAAGAAUCUUUUACCAUUUUCUCUCACAUGGUAUUAGAGCCACUUUGACAUCCUUCAUUAGCCUUCAUUGUUGAUUUUAGUUCAAGUUUUUUAGCCUUCACUGUUGAAGAUUUCAAGCCUAAUUCUUUCAACCUUCAUUGUGUGUUUUGUUUAUUUCUUUUUACAUAUUUCAUCCAUUCUACCUGCAAUUUCUGGGAUUUCACCAUGUCUAAGAUGUAUGAUAUUUCUUUUAAAACUAAUUUCAUAAUUUAAAUUAAUGAUUUAAAAAAAUAAAAAUGUUACGAAAAUAAUUUUUAUUUAUUUUUAAUUCCAUUUAAAUAUGAUUUUUUUAAUCUCUACUAUUAUGUUUAUAAGAGCAAAAUAGUAAAAAUAUAUAUUCCAUUUAGUUUACUUGUAAUGAACAAUUCAAACAUGAUUAAUUUUAAUUUUAUUUCCUAUGAGUUAAUUUAGGUAGGGAAGGUCUUAAUGGCAUAGUUUGGUUUUUUUUUUUUUUUUUUUUUUUAAAAAUGUCAAGUUCAAGUUGUUUAAAAAUUGUACAAAACCUAUUAGGAGCCUUGUACACCCUUGUACACUUAACACAUUUCCUUUAUAAAAUUAGUGUAAUACCCUUGUACAGUAAUGCAAAUUCCAUAUCCCUCCUAAGUUAUGUGUCCAUAUAGGUGUGUUAACCAUAUUUUCAAUGGUUUGGUUGAGAAAAUGAUGGAUGACUUAGGGUCAAACAUCAUUAUUGGGGAAAACAUUGGAAUUCCAUGUGGGAUUUAAAUAAAGUACAUGACAUGGGUAUACAAUCCUUCGGCGACAAGGAAAAUAAAGGAGUGGCUCAAAAUUGAUUGAAAUCUUUCAUAAAGGGUAAUCUUGUACACCUUGUACACUUAGUAUAUUUCCCUUGUAUAGUUAGUGUAACACCCUUGUACAAUGACACAAAUUCCAUAUCUCUCCUAAUUUAUCUGUCAAAGUAGGUGUGUUAACCAUGUUUCCAAUGGUUUGAUUGAGAAAAUGUUGGAUGACUUAGGAUCAAAUUUUUUUCCCUAAACAUCAUUACUAGGGAAAGUAUUGAAAUUUCCAUGUGAAAGUUAAAUAAAGUGUAUGAUAUGAGUGUACAAUUCGUGGGUGAUAAGGAAAAUAAAAUGAGUGGUUCAGAAUUGAUUGAAAUCUUUUACAAAGGGUAGCCUUGUACACCCUUGUACACUUAGUGUAAUACCCUUGUACAGUUCGUGUAAUACCCUUGUACAGUAGCACAAGUUUCACAUCCCUCCUCUUAAGUUACACAUAAGUGUGUUAGCCAUGUUUCCAAUGGUUUGGUUGACAAAAUGGUGGAUGGCUUAGGGUCAAAAUCUUUAUCCCAAACAUCAUUAUUGGGGAAAGUACUAGAAUUUCCAUGUGGGAGUUAAAUAAAGUGCAUGACAUGGGUGCACAAUCCGUAAGUGAUAAAGAAAAUAAAUAAGUGGUUCAUAAUCGAUUAAAAUCUUCCACAAAGAGUAGCCUUGUGCACCCCUUAUACAGUUAGUGAAUGCCCUUAUAUAGUGACACAAAUUCCAUAUCCUUAUAGUGAAUGUGUGCUUAUAGGUGAAUUAAACAUGACUCUAGUAGUUUGGUUAAGAAAAUGGCAGAAAACUUAAAUUCAACUUUUUGUGUGAAUAUAUUAUAUUUUUGUGAAAAAAAAAAAUACACAAUUGGCCAAUUCCUUUGUUUAAUUGUGAACAAAUUAUAUUUUUAUUUUAUUAUUAAAAUAACUAAUAAAAAAAUAAAAAAGAAUAAUUAAUAAAUGAAAUUUAAUUCUUUUUAUUGUUUUCAUAUAAAAAUAGUACUAUACAAGGUUUUCAAUUUUCAAAUUUAAAAAUAGUUUUUGUUUUUUUAAUUAAAUGUAUUUUCAAAAAGAGACAAUAUAGAAAAUAAAAAAUUGUUUUAAAAAUAAAAAUUAGAAAAAUAUUUUAAAACCAAACUCAAACAUAAUCUAUAUAAUUUUUAACUACUUGUUUUCAUCUAAAAUGAGUAAAUAUAUCAUUCAACCCUUUUAUAUAAGAAAAAAAAUCAAUCUCUACUAUACUAUAUAUUGAUAUAAUUCACUUCUAAAAUUAGGUCAUAUGAAAACAUUUUAAUUAGAUAUUUAAAAUAAAAACUCUCCAUCCAUCCUCUUUCUUUCUUUUUCUUUUUCUUAUUUUGAUAAAUUUUCAAUUAAUUCAAAUUAUUAAAAAAAAAAUCCUUAGUAAACAAAUUUGCAACAUUUCAUAUAACUUAUUACCAAAAGUCAUCUUCAAAAAGUUAUUAAAAUAAGGAAGGAAGAAGAUUAAAAGAAAAUUUAAACUUUUUAUUUUAUAAUAGUAAAAAAUAAAUUUUAAAAUACUUUUUAGUAUAAAGGGAAAGAAAAUAGUGAAUAUUUUUAUUUUAAAUAGUAUUUUAAUCAUUAAAUUAUUUACUUCUAAAAUGUAAAAGAUAUUUUUUAUUUAUUUAAAUUAACAUUUUUUGAGAAAGUAUUUUCCAAAAUAGUUUUUGAAUCAUUAAUAUAAUUUUGGUUUAUUUAUAAUUUUAAAAUAGAAAAUAAUGUUGAUUUUUCAAUUAUUUAUAAAAGAGUUUAAAAAAAUAAUGAAAAAUAAAAAAAAUGGUUAAAUAAAGAUGAAUUUGUUAAUAGUAGCAUAUGGAGAGUUGUGGAAUGAAGACAAAAAUGAGUUAAAAUGAUAUUUUUGUCAAUUACUAUUUCAUAUCCUUGUAAUCAAUUAUAGGUGAGAGGAAUACCUUACAUCAAUUAUCAAACACCAGCACAAUUCUCCCCUAGAUCUAUAUUGCCCAUAGAUUUGUAUGCUAAUACUAAAUAAAAUGAAAAUAUAUUUAUCACAUAAUUUUUAUGUUUAUGUUAUAUUCUGUUUUAAAUUUUUGUUAAAAGAAAUCAUAUUAUGACAAUAGUAAUAGAUGAGAAAAAAACCAAACAUAAUACAUAUGGUUCACUCUCAAAUGUGGGAGACUUGUCACUUUGUUGUUCCAAAAUUUCCACUAUCAUAAAAAAAAAUAAAAAAUAAAAAAUGUGUGAUCUCACCUCUUACAUGCCUCCUCUAUCAUAAAAUCAAAAUAAUUGAAUGUGGUUCUGGCUUCACCAUGGUUCUAGUUUUUUUGCUUGAUUAAAAUUUUAAGUUUUCUGUUUAUAUCAAAAUAAAAUAGAAAUAUAUUUUUUCAUAAAAAAUUGUAUUAAAUAUUUUAUAUUAAUUUUCUUUUAGUUUUAAAAUAUUAUUACAACUCUCUACUCUUAAAAAAAUAAAAGACAAAAGAUUUAGUUUCAAUUUGGUAACUAUUUUAAAAAAUAAUUGUUUUUUUAAAAGAAAAACCAAGAAAACAUGUUUGACAACUAAAAAAAAUAUGAAACAAUUUUUUUUUUUUUAUCUUAAAAACAAAAAUAUGGUAUUUUUUGAAAACGUCUUUUAGUCGUUUUCACUUGGGUUUUUAGGGCUAUUUUUUUUAAAAUAAGUAUACAAAUAUGGAGAAUGAUUAAAAAUAAAACACUACAUAUAAAAUUUAUUGUUAAAAUGUAUUUAAAAACAUAGAAAACAAGUUAAAAAUAUUUCAGGUUUCAAAACAAGCUUUUAGUCUACAAAAUAUCAAAGACCAAAUUUCAAUAACUGUUCUUAAAAACUAUUUUUUAAAUUUUUUAAAAAAAAACACUUCCUAAACAAAGCUAAUAUAACUCAAUUUUGCUUCACCAAAAUUUGAAAAAAUAAAAUAAAAAUUUUAUAUUUCAUUAAUUUUAGUUCAAAAAAUAAAUAAUUGAUUUAUUAUUAAGGAAAAAGGUUUACUAGUAAUAUUAAAUGUUUAUAAAAUGUCAACCAUUAUAAGAUAAUGAAAUUAAUUAAAAAAAAAUAUACAUCUAAUAUGUAAUUCUAAUUUGUAGAAAAUAUUUUUUAAUCAACCCCCUCUCUAUUAUUAAUUUAAAUUUUUUAAAAUUGUGUAAAAUUAUUUUUAUAAAUAAUUUUUUUCUUUAACGUAAGGGUAAGGCCACCAAGUGUUUGUUUUUUUUAUUUAUUUAAUAUUUUAUGAUUUUUUUUUUCCUUUUAAAUUAAUGGUAAAUCUUUUUUUUUUUUUUUUUUUUUGAGGUGUUAUACUUUUUUAGGGUGAGUAGUAUGAGAAAAGAAGGUUGAUCUUAAUUAGGAAAACAUUUAAGAUGGGGGGAGCAAGGUUGAAUUGAGUUUUUAAAAUAUCCUUAUUUAAACACAACAAAUUCAAGAAAAGGAAGCACAAAUAUAAAGAGAUAAAGUUAGAGGAAGCAAACAUAGAUUUUAUAGUGGUUCGACACUCCUUGCCUACGUCCACUCCCCUCAAGCUCCUAACUGAGUGAGGGUUCCACUAUCCUUGAAGCUUCAACCAAGCUUCCAACGUCUUUACACUUGAUUCCGAUUCCAAUGGCUCUUACACAAUCCUUCAAGUAUUCACUAACUUGAAGCUUUCUAUUCACACAAUCUCACUUUAAAAUAAUGAAGGAAACUCUUAACCUAGCUUAAUAAAGGCUCAAAUACAAUCGAAAUGCUAGGAAGAAUGACAAGAGUGCACUAAAGAGUAUAAAAGUAAGGAUUUAAUGCAUCAAGGAGAGAAUGAGAUCUUUUAAGAGAAGAACAUGUAGUUAAACAAUUGAAUGCAGGUGUUCUCAUGUUCAUAAAUGAAGUAAAACUCUCAAUUUAUAAGUUUCUAACCACGGGAGCCAAAACUGCCAAAAUGUUAACCUCGACUGGUCAAGUUAGGGGUCAACUGGUUGACUAGUCGUUGGGCAAUAAAUGUAUGGUAGGUGACCGACAGGCCUCGACCACACCUUAACCAGACCUCAACUAGGAAAACCUAUCAUCGAUCGGGAAUGCAUAGCUACUGGAAGAGAGAGAAUACUUUUUGCAUCCCUCAAUCAAUCCUUAACUAGGAAGGCUUAAUCGAUUGACUGGUACCCUAACCAAUUGAGCCGGUUGGAUAGUCCCUUGAUUGAUACACCUAUUUUGGUCCGAAAACCUAUUUUUUUCUAUUCCUUUCAUUUUUAACACUUAGGCAAAGUCUUUAGGAGUAUUAAUAGAUUAAAUUUAAAGCAAUUUGCAUAAGGUUUGUAUAAGAAAACUCAAGGUUUAAUGGAAAUUUAAUUUUAAUUAAUAAACCAAGUUUUUAAAGAUGCAUAAAAAGAUAUGAAAAUCCUAAGUGUACAAAUGCAUUCAUCUUACAUAUGUUUCUUAAGAUUAGAAGGCCUUCUAUAUGUUUCAAUGAUUACUACUCAAAAAGUGCUAUUUGAUAGCUUGUAAUUAACUCUUUUAAACACUUUUGAGUAGUAGUUAUUACCUUUUAACCCAAUUAGCAUAUUAAGUACCUUUGCAAUCGUUUCUAAUCAAAUUGUGUAAGUUUUGGUGCUUUUGAUAGUAAUUUGAUCACCAAAGCAAUCCAAGAUUAAGGAGAGCUCUAUGGAAUCCAUGGCAAAGUAAUUGGAAACUCAUUUACAUGAAGAACCUAACCUUUGAAGCUUUAUAGUCCUUUGCCAUAAACAAAUCAUGAAUGCAAGGAUGAAAGCAAAGAGAGAAAUCUAACAUGAAGAAUUCAAGAGGACAUCAACUGUUUAACACUUUUGGAGAACUUUUUGGAGUCCAUUUGAUGUAUACUAUAUGUCGUUUCGAAGCAUGGGAAGUUAGCAAUCCAAUGCUUCAAACGGUGUGCGAAUCGAAGUUGAAAUGAAGAAGUUAGAGCCAUUGGAAUCCGAUCACACCAAGUUGAAGGCCAAUUUCGCAGGCUACGAAAUAAUUUUGCAGCCAUCUUGUACGUCUGCCAAAUUUCGCAGCCAUUUUGUGCGCCUGCGAAAUUCUCCUGAGUGCUUCCAGAUAUUUGUGACCGAUAUUUUUUGAUAUUUUGCUUCAGAUAUUUGAUGUCUAAAUCCCCAUUUUCUCCUUGUAAUCCACCAAUUAUAGGAUUCCUUAGUUAUUAAGCAAGAAAAAAGGGUGAAUAACCUGAUAUAUAUUGUUUUUGUAAUUUUCAUUGCAGACAUCUCGGGAGCUUGUUCUCAGAGACAACUUUUUGUAUAGUUUUUGAAAGGAAGUAAAAUAUAGAGCUUUGCUCUGCCUUACCUACUCAAUUUGAUUGUAUUUUUCAUUACUAGCCAAACAAGCUCUGAGGAUGUUUCCUCAGAGAAUGGGUUGCUAGACUUUUUGUCUCUUGGAGCUAAGGUAGCCGAGGGAGGUGCCGAAUGCAAGAAUUGAGAGUUUUGUUGUUUCAGCUGUUAAUGAAGAGAAAGUGUAACCCGUUUAUGGUUUCUAUGUUUUUAGUUAACUUAAAACGCCUUCAAUUCACCUGGGCCAACACUUGGUAAUGCAAGUGAUCUCCGUCCAUUGAGAUGCACUAGUUUACCUCUUGCGAGCCUUUGGGAGGUGACUUGAAGGUAGGAUUUUCUAGAAUUGCCAACACUUAGUAAGCUUUUGGACUCUAAGGAGACAUCCAUUAGUUAUCUCUUGCGAGCUUGAGAAGGGAAGUCCAAGGUUAAUGAUCACCUUGAAUGGCAAAUGCUAAGUGAGAGGCACGAGCCAUUGCAAGAUGCAUCAGUGAGAGGGAAUUAGUGUUGAAAUCCAUAAAAGGGGAGCAUUUGUACCACACCGGUUGGAGAAUGAACUAUAUGUUAAUUCUCCAAUGCGAGGAAAAGAACCAAAGUGACCGGAACUCUGUUUUUGCAUGAGGAGCCUGACCCCAGUGAUCCAAAAACUCCAAGAAACGUUUUUCUUUAUAAGUAAUUCCCAUUACUUUCUUUUUAGUUAGCUUGAAACCAAACCUUUUUCAACUAAAGUUUAUGUUUUCUUUUGAAGCUAACCUUGAAAUGAAAAGGCACCAAUUCAACUUUGAAUUGGUAUCAGUUGUAAGUUGAAAACCCUUCCCAGUGAACAAUCCUAGAGCCACUAUGCUAUACUAGCUUAUGCUAUCCUAGUGCAUGGUGAUAUAGGUUAUAAAUUUUGUUGAUUACUCCCAUCAGGGGACCAAAAUCAAGGUACACCAGCUGGGCACGAAUCAAAUGGCGUCAUUGCCAGGGAAGGUGACAACUUCACAGUGAUAUUAUUUCAGAGUACUUGUGAUUUUCAUCACAAGUUUAGUGACUUUUCUUUCAUUUUACUAAUUUUUAAUUAUUUCUUUUACUUGUUCAUAUUCUAAAUAUCUUUUAAUUAAGUUUUAUUUCAUUUUAGUCUUUUUUGUAGUCUUUUUUUUCUUUUGUUUUCUUUUGUUUUUGUUUUAGUUACAAUUGAAACUGGUUGUGUAUGCCAAAUUGGAUACGAGAUAGUGGAGGAAGGCUUGUUAAACGUGAUACACCUCAUAACAAGGAAUUGGAAUUGAGCUUGAAAAUCAUGGAAGCUACGCCUGAAGAUCAGCAUAGUCACCAUGGUCACCAGGACAAUCCCAAUGCUUUCAGAUCAAUGAGGGACCGUAUGCAUCCACCUCAUAUGAGUGCACCAUCAUGCAUAGUGCCCCCUACAGAGUAGCUAGUGAUCAGACCGCAUAUUGUUCCACUUCUACCAACUUUCCAUGGGAUGGAAAGUGAGAAUCCCUAUGCACAUAGAAUUUGAAGAUGUUUGUAAUACAUUCCAAGAAGGAGGAGCUUCAAUCAACUUGAUGAGGCUUAAGUUAUUUCCUUUCACUUUAAAGGAUAAGGCCAAGAUUUGGCUUAAUUCUUUAAGGCCAAGAAGUAUCCGUACUUGGACUGAUUUACAAGCUGAAUUCCUCAAAAAGUUUUUUCCAACUCACAGAACAAAUGGCUUGAAAAGGCAAAUUUCAAACUUCUUAGCUAAAGAGAAUGAGAAAUUCUAUGAGUGUUGGGAAAGAUACAUGGAAGCCAUCAAUGCUUGUCUUCACCAUGGUUUUGAUACAUGGCUAUUGGUGAGUUAUUUCUAUGAUGGGAUGUCUUCCUCAAUGAAGCAACUCCUCGAGACAAUGUGUGGAGGAGAUUUCAUGAGUAAGAAUCCGGAGGAAGCUAUGAAUUUCUUGAGUUAUGUGGCUGAAGUUUCAAGAGGAUGGGAUGAACCAAACAAAGGAGAAGUGGGGAAGAUGAAGUCUCAACCGAGUGCUUUUAAUGCUAAGGUUAGGAUGUACAUCUUGAAUGAAGAUGUUGAUAUGAAAGCAAAGUUUGCAGCUAUGACAAGAACAUUGGAGGAGCUAGAAUUGAAAAAGAUGCAUGAAGUACAAGCUGUUGUUGAAACACCAGUGCAAAUACAGUCGUGUCCUAUUUGUCACUCUUAUGAACACUUGGUGGAGGAGUGCCCUACAAUUCCAGCUGUAAAGGAAAUGUUUAGAGAUCAAGCAAAUGUUGUUGGACAAUUCAAGCCCAAUAACAAUGCUCCAUAUGGAAAUACUUACAACUCAAGUUGGAGGAAUCAUCCAAAUUUCUCAUGGAAGCCAAGAGCACCUCAGUACCAACAGCCGGCUCAACCAUCUCAACAAGCUUCAAGCCUUGAACAAGCAAUAGUGAAUCUCAGCAAGGUUGUGGGAGAUUUUGUUGGAGACCAAAAAGCCAUCAAUGCUCAACUCAGUCCAAGAAUUGACAGUGUAGAAAAUACUUUGAAUAAAAGGAUGGAUGGGAUGAAAAAUGAUUUAUCUCAAAAGAUAGAUAAUCUCCAAUACUCAAUCUCAAGGCUCACUAACUUGAACAUAGUGCAAGAGAAGGGUAGAUUUUCUUCUCAACCUCACCAAAACCCCAAGGGUAUCCAUGAAGUGGAAACUCAUGAGGGAGAAUCUUCACAGGUGAGAGAUGUUAAAGCCUUAAUCACUCUAAGGAGUGGUAAAAAAGUUGAGUUGCCAACACCCAAGCCACAUGUUGAAGAGGAAGAAGAAAAAGAGACAAAGAAGAGGGAGGAAAUCAAAGGAAAGAAGAAAGAUAUCAGUGAAGGGAAAGAGGACCAUGAUUCAAUAGUGAAUGCAAAUCCGGAGAAAAUACUUAUUAAGGAAGAAAUUGAAGAAACACACCUCUCCACCUUUUUCUCAAGCUUUGCAUGGGAAAAAGAGGAUAAAAAAUGCAUAAAAAAUUCUUGAAGUAUUGAGACAAGUGAAAGUCAAUAUUCCAUUGCUGGAUAUGAUUAAACAAGUUCCAACACAUGCAAAAUUCCUAAAGGACUUGUGUACUAUCAAAAGAGGGUUGAAUGUAAACAACAAAGCCUUCUUGACUGAGCAAGUAAGUGCUAUCAUACAAUGCAAGUCUCAUUUGAAGUACAAAGGUCCGGGAUGUCCUACCAUUUCAGUCAUGAUUGGAGGAAAGGUAGUGGAGAAAGCUUUGUUAGACUUGGGAGCAAGUGUGAAUUUGCUACCAUACUCUGUCUACAAGCAAUUGGGACUUGGUGAAUUGAAGCCAACAUCAAUCACUCUAUUUCUAGUAAAUAGAUCAGUGAAAUUUCCAAGGGAGGUAAUUGAAGAUGUCUUAGUUCAAGUUGAUAAUUUCUACUAUCCAGUAGAUUUUGUUGUUCUUGAUAUGGACCCUACUGUCAAGGAAGCUAAUUAUGUUCCUAUAAUCCUUAGAAGGCCAUUCCUUGCUACCUCAAAUGCAAUCAUCAACUAUAGGAAUGGACUCAUGCAACUCACUUUUGGCAACAUGACACUUGAGCUCAAUAUCUUUUAUAUGUCUAAAAAGCAAAUCACUCCGGAAGAAGAAGAAGGUUCAGAGGAGGUAUGCAUUAUUGACACUCUAGUGGAGGAGCACUGUAAUCAGAAUAUGCAAGACAAGUUGAAUGAAAGUCAUGGGGAUCUUGAAGAAGGGUUGCCUAAACCCUCUAAUGUGCUUGCUACUCUACAAGGUUGGAGGAGGAGAGAAGAGAUUCUACCUUUGUUCAAUAAAGAGGAGGCACAAGAAGUUUCUAAAGAAGAGAUCCCAAAGCUCAAUUUGAAGCCUUUGCCCAUGGAGUUGAAAUAAACAUACCUGGAAGAGAAUAAAAAAUGCCCUAUUGUUAUAUCUUCAUCUCUUACUAGUCCUCAGGAAAAGUGUCUACUUGAAGUUCUCAAGAGGUGUAAGAAAGCAAUAGGAUGACAAAUAUCUGACUUGAAAGGCAUUAGUCCUUGAUUCGACUCAUGGUAGCUUAGCUUUAAAGGCGUAUCAACAAAAUUUAUACCUUAAAUACUAUUACUAAAGUAGCCAAGCUACUAUAGCAUAGUGGUUCUAGGAUCGUUCACUGGGAAGGGUUUUCGCAAACACAAGUGAUAUUCAAAUUAGGAAAAUAAGUGAUUUUCUUAUGGAUGUUAGCUUUAAAAGAAGAUGUAAAUGUUUUAGAAAGAUUUAAACUAAUCUAAGCUAACAUUAAAGACUAAAAUGAAAGGGUGUAAAAACAAGUUUCUCAAAGAUAGGAUAGCUAUGCUCUGGCUCUUAUGCAAAUUGGAAAUCUCAGGAUAGGCUCCUCGCGUUGGGGUUGCAACUAUGGUGAUGCUUGCUUCCCGAACCGGUAUGGAUUUAGCAAAUCAAGUUUUAAUCCUUUAAAAUGACAAAACAGAUGGUAGUGAAUUUCAUCAAUGGUUAUUCACCUUAGACUUCCUUUGAAUGGCUCGUAAGAGAUAACUAAUGGUCUAAAGCCAAAAGCUUACCAAAUAUUGGCAACUCAAAGUCAUUCCAGGUGAUAAACUCACCUUUCAAUGGCCAUUGAAAUUGGUUCUAACGGAUUAAUGCAAAACUUGGAAUUGAAAACCUCACCUUCCAAUAGCUCGUAGGAGAUAACUAAUGGAUAGAAAUCCAAAAGCUUAUCAAGUAUUGGCCGUUGGAAGUUGUCCAAAGGAAAUAAAAACCAAACUUUGCAUUAAUGAACCUUUAAUGAAAAACGUCUACCUUACCUUCCAGGUGCGAGAAAUUUCCAUGGGAUUGCAUCCAAGCCAUCACAUAACCUCCAUACUUUGAGAAACUAAAAGUUUUAGCCAAUCAUCCUUUGAGGAAAAGCCCUCAGAGGCUGUUUGGCUACUAAGAAAAUAGAAAUAGUAAAGAGAAAAGAGAGACGAGAGAGCUCUGUAUAUCCCUCAGUGUAAAACGUAACACGCAUGUUCUUUAUCUUCCAAGAGGUGAUUUCCACCCCUUAUAUAGUCUUUACAAAAGCAAAAGCUUGUGAUUGGUUAGUUACAAGGAUAAGAAAGGAAAUUACAUCACAAAAUACAAAGGAAAAUAUCUAAAGUGGAGUCGGCAAAAACAGAGGAAAAUUCGCACCACGCAUGGGUUAUGCGAAUUUUGAAGGUGUUAUGCGAAUUUCGCAUAACACCUUGUGUUGUGCGAAAUUUUCGCACAACCUGGAGCAGUUGGCUUCCGAAGGCCAUAUCUUCCUUAUUUCAGCUCCAAAUCAUACACGGUUUAAAGCGUUGGAUUCUUGACUUCCUGAGCUUUGAAAUGGUAUAUAGUAUGUAGAAAAUGGACUUCGGAAAGUGCUCCAAAAGUGCGAAAGAAGACUGAAGAUGCUGUCCUCUUUGCUUCUCUUCAAUUUGCUUCACUCCUUGCAUACUUUGAACGACUUUGGCAAAGGGCUAUGGAGCUCCAAAGCUUGGUUCUUCAUGAAUUUGAUCUUCCAAAAGCUUUUCCAUAACUUGUCCAAGUAACUCCUCCAUCAUUUGGCAUGCUUGAAUUGAUUCAUAAGCUGAUAAAAACAUGUAAACUUGCCACAAAAUGGUUAAAACCAAUUACUAAGGACCUUAAUAAAUUAAUUGGGUUAAAUGAAUAUGAUUACUACUCAAAGGUGCUUAAAACCAUUAUAAUUAAGUCUACAAAAUAGCACUUUUUGGUAGUAAUCAGUCCUUUGGUUUGUACACAUCAUAUAUACAUGGAGGAAGAAGCUAAACCAAUUCGUCAGCCUCAAAGAAGAUUGAAUCCUCAUUUGCAAGAGGUGGUGCGAGUUGAAGUGCUGAAGCUACUUCAAGUAGGUAUUAUCUACCCCAUAUCUGACAGCCCUUGGGUGAGUCCUACUCAAGUGGUACCAAAGAAUUCAGGGAUUACUAUGGUUCAAAAUGAAAAAAGAGAAGAAAUUACUACACGCCUCACUUCAGGUUGGAGGGUGUGUAUAGAUUAUAGAAAAUUGAAUGUUGUGACAAGGAAAGAUCAUUUUCCAUUGCCAUUUAUUGAUCAAGUCUUGGAGAGAGUCUCUGGCCAUCCUUUCUAUUGUUUCUUGGACGGAUACUCCGGAUAUUUCCAAAUUGAAAUUGAUGUUGAAGAUCAAGAGAAGACCAUUUUCACAUGUCCACUUGGAGCAUAUGCCUAUAGAAGAAUGCCUUUUGGUUUAUGCAAUGCACCUGCAACAUUCCAAAGAUGUAUGCUAAGUAUCUUUAGUGAUAUGGUGGAGCGAAUUAUGGAGGUUUUCAUGGAUGACAUCACCAUAUAUGGAGGUACAUUUGAAAAAUGCUUAGUCAACUUGGAAGCGGUUCUUAAUAGAUGCAUUGAGAAGGACUUGGUGCUUAAUUGGGAGAAAUGUCAUUUUAUGGUACAUCAAGGAAUUGUCCUUGGCCAUAUCAUCUUCGAGAAAGGCAUUGAAGUUGAUAAAGCAAAGGUGGAACUUAUUGUCAAAUUGCCAUCCCCAACAACUGUAAAAGGAGUAAGGCAAUUCCUUGGCCAUGCAGGGUUCUAUAGGAGAUUUAUAAAAGAUUUCUCUAAGCUUUCAAAGCCUCUUUGUGAACUUUUAGCUAAAGAUGUUGAGUUUAUAUGGGAUGAAAGAUGUCAAAAGAGUUUUGAUCAACUGAAGCAAUUCUUGACAACAACUCCAAUAGUGAGGGCUCCUAACUGGCAACUGCCCUUUGAAGUAAUGUGUGAUGCCAGUGACUUUUCUAUAGGAUUUGUGCUUGGCCAAAGAGAAGAUGGAAAGCCCUAUGUGAUCUACUAUGCAAGCAAGACAUUGAACGAAGCUCAAAGGAACUACACAACUACAGAGAAAGAAUUGUUAGUUGUAGUGUUUGCCUUAGACAAGUUUUGUGCUUAUCUAGUAGGGUCUUUCAUCAUUGUUUUCACUGACCAUUCAGCCUUGAAGUAUUUAUUGACAAAACAAGAUGCAAAAGCAAGGUUGAUUAGAUGGAUUCUCUUAUUACAAGAGUUCGAUCUCCAAAUCAGAGAUAAGAAAGGAGUGGAGAAUGUGGUAGCUGACCACCUUUCAAGGUUAGUUAUAGCACACAAUUCCCAUGUCCUACCUAUUAAUGAUGAUUUUCCUGAGGAAUCACUCAUGUUGCUAGAAAAAACUCCUUGGUAUGCUCAUAUUGCUAACUAUUUAGUUACUGGUGAAGUUCCAAGUGAGUAGAAAGUACAAGACAGGAAGCACUUCUUUGCAAAGAUUCAUGCUUAUUAUUGGGAAGAGUCUUUCCUUUUCAAGUAUUGUGCAGAUCAAAUAAUAAGGAAGUGUGUCCCUGAAGAAGAGCAACAAGGAAUCCUCAGCCAUUGCCAUGAAAGUGCAUGUGGAGGCCACUUUGCCUCUCAAAAAACAGCCAUGAAGGUGUUGCAAUUAGGGUUUACUUGGCCAUCACUCUUCAAAGAUGCCCACAUCAUGUGUAGGAGCUGUGAUAGAUACCAAAGGCUCAGGAAGCUAACAAAAAGAAAUCAAAUGCCUAUGAACCCCAUUCUAAUAGUUGAUUUCUUUGAUGUUUGGGGCAUUGACUUCAUGGGACCUUUCCCAAUGUCUUUUGGUAACUCUUAUAUCUUGGUGGGGGUGGACUAUGUUUCUAAAUGGGUUGAGGCAAUCCCCUGUAAACACAAUGAUCACAAGGUGGUUCUCAAGUUUCUCAAAGAGAACAUCUUCUCAAGAUUUGGGGUGCCCAAGGCCAUAAUCAGUGAUAGAGGUACUCAUUUUUGCAAUAGACCCUUUGAAACCCUAUUAGCCAAGUAUGGAGUGAAGCAUAAGGUAGCUACACCUUAUCACCCUCAGACUUCCGGGUAAGUUGAGCUAGCAAACAGGGAAAUCAAGAAUAUAUUGAUAAAGCUGGUGAUUACGAGCAAAAGAGAUUGGUCUAUUAAGCUUUAUGAUUCACUAUGGGCAUAUAAAACAGCUUACAAGACUAUUCUUGGCAUGUCUCCAUAUCGCCUAGUCUAUGGCAAAGCAUGACAUCUCCCUGUGGAAGUUGAAUAUAAGGCUUGGUGGGUAAUCAAGAAGUUAAACAUGGACUUGAUCAGAGCCAGGGCAAAGAGGUGCUUAGACCUUAAUGAGAUGGAGGAAUUAAGAAAUGAUGCUUACAUCAAUUCCAAAGUUGCAAAACAGAGGAUGAAGAGGUGGCAUGAUCAAUUAAUCUCCAAUAAAGAAUUCCGGAAAGGACAAAGAGUCUUACUCUAUGAUUCAAGGCUCCAUAUCUUUCCUGGGAAGCUUAAGUCAAGGUGGAUAGGCCCUUUCAUUAUUCACCUAGUGCAUCCCAAUGGAGUGGUGGAAUUACUGAAUUCCAAUAGCACUGACACUUUUAAAGUCAAUGGUCAUCGUCUCAAGCCAUUCAUUGAGCCAUACAAGCAAGAAAAUGAGGAAAUCAACCUCCUUGAGCCAUAGAAAGCCUAAUCAGAAAAGGGUUAGAUGGGCUUGGUUUCACCAAAGUCCAUAUUUUUGUUAAAUUUUGUUAAUUUAAAAGCUUUAUUAAUUCUUUUGAUUUUAAUUUUGGUCUUAAGUUUUGUUAUUUAUAUGUAACUUAAUUUUUUUGAAUGAUCUAAUGUAGGAGGAAUUGCAAAGAAAAUGAAGAAAGGUCUCUUGGAGCUAAAAAGGAGUUCAAAACCAAGGGAAAAUUCAUGGCCUGCGAGAUUUCGCAGAAAAAUGAGGCCUCUGUGAAAAUGGCCCUUGCUGCGAAAUCAUUUCGCAGCCCCAUGCCCCCUUCUGCGAAAAUUUUCGCAGUUGCGAAACCCCCUCUUGGCACACGAGUGCCAUUUCGCAACACAGUACCCCCAUUUCGUAGCUGUGAAAUGGCUGCUGAUUCGACUCAUGGUAGCUUAGCUUUAAAGGCGUAUCAACAAAAUUUAUACCUUGAAUACUAUUACUAAAGUAGCCAAGCUACUAUAGCAUAGUGGUUCUAGGAUCGUUCACUGGGAAGGGUUUUCGCAAACACAAGUGAUAUUCAAAUUAGGAAAAUAGGUGAUUUUCUUAUGGAUGUUAGCUUUAAAAGAAGAUGUAAAUAUUUCAGAAAGAUUUAAACUAAUCUAAGCUAACAUUAAAGACUAAAAUGAAAAGGUGUAAAAACAAGUUUCUCAAAGAUAGGAUAGCUAUGCUCUGGCUCUUAUGCAAAUUGGAAAUCUCAGGAUAGGCUCCUCGCGUUGGGGUUGCAACUAUGGUGAUGCUUGCUUCCCGAACCGGUAUGGAUUUAGCAAAUCAAGUUUUAAUCCUUUAAAAUGGCAAAACAGAUGGUAGUGAAUUUCAUCAAUGGUUAUUCACCUUAGACUUCCUUUGAAUGGCUCGUAAGAGAUAACUAAUGGUCUAAAGCCAAAAGCUUACCAAAUAUUGGCAACUCAAAGUCAUUCCAAGUGAUAAACUCACCUUUCAAUGGCCAUUGAAAUUGGUUCUAAUGGAUUAAUGCAAAACUUGGAAUUGAAAACCUCACCUUCCAAUAGCUCGUAGGAGAUAACUAAUGGAUAGAAAUCCAAAAGCUUAUCAAGUAUUGGCCAUUGGAAGUUGUCCAAAGGAAAUAAAAACCAAACUUUGCCUUAAUGAACCUUUAAUGAAAAACGUAUACCUUACCUUCCGGGUGCAAGAAAUUUCCAUGGGAUUGCAUCCAAGCCAUCACAUAACAUCCAUACUUUGAGAAACUAAAAGUUUUAGCCAAUCAUCCUCUAAGGAAAAGCCCUUAGAGGCUGUUUGGCUACUAAGAAAAUAGAAACGGGAGAACAGGAGAAGAGAGAAAAACAGAGCAAGGCUCCGUCUGUAUAUAUGCGUCUAUGUCUUCAAGAGGUGAUUUCCACCCCUAAUAUAGUCUUUACAAAAGCAAAAGCUUGUGAUUGGUUAGUUACAAGGAUAAGAAAGGAAAUUACAUCACAAAAUACAAAGGAAAAUAUCUAAAGUGGAGUCGGAAAAGGCAGAGCAAAAUUCGCAACACGCAUGGGUUAUGCGAAUGUUAUGCGAAUUUCGCAUAACACCUUGUGGAAUGCGAAAUUUUCGCAUAACCUGGAGCAGUUGGAUUCCGAAGGCCAUAUCUUCCUCAUUUCAGCUCCAAAUCGUGCAUGGUUUGAAGCGUUAGAUUCUUGACUUCCAGAGAUUUGAAAUGGUAUAUAGUAUGCAAAAAAUGGACUUCGGGAAGUGCUCCAAAAGUGCGAAAGAAGACUGAAGCUGCUGUCCUCUUUGCUUCUCUUCACUUUGCUUGCUUUUCCUCUUUGCUUCUCUUUGCUUGUGCUCGUGUUUCCACUUGAAAUUCAAGCCUGUAAAUGUCCAAAAUCCUUGCUUUAACUUGUCCAAGUAGCUCCUCCAUCAUUUGGCAUGCUUGAAUCAAUUCAUAAGCUGAUAAAAACAUGUAAACUUGCCACAAAAUGGUUAAAACCAAUUACUAAGGACCUUAAUGAAUUAAUUGGGUUGAAUGAAUAUGAUUGCUACUUAAAGGUGCUUAAAACCAUUAUAAUUAGGUCUACAAAAUAGCACUUUUUGGUAGUAAUCAGCUGCAAAAUCCCCAAAGCGUGAAAUCUCCAAUUUUCGUAGCCAAAGCCCCAUUUCGCAAGGUGUUUCGCAGUUGCGAAAGACCCCCUUGGCACACGAGUGCCAUUUCGUAGCACAGUAGCCUCAUUUUGCAGUUGCGAAAUGGGCUGCGAAAAGGGCCCUCCGCUGCGAAAUCCACCCUCCUCUGCAAAAAUUAAAACGACCCUUGGCAUCCAAUUUUUUAACGGUAUAAAUUCCACAUUUCUAAUAAACCGGUCAUUUGAACUUCAAACAGGUGCCAGAGAAGAGCCAAAACAGAGCAACCUUCCAUUUUCUCCCUCCUAUAUGAGCCUAAGCUACGCGUGCCUCCGCCCAUCUCCUUCGGUCAGCCAUGGCAAGAACCCGAGGAGCUAAGUCUUCGUCUCUGUCAAGCCGCAAGAGAGCCGCAAAUGAGACCCCUGUUCAAGGCUCCAUGUUCGAGCCUCCGCGACCACGAGUCGUCCCACCUCCAGUUGAGGACGCACCGAUGAGUCCUCCGGUAAGGCGCUAUCAAACCAGGUCAAGUAGCCAUCCCCCGAAGAAGAAAGCUAGGGUAUCCGAGCCAAAGCUAAUUGACUUAUCAAAGCCGUCUUCAGAGCCUCUACAAGAGCCUCACCGUUCUCAGCCACCAUCCAAAGAGCCUCAACUGUCUCAGCCACCAGCUACAAAUUCUCAGAUUCCCUCAGGCAUGACUCCUGAGAUGCUUAUUAGGCGUCCCAUGCUCACUCAGCCGCCCAUUGAGGGUAAUUUGGAUUGCAGGGCUAAGCCAUUCCACUCUGAGAUCUGCUUCGACACAGCCACUUUCAGACUUCAGCUCGAGCUCAGGGACUCCUUCCAUCUGCUACAGAGGUACCAUAUGGAGCAUUUGCUAACUCCCAAGGAUUUUUUCUGUCCCCGUGUAGCAAUGGACUUCUAUCAGUCCAUGACCACACACCAGGUCUGAGAUCUUACUGUUAUCCACUUCACCAUAGACGGACAUCAUGGCAUUCUGGGAGCUAGUACAUAGUAGAGGCAUUGCGUAUUCCCUACGAGCCAGCCCAUCCAGAGGAUUAUCGAGUCUGGACUCAUCCUGCCCAGAGCGACAUAGUUCAUAUUCUGUCCAGAGGAGCAUCCUCGCGCCAGUAUCUAUUGAGGAAGGAGCUCCCUCAUAGCAUGUUUUUCAUAGAUGCACUCCUGCGCCAUAACAUCUUUCCACUUCUGCAUUGGGUGCAGAGGAGAGGAGUUUUGCUAGAGGCAUUGUUCAAGAUAUCUAAGGGAUUCUUCUUUGGCCCUCAUCAUCUCAUUAUGGCCGCUCUUCUGUACUUCGAAGAGAAAGUCCAUAGGAAGAAGCUGCUCAGAGCGGAUGCUAUUCCACUUCUCUUCCACAGAUUGCUAUGUCAGAUUCUGGAGCACUUGGGGUAUCCAUCUGACCCUCAGCUUGAGUGCAAACGUAUUUGCCGAGAGAUAUUCACUCUCAAAAAAUGGAUGAAUAUGACAGCCUAUAGUGCAGACCAGGGAGCCCCAACUGGAGCAGAGCAUCCAGAGCAGCCAGAGGAGCCACAGCCGGUUGAGAUACCAGCUGACAUGAGAGCACCUACCCUUGCAGUGCCCUCUACAAAGCCUAUACCAGAGGUUGCACCCUCUGCUCCUCCUACCACACCACGGACUCCCCCUGUUAUUCCAGCUACAUCAGAGCCCUCUCCUUCAUCUGAGCCUAGGAUUGCUAUAUUCAUUUCCGAGUACAGAGGUCUAUGUCACACUUUACAGGCAUUGACCACUUCUCAGAGCAUCCUUACUUAGGAGAUGACAGCUCUUCGUGCUCACCAAGAGCACAUUAUCGCCACUCAGACUAAGCAUACUACCAUCUUGAGGCAGAUUCAGCACCACCUGGGUAUUCCAUCAGCUCCUGAGCACCCCAUUCCUAUCUUCUCAAAGCCCACAAAGCCAUCACAGGCCCCUCUUUUCGUAAAGCAGGCUUUUCCCUCUGAGGAGCCGACUACAGGAGAUGCAGAGACAUCCACCUGAGCCAUCAUCAUCUUCCCUCUAUCUGAUCAUUUCCAUACUUUUCUUUAUGUAUUUGCAUUUGUAAUCCCAUGCUUUUGAUAUUUUAUAUAUUGGGAUUGGUUGUAUUACUUGUUUACCUUUAUAUUGUACUUUCAUGAAGUAAUACAAAUCUAUCAAUUUUUUAGCACUCUUAGCAUUGUUUUAUUUUAAUUCCUCUACUCAUAUCUUUUGUUGUUUUUGAAACAUGUGGUUUCUCCUAAUCUAAUCGAACUUCAUAUCACUCAGGAGCUACCACUUCCUCCCUGUAAUUUCAAUCGCUCAUGUCACAUUGAGGACAAUGUUCAGCUUGGUUGGGGGGAGAGUUGAGGAAGGAAGUUUUUUGUUGUUAAUACUAAGUAUUUUCGUAAUUUAUUUUAUUUUUGUUUAAUUUAAAAAUUUUUUUGUAAGUUUUUAUUCCACUCUCCAUGGUUAUUAAGGACAAAUUCUCAAAUUAAAAUAAGAGAAAUCGAAUUUUUGUUUUUACUUGACUUAGACUUUGUAUUAUGCUUAUUAAAGUUGAUGAAUUGUUGAAACUUCUAUUGAAUUCAACUUUAGUUCUUCCACUUUAAGCUAUUCACACACUGUGCAAAAUAGGUUCCGAGUAUAAGAUGAAAAACUAUUUCCCUCUUGACUUAGGAAAAUUUAGACUUGGUACCUUUGACCUCAUUUAAUAGUGUUGGGACACCUUAUAAAAGGCCAAUGAGCCUUUGAAAAAAAAAGAGAAAGAAAGAAAAAUGUUUGCUUGCCUUGAAACCCGAGCAAGGUCUGAGGGGUAUAUGGUGAAAAUCUUUAAAACCUGGUGCCCUAAGCCUUCAUUGGUUGGGAGUCACCGACCUCAAUGCUCGUUACAAGGGUGAAUAGGUGGAGUUUAACAUACUGUAGGUGCUUGGGUAUUAAAAUUCAUUCUCAAAAGUCCGAGGUAAAAUCCGAGGAGUUAGUGGUUGAAAGAUCCUUAAAGCUUGAUGCCCUAAACCUUAAUUGGUUGGGAGUCAUCGAUGGACCCCCGUUUCAUGGACAAUUUAGAAAAGAAUACCUUUAAGCCUUGUACUCCUACAAUGAAAAAAAAAUGUGAAAUAAAAGGGUGCAUUCUUAGCCUAUUGAAUUUGGUCAGUUUGCUAAGUGUUGAAAAAUAACUAGGUUAGGGGGAGAGACUAGUUUAGCAUACUAUAUUCGGAAGCUAUCAAGUAACACUUAGAUUUUUGUGGAAGAGUAAGGUUUGGUCCUUUGGAAGUGGAAAUGAUUUUAAAGCUUCAAUUUGCAUAAUACCUUCUCUUUAUGAAUUGUGAUUAAGUAAAGUAUUUGAUAACUCUUGCUGAAAUUUGAGUUUUAUAUCUUUAAUGUCCCAUGUGAGAGUUUGAUCAUCAUGCCACUUAAAAAUUUUUGAAGUGAUCAGCAUGAUUUUGUAAAGUAUAUUACUGUUUAGUUUAUUUUUUUCUCUCCUUUAUUGCUAAGAGACUAGCAAUAUGUCGGUUGGGGGGAGUGAUUACUACUCAAAAAGUGCUAUUCAAUAGCUUGUAAUUAACUCUUUUAAACACUUUUGAGUAGUAGUUAUUACCUUUUAACCCAAUUAGCAUAUUAAGUACCUUUGCAAUCGUUUCUAAUCAAAUUGUGUAAGUUUUGGUGCUUUUGAUAGUAAUUUGAUCACCAAAGCAAUCCAAGAUUAAGGAGAGCUCUAUGGAAUCCAUGGCAAAGCAAUUGGAAUCUCAUUUACAUGAAGAACCUAAGCUUUGAAGCUUUAUAGUCCUUUGUCAUAAACAAAUCAUGAAUGCAAGGAUGAAAGCGAAGAGAGAAAUCUAACAUGAAGAAUUCAAGAGGACAUCAACUAUUUGACACUUUUGGAGCACUUUUUGAAGUCCAUUUGAUGCAUACUAUAUGUCGUUUCGAAUCUCGGGAAGUCAGAAAUCCAAUGCUUUAAACAGUGUACAAAUCGGAGUUGAAAUGAAGAAGUUAGAGCCAUUGGAAGCCGAUCACACCAAGUUGAAGGCCAAUUUCGCAGGCUGUGAAAUAAUUUCGCAGCCAUCUUAUACGUCUGCGAAAUUUCGUAGCCAUUUUGUGCGCCUGCAAAAUUCUCCUGAGUGCUUCUAGAUAUUUGCGACCGACAUUUUUUGAUAUUUUGCAUCAGACAUUUGAUGUCUAAAUCCCCAUUUUCUCCUUGUAAUCCACCAAUUAUAGGAUUCCUUAGUUAUUAAGCAAGAAAAAAAGGUGAAUAACCUGAUAUAUAUUGUUUUUGUAAUUUUCAUUACAGACAUCUCGGGAGCUUGUUCUCAGAGACAACUUUUUGUAUAGUUUUUGAAAGGAAUUAAAAUAUAGAGCUUUGCUCUGCCUUACCUACUCAAUUUGAUUGUAUUUUUCAUUACUAGCCAAACAAGCUCUGAGGAUGUUUUCUCAGAGAAUGGGUUGCUAGACUUUUUGUCUCUUGGAGCUAAGGUAGCCGAGGGAGGUGUCAAAUGCAAGAAUUGAGAGUUUUGUUGUUUCAGCUGUUAAUGAAGAGAAAGUGUAACCUGUUUAUGGUUUCUAUAUUUUUAGUUAACUUAAAACGCCUUCAAUUCACCUGGGCCAACACUUGGUAAUGCAAGUGAUCUCCGUCCACUGAGAUGCACUAGUUUACCUCUUGUGAGCCUUUGGGAGGUGACUUGAAGGUAGGAUUUUCUAGAAUUGCCAACACUUGGUAAGCUUUUGGACUCUAAGGAGACAUCCAUUAGUUAUCUCUUGCGAGCUUGAGAAGGGAAGUCCAAGGUUAAUGAUCACCUUGAAUGGGAAAUGCUAAGUGAGAGGCACGAGCCAUUGCAAGAUGCAUCAGUGAGAGGGAAUUAGUACUGAAAUCCAUAAAAGGGGAGCAUCUGUACCACACCGGUUGGAGAAUGAACUAUAUGUUAAUUCUCCAAUGCGAGGAAAAGAACCAAAGUGACCGGAACUCUGUUUUUGCAUGAGGAGCCUGACCCCAGUGAUCCUAAAACUCCAAGAAACGUUUUUCUUUAUAAGUAAUUCCCAUUACUUUCUUUUUAGUUAGCUUGAAACCAAACCUUUUUCAACUAAAGUUUAUGUUUUCUUUUGAAGCUAACCUUGAAAUGAAAAGGCACCAAUUCAACUUUGAAUUGGUAUCAGUUGUAACUUGAAAACCCUUCCCAGUGAACGAUCCUAGAGCCACUAUGCUAUACUAGCUUAUGCUAUCCUAGUGCAUGUUGAUAUAGGUUAUAAAUUUUGUUGAUUACUCCCAUCAGGGGACCAAAAUCAAGGUACACCAGCUGGGCACGAAUCAUUUAAUCUUGUAUCCAUUGGGUCCUUUGAUAAGUUUCUUGGAUAUCCUUUUGAAUUUCCAAACUAAAACUUGAAAUUCUUUUAAUUUAAAAUAAUUAGCAACUUAACCAUGGUUUGUUAUCAUUAAAACACGAUUAGGAGAACCUUUGGGCUAACAUAGUAUGUUAAUGAGCCUAUUUAUUUUUCAAAUUUUUUAUAUGAUUAUUUAAUAAGAUUAUUGUUAAAUUACUAUGGAUGCAAUUUAGGGAAGACAAAGACCCUAAUUGUUUUUUUUAUUUUUAUUGUUUGCAAACUUAAUGAAUUAUUUUGAGUUAUGUUAUUUAAAUUGUUGGAUUAAUUUUACAUAAUAUAUUAUUGUGACAUUAUAAUAUAAAAAUAAGUAAUAUCAUUUAGUUACCUUCAAUUCUAUUACUAUAGCUAUUUGAUAGACAGUAUUAAUUUAGUAAUGUUAUUUUAAUAGUUUAAACCAUAGGAAAUAUAAUCUAAGCUUAAAAUAUUAAUAUUUAUGUUUUUUAAAUGAUAUAUAAUGUACUUAUUUUUCUAAGGAAUGUAUUUAUUUUUAAGUUAAGAUGUACUUAUUUUCAAAUAGGAUGCACUUAUUUUUUCCAAUGACGUACCUAGUAUCAAAGCAUGAUAGAUGAGAUGUGCGAACAUCAUAAAUGCAUGCCUAGACCUAUAAAAAUGGAUGAUCUUGUCCAAUAUCUUGUUCAAUAUGCUUUGAUAAAAGGUACAUCAUUGGCAAAAAUAAAUGUAUCCUAUUUGAAAAUAAGUACAUCUUGUUUAAAAAUAGGUACACCAUAUGUAUAUCAUGCAUGUGACUCAUUUGCUCUAAUUUGGACAUGAUCUUCCAUUUUUGUAGGCCUAGGCAUGCAUUUAUUGACAUAAGCUAUAUUGGACAAGGGCUUUCACUUUUAUGGGCCUUGGAAUGCAUUUGAAGCUUUUAGCCAUCCCAUUUUGCAUCCUAGAACCCUAGGUACAUCAAUUGGAAAAAUAGAUACAUGGCAUUGAAAAAUAAGCACAUCUUCACAAAAAAUAAGUACAUCUCAUUUAAACUAUAUACCUAACGCAUUUGUCCUAUUUUGGACAUGAGCUUUUACUUUUAUAGGCCUCAAAAUGUAUUUAGGGUCUUCCCACAUCCCAUUUUGUAUCCUAGAACCUUAGGUACAUCCCUUGGAAAAAUAGGUACAUUGUGUUAAAAAAUAUGUACAUCUUUUGAAAAAUAAGUACUUUGCAUUUAAAUUGUAUAACUGACUUAUUUGGCCAAUUCUAAGUAUGAUUUUUCACUUUUAUAGGUCUUGAGAUGCAUUUGAGGCCUUCACACAUCCCAUUUCACAUCGUAGAACUUUGGGUAUAUCCUUAGGAAAAAUAAAUACAUCAUAUUGCAAAAUAGUACAUUCCCUUAAAAAAUAAGUACAUAUUAUUUUCAUUCUAUGGGUGACUUGUUUGGCUUAUUCCUAUCAUGCACUUUCACUUUUAUAGGUCUCAUAAUGCUUUUGAGGCCCUCACACAUCUCAUUUCUCAUUCUAAAACCUUGGGUACAUCCCUUGAAAAAGUAGGUUCAUCUUGUUGAAAAAUAAGUAUAUCAUCUUAAAGCAUAAGCACAUCGAAUUUACAUUGUAUAACUGAUUCAUUUCACUUCUUAUACACAUUCAUUAUUUAUUUGAGUUAUAGGUUCAAGUGACUAAUUCUGGAACAAGCAUAAAGCAUAAUCAAGUUGCUUAACUUUACUUAUGUACUACUAGUUAAGCAUGACACAUUAUGGUAUAUCAUUCAUGAAUAUGAAUAGGUAUAAGACUCAUCAUUCAUUCUAUAGGAAAAAGGGAACAUUUUAUGAACACUAUGUACACAAGUCAUUUGAUAGUAAUUAAGACAACAUGUAUGUUCUUUGUCCUAUCACGCAUUAAAAAAAAAUUAGUUUAGUUUUUAAGAUCAAUUUCAUUAUUAUUUGGUUUCGAUGUUAUGUAGCUAUUUUUUUCCUAUGGAUGCACAAAAGGUUCCAUGAUAUACUAAUUUUUCCUUGUCCAAAAUAGGCCAAAUGAGUAUUUUAAUUUAAUGUAAAUGCAAUGUACUUAUUUUUUAAGUGAAUGUACUUAUUUUUUAACAUGAUGUACCUAAUUUUCCAAUGGAUGUAACUAUGGGUUCUAGGAUGUGGAACAAGAUAUGGGAAGACCUCAAAUGUAUCUUGAGGCCUGUAAAAGUACAAGCUCAUGUCCAAAAUAGACAAAUGAGUCACCUAUACAAUUUAAAUAUUUAAGAGGGUGUAAUUAAUUUUCAACACAACGUACCUAUUUUUCCAAGGGAUGUACCUAGGUUCUAGGAUGCAUAAUGAGAUAUGGGAAGACCUUAAAUGCAUCUUAAGGCCUAUAAAAAUAAAAGCCCAUGUCCAAAAUAAGCAGAAUGUCACCUUUACAAUGUAAAUGCAAUGUACUUAUUUUUUAAGUGGAUUCACUCAUUUUUCAAUGGGAUUUUUUAACUUUUGUAGCAAUUUUUAAAAAUAAUUAUUAAAAAAUGGUAGUUGGGAAAAUAUUAAUAGAUCUACGGCGGUUUUGGCCACGUGGAAGGUGUCUUUUGAAGAGACACCUUCCACAAUUUUCAAAAUCAUGAUACUAAUUUAAAAGAAUUGAAUUUAAGCUAAAGGUGUCUCUUCAAGAGACACCUUCUACAAUCCCAGAAAAUUGGAUUUAUAUUAAAGGUGUCUCUUGAAAAGACACUUUCCACGUGGCAAAAAAUCCAAUAUGAAUUAAAGGUGUCUCUUCAAGAGACACCUUCUACAAUUCCAAAAAAUUUUAAUUUAUACAAAAUGUGUCACUUAAAGAGACACUUUCCACAAUUCCACAAUUCCAUAAAUUCCAAUAUAUAUUAAAGGUGUCUCUUCAAGAUACACCUUCUACAAUUCCAAAAAAUUGGAUUUAUACUAAAGGUGUCUCUUGAAAAGACACUUUCCAUAAUUCCAUAAAAUCCAAUAUGUAUUAAAAAUUGUGGAAAUGAUUUUAAAGCUAAAGAUGUCUCUCUUCAACAUAAAUUCGAAAUUUUCCACUGUGUAUGGAAAUUGUGGACAAUGUCUCUUCAAAAGACACCUUUAGUAUAAUUCCAUUUUUUGAGAAUUGUGAAAGGUGUCUCUUCCACAAAUUUAAAAAAAAUUGGGUUUAUACUGAAGAGACACUUUCCAUAAUUUCAAUUCAAACAAUGGAAAAUUUUGAAUUUAUGCUAAAGGUGUCUCUUCAAGAGAUACCUUCCACAAUUCCCAAAAAAAUGGAAUUAUACUCAGACGCCUUUCAUAAUUUUUAAAAAAUUGGGUUUAUACUGAAAGUGUCUCUUCAGAAGAGACACUUUCCACAAUUUUCAUACACAGUGGAAAAUUUCGAAUUUUGAAAAGACAUAUUUUACAAUUCCCAAAAAAUGGAAUUAUACUAAAGGUGUCUCUUGAAGAGACACCUUCCAUAAUUUUAAAAAAAUUGGGUUUAUACUGAAAGUGUCUCUUCAAGAGACACUUUCCACAAUUUCAUACACAAUAGAAUAUUUCAAAUUUAUGCUAAAGGUGUUUCUUCAAGAGACACCUUCCACAAAAGGAAAAAAAAAUUAUAUCUCUUAAUUAGUAUUACCUGCUAUACAACCAAAUGUUUAAAGUUUAUCCCCUGUAUACAUUAUAAUCAAUAUUUUGACAUUCAAUCCAAAACCAAUGAAAAUAAGUAAACCAAAUGUCAAUUAAGUCAACACAUUUCCAAAAUAGUAACAAUACUAUUUUGUGUAAAAUAAAUCCAAAAUAGAUAGAAUACUAGAGAACUUACGUUAAUAAAAAGUUAGUUUAUCCAAAAUAUAACAAGUAUAAAUAUACAUCUUGAGUAUUUGUCAAAAAUAAUGAUAUGCAAAAUACUAACAGUAUCCAAAAUACAAGUCAUAUGUAGUAACAUCCUCAAUGUGUACCGCAUGAAGGAGCCUUCCUCUUCCAUUGUGGACAUCCAUGAUAUGCAUGCUCCACUAUUGGCUCUAUGGGGCUAACAUGUACCCCUCUAUGAGCUCGACAACCACGUCUCCUACCACGUCCUCAACCAUGUCCUCGACCAUGAUCAUUCUUUUGUCCUUGUUGAUCAUCAUUUGCUAUAUGAACUAACUUCUCAUCAACCAAUGUAACCUCUAUCGAUUGUGGUGAUGAUGCAACAAGUAGUACUAUAGGUGGGUUAGAUGGCACCUCCAUAUGUGUAAUACGAGUCUCCUCAACAGGUGGCGGGCUAAUGUCAGUCGAUGGUGCAUUUCUAAGAACAAAUGUAUGCUUAGUCACUCUCGUAUAAGCCCCUCUCCCUCUAGUCCGUACACCUCAUGAUCAAGUAAUGGAUGAUAUCAGUUGCUGAUGAGGUGGUGGAUUACAAUAAAGUGGACGUACCAUUAUGGGAAAUAGCACAUCUCAUUUGAAGAAGAGAGUCCUUUUGAUAUAAUCUAGGCAUUAAAGUUUAUCAUCGAGAUCAACUCAAAUGAAUCGCUACAUGAUUUGUACGCUCCCUUAAUUUUAUUUUCCUUAUAUUUUUUUCCUUCAUAUUAAUUCCACCACCAAAUCUGAUAAAAUCAAAAUUAAGUUUUAUAAGCCUCUAAGUGAUAAAUAAAAAAAAAAAAAAAAGCCUUCUAUCGAGAAAGGGGGUUAUUUCUGAACAUGGAGAGUCGGCAUAGAAGACCUUUAUUGAAAAUGGUGUUGAUGCUUUGAAAAGUUUGAAUGGACGAGACUCUAAGUUGAGUUGAUGGGAAGAGCAAGAGACGCAGUUUAUUGGGACUUUAAGAGAAAUAUUUUUCUCUUCCACACCAUCCUUUGACAUCAGUCACUUGUAACUCAUCAAUUGACCAACUUCGUUUAUAUGAUUUAUUAUUAUUUUUUUCCAGUUUUCUAAUGAAAAUAUUUCUUUGGUUUGAAGAAAUAUUCAUGUUAAUGGUUCGGAUAGAGAAAGAUAAGAUUGAAUCAAAUCAAAUUUAUUUUAAUUAAUCAAAUUCAAUUUAAUGUAUUCAUUUUAUACAAGAUAAACUAUUUAAUUUUAACAAAUAAAAAGAUAGUAUAUCCAUUUUUAUAUAUGAUAACUUGAUUUGAAUAUAUAUAAUUUUUUUUUUUGUAACCCCUGUUUGAUUCCAAAGAAAAUCCAUCCCCCAUUCGAUUUCCAAAAAAAUUCAUCCUCAUUUGAUUUAUGAGAAAAUCCAUGCAAAACCCCCAAGGAAAACCAAAAAAAUUGCUUUUUUUAUUUAUUUUUUUGCUCUCUAUGCUUUAUGGAUUUAUUCUAGGGGUCUCUGUGGAUGUACUCAACGUCUUAUGCAAUCAUGAAAUAACAUGAAUUGAGUGGAUGUUAUUGCAUAAUAACAUUGAUAGACAAGACUAUUAGAAAAGAGAGCACCACUUUUAUAUAUAUAAAGUAACAGUUAAGUGUGCUAAAAGUACCACCAUGCUAAAAGUGUAUUACACUUUUUAUGUACUACUUUUUCAUAAAAUAAAAUAAAUGGUACCCUCUUUUCUAAGGAUUGUGUCAAUUGGUGUUAUUGUGCAAAACACCCACUCAAUUCACAUUAUUUUAUCAUCACAUAUGACGUCGAGUAUGUAACAAGCGAUAAUAGAUCUUACCCUAAACCAAAUAAGAGAAGUACAUUCUUCCCACCACAAUGAAACUAAAAAAAGAGUGACAUAUUCUUCCCACCACAGUACUACUUUUAACAUAGUACAUUUUUCAUUCAUGAGUGGUACCAUUUUUUUUCAAAGGUUGUGUUGACUGUUGUUAUUGCACAAUAACAUCCACCCAAUUCAUGUUAUUCAAUCAUUACAUAAUACAUUAAGCAUGUAACGGGUGGUAACAUACCUUAAACCAAAGAAGAGUGAUACACUAUUUCCACCAUAGUGGUACAUUUAUCACACUUCAGUGGUAUUUUCUUUUUAUAAAUAAAUGGUAUGCACUUUUCCAAAGGUUGUAUUGAUCAAUGUUAUUAUGAAAUAACACUCAUUGAAUUCAUGUUAUUUCACCAUUAAUAAGACAUCUAGCAUGCAACGAAUGGUAACAUACCUUUGCUUAAACUAAAAAAGAGAGAUACAUCCUUCUUACCACAAUAUUACUUUUAGCAUUUUUAGCAGUACUUUUUUUCAUAAAGGAGUGGUACUAGGGAAAUGCAACUUAAGUUGCGCAAUGGUUUGAGGUGCACCAACUUAGUGUUUUAGGAGGGUACACUAUUUUUUUCUUAACACAUUUAAAAGGUAUGCAACUUCAAUAUACAAAAAUUUUAAUUUUUAAUAAAAUUAAGAGAAAAUCAAUAUAAACAAUUGAAUACAAACUUUUUAUGAAAAUACAUAUUUUUAUUUUAUAUAACUAAAAAUUAAAAAUUUGAACAAAACAAAACUUUAGAAUCACAACCAUGUUUUUAUUUUAUAUAAAUUAAAAAUAUUAAACAUUUCAACCAAGAAGAAAAUUAAAACUAUGGUCAAGUUACAUCCAUAAGAAAAAAGCUAAAACCAUGAUCAUCAAUUUUGAUUUUCACAUGAAAAUUUAAAAAUUUUUAAAAAUAUAAAAAAAUUAAAUAAUAUGACAAUAUAAGAAGAUUUAUAAAAUAAAUAAAUAUUUUAUUUAGGAGGAAUAUAAAAAGUCUUAUAUCCUAAACUUCUAAAUUUGUUAUUAUGUAUUUAUUUUUAUAUUAAAUUUGUUCUUAUUAAUUAUUUAUUAUAUAUUAUUAAUUUUUAUUUAAAUAUCUAUAAAUAAUUAAAAUCAAUAAAUAUGAACAAAUGAAAUAGUGAAAAAAAAUUAAAUUAUAAAAUUUUCAUGAAGCCAAUACAUUAAAAAUAAAUAAAAAAUAAAAAUAAAAAUAAAAAUAAAAGCAAAAAUGUGGAGAUAUUAUGGAGGGAAAAAAAAUCAUGUGACAUAGUAGAUUGUUACAUAUCAAAGUUUUUUUUUUUUUUUUAAACCAACCACGAUUAGCACUUUGACUUAUCAUGUCAAAGUAUAAAAAUAAAAAUUGUGAUAAUUAAUGUCAUGAUGAGAAAAGGGUUAGUCGUUUUGAAAAUACAUGUUUUCAAGACAUAUAUAUAUAUAUAUAUAUAUAUAUAUAUAUUGUGAAAAUAAAAAACCAAUCUCCCUUUUGAAACAGCAGAAACCUUUUGGCAAAAAACCGUGUCUUUCAUUCAUAUUUGCACGAGUAUAAAUACACACAUAUAGACUAGAUUCAAGAAGGAAUUACGACUAUAAUUGUGGGUCUGACUUUUUAUAUAUAGUAGGUACAAAUAUUAUAUGGUAUAACUGCAACUAUUAUAGGAUUGAAUCAGAGGAUGAGUUGGUCAAAGGAUACGAUAUAACUGCAACAAUCACGGGCUUGUCUCAAAGUAUGAGUUGGUCAACUAUUUUCCACAAAGACCACAUGCCGAGAAAUGAACAUUUUUGAGGUGGAUGGGUCAUAACAUCUAUAGGAAUUAUGUGAGAGAAUAGCCAAGGAAAACACAGGGUCGAGACUUGGGAUCCAAUUUAUGGCAUGUGUAGGGUUUUAGCUAGGGGUAACAAAGGCAACCAAAGAUUUUAAGUUCGAGAUAGUAGGGGGAAGGGUGAAAGAGGGUCUCAAAAGGAGAUUUGUUAUCUAAAAGUGGGAUUGGCAUCUGAUUAAUGAGGUAAAUUAUCGUUUGACAGGCAACAGGCCAAAAUUGAAGACGAAUGGAGGCUUGAUGAAGAAGAGUCAAUGUCAUCUCAAGAUUAUGUCUAUGUUGUCUUUCAGCAAUCCCUACAAUUUGUGAAGUGUAUGGAGGAGAAUAGGGGUGUUAAAUUCCAUGUUUUGGAGAGUGUGGGAUGAAGACCUGCAUAUUCCCAGGAUUGGGGUUUUGAAAUAUUUUUCUACUAGUUGCUUGAAGUUUUCAAAAAUACAAGUGGUAUCUGAUUUGUUUUUUAGAGGAUAAAGCCAUAUGUAUUUGGUGAAAUGGCCAACAAAAAUCACAUAAUAUAAAAAAUUAUCAAGGAUGUGAUAGGAGCAAGUCCCCAAAUAUAAUUAUAAAUAAGUUUAAGGGGUUUAGAGCUUAUAAGAGAAGAUGCACCAAAGGAAAGUCAAUGACUUUUAUUACAUAAGCAUGAGUUACAAGAGUCUAGAGACGACUUGGACAUUGAAAGUGAAUGACUUGAGAUGACAUGUCAGAGAAUACGUCGAUUGGGAUGAUCAAGACAACGAUAACAUUUAUUUAAGGAUGUUGGACUGGUGGUGGUGUUGUAGGCCUGAGGUGUGGAGCUUGAGUAGGGAAAAGAAGUCGGACACUCAUACAGAUUUCCCUUAAACGAGUGUUGCCCCCGUGCUCAAAUCCUUCACCAAAAAGUAAGUAGGGAAAAAUUCAAUUGAUGUACAAUUAUGUUUGCAAAACUGAGAAACAAAAAUUAAGUUUUUAUGAAUAGCUGGAGCACACAAAACAUUACCAAACAUAAAAUUUGAAUUUUUAAUAAUUAAAUUAGUAGAAUCGGUAUGAGUGAUAGAAAUACCAUUACCAUCACCAAUAAUUACAUGUCUGUACCACCAUAUUCAGAAUGAAUGGAAAGAUUCUGAAGAUCUGAAGUAAUGUGGUGUGAGGCUCCGGAGUCUAUUACCUAAUUGGCAUUAUGAGUUGGUGGUUCUCGAGCCAUGAAAUUUGCUUGUGGUGUGGAAUAGGAGGAUGGGCGAGACCUGCAGACCCUGGCAGUAUGUCUAGCUUUGUCACAUAGUUGACAAACAACACAGAUUUGAGGGGGAUUGAAUGGAGGACGCCCUUGUGGACCAAGAAAUCUAUUCCCUUGGUUAGGGAACAUGUGUCCAUGAUGAUUCUUGUUGCCUUGAUAAUUAUUUCCAAAUUGAGAACUUUGUCCUUUCUUAUUGUUUGAGUUGUUCCCCUUUUUGCCAAAGUUGUUUGAGCCCUUUUGAUUAAACUGAGUUGUAACAGUAACACUAUCCUUCUUGAAUUCUUCACGUUUUAGGAACAUUUCAUGAUCUGCUAGUUUGUCAUGUAGUUCUUCAAAGGAUAUGGAAGAAUCUCAAGCUCUUAUUGUUGCACUCAAUUCCUUGAACUCAGAUCCUAAACCUUUGAGAACACUUAUCACCAUUUCUUCUGCACCAAGAGGGGAUCCAACAAUAGCCAAUUCAUCAUCGCUCAUAGUUUUGAUUACUGUCAUAUAUUCAACAACAGAUUUAUUUUCUUUGAUGAGUUGGCUCAGCAUCUCUCGGAGUCCUAAGAUCCUAGUCUUCAAUUUGCUGGCAUAUGUGGUGUAUAGACGAGCCCAAGCCUCUUGAGCAAAUGUAGUGGAUGCAACAAGAGGGGCAAUGGUGGAAUCAACUGAUUCCAUGAUAGCAUGCAGAAGUAGGCUCUCUUGGCGUUUCCAAAUUUUGUGCUCCGGAUUGGGUGUGAAAGUGUCACCCAUUUUUAUCAUUUCUAGUGGACUUGGAUAUGUUCCAUCAACAUACCCAAUCAGAUCAUAGCCAUAAAGUAGUGUUGAGAACAUUGUUCUCCAAGAGGGAUAAAUGCUGCUACCGAUGAGUUUCAAGGGGAAGUUGUGUUGCUGCAUUAAUAGACACCAGUGCGGUUGAAGGAGUGUUUCCACAUGACAUGAUGACUCUGUGAUAUGGGAAGGGCCCGGAGGAGUAGGAGUCUUCAGCCAUAGGGAUAGGAAUAAAAGGUGGUUUCAAUGAAGAGACUACAAGAUUUGGGUGGCUGCUGGAAUAGUGACUGUGGAGUUUAUGGCUUUGAUACCAUGAAACAGCAGAAAGAUUUUGGCAAGAAACAAUAUCUUUCAUUCAUAUUUGCAUGAGUUUAUAUACACACAUAUUGACUAGAUUCAAGAGGGAAUUACAGUUAUAAUUGUGGGUCUGCCUUUUUAUAUACAGUCGGUACAAAUAUUAUAUGGUAUAACUGCAACUAUUGUGGGAUUGAGUCAGAGGAUGAGCUGAUCAAUGGAUAUGAUAUAACUGCAACAAUCACGGGGUUUUCUCAAAGUAUGAGUUGGUCACGUGAGCUGUCUAUCACCUUCUUGUUAGAAUAACUAGGGACUCACAUAAAUUAAUAAUUGUUUAUGACUGACUCAUGCCCAAUUGGUGUCUCAGCUGAUUUGUGUUCAGCUGGUGCUCCUUGAUUGAGGAAGUGAUCAACAAAAUUUAUACCUAUAACACCAUACACUAGGGUAGCAAAUACAAAGCUACUAUAGUAUAGUGGCUCUAAGGAUCGUUCACUGGGAAUGAUUUGCAAGCAAUCAAGGAUACCAAUUCCAAGUGAAUUGGUUUUGUUUCAUUUCACGGUUAGCUUAAGGAAUAAAACACAAACUUUGAUUUGUAAAGGUUGAGACUUAAACUAACUAACUUAACAGAAGUUUGGAAUAAUUUAGGAAGAAAAGCAUUCCUUGGAGAUUUAGGUUCACUGGGGUGGUUCCUCAUGCAAAAGACAUAGCUCCGGUCAGAUGGUUCAUUUCCUCGCAUUAGAGAUUCAACUUAUAGUCAAUUCUCUAACCGGUGAUGUACAGAGACUCCUUCAAUUAGAUUUCACUUUAAUUCUCUCACUGAUGUAACUUACAAUGGUUCAUGCCUCUCACGAGCACUUACCAUUCAAGGUGAUCUUUAACCUUGGAUUCCCCUUCACAAACUCGCAAGAGAUAACUAAUGGAUGCCUCCUAAGAGUCCAAAAGCUUACCAAGUGUUGGUAAUUCCAGAAAAUCCUACCUUGAAGUCACCUACCAAAGGCUCGCAAGGGGUAAACUAGUGCAUUUCCACGGUUGGAAAUCACUUGCCUUACCAAGUGUUGGCCCAGGUGACUCCAAAGUGUUUUAAGUUAACUAAAAACAUUGAAAUCACUAAAGGAUUUCACUUCCUCUUCAUUACUAGCUAAAACCACAGAGCUUUGCAUUCUUGCACUUGGAACCUUCCCCGGCAACCUUAGCUCCAAGGAAUUGGAGGUUUAGUUACUCAUUCUCUGGGGAAAACUCCUCAGAGAAUUCAUAACUUAGAAAUAAAAUGAAAAUACAAAGUGAUAAGGUAAGGCAGUAGAAAGAAAAGACCUUUACUUCCUUACCAAAUGGUUACAGAAGGAACUCCUCUCUGAGGACAGGCUCCCGAGAGGUAUUUAUAGCAAACUAAUAUAAAACUAAUUCUUACAAAGAUAUUUGGUCUUUUUACUAACUUAAAAACUAAGGAAUCAUGUAAUUGGUGGUUUACAAGGAGUAUUUUGGAAUUUAGACAACAAAAAUCUAAUGGAAAAUAUCUCCCAAUGUCGGUAGCAAGCUUCGGGAGGCUUCCGGAGCCAUUUCGCAGGAGAAAAGUGAGGUCUGCGAAAUUUCGCAGACACCCAAGAGGGCUGCGAAAUUAUUUCGCAAGACCAAGCUGUCUUCAUAGGGCUACGAAGUUGGCUUCCAUCUUGAAGUUUCCAGCUCCCUUCUCGCGGCAUGGUUCGUGCAUCGUCAGAAGGAGAAACACCUUGCUGUACAAAAGUGCUGCGAAAUUCUCGCAACAAAAGGCCGAUUCCGCAACACUUUAGAGUGACUGGCUUGUAAUGGCUGCAACUUCUUCGUUUCAACUCCAAAUUGCACACCGUUUGAAGCAUUGGAUUGUUGACUUCCUGAGCUUUGAAAUGGUAUAUAGCUUGCAUCAUUUGGACUUCAGAAAGUGCUCCAAAAGUGGCUGCUACGACUGUCAUCAAGAAUAUGCUCCAUGACUGAUCCUCUUUGCUUUUUCUCCUUGCAAUCCGGAUUCACUCUUGGCAAUUGAAUUCUAAGCUUUGCCCAUGAUUCCUCAUAGUUCUCCUCAUUCUUGACUUGCUUUGGUGAUCAAAAUACUAACAAAAACACCAAAACUUGCACAAAGUGAUCAAAAUUGCUUUAAAGGAUCCUUAACAUGCCAAUUGAGUUAAAAGGCCUAAACUACUACUCAAAAGUGUUAAAAAGGAUUAAUUAAAGGCUAUCAAAUAGCACUUUUUGAGUAGUAAUCACUCCCCCCAACCGACAUAUUGCUAGUCCCUUAGCAAUAUAGGAGAGAAAAAUGAAAAUAAAUAGCUAAUUAUACUAAAAUUUACAACAUCAUGCUAAACAAAAUCAAUUCUCAAGUGGCAUGAUGAUCUAUUUCUCACAUGAAUCAUUAAAGAAAUACAAACCCAAAUCUCAACAAGAGUCAUAACACCUAUGCUAACCACUGUCAAUCAAGGGAGUGCAUUAUGCAAACUGAAGUUUUAAAAUCAUUUCACUUUCUGAGAACUAAACUUCGAUCUUCCACAAAAAUCUAUGUGUAUUGGUUCCUUAGGUUCCGAGAAUAAUAUGCUACUAAUCUCACCCCCCAACCUAUCUCUUUUCAACACUUUAGCAAACUGACCAAAAUCAAUAAGAAAAGAACACACUUUCAUCCUUUUUUUUUUUUUUUUUUUUUUUUUUUUUUUUUUUUUUUCAAGGUAGCUUUAUGGGGUACUCUUUCUGACUUGUCCAUGUAAUGGGGGUCCAUCGAUGACUCCCAACCAAUUAAGGUUUAGGGCACCAAGUUUUAAGGAUCUUUCAACCACUAACUCCUCGGAUUUUUCCCCGGACUUUUAAGAAUGAGUUUCUAAUACCCAAGCAUCUACCAUAUGCUAGCUCUACUAUUCACCCUUGUAACGAGCAUUGAGGUCGGUGUCUCCCAACCAAUUAAGGCUUAGGGCACCAGGCUUUAAAGGCUUUCACCAUAUGCCCCUCAGACCUUGCUCGGGUUUCAAGGCAAGCAAACAACUUUCUUUAUUUCAAAGGCUCAUUGGCCUUUUGCAGGGUGUUUCAAUUUUUAUCAAAUGAGGUCAAAUAUACCAAGUCUCAAAAUUAUUCUAAGUCAAGAGGGAAAUAGUUUUUCAUCUUAUAAUCGGAAACUAAUGUGCACAGUGUGUGGAUAGCUUAAAGUAGAAGAACUCAAUUCAAUUUCAGUAGAAGUUUCAACAAUUGAACCACUUUAGUAAGCAUAAUCCAUACUCUAAGUCAAGUGAAAAACAACAGUUCAAUUUCUCUUGGUUUAAUUUGAAAAUUUUUCCUCAAAAUUCAUGGAGAAUAGAGUAACACUAGUAAAAAGUAAAAACUACAACUAAUUAACCAAUAUAAUUGCAAUACCAAAAAGGUUUAGAAUACUUCCUUCCUCAUACCCCCCAACCGAACUGAACAUUGUCCUCAAUGUGAUUUGAGUGACUGUAAUAAAAGGGAGGAAGUGGUACCUCCAUGCUGAUAUCAAAUUCGAAUAUUGAUUGGGGAAAACCACAUGUUUCAAAAAGAAUAGAAUAUGUGAGAAAAGGAAAUAAUAAUAACUUAAUGUUAACUUUUAACAAGAAAUAGUCAACUUGUAUUACUUUGAGUUCAUUUGAUUACAAUACUAAAGACAAGUAACACAAGGAAUCCCAUAUAUAGUACCAAAAUAUUGGGAUUUCAUUGCAACUAAAACAAAAUAAACAUGCAUAAAAACAUAAACAGCAAAUAUAUAUAAUGUCUGAUAAGUGGGGUGAUAGUUGCUAGGCAGAAGGAUCUGCCUCCUCAGUAGGUGGAUCAGCUGGUGCUUCGGGUUCUGGAGGAUGAGACUCUGAAGGCUGAGAGUGUGGCUCUGGUGGAGUAGGAAUGAAGGGCUCUACAGCUUGUGGCAGAUCGAAAUGGACUUGAAGCUGCCUUAGGAUGGCAGCUUGUUGAGCCUGAGAGGCUAACAUCUGCUCCUGGCAUGCUUUGAUGGCUGCCAACUCCUGAGCAAGAUUGCUCUGGGAAGCUGUAAGAGUCUCCAAUGCAUGGCACAGCUCUCGAUAUUCAGAUAUAGGGAUGGCCAUCCUAGGCUCAGCUGAUGUGGAUGGUUGUGAUGGAGCAGGUGCAGCUGGUGGAGCUCGAGGGAUGGCAGGAGUAGCAAGUGUGAUAUCUUCAGGUGCAUGUCUUGGGGAGGCUCUCCUUGCUGCUGGCUGAGGCUGCCCAGGCUGAUCAAUUUUGUAGGCCGUCAUAUUAUUCCAUUUAUCAAGGGUAAAUGGCUCACGGCAUAUUCUCUUUCUUUCCUGCUGAGGCUCAGAGGGGUAUCCGAGAUGUUCCAAAACUUGGCAUAGCAGCCGUGGGAAGAGGAGUGGAAUGCAAUCUGCUCUUUGAAGCUUCUUCUUAUGAACCUUCUCCUCAAAGUAAAGAAGGGCUGCCAUGAUCAGAUGAUGAGGCCCAAAGAAGAAUCCUUCAGACAUCUUGUAUAGAGCUUCCAAGAGAACUCCCCUUCUUUGGGUCCAAUGCUGCAAGGGAUAGAUAUUAUGCCUCAAAAAGGCAUCAAUCAAAAACAUCACUGGAGGUAGCUCCCCCCUCAGCAGGUGUGAUCGAUUUGCAGCUCCUCCAGUUAGGGUGCUAACCAUCUCUAACUCAGUAGGAUUUACCCAAGCUUUAAAAUUGUCAAAUUGGGUUGGCUCAAACGGAAUUUGCAGGGCUUCAGCAAUAUGUCUUGCUCCCAAAAUACCAUGUCUUCCAUCAAUUAUGAAAUGGAUCAGAGUUGGAUUUCUUACCUCUUUGGUUGUCAUGGUCUGGUAGAAGUCUGUGACUACCCGGGGAUAGAAAAAAUCCCUUGGAGCUAGCAGAUGCUCCAUAUGAUAUCUCCUCAGCAGUUGGAAUGAUUGGGCAAGCUCUGGCCUCACUCUAAAUGCUGCUAAAUCGAAGCACAAUUCAGAAUGGAAUGCCCGAGUUCGGCAAUCCAGGUUUCCUUCGAUUGGGGGCUGGGGCAGCAUUGGCCUUCGGAUCACUUCUUCCAGAGGUGCUUCAGCUGCAAUUUGGGGCUCUGGAAUUGGCGCUUGAGGCUCCUGAGCUUUUUCUUGGGGGGCCGGAGAUGGUACCGGCGAUGGAAUUGGAGUUGCUUCUGGUGAGGGAAUUGGCGAGGGAACCGGUGACGGCACUGGAAUUUGUACCGGUGAAGGAUUUGGUGAUUUCUCAGGGGAUUGCUCAGUCAAAUCAAUUGGUUCAGAGCUCUCAACCCUGGCUUUCUUCUUCAAUGGCUGACCACCUGACCUGGUUAAAUAUCGCCUUGCCGGCGGCUUUGGUGGCGCCGGCUUCACUGGAGAAGGUUGUGGUCUCGACGGCGAAGGCUUUGGAGCAGGUUCUGGAACAGAGCCUGAACUUGGCUCCUUUCGCAGACUCCUUUUGCGGUUCGAAGGGGAUGAAGACUUUGCCCCUCGCGUUCGUGCCAUUUUGGAAUAUCGAUCUUUGGCCGGCGCUGCUAAACGGAGAAGACGACCGGAGGUUCGGACGGCGUGGCUUGGCGAAGAAGAUGAAGGGGCUGCGAGAAUGGUGCUCUGAUUUUUGAAACCCUUUUCGCAGCACUUUUGACCGGUAUAAAUAGGAAAAACGGAAGCCCAGGGGUCAGAUUACGUUUCGCAACAAAACGCCAAUUUCGCAGCAACUUGCCAUUUUCGCAGCAACUUCGCAGUGAGUUUCGCAGCUGCGAAAUUGAUGUCACUGUGCUGCGAAGUGGCACUCGUGUGCCAAAUCCACUUUCACAAUUGCGAAAUGCCCUGCGGAAUGGGACUUUUGGUGCGAAAUCACGCUUUUUCAUUUCGCAACGCGUUUCGCAGCUGCGAAAUGGAUGCUACUGUUCUGCGAAGUGGCACUCGUGUGCCAAAUCCACUUUCGCAAUUGCGAAAUACACUCGCAGAGGCUUCUACAGUGCUGCGGAGCGGUUUGGCAACAAAAAUCACAUUUCGCAGAAGUUUCCUUCACUCUGCGAAAUUUCGCAGAGCUCUGUUUUUCCCCUGUUUUUGCUCUGUUUCGGCUCCAAUUUCGACCCGAUUUUUUUUCUUUUCAAUCCCCUUGAAAUUUCUUCCACCUGGGAUCAUAUAACAUGAUUAAAACACACCUAAAAACAUGAUUUAAGAUCAAAAACUAAGAUCAAAAGUAUGAAAACAACUUGAAAAUUUACAAAAUUUACAAAAAUUUUGGACUGUGGUAAAACCACGCCCAGCAAACCCUUUUCACUUAAGCUUUUUGAGGUUCAAGGAGGUUGAUUGCCUCCUUUUCUGAUUUGAAUGACUCCAUGAACGGCUUAAGACGAUAUCCAUUGACUCUAAAGCUAUCCUUGCCAUUGGAAUUCAAUAAGUCCACCACUCCAUUGGAAUAUACUCGGUGAAUAACAAAUGGACCAAUCCACCUUGACUUGAGCUUCCCAGGAAAGAUAUGGAGUCUUGUGUCAUACAUCAAAACUUUUUGCCCUUCCUGAUUCAGUUUGCCUGGAUCCCAUUUGAAGCUUGCAUCCUUCACUUGAGACUUGGUUUGAGAUGAAGAUAUUACGACAGGACAUUGAUUAUUUUCUUCAAGAUAUGUAUAAUUCAGCUCCACAGGUAAAGGCUUCAGAUUGAGUUUUGGAAUUUCUUUUUCAACAGCUGCCUCCUCUUCCUUAUUGAACAAAGGUAAAAUUCCUUCUAUCUUUCUCCAACUUUGUAGAGUAGCAAGCCUAAUAGGAGAUUCAGAAAAACCUUCCUCAAUAUCCUCAAGACUUUCAUUCAACUUGUCUUGCAUAUGUUGAUUGCAGUGCUCCUCCACCAAAGUAUCAAUUAUACAUAGCUCUUCUGGACCUUCUUCUUCUUCCGGAGUGAUUUGCUUUUUAGACAUAUAGAAAAUAUUUAGAUCCAGUGUCAUAUUACCAAAAGUGAGUUGCAUCAGCCCAUUUCUACAAUUGAUGAUUGCAUUUGAAGUUGCAAGAAAUGGCCUUCCAAGGAUGAUAGGAACUAAAUUAGCUUCCUUUACAGUUGGAUCAGUAUCAAGAACAACAAAAUCUACAGGAUAGUAGAAAUUAUCUACUUGAACCAAUACAUCCUCAAUUACUCCUCUUGGAAUUUUCACUGAUCUAUCUGCCAAAGAUAAAGUGAUUGCUGUUGGCUUCAACUCUCCAAGGCCCAGUUGCUUGUAGACAGAGUAUGGAAGCAAAUUCACACUUGCUCCCAAGUCUAGCAAGGCUUUCUCCACUACCUUUCCUCCAAUCAUGACUGAAAUGGUAGGACUUCCAGGGUCUUUAUACUUCAAAGGAGACUUACACUGUAAGAUUGCACUUACUUGCUCAGUCAAGAAGGCUUUCUUGUUUACAGUCAACCCUCUUUUGAUAGUACACAAGUCCUUUAGGAAUUUUGCAUAUGUUGGAACUUGUUUGAUCAUAUCCAGUAGUGGAAUAUUAACUUUCACUUGCCUCAAUACUUCUAGGAUUUCAGCUGCAUUUCUAACCCCCUUUUUCCCCUGUAAUGCUUGAGGAAAAGGUGGAAAAGUUGAUUUAUUCAGCAUUUCUUCCUUCAGAAGCUCCUUCUCUGGAAUUACUUCCCUUGUUGCAUCAGAGUCCUUCUUCUCUUCACUGAUCUCACUGCCUUUAUCUUCCAUUUCCUUCCCUUUCUUCAUCUCUUCUUCUUUCUCAACAUGUGGCUUGGGUGUUGGAUGCUCAAUUUUUUUACCACUCCUUAGAGUGAUCAAAGCUUUCACAUCUUUCACCUGUGAUGAUUCUCCCUCAUGGCUUUCCACUUCAUGGACACCUUUGGGAUUUUGGUUAGGUUGAGAAGGAAAUCUUCCUUUUUCUUGCAGUGUAUUCAAAUUUGUAAGCCUGGAGAUUGAAUAUUGGAUGUUAUCAAACUUUUGAUUCAUGUCAUUUUGCAUUCCAUCCAUUCUUUUGUUCAACAUACUCUCCAUUCUGUCCAUUCUUUGAUCCACUCGAGCAUUGGUGGCUUCUUGCUUUCCCACAAAAUCUCCCACUACCUUGUUGAGAUUGGCUAUUAUUUGUUCAAUACUUGAAGAUUGCUGAGAUGGUGGAUCCGGCUGUUGGUAUUGAGUUGCUCUGGCCUUCCAUGAGAAAUUUGGAUGAUUCCUCCAACUAGAAUUGUAGGUAUUUCCAUAAGGAGCAUUGUUAUUGGGCCUGAAUUGUCCAACAACAUUUGCUUGAUCUCUAUACAUUUCCCUUUCAACUGAAAUUGCAGGGCACUCCUCCACCAAAUGUUCAAAUGAUUGACAAUUGGGACACAGCUUCACUUGCACUGGUGCUUCAGCAACAGCUUGCACUUCAUGCAUUCUUUUCAGCUCCAGCUCCUCCAAUCUUCUUGUCAUAGCUGCCAACUUUGCUUUCAUGUCAUCAUCUUCUUUCAAAUUAUACAUCCCAGCCUUUGCAUUGUAAGCAUUCAACUGAGACUUCAUCUUUCCCACUUCUCCUUUGGUUGGUUCAUCCCAUCCCCUUGAAACAUCAGCUACAUAGCUCAAGAAAUCCAUAGCUUCCUCUGGAUUUUUGCUCAUGAAAUCUCCUCCACACAUUGUCUCGAGGAGUUNNNNNNNNNNNNNNNNNNNNNNNNNNNNNNNNNNNNNNNNNNNNNNNNNNNNNNNNNNNNNNNNNNNNNNNNNNNNNNNNNNNNNNNNNNNNNNNNNNNNAACUUAUAGUCAAUUCUCUAACCGGUGAUGUACAGAGACUCCUUCAAUUAGAUUUCACUUUAAUUCUCUCACUGAUGCAACUUACAAUGGUUCAUGCCUCUCACGAGCACUUAUCAUUCAAGGUGAUCUUUAACCUUGGAUUCCCCUUCACAAACUCGCAAGAGAUAACUAAUGGAUGCCUCCUAAGAGUCCAAAAGCUUACCAAGUGUUGGUAAUUCCAGAAAAUCCUACCUUGAAGUCACCUACCAAAGGCUCGCAAGGGGUAAACUAGUGCAUUUCCACGGUUGGAAAUCACUUGCCUUACCAAGUGUUGGCCCAGGUGACUCCAAAGUGUUUUAAGUUAACUAAAAACAUUGAAAUCACUAAAGGAUUUCACUUCCUCUUCAUUACUAGCUAAAACCACAGAGCUUUGCAUUCUUGCACUUGGAACCUUCCCCGGCAACCUUAGCUCCAAGGAAUUGGAGGUUUAGUUACUCAUUCUCUGGGGAAAACUCCUCAGAGAAUUCAUAACUUAGAAAUAAAAUGAAAAUACAAAGUGAUAAGGUAAGGCAGUAGAAAGAAAAGACCUUUACUUCCUUACCAAAUGGUUACAGAAGGAACUCCUCUCUGAGGACAGGCUCCCGAGAGGUAUUUAUAGCAAACUAAUAUAAAACUAAUUCUUACAAAGAUAUUUGGUCUUUUUACUAACUUAAAAACUAAGGAAUCAUGUAAUUGGUGGUUUACAAGGAGUAUUUUGGAAUUUAGACAACAAAAAUCUAAUGGAAAAUAUCUCCCAAUGUCGGUAGCAAGCUUCGGGAGGCUUCCGGAGCCAUUUCGCAGGAGAAAAGUGAGGUCUGCGAAAUUUCGCAGACACCCAAGAGGGCUGCGAAAUUAUUUCGCAAGACCAAGCUGUCUUCAUAGGGCUACGAAGUUGGCUUCCAUCUUGAAGUUUCCAGCUCCCUUCUCGCGGCAUGGUUCGUGCAUCGUCAGAAGGAGAAACACCUUGCUGUACAAAAGUGCUGCGAAAUUCUCGCAACAAAAGGCCGAUUCCGCAACACUUUAGAGUGACUGGCUUGUAAUGGCUGCAACUUCUUCGUUUCAACUCCAAAUUGCACACCGUUUGAAGCAUUGGAUUGUUGACUUCCUGAGCUUUGAAAUGGUAUAUAGCUUGCAUCAUUUGGACUUCAGAAAGUGCUCCAAAAGUGGCUGCUACGACUGUCAUCAAGAAUAUGCUCCAUGACUGAUCCUCUUUGCUUUUUCUCCUUGCAAUCCGGAUUCACUCUUGGCAAUUGAAUUCUAAGCUUUGCCCAUGAUUCCUCAUAGUUCUCCUCAUUCUUGACUUGCUUUGGUGAUCAAAAUACUAACAAAAACACCAAAACUUGCACAAAGUGAUCAAAAUUGCUUUAAAGGAUCCUUAACAUGCCAAUUGAGUUAAAAGGCCUAAACUACUACUCAAAAGUGUUAAAAAGGAUUAAUUAAAGGCUAUCAAAUAGCACUUUUUGAGUAGUAAUCAAUGACUAGGCUAUCUAUACAUAUUUCAAUUUAUAUUUAUUAAGUACGAGUCACCUUGUGAGUAGAGCCCAAGUCACAUGUCUUACAUGAUGGGCCUAAAACACAUGAUGGGCCUAAGACACAUGUGGCCCAACAGCCCAAUGGGUAUGCUCUCCAACCUCCCAUCACAAGAGAGAAAACAGAAAAGUGGUUUCCUCCUCUAUUGCCUUAGAAGAACCAUAUUUCUUCAAAAUCAACAAUGGAUUCGCGUUUGUCUACAUUCUCUAAUCUAAUCGACAUGUUUUUUUUAUUAUUUAACAUGAGAUUUCUGGUUUUGGGUUGAUAAAGAAUUUGGUAAUCUUUAAAAAUGUUUUACAACACUUCUAUCUAUGGGGCAUGAUAUCUUUAUAGACUACGCAUCUGAUCAACUUUGUGGCAUGUCUCAUCCAACUUAUUUUAAUGCUUGUUUAUGUGACAUGAUACAAUGGAAUGGUAGUUAAAAACUCUUUUAUUUCUUUAAUACAAGAACACGUCUCUAGUCCAAAACAAAAGAAAACAAAUUGGAAACAUGUCUUUCCAGCCCUCAGGAAGGGAUUUAAACCGGAAAUAUUAACGAUACAUUUUCAAAGCAUACUUAAAGCAAACACUCCUCUCAUAUUACCAAUGCAACACGAUUCAAAAGCCCUUUUAUUCUACACGAAACUUCUUUCUGAUCCACAAGACAAAGCCAUGGACCUUCUGUGGGUCUUCGAUGGGAAGACCCCCACACAUGAUGUUCCCCUUUUACUCUAUACCAAGCUUCUUCCUCAUCUCCAUGACAAAGCCAUGGACCUUCUGUGGGUCUUUCAGAGAAGACGACACACUCUCCUUUUCCUUGCACCUCUUGGUCCAAGCGAUCAACUUGGGGCACUCCACCUCUAUGCUGAAGUUACCAAAGCUCUCAUACGCAUAAAACAAGGUUGAGAAAGUCACCAGAGCCACAUCCACAAACCCAAAUUUCUCACCACCAAAGUAAGGCUUCUCUCCAAGCUCUCCUUCCAAAAUCUUAAGGUACUCUAUGAAUUCAUUCUUGGCUGUUUCCUGCUCUUCUCCUUUGGUUGACCAUAUCCUCCUUCCAAGUUCAUAGAGCUGUGGAAAGUAAUGGAGUCAAAGAGAGAAAAGGCUUGUUUUUUUUGGAGCAUUUCAUCAAGUUUCAAACUUUCUGUAUAGUUGGACAAGUUUAUUAACGACCCUUCAGCAUAGAAAUCUCGUAUCCUAGGAAAAAUAUCAGAAUCAGCUGAAAGAAUGUAUCAUUUGCUAAAGUUUUUCCCCUCAAUUUGGGUUAAAGAAAUGAGAAGAAAGAGAUCAAAAAGACAGAACACAUAUUAAAACAACUGUUGUGCAAAAUGUUGAACAGAAGGAUAACAAAAAACCAAAAUCUGUUCUUUAAAAUCUGGUUUAUGUAUCCCCUUUCUUGGGGGAAAACGUAUUCUUGAGAUCUGCUUUUUUGGAUGGAACGAACAGACUUCGGAUUCAACAGAACAAAGAAAUAAAAACCCAUAUCAGAAAUGCAGAGUGGAGUCUUGUUGAAGAAACAGCAAAGAGAAUCAGUAAAGUUCUAGUUUGGGACACCAAAGCCAACAAAACUAAAUAUCAGAAGAGAAUAUGUGAAGAACCAGAAUUUUGGAUAAAUCCCUCACCAUAAUCAAAAUGUGAGUCAAUCGCCAUGAAUCAAUGGAAAAGAAUGCUUUAAAUCAACAGAAAAGGCAUACCUUCUUGUCUAUGUAGUCCGCCCAGAACCUGGCCUGAGCUCUCUGGUAUGGGUCACUAGGCAACAAGGGAGAUUUUUCGUUCCAAACCUCAUCAAUAUACUGAACUAUUAUCAUAGACUCACAAAUGGGCUUUCCAUUGUGGAUCAGAACUGGGAUUUUCUUAUGAAUCGGGUUCAUCUCAAGAAGCAGAGGACUCUUGUUGCUCGUGUCCUCCUCUCUAUAUUCAUACUUGAGACCCUUCUCUGCCAGGGCAACUCUGACCCUCAUACCAAACGAGCUAGGCCAGAAAUCCAACAAGAUAAUCUCGUCUGCCAUUGCUACUACUGUGAUUGAUAAGAUUCAAACUCAAGCAUUGAUGAACUCAAGGGAAAUUGUUAAGUAUUUAUAGCAAACUUCAGAGACGUGGGUUAGAUACUUCUAGGAGGUGAUGAUGCUCAUUCCCUAGCUUUCAUUUUCAUUUUCCUUAAUUAUAUUCUUAUCUCCGAUUCGUAGCUCUCCAGGAUUCCCAUAUUUUGAGUUUAUUUAUUUAUAAGCCAAGUGUUUUUAAUUAAAUAUAAUGCUUUCGAAAUUCUUUGAAAAUUAGAAAAAAUAGUCAUAUUUGAUCAUUUUAAUUUUACUACUUACUUUUAAAUCCAAAAUAGAAAGAAAUUUAGUGUUAUUUUGAAAAUUUAGUGUCAUUGUUACAUUUUUUAUUGCCAUUUUAUGAUUCAAAUUAUCCAUUUCUUUGAUGUUGCUUCUCCCUAUCCAUUUUCGACAUUGGGAUUAAAACUAUUCACUAAAAAAUUGAUUGAUAUAAAAUUACAUUAAAUUUAAAUUAAAUUCAGAUUGACGGAUUAUUUGUCACUAUGCAUGUCAUGUUGCUUGCAAAAACUAUCCAUUCGAUCUCCUUUGCGGUGGUGAUCGCGACAACAAAAACAUGGAAGGAAAGGAAAAACCUUAAUGUUGUUAGCAAGAAAUGAAAGAAUUGGGAGGUUGUGAAGUCUACUUAUGAUCUUAUGAUCUUGUCAAAUAUGAUCAUCAUACAAUACUUGGUAACAUUUAAUUAAAAUAUAUAGUAUUUUUGAGUGACAUUCCCUGCUUAUUACCAACAUAUGGUAGUCACUAAAACCAAUGUCUUUAGUAUAUUUCUUAAUUUAAAACAAUAAAAAGUUAUAAAAAAAUAAUAAAAUGAAAAAUAAAUUUAAAUUCAAUUAACAUUUCUUACAUGUUUCAACAAGACUAUCUCUUUUCUUUUCUUUUUUUUCUAUUCUACAUAAAGAUUGAAAUUUUUUUAUUAUAUUUGAUUUUAUUUUAUACCUUUGAACUAAAGAGAAUUUAGAUUUCUUUCCAUCUCUAUUUUUUUUCUUCAUUUAGUACUUUUUGUAAUCCAAUGGGCUAAAUAUAUUUGUUGCUAGAAAAUUUUACAUUCUCCGUAUUAAAAUUAUGAUCAUCACUACUAGCACUCAAGUAAAAUCUCUCACAAGAAAUAUGUGUAUUAUAAGAAACUAUCGGUUGUAGGAAUUACUCACUAAUUGGUUAAUAAGUAUGGCAAUCUUAUCUUAACACUCAUGGUAGGAUUUUACAUUCCAGUAUGGAAAAAAAACAAGUGACAAGAAAGGAUCACGUACGGAAGAUGCCCAAGCAAGUUCUUGUUGUUUGGUCUAUAUUUUUGGAAUUUUCUUUUUUCUUCUUUCAUGAUUGUGGGCUGUAGUAUAAAAACAUUACUUCUCAACCCCUUUUUCUUCUUUCAUGAUUGUAGCAUAGUUAGAAUCUUAAGAAUCCUUGCUUUGUUGCCUUCUCAUUUGUGAAAAUUUUCAAUAGUAUUAAAAACGAAAGUCAAUGGGUAUUAACGGUGUUACGAUAUUCUUUCCUUUUUUUAAUGGGUAUUGAUUUUGUCCUAAAUCAAACUUCCAAUUCAGACCAUUCAAAUGCAUAAUGAAAUCUAGGUCAUUGGGUCGGGCCGCCCAUUCCGUGGCUCGACACGCCACAAGGUCAGGCGGGGCCAUUACAGGCCAACACUGUAGCAAGCUGGGCUAGCAUGACCCAAAGGAGCAGGCCAUGCUAGGCCUAAAGAAAUAGCCCAUCGGCCCAUCGUGUUGGCCCACUUGGCCCUUUUAAAUUUCACUUUUUACUUUUAACUUUUUAUUACAUGUCAAAUGUCUAUAAUACCCAUCUCAACAACUAUAUUACGACUAGUUUGAGGGGUAAAAAAAGUAAAUCAAUAACUAUUUUUACUUUUUUUAUGUCAAACUUUAGAGGAUGAACUUAAAGAAGCCUUCAAGAAAUUGCAUCUCAAUGCAAACAAUGAUGUUCAAGAGAUUUAUGAUGAUUGAAGAUGAAAAAAUAAGAAUGAAGAUUGAAUAAGAAGACAAAAGUGAAUAUGAUAAUUGAAAAAUUAUAUGUUGUUCGUUUCUUUUAAAUCUAUUAAAUGUAGUUAAUUUUUAAAGGUUAAGUAAUGCAUAUGAUUGAUAGUUGGGUGGGUGUCAACCUGGAUGGGAUGUACUCAAACUAUAAUGACGCAAUUCUCACUUUUGUUUUUUUUUUCUCCUUAUUUUUUCAUGUAAUUUGUUGAAAUAUAGAAUAAAAGAAUUAUUUUUUUAUAUUUCAUUUCCUUUUAUAUUCCAUUAUUUUAAAUUUAUUGUUAUUUUGAUUUUAAAAAAAAUAAACAAAUUCAAAUAUAAUUUUUUUACUAUUUUUAAAAACAAAAAACUAACAUUUCUAUAAAUUUUACAAUUACAAACUCAAUAAAUAUAAAUGUAAAAAAUAAAAAGUAUAAUUAUUAGAAGUGUAUAAAAAAUAAUAUAUAUAAUUAUUAGAGGUGUUUCAAGUAACAAAAAGAAAUUUUAUUUAAUAUUAAGGAAAAAACUUAAGAAAAAAUGACUUAAAAAAUUAAAUUAAAAUUUUUAACAAAGUGAGUGGCCCAUGGGCCAUGGCCCACCGGCACAGCACGGCCUGACCCAGCACGACACGAUUAGCCCACGGACUUAUGGGUCAUGCCAAGCCACCUAUUUGGCUUGCAUGGGUCGGCCCAACCCAACACAUUGGCCCGUAAUGGCCCGAUCAAUAUUAGGCCAUGUCGGCCCAACACGACCCAUUGGGCAUCUCUAUAUACAAGAUUGAAAACCCUUCUUAUCAUGAGAUUUUUCAAAUCCGUUAUUUAUCUUUCAAAGUAAGACUUGUUUGCUAAAAAAAUUGCUCUCUUAGUCUUUAUUUUUGAACUAUCCAUAUCCAAAUAGGGGUUUCCUCCUUAUCUAAGGAGGAGAGAGCCUGAAGGACCAUCCUAGGUAUGGUGUAGUAGCUUGGAGAAGCAUCUAUACCAAAAUCAAAAUGAUAGUUCCAAAUGAAUAAGAUUCUCAUUAGCAACAACCAAUUCAAAUAUAUAAUCUUGGAAAAAUCUUUUCAUGAAAAUUUACUAAGAAUACCAAAACAUUUUUCUUUAGGUUUGAAUACUUAUUUUGGUAACCUUCUUAAUUAUAAAUUAUCUAUUAUGAAUUUUCAAAAUUAACUUAUUUUCUUUAAAUCCAAACCUUGUGCAAAAUAAGAAAAAUAUUAUUUUAUAAAGAUUUGGAAAAACAAGAGUUUUUUUAUUAAAAGAAAGAUUUUAUUCUUAGAGAUCUCGAAGAUCUAAGAAAAUUUUAAAUAAAAUUAAAAUCAUUAAGAAUUAAUUUUUAAAAGGAAUGGAAACUCUUAAUUCUUUUCUAACUUAUCUUUUCUUAAAAUAAAUUUCCUAACAAUACACAUUCCAAUUUAAAUAAGUUUUCCUAUUUUGAAAAACUCCAUCAAAAUUUAUAUCUAAUUAAGAAUACCAAAUUAUCCUAUUUUAGGUCACAUAUGCAAGUAAUAAAGAUAACAUAAAAUAAAAACAAGGAAAUAAUUAAAUAAAUAUUUCUCAUGAACUUUAGGGAUCCUAUUGCAUAUUUGGUAAUUAAAAAUUGGAUAAAAUUCAAAUUAUCAAAAUAUUCUUGCAACCAAAGAUUAGUUAGUAAAAAUUGAAAAAACUCUAAAAAGUUGAAUUUCCACAAAAAAAAAAAAAAAAAAAAAAACCUAAAAAAGAAGCCCAAAAUCAAGCCCAAAUAACCGAAAACAAUUUGGCCUGAACUCAAUUCAGAAAUAGCAUGCUCUUUGCACAACCUUACUACAAUUGACUAUAUAUUCCUCAUUUCAACUCCGAAUAGAAAAUUGUUUGAAGCAUUGGAUUCCUGACUUCCUAAGCUUCAAAAUCAUAUAUGAUUUGUUCCAAUUUUGAGUCAAAUUAGGAUCUAAAUCAAGAACUUCCAAGAAUCUUUCUUUUUUCUUAAGUCACCAUAGGAUCUCAAAAAUGAAAAUUUAAGAAUUUUUCCUUUCCUUUUGGGUCACCAUAGAUGGAUGAAAAAAAACAAAUUUUUUUACAACCAAAAAAAUAAAAAUAAAAAUCUUAUACCCCUCAUGGGGUGUACAACCCAACCUAGAGAAUAAAAUAGCAAAGAUCAUAUCCAUUCAUAUUCAUUCAUUCAAUUGAAUUAAUAAAAGCAUUUCAUUGAUUCAUCCUUAGGGUCUAUGAGAUGAAUAAAAAAACAACCCUGCAAAAUAGAUGUGAGCGCAACUUAGAAUAAAUCUAGCAUGCAAGUGUAGACCUUCCAUUUGUUCCAUUAGCACAUGCCCUAUUAAGUGCUCUUUUCAUACUUUGCAAUAGUCUCCUUUGGUGGCCCAUUUUCUACUCACACAACUUACCUUUUUUAGCCAUCUCAAAGACUCUAGUUGAGAGAUUUAUCUAGCCCCUCAUUGUGAGUGACCCUUGGCAACCCCAAGUUAGAUCUAGGAUUUUCUUUUUCUCUUUUUAUAAUAGCUCCUUUUUAAGUGCUCCUUUAGGACAACAUACUUAGACAUAUUCAAGUACACUUCUUAGGUCACUUAAACACACCCUAGGUCACCUAAGCACCUUCUACCUUAUAUAGACUCACUCUAGGUCACUUAGGCACUUUAUAAACUCACAUUAGGUCAAUUAGGCACUUUUAUGAUCACCUUAGGCCACUUAGGCACUUUUCUUAUCACUUUGGGUCACUUAGCACUUUUUUUUAUCACCUUAGGUCACUUAGGCAUUUUUUUUUAUUAUCUUAGGUCACUCAAGCGCAUUUUUGAUCACCCUAAUCCACUUAAACACAUCCUAGGUUACUUAAGCACUUUUCUUAUCAUCCUAGGUCACUUAAGCCCAUCUAGACACAUCUAGCCCAUUAAGACACACUCUGACUUAUUUAGACAUGCCUUAGUUAAUCUAGGCACAUCUAACCUAUUUAGACAUACCUUGAUCCAUAUAAGCCUAUUUGGUUCAUCUAGGCACACUUAGCCCAUCUAGGCACACCUGACCCACUUAGGUACAUACAUACUCGUCUAAGCACACACCGGUCCAUCUAGGCACACACCAGCCCAUCUAGGCACACCUUGACCCAUCUAGACACACCCUGGCCCACCUAGGGUUACUUGAGCCCACCUAGGUCACCUUUUAGGUAAUUUUUGCUUGCAAGACAUCUUUUUCUAUUUAGUAAUUUAUUUUAUUUAUUAUUUUGUGUAUUUUCUUUCUUUGUUUUUUAGUUUUUUUUUUUUUUUUAUAUUAACAUUGUAACACCUUUUUAUUCAUUUAUUAAAUCUAAUAUUUUUUGUGCUUUUGUAGGGAAAAGUUUGGAUAGGAAAGGAUCCUCUUUUGGAGAGAGAGAACUAGCCAUCUUUGAAGAUCACAAACAACCUCCUGAUAAGAUGAAAAGUUUUAGCUAUAUAUAGGGACUAGUUUUGAAAACUUGAAGAUAUACAAAUAAUGAAAGAGGUGCAUCACAUUAAGAGUCUAGAGAAGAAAGGUUUUUUUACAUAAGAAUGUAAAAAGAUAUGGAGGUAAGAGGGAUUUGGAAUAUAGUUGGUUGCUACCUUGGUUUUGGAAAGAGAUACUCAGCCAUAAUGGGCUCUUAGAAAGUCCUUGAAAGGUUAGAAUUCCGCAUAGGGAUUUUGAGGUUUUUUUUAUUUUUUAUUUUUAGGGGAUUAUGCUGGUUUUCUAGAGGGAAUAUCCAACAAUGUAAAAAAGAGGAAUCAUGUAGCGGUUUUUUUGGGAAGGAAGAUUUUAACAUGCAAAAGGGAGGUUCAGUUGCGGUCUUUGAAAUAAAAUCAUUCAGAGCGUGUGACGAACGAAAAAAGGAGAUUCGGUCCGUGGUGAGGAUGAGAGAUACAGUCCGCGUUUUGAAGACGUUUCGGGAGGGUUUUGAAAGAAUAUGGAGAUAGAGAGAUAUUCAACUCAUUUUGGGAGCACAUUCAGGCCGUGUUCUGGGGAUAUUCAGAGCGUGUUUUGGAGUCACAUUCAAGCCGUGUCUGAGAGUAAGAGGGAGCGUGUUUUCGAGGGUCACAUUCAGUCUGUGUUUUGGGAUCAUUGAGAACACGUUUUGGUUCCCAUUAGUAUGCAUCUAGUACAAAUUGAACCUACCAAUUCGCCAAUUAUGAGUUGGGCGCUUUAACCAUUCAGCCAUGGAUGCUUAGUGGGGAUCCUCGUACAUGGUGAAUAACCAAAUUCUAAUUGAAAUGAAAUCUUUAGGAUAAAUCAAUGUAAUUUAGGAGGAAUAAUGAAAGGACAUCAAUUCAAAUCUUGGAUUUUCAAAUUGAGAGAUAUUGAGAGAGAUCAAUAAUUCUCACUAUUUCUUAGAUUCAUGGACCCAAUUCACUUCAGUGGGAUAUUUCAUUCAUAUUUUUUUCCACCAAGAGAGCACAUUCAGGCUGUGGUCUGAGGGGAAGAUAAGAGAAGGUAAGAAAGGUAUCAUUUGGACAUUGUUUCAUUUUGAAAAUUUGUUUUGACUUUGUUAGUUUUUUGCGGAAUUUUGGAAUUAGGAUUAGAGAUAAGGGUGAUUUCUUUGAAAGUUUGAAUGAUUUUAAUAUCUGGACCUUUUGCUUUUAUUCAUGUUAUUUCAUUAAAAGCUUCAUCUUGAAAAUUUUGGUUAUGCUUUAAAUUUUUUUGGUUCUGAUUCAUGUUAUUAGAAUGUUAUUUCAUUAAAAGUUUCAUCUUGAAAAUUUUGGUCAUGCUUUAAAAUUUUCUGUUUAUGAUUUAUGUUAUUAGAAUGUUAUUUUAUUAAAAAGUCCCAUCUUGAAAAGUUGGUUAUAUAAAAAUUUGGUUAGGUUUUAAAUUUUUCGGAACAUAUUUCAUGAUAUUAGAAUGCUAUUUCAUUGAAAGUCUCAUCUUGAACAUUUUGAUUAGGUUUUAAUUUUUCUAGUUACUAUUCAUCUUAUCAAAAUGCUAUUUUCUUAAAAGUCUUAUCUUGAAAAUUUUGGUUUGGUUUUAAAUUUUCUAGCUAUCAUUCAUGGUGUUAGAAUGCUAUUUUAUUAAAAAUCUUACCUUGCAAAGUUUGAUAAUUUUAACGUUUAUAGGUUAUUCCCAUACUAUCAAAAUUUUCAUGUUUCAAUGAUUAGUUCUUAGGGUUUUUUUAUAUUCUCUAUUUAUUAUGCAUGUUAGUUGAUUGGGUUAUUGGAUUAAAUUGGCAAUGGUAGUUUUUAGGGGUUUUAGAUUCUCUUGUUACUAUGCAUGUUAUUUGAUGGGUUUAUUAGAUUAAAAGUUCUUAUCUUUGGAAACGGUAGUUCUUAGGUUUUUAGAUUUUUCUUGUUAUUAUGCAUGAUUAUUUGAUUGGGUUGUUGAAUUAAAAGUUGUCAUAUUUAGAAAUGGUAGUUCUCAAGUUUCUAGAUUUUGAUGUUAUUAUGCAUAUAAUUUGAUUGGGUCGUUGAGUUAAAAGUUCUCAUCUUUGGAAGAACCAAAUGAAUCAACCCAAGCUCUAAAGAAAAAUCUAAUAAAAAAUUCUUUUGAACUUUAAAAUGGGUUGGAGUUUCCUAGGAAACAAACACACCCACUCUUUGAAUGGAAGAGGAACUCAAUGGAGUUUGUCUGACUGUUGUAGGGGAGGUGUUCCCCUAACCCUAAAAAUCAAUUUUUGGUUCAAAUAGGUAAGAAAACCCUUAGGAAAUGUAAAUUUACAACCACAUGAAGUAUCAUUCUUAAUGCUACUUCAAUUUUGAGUCAAAUAAAUUUGAGUAAAAAUAAGACCAAAAUACCUACCAUGUCCUUGACUAAUUCAAAGGUCAACCUAUUCCAUAUAUUAAUGAACAACAAAUAAAGAAUGCUUGCGAUUUCUCAAAUAAUUCAAAGGCAAGACUUGACUCAAAGGAGUCAAAUGACACAUUAUUUUCUCAUAUGCAUCAUGACAAUAUUUGACACACAGAGUCAAUUGGCAUGUCUAUAUCAAUUUUUUUUUUAGUGCAAAAUGGAAUGGUGGUUAAGAACUUUUUUACCUCUUUAAUACAACUAAUACAAACAAAGCAUAUAUCAAAGUCUCACAAGAAAAAGCAAGGUAAAGCUCAUAAGCUUAUUGUGUGAACAAGUUGACAAAACAUGAAGGCCAAAAGUUUUGGCAUUACGAGGUCCAUUGGGAGGGCCCUACAAAUGCACAUUACAUUUGACCCAAAUUCUUCAAAUUUGCUUUUGAAAAGUUUAUCCAGUUAAAAUGACUACUAGCAUUGAAUAUAAAUUAAAUCAUUUAAGAUUAUCUUUUGCCAAACAUAUUAAUUAUAAAAUAAAAAAUCGUUAUAAAAGUGAUUUAAAAACCAUGCCCUAUCACAUUCUAUUCAUGGAGAAUGAUGUAAUCAUGCAACAACUAAAAAAUCCAAAAAAAAAUUUAAAGUUUUAAAUUUAAAAUUUUAAAGUACAUAGAAAAAUUAAUUCUAGAAACAUGUAUUUCAAUAGUGAAAUUAUCAAAAUUUUAAAAUUACACUGUAACCCUCGAUCUCAUUUCGCAAUUAAUUACUGCAAAAAAAUUUUAUUUUUUUCUUUUUACUUUAAUGUGACAAGUUAAAGAGCAAGUCAUUGUUGUCUUUUAAAAAACGAAAAGAAAAAAAAAUUGACUCAUGGUAACCAACCAUGUCAUAUGAUUUUUCUUUUUUCUUUUUCCUCUCCUUCGUAAUAUCUUUACCUUUCUGUUUCUUAAUUUCUAAUGUGUUGACUUCAUGAAAUCUUUUUAAUUUCAUUUUUCAUUAUUUCAUCUUCUACAUUUAUCGAUUUCAAUUAUUUAUGGAUAUUCUAGACACAAAAUAAAAAUAUAUAAUAAAUAAUUAAUGAAAACAAAUUUAAUAUACAAAUAAAUUCAUAAUGAACAAAUUUAGAAGCUUAGGACAUAAGAUUUUCUAUAUUCCUCCUAAAUAAAAUAUCUAUUUAUUUUAUAAUCUUAUUGCAUUGUCAUAUUAUUUUAUUGUUUAUAUUUUUAAAAAAAUUGUUAAAUUUUUAUGUGAAAGCACCUUUGAGUAGUAAUCAUAUUCAUUUAACCCAAUUAAUUCAUUAAGGUCCUUGGUAAUUGGUUUUAACCAUUUUGUGGCAAGUUUACAUGUUUUUAUCAGCUUAUGAAUCAAUUCAAGCAUGCCAAAUGAUGGAGGAGCUACUUGGACAAGUUAUGGCAAAGCCUUUGGAAGCUCAAAUUCAUGAAGAACCAAGCUUUGGAGCUCCAUAGCCCUUUGCCAAAGUCGUUCAAAGUAUGCAAGGAAAGAACAAUGGAAAAGAGGAAAAGCAAGCAAAGUGAAGAGAAGUAAAGAGGACAGCAGCUGCAAUCUUCUUUCGCACUUUUGGAGUACUUCCCGAAGUCCAUUUUUUACAUAAUAUAUACCAUUUCAAAGCUCUGGAAGUCAAGAAUCCAACGCUUCAAACCGUGUACGAUUUGGAGCUGAAAUGAGGAAGAUAUGGCCUUCGAAAGCCAACUGCUCCAGGUUAUGCGAAAAUUUCGCAUAACACCUUCAAAAUUCGCAUAACCCAUGCGUGUUACGUUUUACACUGAGAAUAUAUACAGAGCUCUCUCGUUUCUCUUUUCUCUUUGCUAUUUUAUUUUCUUGGAAGCCAAACAGCCUCUGAGGGCUUUUCCUCAGAGGAUGAUUGGCUAAAACUUUUAGUUUCUCAAAGUAUGGAUGUUAUGUGAUGACUUGGAUGCAAUCACAUGGAAAUUUCUCGCACCCGGAAGGUAAGGUAGUCGUUUUUCAUUAAAGGUUAAUUAAUGCAAAGUUUGGUUUUUAUUUCCUUUGGACAACUUCCAACGGCCAAUACUUGAUAAGCUUUUGGAUUUCUAUCCAUUAGUUAUCUCCUACGAGCUAUUGGAAGGUGAGGUUUUCAAUUCCAAGUUUUGCAUUAAUCCGUUAGAACCAAUUUCAAUGGCCAUUGAAAGGUGAGUUUAUCACUUGGAAUGACUUUGAGUUGCCAAUAUUUGGUAAGCUUUUGGCUUUAGACCAUUAGUUAUCUCUUACGAGCCAUUCAAAGGAAGUCUAAGGUGAAUAACAAUUGAUGAAAUUCACUACCAUCUGUUUUGCCAUUUUAAAGGAUUAAAACUUGAUUUGCUAAAUCCAUACCGGUUCGGGAAGCAAGCAUCACCAUAGUUGCAACCCCAACUCGAGGAGCCUAUCCUAAGAUUUCCAAUUUGCAUAAGAGCCAGAGCAUAGCUCUCCUAUCUUUGAGAAACUUGUUUUUACACCCUUUCAUUUUAGUCUUUAAUGUUAGCUUAGAUUAGUUUAAAUCUUUCUAAAACAUUUACAUCUUCUUUUAAAGCUAACAUCCAUAAGAAAAUCACCUAUUUUCCUAAUUUGAAUAUCACUAGUGUUUGCGAAAACCCUUCCCAGUGAACGAUCCUAGAACCACUAUGCUAUAGUAGCUUGGCUACUUUAGUAAUAGUAUUCAAGGUAUAAAUUUUGUUGAUACGCCUUUAAAGCUAAGCUACCAUGAGUCGCAUCACAAAGCCCACAAAACUCAAUAUCAGAAGGGAACGUGUGAAGAAACCCAGCAUUUUGGACAACUCCCUCGCCAUAAUCAAAAUCUGAGUCAAUCGCCAUGAAUAAAUGGAAAAGAAUGCUUUCAAUCAACAGCAAAGGCAUACCUUCUUGUCUAUGUAGUCCGCCCAGAACCUGGCCUGAGCUCUCUGGUAUGGGUCACUAGGCAAAAGCGGAGAUUUAUCGCACCAAACCUCAUCAAUAUACUGAACUAUUAUCAGAGACUCACAAAUGGGCUUUCCAUUGUGGAUCAGAACUGGGAUUUUCUUAUGAACUGGGUUCAUCUCAAGAAGCAAAGGGCUCUUCUUCCACAGGUCCUCCUCUCUAUAUUCAUACUUGAGACCCUUCUCUGCCAGGGCAAGUCUGACCCUCAUACCAAACAUGCUAGGCCAGAAAUCCAACAAGAUAAUCUCGUCUGCCAUUGCUACUAAUGUGAUUGAUAAGAUUCAAACUCUUUAAGUAUUGAUGAACAGCACGGGAAAUUGCUGAGUAUUUAUAGCAAAUUUCAGAGAGUGGGUUAAACCCUUGGAUACUUCUAGGAGGUGGUGAUGCUCAUUCCUUAUCUCAGCUUUCAUUUUCAUUUUCCAUUCUAUCUCGGUUUCGUAUCUCUCCAGAAUUUGUGAAUUAUGGAAACGUUUGUUAUGGCAUGGUAAAAUAUAGAAGCGUCCCGAUAGUUGGUUGCUUCCACGUCAUCUCAUUGCUUUGAUCAUUCCACAUCAUCGCUUUCGCCAGCCCUGUCAAUUAAGUACACUGGUCCUCUGCAUAAUUUCCACCACAAAAAUGAUGUUGCAAGGAAAAGAAAUGAUAUUGUAGGGAAAAGAAAAUAGAACUUGUAUAUUUUUAGAUCGACAAGUCACUAUUGGUCCCUUCCUUAGUUCUUAGAUUCCUGAAAUUAAAUAAAUAUUUAAACUUUAUGUGUAUUAUAAAUAUUUAAAAUUUCAGUGGUGAUUGUAUUUUUAUCUAAGAUCUAUUUUUUUUUAAUUUGAAUAAAUUAAGUAUUGUUAAAUAUUUAAAUUUUUUAUAUUUUAAUUAUUAGUAAAUGUUAAUAAAUAUUAAAUAACUGAUCUUUUACAUUACAAAAAUAUUUAUAAAAUAUAAUAUUUUAUUUCUUGUUAAAUUAGUUUGCAAUCCAACACAUUUUUGAAUAUUUAAAUAUCAUAAUUCAUUAACAUAUUAAAAUUUUAUAAUAAAUAAUUAUGUAAUUGAUAAGAAAUUGGUAGUUUGAUAAUAAGUAUAAUUAUGGGGUAUUUGGUAAAACUCAAUAAUUAUUACUUAAUGACUUAAGUUGAUUUUAAGUAAAAUUAUAUUUAAGUUAUUGACUUAAAACUUAUUACUUAAUUUUUAAUUUAAAUAUUAAGGUUGUUUAAUAAAAUUAAUUUAAAAUUUAUUCUAAAUCAUCAAAUUGAUAUACUUACCCCCAUAAAUUAUAAUGAGGAUAAAUGAGAUCGAGUAACAAUGGAAGUUGUAUAAUAACAAAAAAAAUCGUGGAACUAAGAUAAAUGAGGGUAAAAAGAUAAAAUGAAAACAUGGAUUUAAGAAUAAAUUAAUUAUUUUUACUUAUUAGUUAAAGUUGUUUUUUACUUUAAGUCAUACCAUUAAAUUAUUUUACCAAUUAUAUUUAAUUUAUUUAAUAACUUGAAUUAAGUUAUUAAGUUGAUUUACCAAUACCCACUUAGACUUGUUAGAAACUAUUAGAACUUUUCUAAGUUAGUAUAUGUUUAGAUUUGAAGAUUUGUGAUUGAAAUAUGUAUUCUUUUUAAAAUUAAUUCAUUGAUUUUUGGAAUUUUAUCUCCAAAGGAGUAUCAACUUUUAAUUUAUAUUUUUUAAAAUUAUUAAUUCUAAUAAAUAUUUAGAUGAAUGUGAAUUAUGCUUUAGAAUUUUGAUUAAAAAAAAUCUUAUUAGAAUUGCUAACUAUUUUUAUUUUUUAUAAAGCUGAAUUUUUAUUAAAUAUUUUUCGAAUUUAAAUUUUAUGAUUUUUAGUAUAAUUUAUUUUUAUUUUUGAAUGAGUAAUCAAUAAUAAUUUGUGGAAUUCAAUUUUAUUGAGAAUGGGAUAAAUUAUGGGGUAAAAAUAAUGGAAACAUGUGGGGAUUUGAAAUUUUGUAAAUUUAUCUUUUAGCUAUCAAUUUAUGAGAAAAUUUUAAAUCUGAUUUUUCUUUAAAAAAAUGAAAAAUGAAAAUGAAAAAAAAAAACAAACAAAAAAUCAAAUAUAUUUGAUGCUUUUUGUAAAUGACAACUUUGUUAAUUUAUAAUAAAUUUAUUUCUCACUCAAAUUAUAUAAAAUUAACAUAGUUUAACUAUUUUUUAAAACAAGUUAUCUAUUCUUUUUUAAAGGAAUUUAGUUUAAAUUUUUGUGAAAAUUUGUAUUUAAGCAAGUACUCUUAAUUAAUGAUUAAAAGCUUUUUUAUUUUUUACUUUUUCCCCAUAAAUAAUUAAAUAUUAUAAUUAAUCCUAGUUUUUUCAAACUCUUAUAAAUAGGAGACUUGGGUCAAUGAAAUGGAUACCUCAAAGUUAUUUUAGAACUCUAUCUCUUCUCUAAUUCUAGUCUCUCCAAAAGAAAACUCUUAUUAUAAGUUUUUGUAUAAGAUUCAAACACUAAAAGGACAAACUUAUUCUCAUAAAAUAUCUUUUUUAUCAUCUAAAAGGUAUGUGAUAAACUUCUACUUUUAUAUUAUUUUCUAUUUAAUUUAUCCUUUCGAUGAAGAAACUAGAAAAUAUUUUUUUUUAUAGACAAAAAUUAUGAAAAAAAAAUUGCAACUAGAAGUUAUAAAAAAAAAAUGUAAAAUAUGUACAAUUGUAUAGCCAAAGGUUAUAUGAGAAAUUAUAAAGUUAUAAAAAUAUAAAGAAUGACUUACAUGUAAUUUCUAAUUUCUUUUAAUCAUAAUGAUAUAACCAAAUGUUACACAAAACAAAAUUGUAUUGUCAAAAGUUAAAUAAUGAAUAUUUCAUAGCCUAAAGAUGUAUACAAAUUUGCACAUUUUUGUUAUGAUAAAAAUAAUCCAUAGCCAAAAACUAUGUAAGCAAUCAAUUCGUACUUUUUAUUUUGUUAAUGCUACAUGAUGUUCAUGCAUUUUUUUUUUACCAUAUUUAUAAUAAUCCUUUAGCAAUAAAAUAUAACAAAAUCUUAAAUCAUUAUGCUUUUAUUAAUGAAUAUUAACCUGAUAAAAUAUUGUUAGAUAAUUUUAUUCAUUUAUUUUGGUAAAUUGAAAUAUUAUUCUAAUUAAAUUAUUUCAAAUAUAGUUUUCAAAUAAUGUCAAAUCUUACCAAGUUUGAGUUUGUUACAUUCCCUAUUUCGGGCAAAACUAUUUAUCUAGAUUCUAAAUGCUAAAAUUCACCUAAACGAUAUGAAUCUUGAAUAGACCAUUAAAGAAUAAAAUGAGGCAUCCUCACAAGAUCGCACUAGAGCAUUAAUAUUCCUUCAUUAUCACAUUGAUGAAGGAAUAAAAGGUGAAUUCCUUACAAUCAAAGAAUUUUCAUUCUUUGAAAUAAUCUAACGGAAUGAUACUUUGAUCCUUUGGAAUAAUAUAACAAAAUGAUAUGGCCACCACGAGAUUAUAAUCCUUCCAAAAGAACAUCAUGAUUGGAUGCACUUGAGAUUACAAAAUUUCAAGUUUGUCAAUGACCACAACUCGACUUUAUUCAAAAGUUGUUCACAAUUUAUAUGGAGAAAAAAUCAUUAAAGAAUAUAUCCUUGAAAAGACAUUUACUAUUUUCCAUGCCUCGAAUGUACUCCUAUGGCAACAAUAUCAAGAGCAUAAUUUCACUAAAUAGUUUGAAUUAGUUUAAUGUCUUCUUAUGGCUAAACAAAAUAAUGAACUUCUACUAAAGAAUCAUCAAUCUCAUACUAUUAGGUCUAUGUCAUUGCUUGAAGAAAAUGUCACAUCCGUCCAAGCUCCUAGACAUUGAGUUGGACUUGGACAUGAACAAGGCUAAGGACACAGUCAUGGUCGUGGUAAACAUAAUUCUUGGUACCAUGGUAAUUAUAGUCAUUAGAAUAGAAAAAACAAUUCAAACCAUUAGAAGUGGAAUAAUUCAAAGGUACAACCUAAAAAGGAUAUAUAUAUAUAUAUAUAUAUAUAUAUAUAUAUAUAAUCACAAAACAAACAUGAUAGUAAGAAUGAAUGCUAUAGAUAUGGUAUGAAAAGACACUAGUCAUGUACCUAUCAUAUUUCCAUAUGUUAAAAAAAUUGUACAUAGGUUUUAGAAAUGCCCAAUCGGGUAAGGGAAAGCCUCAAACAUUCCAACACUUCCUUAUGUUAAUAUUUAAAUCCUAAUAAGGAUGUAUAUUGUCAUGGUUCACCUUAAAAAAAUUGCAUGUAUGUUUCUUAAGGAUGUAUGUAGGAUUUAGAAAUGACCUACGACGAACAGGAAGGCCUCAAAUUCAUUAUGAGGCUUCUAUAAUUUAAUAUUUAGACCCAAAUAAGAAUGACUGGAACUAUGGUCCACCUUAAAAGAAAAGGUUUUUUUUUUUUUUUUUUUUAAGAAUUUACAUACUUUUCUUAAGAAUGUAUGUAUUUUUCUUAAGGAUGUACGUAGACUUUGAAAAUAACCAACGAGGAAUGGGCAGCCUCAAAAUUAUUACAAGGCUUCCAUAAAUUAAUAUUAAAACCUAAAUAAGGUGAAAUAAGGUCACAAUCUGCUUUUAAAAAAACGCACAUAUUUUGUUUUUUUAAGAAUGUACAUGUUUUCCAUAAAAAUAUAUGUAUUUUUUCUUAAGAAUGUUCUUAAGGUUUAGAAAAACCUAACAAGGUAAGGAAAGACCUCUAAUUCAUUCUCAGGCUUCCAUAAGUGAAUACCUAGACCUAAAUAAGGUCAAAUAGGAUUAUAGUCUUAAGAUAGAGUUCUUAAAAGCAUAACAUGGUGUAUUAAAUUUGAAAUUCAUUAUUUAUUUAAUGAUGUUCCCAUUUCACUUUUAUCUAUCUUUAUUCCAUGUAUUAUAUUUUAUGAGAAGUCUUGUCAGCAUCUUUUGCAUUGUACAUGACUUAGGUGCAUUAAGAGUUGCACAGAAGAUCUUUAAGCCAUGGGUUCCUUGCAAAUAAUUGACUUGUUCACAACCAGUUUAUGGGUCUAGGCAACCCAUUAGAAGUUGUAGUGCACCACCUCUUAAUUAGAGGGAUGGUUGGUCUCCGUUAUCGGGAUGAGUUUCCCAUGGUGAGUACACUACUGUGUAUGAUUUACACAUUAGACAAGACCUACGAUGAGUCAUGACUUAAUACUAUCAAGUAGUCAUGACCUCACCAAGCUACUUCAUUGUGUUAUCUCUCAACCUUGAGAGAAUAUCGAGAAAAUUAGCAAUGAAUUUUACCUAUGAGUGAGAUUGUAAGUUGAUCAUAUAUUCCCUAUGGAUUGGGUCACUGUUGAUGGAAGUCAGUAACAAUAGGUAUUCUUAAUAGACACCAUGAUAUCUCAUGGGAUUGAGACAACAUGUCCCCUUGGGUGAUCCUAAGGGGAUGUGUUCAUGGAAACUAUGGCCAUAAUAGUUCCUUAAGUAGAACUUGACAUAGGCUCUUUGAGAGCUAAGACAUGUCAAUUGAAUAUACAAUAGGAGGAUUCGUAACUCAAGGAUAGUAGAGGUAGUCUUGAAAGGUUGAUAGCUUUCACCUUGUUAGGCUAGAACACCAGUUCAUGGGGAGACUGAACACAAUGGAUACUAGGUCACAGACCCGAGCACGUAGUGUCUCGUUGUUAUUUACAUAAGAUAUUGGAGUUUAGUUUAUUCUUUGUAAUAAGAUGUUGAAUCAACUUCAUAAUUGGAUCCUGAGGGAGUUAGUACUCUUAUAGAUCCUAAUGGUCCCUGCUCUGAGCUUAUAUAUCUUUUUGGCAUAGUUAUGAGUGUCGAAUUGACUCUAGGUUCACUUUUGUGCAUAAGGGCAUUUUGGUAAUUAUGCAAGAUUGCAUAAGGGUAAGUGAACAAAGUCUCUAGAUUGAGCUAAUUAAUUAAUUAGUAGGCCCUAUUGGGUUAAUUAAUCAAUUAGGAUCCAUUUUGGGCUAAAUUAAGUUACCCAAACCCAUGUGGGCUCAAGUCACUUAAGCCUAGUUAGGAACCCUAUAAAUACCCCCUAGGGGUUAGAGUCUUCAUCACUUUUGUCUUCCACCAUUUAGAGAGAAAGAGGGCAAUAGCCUCCACCUUUCUUUCUUCCCUAUCGAAAGUGUGCCAAGAAUAAAGUUGAGUCAUUAGGCAAAAGACCAUGGGUUUACAAGACUUCCAACAACUUCAAUGUCAUCUUCAACACUUGGAAUUUAAGGUUUGAAAUAUCCAAACCUAAAGGUUGCACUUUAACCCUAAAGAUCAAUUUUAAAAAAUAAAUAAAUAAAUUGGUAUUGUUUCCAUUCCUUAGAUCUACUAUGCCAAUACACAAUUCGCUUGAAAAAAAUGUAAGUAUUUUCUUCAAAAUAUAUAUAUUUGUUAAGAAUGUAUGUAUUUUUGUAAAAGAUGUACCUUAGGUAGGGUUCCACCAUGUUAAAUGAGGUUUGGGAAGCUCUCAAAUACAUUUCGUAGAGUACAUAAGCCAAAUCUUAGACCCAAAUGAGUGUGAAUCUAUCAUGUUAAGUUGAAAUCAAAUGUACAUAUUUUUCUUAAGGUGUUAUAUUUUUCUAAAAAAUGAACUUGUGAGUGUUUAGCUAGGUUGGAAAUUCCAAAAAAAAUUCCAAAGGGUCCCCUAACUUGGUUUACCAAUCCCUCUUUGGACUACUUGACCUUUGAAGAUUAAGACUUUGCUAAGAGGUCGAGGUAUGUAGCUGAAUCUAUGGUGAUUGAAUGUGAAUCAACCCUAUUUUUUCAUUUUUAAAUGAGUAAAGAAAGCUAAGAGAAAUAUUGUUGGUGCAAGGCUUUUGUUCCCUUGUUUCUGGAUCGAUCCAGGUAUAGGGGCAAAUCGAUCCAACUAACCUGUUUUUCAGAUCAAUUUUCAACAUUUGGAUUAAGGUUUCACUCUCAUUUAAAAUCAAAUCUCCCCCAUUUUUGGAAGUGGUGACUGUAGUAUCCGUGAGAGAGUUUUUUCUUUCCUCACUAUUUAGAGGGUGUUUACCUAUGAAGAAAAUCCAUCCAAGUUUUCCAAGAAUUUUUUUUUAAAAUGGAUUUUCUGAAAAUGAACAUGGGUUGAUUUCUAAAACAUUCAUAUCUCGUUCUCUUGGUUUUGUGCAAAAACCCAUUUUCUUCUUGUCUAAAUUCAAGAGGAAAUCGAGCUUGGUGCCAAACUCCAAGUGUGCCCCGAAAGAAGAAGCUAAGAAGCUGAAAAUGAAUGUACUAGUCAAGUGGUUUGGGAAAGAUUGGUUGGUUUGAGCAAGGUAAAACUUUGUAUUCAGAUUUUAUUUUUCAUAGUGGAUGUUUUCAAUCAGUAAUAGGCCCAUGGUUUUUUAUCUCUUCGGAGAUUUUUCAUGUAAAUUUAUGGUGUCUCAUUGUCUCUCUUUCUCUUCUUAGCAUCAGUUUUCAGUUUCAACAAUUUAUUAUAAUUUUGAUUGUCUACUAUUUGAUUGAAUGAUGAAGAGAAAUGACUAUGAAUCAUCUUUGAAGCUGUUUCUAAUUGUUAAUCAUUGAUAUUUUGAGGUAUAUUGAUCUUGCUUUUAUCAGAAUUUAGUUUAAGUUGAUUUGGGUUUGGGAGCGUUAGAUCAUGUGCAUGUGAAUUACAUUUGAAUAUUGUUGGGGAGUGUUGUUGCAUUCAUAUAUGCAUGUGAUUUAUAAUUUGUGUUUUUGAGAUUGUGUGAAGAGAAGAAAAAUAUUAAAAAAGUUUUAAGGUUUUCUAAUUUGAGUUGAGAUUUUGUUUAAUUAGUCAAAACACCUAUUCAACCUCCCUUAGGUGUAUUCUAUUGAGAUUCACCUUUUCAAUUGGUAUGAGAGAGGGUUUUUAAAGCAAAAAUCAUUUUCAAUCCUUAAAUCUCAAUCAUGGAAUCUCAUUAAGAGGGAGCUUCCAUUAGGAGACCACCAUUCUUAACCAGUGAAAAUUAUUCUCAUUGAAAAGUGAGAAUGCAAUAUUUUCUCAAAAUGCAAAGUGACAAAAUUUGGAAUGUCGUUGAAUUUGGUUAGUCUCCACCUAAGGUGUUAGAUAGAGAAGGUAAACUAACAAAUGUUAUCAAGCCAAAAUUGGAAUGUGAUAGAAGUGAAAAUGAAGCAAGUGAGAAUAAAGCUAGAGCCAUGUACUCCAUCUUCAAUGCCAUUAGUACGAAUGAAUUUUGUAGGAUUGCCACAUGCACUUUGGUUAAAGAAGGCUUAGGAUAUCCUCCAACUGACUCAUGAAGGAACUAAUGUUGUGAAAAUGUCCAAGCUUCAAAUGUUGACAUCUAGGUUUGAGACCAUUAGGAUGAAUGAUCAUGAAACUUUUGGAGAAUUUCAUGCAAAAUUGAUGGAUAUAGUGAAUUCUAACUUCAAUCUAGGUGAAUCCAUCUCUAACUGUAAGGUGGUUAGAAAAAUUUUAAGAUCUCUUCCAGAUAGAUUUAGAGCUAAGGUUACCGCCAUUGAAGAGUCUAAGGAUGUGGAUUCCUUGAAGAUAGAUGAACUUGUAGGUUCUCUCCAAACCUUUGAGAUGAUGCUUGUAUCACCUAGAAAAGCUAAGGGAAUUGCUUUAAAAGCUAUUAAAGAAGAGUCCCUAAGUUCCGAAAGUGAGGAUGAUGAGAAAAUGUCAAAGGGUGAGCUUACUAAGUUUACUAAAAAAAUUAAGAAGUACAUGAAAUUCAAAAAAUUCAAGAAAGAAUCAAAUGAUGGUAAAAAUGGAGGAACUCUAUUAGAAAAAAAAAAAAGAAUAUGGAGAAAUGUGUGAAAAAAGAGUUGGAGAUUGAGUGCUUUAAAUGUGGAGGAAAUGGGCAUUAUGCCGCCAAAUGUCCCUCAAAGAAAAAAAAAAUGAAAGAAGGUCAUGCAAGUCACUAGAAGCAACAUAGAAUCUUGGCAAUCAAGUGAAAAAGAAUCCAAUGGAAGUGAAGAAUACACUAACUUCAUAGCCUUUGCUGCAAGUGUCAAUGAGAAACCACUUAAGAAAGAGGUCUUAAGUGAGUCGUGAGUCAAGUGACUCCAAUGAUGAUGACAUGAAUUUUGACACAGCAUAUGAGACUUUGUAUAAGGAGUGCUUGAGCCUUAAACAAGACCAAGUCAAGUGGAAGGCUUCUAAGAAUAUUCUAAUCAAUGAGAUUGAUGUCUUGAAGGGAGAAAAGAAGGCUUUGCUUGACAAAAUUGGAUUUCUUGCAAAUGAACACUUGGAAGUGAAAAAAAAAAUAUUAUGUAUUGAAAAGUGAAUCAAAUGUUCAAGGAUGAGUUUAAGUCUUAAGAAGGAAGAAUCACAUCCUAGCUCUAAGAGACUUAAUGAGUUUAUCAAUUUAGGGCGUAAAUCUUUUGAUAAACAAGGCUUAGGAUUUGUUGAUGCAAAUACUACUCCAAGUAGUGGUAAAACAAUUUUUGUUAAGCCUUGUGAAAAAUAAUAUCCUAAGAAAACUCAUUCUCAAAUCAAGUUUCAUUGCAAUCAUUGUGGCAAAAUGGGGCACACUUUUGAUAGAUGUUGUGCAAGAUUGUUUGAUAAUUUUCAAAGGAAGUUGACCAACCUAAUGAAUGAAUGUUAUUCUUUGAAGAAUAGGUUAUUGAAUGAGAACAAGAGAGUGUCCAAGAAGUGCUCAAAGAUCCCUCAUAAUGGUGAGUUGAAAGGAAGCACUUUGAAUGAAAAGACAAGUCUCAAAUGUUAAACAAAUUUGGGUGUGAAUGAAUGAGUUGAAGUGUUUUGUUGUCCAUACCGCACUUAGAGCUAGUGAGUCACACUCAUGGCAUCUUGAUAGUAGAUGUUCACAUCAUAUGACUAGAAAUAAAUCUUUGUUCACUUCAUUCAUUGAAUUUCAUGGAGGAAAUGUGACAUUUAGAGAUGGUAAUGUGGCUAGGGUGAAAGACAAAGGUACCAUUUGUGCCCCUAACAUUCCUAAUCUUGAAGAGGUCUUAUAUGAAGGUUUAAAGGCUAACUUAAUUAGCACAAGCCAAAUGUGUGGGAAUGAGUUCAAUGUAAAAUUUUCACAAACUUUUUGCAAGGUGUUUGACUUGAAUGAUGUAUGUGUGAUAAUUGGCUUGAGAACUUGUGAUAAUUGCUAUGUUGUUAGUAAAAAAUCUCCUUCAUCCUCUUCUCUCGUGUGUAGAAGUUCUAAAAUUGCAUAUGUUAAUCACUUGUUGCAACAUAGAUUGUUGCAAAAUGAAAAAGAGCAUCCCAUUGUAAAAGUUAGGAUUGGUGGGGGGGAUUUGAUGAUGCCAAUGUUAUUGAUAGGCUAAAGAACCAUGUUCUUCAUUAUAGACAAAAAUAUGUGGACAUUAAGCAUCACUGCAUUCAAGACUUGGUAGAAGACAAGGUUGUUUACAAGAGGUUUACCCUAUAGAGAGUCAAAUUGCUAACAAUGUUACUAAACCUUUGGACAUUUCUAGGUUUGAAUCACUUAGGAACCCCAUAGGUUUAUAUACUCUCUGUUUAACUACCUCUAGAACUUGUCUAGGACUCCUCUUGCAUAUCCUUGAGUCCUAGUUGUCUUCCUAAGUUCCCAAAUAUCAUCAACUUGAUGUUCUUUUUGUUUUGGUUCAAUAUUUUCUCCAUUUUUCAUAAAUUUUCAACAAUUGUUGAGUUCAUGAGAGUGAUAUGCUUAUUCAUUUUGUUUAAAAGUUAAAUUAAAUCAUAAUGAUCUUAAAAGCUUCAAGAUGUAUUUAUCUUCAUGGCUUGUUUGAUAAACAUGAUAUUGAAUCCUUGCUAUUUUGAUUUGGUUAGAUAAACUACAAAUGAUUAGCUUCAUUUCUAUUAAGUGAGUAAGAGCUCAUUGUUGGACCUUGUGUUUGCAUAAUGGUGAAUAAUGCACUUUAAAGUCUAAAUGUAAACUUAUACCCAUUUAAUGAGCUUUAAAGAGUGAGUAAAGACACCUGGAAUAUCCUUGAGAGGUUGAGAUGAUCAAUCCUUGAUUGUUUGUCCUCUCUUUGAAAUUAAAUUUGUUUAAAAAUGAAAAAGAAAAGAAAAAGAAAAUAUGAAGUUUCCCGAAAUGGAUAUGGCUAUGUGGAAAUGUUUCAAGAAUUAAAAAGCCUCAAUUGCAAGAGUGGGACAUCCCUUAUGUUGUUAUGUUGUAAAGGCAUCCUUCGAGAUCCUCAAGUCAAAAAUUGAUCUUAAGGGUAAAACAUAAAGCUUUGUAUUACUUUCAAUGCUAAAUGUGAAAAGCAAAUAGUGUAUGAAUUUUAUUAAAGGGAUGUGAUUAGGUCAUGUUAAACAGAAAUCUAGCCAAGAGAGAUGCAAAUUGACUUUGAUUACUAAUCAAAAAGUACUCUUUUAUAGCUUGAAACUAACUGUUUUAAACACUUUUUGAGUAGUAGUUAAUACCGUUUAACUCAAUUGGCACAUUAAGGAACCUAGCAAGGGUUACUAAUAAGUUUUUCGCAAGUUUUGGUGUUUUUUGUAGCUAUUUGAUCAUUGAAACAAGCCAAGAAUGAGGAAGAAUUUUGUGAAAUCCAUGGCAAUGUAAGUUAAAGCUCAAAUACAUGAGGAAUCCAAGCUUUAGAGCACUUCAUAGCCCUUUGCCAAGCCAAUCAAAGAUGUAAAGAAGAAAACCAGAGGAAGAAAUCCAACAACCAGCAUUUCCGCAUGGUUGUGCGAAAUUUCGCACACCAUGCAAAACCACUUGAGGCAGCCAAAGAAUUUCGCACAACAUGCGAAAUUUCGCAUGGUAUGCGAAAUCUUCCUGUGCACCGACUCCGUUAGAUUUUUAUCUCUAGAUAUUUUGUGUAAUUUCCUAUUUUCUCCUUGUAAUCAACUUCGAUAUUUUCAUAUAUAUUUUUUUAUAUAUUUGGUGUGUGUAACAUCUUUUGAUAUAGACACACAGGGAUGUAAUCAGAGAACACUUGUAAAUUCCCCUUUAUAAGAAAUAUACAGAGCUUUUGCUCUACCUUUUCAUCUCAUUUUGUUUUCACUCUUCUUUCUAGCCAAACAACCUCUGAGGAUGAUUUAUCAAGGGAUGAGUGGCUAGGUUUUACGUUUCUUGGAGUGAUGGAAGCUAGGUGAAGGACCCGAAUGCAAAGAUGGGAGUUGUCCUUGCUUUAAAUGAAAGUAGUUGUUAACCAUUAAUGGUUUUUAUUUUAAGAUUUAGCUUUAAAUCCCUUAAAAGCACCUUGAAUGGCCAAUACUUGGUAAGCUUUUUGGAUUCUAUGGAUGCUUAUUGCUAGAUCCAUGGAUGUCUAUUAGUUAUCAUUUAUGAGCCAUUGGAAGGUGGUUCAAAGUGAGAGUCUUUAGUGUUUCAAGCCAUUAAUGGGAAGCAACUAUUAUUUUUCAUGAACCCUUUGGAUCAAAUCUUAAUAUCUAAAUAUAAAACCGGUUCGGGAAAUAACCAUCCUUUAUAUUAUUGUCCCCAAUGUGAUGAGAAGAUCCGGAAUCUCCCCCUUUGUCUAAGGAACCCGAUCCUAGUGACCUAAAGCUCUAAGAGACCUUUUCUUUGUAGUUAACUUCACUUAUUAUUUUUGCUUAACUUAAAAUCGAUCUUUGCAAUCACAAUUCCAUUUUCUUUAAAAGCUAAUUUUCAUAACGAAAAAUAUUAUUUUAUUUCCUUCACUAAAGUCAAUUGUACAAUGAAAACCCAUCCCUGUGGACGAUCCUAGAGCCACUAUACUAUGUUAGUUAUGCUACCCCAGUGUGAGGUGAUUUAGGUUUUAUAAAUUUUGUUGAUAACACCUAUCUGAGCCAGAGUCAAAUGGCAUGACUACAAUGGGGAUGAAUCAAAUGGCACCGUUGCCAGGGAGAUGAUGCCAAAGUACAUUGACAUGACUUUUGGUGAACACUUGUGAUCUUCAUCACAAGUUUGGUGAUUUUUCUUUUACUAAUUCUUUUUCUUUAUCUCUAUUUUAGCUUAUCUUUUAUUUAGUUUUCAGCUAACCUUAACUUUUUCCUACAAUUGUAUUUCUUUUGUUUUCUGUGUUUUUGUUUCAGUAAUUUUUAGUUGUGCAUGCCUUAUUGGAUAAGAGAUAUUGAGGGAAGACUUGUGAAGAUUGAAACUCCUCAAGAAACUGAGUUGGAAGUGUGCUUGAACAUCAUGAAUGUUCCACCUAAAGACCAAAAUAGCCAACAUGGUCAAGAGGAUAAUUUCAACGCAUACCGAUCCAUGAGGGAUCACAUGCAUCCACCUCGUAUGAGUGCACCAUCAUGCAUAGUGCCUCCCAUUGAGCGACUAGUAGUCCGACCUCACAUUGUGCCACUCUUACCUCCUUUCCAUGGGAUGGAAAGUGAGAAUCCCUACUCGCAUAUUAAGGAAUUCGAGGAGGUUUGUAAUACAUUCCAAGAAGGAAGAGCUUCAAUUAACUUGAUGAGGCUCAAGCUAUUUCCUUUCACCUUGAAGGAUCAGGCCAAGAUUUGGCUUAAUUCUCUAAGGCCAAGGAGUAUCCAAACUUGGACUGAUUUGCAAGCCGAGUUUCUCAAGAAGUUCUUCCCUACUCAUAGGACUAAUGGUUUGAAAAGGAAAAUUUCAAAUUUCUCGACUAAGGAGAAUGAGAAAUUCUAUGAGUGUUGGGAGAGGUACAUAGAACCUAUUAAUGCUUGUUCUCACCAUGGCUUUGACACAUGGCUCUUAGUGAGCUAUUUUUACGAUGGUAUGUCUUCUUCAAUGAAGCAACUCCUAGAAACUAUGUGUGGAGGAGACUUCAUGAGUAAGAAUCCGGAGGAAGCCAUGGACUUUUUGAGUUAUGUGGCUGAAGUUUCAAGAUGAUGGGAUAACCAAACGCUAGAGAAGUGGGAAGAAUGAAGUCUCAACCUAAUGCUAAGGGUGGGAUGUAUGUUUUGAAUGAAGACAUUGACAUGAAGGCAAAGGUUGCAGCUAUGGCAAGGAGAUUGGAAGAGCUAGAAAUGAAGAAGAUAUAAGAAGUGCAAGCUAUUUCUGAGACACCAGUGCAAGCUAUGCCUUGUUCCAUUUUUCAAUCUUAUGAGCACUUGUUGGAGGAGUGUCCUACAAUUCCAGCAAUGAGAGAAAUGUUUGGAGAUCAAUCAAAUGUUAUUGGUCAAUUCAAGCCCAAUAACAAUACUUCAUAUGGCAACACCUACAAUUCAAAUUGGAAGAACCAUCCAAAUUUCUCUUGGAAACCAAAGCCACCGCAGUACACACAACCUGCUCAAGCACCUCGGCAAGCCUCGAAUCUUGAACAAGUUAUUGUGAACCUUUGCAAGGUUGUGGGAGACUUUGUGGAAGAUCAGAAGUCCAUCAAUGCUCAACUAAAUCAGAGAAUUGACAGUGUGGAGAGUACAUUGAACAAAAUGAUGGAUGGGAUGCAAAAUGAUCUGUCUCAGAAGAUAGACAAUGUCUAAUACGCAAUCUCAAGGCUUACCAACCUCAACACAGUGCAAGAGAAAUUAAAGUUUCCUUCUCAACCUCAUCAAAAUCCCAAGGAUAUCCAUGAUGUGGAGGCUCAAGAGGGAGAAUCUUCAAAGGUAAGGGAAGUCAAAGCAGUUAUCACCUUAAGAAGUGGUAAAGAGGUUGAUCUGCCCACAUCCAAGCCAAAGCAUGACGAAGAGAGUGUAGCAGAAAAAGAAAAGAGUGGAGAAAAUAAAGGAAAGAGAAAAGGGAAAAGUACAAAGAAAGAUGACCAUGAGUCUAGUGUGGAUGAAGAACUCGAGAAGAAAGUGAUCAAGGAAGAUAUGAUGAAGAAACACAUGCCUCCAUCUUUCUCCUAAGCUUUGCAUGGCAUAAAGGGAACCAAUAAUGCAUCAGAAAUUUUUGAAGUGGUGAGGCAAGUGAAGGUCAAUAUCCCUUUGCUAGACAUGAUCAAACAAGUGCCGACAUAUGCAAAAUUCUUGAAGGACUUGUGCACUAUAAAGAGAGGGUUAAAUGUGAACAAGAAGCCUUCUUGAUUGAGCAAGUGCCAUCAUACAGUGCAAGUCUCCAGUGAAGUACAAAGAUCCGGGCUGCCCUACCAUCUCAGUGAGUAUUGGAGGGACUUGCGUGCAGAAAGCUUUGUUGGACUUAGGAGCAAGUGUAAAUUUGCUACCCUACUCUGUCUAUAAGAAGUUGGGACUUGGAAAGUUGAAGCCAACAUCCAUCGCUCUAUCUCUAGCAAAUAGAUCAAUGAAGAUUCCAAGAGGGAUGAUCGAAGAUGUCUUGGUUCAAGUUGACAAAUUCUACUAUCCAGUGGAUUUUGUUGUUCUUGAUAUGGAUCCAAUUGUCAAAGAAACUAAUUAUGUUCCUAUCAUACUUGGAAAACCAUUCCUAGCUACAUCAAAUGCAAUCAUCAAUUGUAGGAAUGGAGUCAUGCAACUCACGUUUGGCAACAUGACAUUGGAGCUCAACAUCUUCCAUUUGUGCCAGAAACAUAUCCAUCCGAAAGAAGAAGAAGGGUUAGAGGAAGUAUGCAUGAUUGACGCUUUAGUGGAGGAGCAUUAUGAUCAGAGAAUGCAGGAGGAUUUGAUUGAGAGUUUUAGGGAUCUUGAUGAAGGGUUACCUGAACCCUUAGAUUUGCUUGCUACCCUGCUCCCUUAGAGGAGAAGAGAAGAAAUUCUACCCUUAUUCAAUGAGGAGGAAACGCAAAGAACUGCUAAGGAGGAGUUCUCAAAGCUUAUUCUUAAGCCACUACCCACAGAGUUGAAGUAUGCAUACUUGGAAGAAGACAAGCAGUGUCUUGUUGUUAUAUCUUCAGAUCUUACCAUUCAUCAAGAGGAUUGUCUACUUGAAGUCCUUAGAAGAUGUAAGAAAGCAAUAGGCUGGCAAAUUUUUUAUUUGAAAUGGAUCAUCCCUUUAGUCUGCACCCAUCAUAUUUACAUGGAGAAUGAAGCUAAGCCAAUUUGUCAACCUCAGAGAAGGUUGAACCCUCACAUGCAAGAGGUGGUGCGAGUUGAAGUCUUAAGCUACUUUAGGCCAGUAUUAUUUACCCUAUAUCAGAUAGCCCAUGGGUGAUUCCUACUCAAGUUGUGCCAAAGAAGUCUGGGAUCACGGUGGUGCAAAAUGAUAAGAGAGAAGAUGUCUCUACGCGCCUCACUAUAGGUUGAAGGGUGUGUAUCGAUUACAGGAGGUUGAAUGUAGUGACAAGAAAGGACCAUUUCCCAUUGCCCUUUAUUGAUCAGGUACUUGAAAGGGUCUCUGGGCAUCCUUUUUAUUGUUUCUUGGAUGGCUACUCCAAGUACUUUAAGAUAGAAAUUGAUGUUGAAGACCAAGAGAAGACCACUUUCACGUGCCCAUUUGGCACCUAUGCAUAUAGGAGAAUGCCUUUCGGCCUAUGCAAUGCACCUGCAACUUUCCAAUGAUGCAUGUUAAGCAUUUUCAGUGAUAUGGUGGAGCAUAUUAUGGAAGUCUUUAUGGAUGACAUCUUCAUAUAUGGAAGUGCAUUUGAUUAAUGCUUAGUCAACUUAGAAGUUGUUAUGAACCGAUGCAUUGAGAAAGACUUAGUGCUUAACUGGGAGAAGUGUCAUUUCAUAGUACAAUAAGGGAUUGUCCUUGGGCACAUCAUCUCCAAGCAAGGCAUUGAAGUUGACAAAGCAAAGGUUGAACUCAUUGUCAAGUUGCCAUCCCUAACAAAUGUCAAAGGAGUAAGGCAAUUCCUUGACCAUGUCGGGUUCUAUAGGAGGUUUAUCAAGGAUUUCUCUAAGCUUGCAAGGCCUCUUUGUGAAGUAUUGGUGAAGGAUGCUAAAUUCAUAUGGGAUGAUAGAUGCCAAAGGAGUUUUGAAGAAUUGAAGUUAUUUCUAACAACCGCACCAAUAGUGAGGGCUCCCAACUGGAAACUGCCCUUUGAGGUAAUGUGUGAUGCCAGUGACUUUGGAAUAGGAGCUGUUCUUGGGCAAAGAGAAGAUGGAAAACCCUAUGUGAUCUACUACGCGAGCAAGACAUUGAAUGAGGCGCAAAGAAACUACACAACCACCAAGAAAGAAUUGUUAGCUGUAGUUUUUGCUUUGGAUAAGUUUCGUGCUUACUUGGUGGGGUCCUUCAUUGUGGUUUUCACUGAUCACUCUGCUUUGAAGUAUUUGUUGACUAAGCAAGAUGCUAAAGCAAGGCCAAUUAGAUGGAUCCUCUUGCUUCAAGAGUUCAAUCUCCAUAUCAAAGACAAGAAAUGAGUGGAGAAUGUGGUAGUAGACCACCUUUCAAGGCUAGCUAUCGCACAUAAUUCCCAUGGUUUGCCCAUCAAUGAUGAUUUUCCAAAGGAGUCUCUCAUGUUGGUGGAAGUUGCUCCUUGGUAUGCUCACAUUGCUAACUACCUAGUCAUAGGAAAAGUUCCAAGUGAGUGGAAAACACAAGAUAAGAAGCACUUCUUUGCAAAAAUUCAUGCCUACUAUUGAAAAUAGUCAUUUCUAUUCAAGUAUUGUUUCGAUCAAAUAAUAAGAAAGUGUGUUCUUGAAAAAGAGCAACAAGGGAUCCUCAGUCAUUGCCAUGAAAAUGCAUGUGGAGGCCACUUUGCUUCUCAGAAGACAACCAUGAGAGUAUUGCAAUCGGGUUUCUGUUGGCCAUCACUUUUCAAAGAUGCCCACACCAUGUGCAAGAGUUGUAAUCGAUGUCAGAGGCUUGGGAAGUUGACACGCAAGAACAUGAUGCCUUUGAACCCCUUUUUGAUAGUUGAUCUUUUUUAUGUUUGGGGCAUUGACUUCAUGAAACCUUUCCCUAUGCCUUUUGGCUACUCUUACAUCUUGGUGGGAGUAGAUUAUGUUUCUAAGUGGGUUGAGGCAGUCCCAUGCAAACACAAUGACCAUAGAGUGGUUCUCAAGUUUCUCAAGGAGAACAUCUCCUCAAGAUUUGGGGUGCCCAAAGCCAUAAUUAGUGAUGGGAGUACUCAUUUUUGCAACAAGUCUUGUGAAACUCUCCUAGCCAAGUAUGGGGUGAAGCAUAAGGUAGCUACACCUUACCACCCUCAAACUAGUGGGCAAGUUGAGUUAGCAAACAGGGAGAUUAAAAACAUAUUGAUAAAGGUGGUGAACACAAAUAUAAAAGAUUGGUUAGUCAAGCUCCUCGAUUCACUAUAGGUAUAUAGAACAACUUACAAGACCAUUCUCGGGAUGUCUCCUUAUCGCCUAGUCUAUGGUAAAACAUGUCAUCUCCCUGUGGAAUUGGAAUACAAGGCUUGGUGGGCAAUCAAGAAGCUCAACAUGGAUUUAAGCAGUGUUGGGUUGAAAAGGUUCUUAGACCUUAAUGAGAUGGAGGAAUUGAGAAAUGAUGCCUACAUCAAUUCAACAAUUGUAAAAGAGAAAUUAAAGAGGUGGCAUGAUCAGUUGAUUUCCCGCAAGGAUUUUAAAAAGGGAAAAAGAGUCUUGCUCUAUGACUCUAAGCUCCCCAUCUUUCCAAGCAAGCUAAAAUCAAAGUGGAUAGGUCCUUUUACCAUUCACCAAGUUCAUUCAAAUGGAGUAGUGGAACUACUCAACUCCAAUGGCACCAGGAGCUUUAAAGUGAAUGGCCAUCAUCUCAACCCCUUUGUGGAGCCUUUUUCUCGCGACAAGGAGGAAUUCAUCCUCCUUGAUGCACAUCAAGCUUGACAAGACCAGUUUUCUUAACGGACUUAGUCUUUCUAAAGACUAUUGAGUCCAUAUCUUUUUAUUUUAUUUUUUAUUUAAGAGUUUUCCUAUAUUAUUACUUGUUUUGAUUUUGAUUUCUCGUUUUAAUUUUAUUUUAGUUUGAUUUAACUUAGGUUUUUGAUGAUCAAUUGCAAAAGGGGCCUCAAAGCAGUUGGGUGUGUCCUUAAAGACUUCAAACAGAGGAAAAACCAAGAUAAUUCAAGCACCCUGCGAAAUUUUUGCAGGGCAUGCGAAAUUAAUGAAUCAUUUUGCAUGGGGUGAGAAAAUUUCGCACACCCUGCGAAUCAAUUUCACACACUAUACGAAAAUGAAAAGACCUUGCUAAAUCAUUUCAAACACUUUGCGAAAUUUUCGCAGAGCAUGCGAAAAAUUUUGCACACCCAACACCGUUUCGAAUGCUGUGCGAAACCCUAAGGGGUCUACAAAACCAUUUCGCACCUCCAAAGCCAUUUCGCACGCUGUGCAAAAAUCAAGAGGCGUUGUGCGAAAACGAAAAGUAGCCUUACUAUCCCUUUUUAAACCCCGAGCUCUAACUUCUCCAUUUCGCAAACACCAAACACCCUGCAAAUCCCUCAUUUUCCUCUACCACCUUGUGACCUCGUCCCUCUCCAUUCAACACCCCGUCCCGCACAUCUCAUUUUGAAGACUCGCACUCUGCGGCCCCUUCGAGCACGGCUCACUUUCCAUUUUCUACAUGGCGCUAACUCGAGGAGCCCUUCCCGCCCCUUCACCGAGACACACUCCGAGGCAGAGAGCCUCCUCUACUUAAGUGCCUAGUGAUUCUCCAUCUUAGGCCGCAGAGGCCUCGUGGAUUCCACCUCCUGAGAAUGGAGUAGCCAUUGGUCCUUCCUCUCCUGCUCCUCAGCGCAAAUAUGAGACAAAGAGACCACCUAUUACACCAAGGGCAACUACUUCGCUCCUUGAGAGUUCAGUAUGAUGUCCUCCUGCCAAGAGAGCCAAGACUUCAGGCCCAAGCGAGUCAUCCAGAGUUUCAUAGCCUAAGGCUCUUGCAGAUUCUGAGGUUCCUUCUGACUUAUCACCGGAGUCUAUUAUCUGACGCCCGAUGCUCACAGCACCACCCAUUAAGGGCAACUCAGAUUGCAGAGCAAGACCUUUCCUCUUGAAGCUAUAUUUUGAUCAAGAGGCCAUGCAACAGCAGCUUGAGCUCCGAGACUCUUACGGCCUACUGUAGAGGUACCACCUUGAGCACCUUAUAACUCUUUGUGAGUUCUUUUAUCCUAGAGUAGCACUAGACUUCUACCAGUCCAUGACUACUCUUGGCGUCCCGAGUCUUACUGUGAUUUACUUCACCAUUGAUGGACAUCAUGGUAUCCUCAAGGCUAGACAUAUUGUAGAGGCUUUACAAAUUCCUUUCAAGCCAGUGGAUCCAUCUGCUUUCCGCCAGUGGUCCUAGUAUCUCAGAGGGACAUGGUCCGCAUUUUAUCCAGGAAGACCUCUACAGAUUCGAUCCUUCUACGGAAGGAGCUUCCACCUAGGAUGCUCCUUGUAGAUAUGGUGCUACGCUCCAACCUCUUUCCCUUACAGCAUUUAGUACAGAGGCGAUGAGCUAUUUUGGACGCUUUAUUCUGUAUAUCGGAGGGCUUCUACUUUGGCCUGUUCCACUUGAUCAUGGCCUCCCUCAUCCACUUUGAGGAGAAGGUCCAUAGGAAGAAGCUUCAAAGGGCGGACACCAUUCCAUUACUAUUCCCGAGGUUGUUGUGCCAAAUCUUGGAGUAUAUGAGCUUUUCUAUUGAGCCUCGGCUCGAGCGUCACCGCCUUUGUCGAGAGUGAUUCACUCUGGACAAAUGGAAUCAAUUGACGGGCUAUUAUGCACCUCUAGGAGCCUUUCCUAUGGUAGCACCUCCAGUGCUCCUAGAACCAGAGCAAGGCGAGCUCCCGACAAAGACUGCACCACCAGUGCCCACACCUGAGGCUACUUCUACUGCUCCGCCUACGACUCUUACUGUUACACCAGUCGCGCCUACUACAUCCGAGCCUUCCAUCACCAUAUCGGCUUUAGAGUUUCGCUCCCGUGUGCAUACUUUUUAGACACUUACCACCACACAUGCUACUCUCUUUCAGCAAAUGGCUGAGAUGCGUGCCCAUCAGGACCAGCAGACUGCUAUACUUCGCCAGAUUCAGCAGCACUUGGGACAUCUACCUCUGCCUCAACCUGACCUUUCUGCAUCAUUAGAGCCUUUAGCUCCAGCUAAGGAUACUAUUCCACCUGAGGACACUACCACAGUAGAGGUCCGGAUUUCGCCACCUCAGAAGGCCACCACAGCUACACCAGAGGAUUCUUCAUUUCUACCUGAGGCUCCCACUACUUGAUCAUAAGAAAUCUCUUUAUCUUAUUGUAUUUACAUAUUAUAUUACUAAAGAUUUGUCCUUGUUUUGAUGCUUUAUAUUCAGGGUUGGAUGUAUUACCUGAUCAUAUCUCAUAUUGUACUUUCUCAUAUUAAUAUAUAGACAUCACAUUUUUUUAUUAUAUUUAAAAUUUUUCUAUUUAUUCUACUUGUCACUCUUUUGUUUUUUGACUCAUGUGGUUUCUCCUAUACGAAUCAGACUCCAUUUCAUUCAGGAGGUACCACUUCCUCCUUUUAUUUUCAAUUGCUCUUGAAACAUUGAGGGCAAUGUUGAUCUCAGUUGGGGGGAGAGUUAAGGAAGGAAUUUUUGUUAAUAAUGCUAGAUUAAUUUGUUAAUUUAGUUACUUUUUGCUUAAUUUUAAAAGUUUUUUACCCUACUCUUCAUGGUUAUUAAGGAAAAGUUCUCAAAAUGAAAUGGGAGAAAUCGAAUUCUUGCAUUUUUACUUGAAUCUUAGAGUUUGUAUUAUGCUUAUUAAAGUUGAUGAAUUAUUGAAACUCCUAUGGAAUUCAACCUUAUUUCUUCCACUUUAAUCUUAUCACACUAUGCACAUUAAGUUCCGAUUAUAAGACGAAAAACUAUCUCACCCCCUAAACUUAGGAAAAUUUCAACUUGGUACAUUUGACUUCAUUUUAAUAGUGUUGGGACACCUUAUAAAAGGCCAAUGAGCCUUCGAAAAAAAAAAAAAGAACAAAGUGUUUCGCUUGCCUUGAAACCCGAGCAAAGUCCGAGGGGUAUACGACGAAAGUCUUUAAAACCCGGUGCCCUAAGCCUUUAUUGGUUGGGAGUCACUGGCCUCAAUGCUCGUUACAAGAGUGAAUAGGUAGAGUUUAACAUAUUGUAGGUGCUUGGGUAUUGAAUUUCAAUCUCAAAAAUCCGGGGAAAAAUAUGAGGAGUUAGAGGUUGAAAAAUCCUUAAAGCUUGAUGCCCUAAACCUUGAUUGGUUGGGAGUCAUCAAUGGAUCCCCAUUACAUGGACACUUUAGAAAACAAUACCUUUAGCAUUGCACUCCUACAAUGAAAAAAAUUGUGAAAUAAAAGAGGUGUGUUCUUAGCCUAUUGGAGGUUGGUCAAGUUGCUAAGGUUUGAGAAAAAACUAGGUUGGGGGAGAGAAUAGUUUGACAUACUAUAAUCAGAAGCUAAUAAGCUUAACACUUAGAUUUUUGUGAAAAAAUAAGGUUUGAAUCUUUGGGAGUGGAAAUUCUUUUGUUGCUUAAAUUUGCAUAAUGCCUACUCUUUAUAAAUUGUAAUUUGGCAGGAGAUUUGAUAACUCUUGUUGAAGGUUGGGUUUUGCAUCUUUGAUGUUCCAUGAGAGAGUAUAAUCUGCAUCAUGCCACUUGAAAAUUUUUUGGAGUGAUUAGCAUGAUUUUGUAAAUUAUUUUACUAUUUAUUUUUCUUUAUCUCUCCUUCAUUGCUAAGGAACUAGCAAUAUGUUGGUUGGGGGGAGUGAUUACUGCUCAAAAAGUACUCUUUUAUAGUUUGAAACUAACUGUUUUAAACACUUUUGAGUAGUAGUUAAUACAUUUUAAUUCAAUUGGCACAUUAAGGAACCUAGCAAGGGUUACUAAUCAAUUUUUCGCAAGUUUUGGUGUUUUUGGUAGCUAUUUGAUCAUUGAAACAAGCCAAGAAUGAGGGAGGAUUUUGUGAAAUCCAUGGCAAUGUAAGUUAAAGCUUAAAUACAUGAAUAAUCCAAGCUUUUGAGCACUUCAUAGCCCUUUGCCAAGCCAAUCAAAGAUGCAAGGAAGAAAACCAGAGGAAGAAAUCCAACAUCCAGCAUUUCCGCAUGGCUGUGCGAAAUUUCGCACACCAUGCAAAACCACUUGAGGCAGCUAAAGAAUUUCGCACAACAUGCGAAAUUUCGCAGGGUAUGAGAAAUCUUCCUGUGCACUGACUCCGUUAGAUUUUUAUCUCUAGAUAUUUUGUGUAAUUUCCUAUUUUCUCCUUGUAAUCAACUUAGAUAUUUUCAUAUAUAUUUUUGUAUAUAUUUGGUGUGUGUAACAUCUUUUGAUAUAGACACACAGGGAUGUAAUCAGAGAACACUUGUAAAUUCCCUGUAGUAAAAAAUAUACAGAGUUUUUGCUCUGCCUUUUCUUCUCAUUUUGUUUUCACUCUUCUUUCUAGUCAAACAACCUCUAAGGAUGAUUUAUCAAGGGAUGGGUGGCUAGGUUUUACGUUUCUUGGAGUGAUGGAAGCUAGGUGAAGGACCCGAAUGCAAAUAUGGGAGUUGUCCUUGCUUUAAAUGAAAGUAGUUGUUAACCAUUAAUGGUUUUUAUUUUAAGAUUUAGCUUUAAAUCCUUAAAAGCACCUUGAAUGGCCAAUACUUGGUAAGCUUUUCAGAUUCUAUGGAUGCUUAUUGCUAGAUCCAUGGAUGUCUAUUAGUUAUCAUUUAUGAGCCAGUGGAAGGUGGUUCAAGGUGAGAGUCUUUAGUAUUUCAAGCCAUUAAUGGGAAGCAACUAUUAUUUUUCAUGAACCCUUUGGAUCAAAUCUUAAUUGCUAAAUAUAAAACCGGUUCAGGAGAUAACCAUCCUUUAUGUUAUUGUCCCCAAAGCGAGGAGAAGAUCCGGAAUCUCCCCCUUUGUCUAAGGAACCUGAUCCUAGUGACCUAAAGCUCUAAGAGACCUUUUCUUUGUAGUUAACUUCACUUAUUAUUUAUGCUUAACUUAAAAUCAAUCUUUGCAACCACAAUUCCAUUUUCUUUAAAAGCUAAUUUUCAUAAGGAGAAACACCAUUUUAUUUCAUUCACUAAAGUCAACUAUACGAUGAAAACCCAUCCCUGUGGACGAUCCUAGAGCCACUAUACUAUGUUAGCUAUGCUACCCUAGUGUGAGGUGAUUUAGGUUUUAUAAAUUUUGUUGAUAACACCCGUCUGAGACAGAAUCAAAUGGCAUGACUGCAAUGGGGAUGAAUCAGACUUAUUGGAACAUUAUCUUGAAUUUCUUUAGGAAGGAAGAGUAUCUUGAAAAUGAUUUUUGGCUCAUAAAUGAAUAUAGGUUUCUAAGUGGAAAUUAUUUAACAUUCUCACCGUUUUAUGGUGUCAUGAGUGAGUUUUUUUUAGCUUAAGCUUCCUUGUUAGAGUGUUGAUAAUCAUUUGUUUUUUACCUAUUCAUUUGAUAAAUUUGGAAAGUACUUCAAUCUCUAUGUUUAUUAAUUUUGUCUAUUGUUAAGUUCUUGGAAGCAUUUUUGUUCAAUGUGAAUCAAUUCUAACUCAUUAAUUGAAAGAUAAGUAUGUCAUCCUAUUGUAUCUCAUCUUUGGUCGAUCAAUUUUCAGUUUUUGGAAAGCUUAUUGGUGUAUUUCUUGUGAUUUUUCGAUAGUUUUUGCCUAAGUCAUUUUUCAAUUGGGUGUCGAUCGAUCUACUGAAUUUGUGGAUCGAUCCAUUGUGUGCACAAUGUAGUGACCGAGAGCCCUUGAAUGAAUCUUGGAUCGAUCCACCAAGAUCGAUACCACCUAGUCCUUGUCUCUCACACACUUAGCCAUUUUUUUCAAAUUUGGUCUAUUCAAACCUAUGUGACUAUGUAUCAUCGAGAGCACAAUUGAAAGCUGGAUCGAUCCACCCAGAUCGAUACCACUUAUGCAUUUGUGAAAAAUUCCAUUUUUGCCCCCAACUAGUUAUACUCAUAUGGUUUAAUGGAUAAGGGGUAUUUUCAUAAUUAAAAGUAAAAAAUUGAAAAUUUGAAAAAGUCAAAAUCCCUAAAUCAGUUUUUCCCAAUUCAUUUCUUUCAAAAACCCUAGGUUUUUUGUUCCAAAGAAGAGAACUUCUCUACUCUAAGCUUCUCUUUAGCCAUCAUUGUCAGUCCAUCAUUCCUACCACUACCAUCAAAAGUCUCUACCACUGGAAACCUUUAUCGUUAGACUUCCCUAUCUGGUGAGCGUUUCAAGUCUGGCCAAUCCCACUAGACAGCCUCGUCAAAUAGCCUAGAAUUGUUGUGUUGCUCAGCUCAUGUCGUCGGCCUGUGUGUCUUUUCUUAAUGCGUCGAUGUUUUAGAAAAUUGUCUUCUACAUAGUAUGUGUUGGCUAGGACCUCCUGUGUGCAUCACUAGAUUGUAUCUUGUGCAAUUAGGAUUUUGUUCCAACAGUUGGAAAUUCCAAUCUGCCCUUAGGACUGUGUUUUUCACCGCACAAUCAACACAACGCAAUCUACACUUCUGGAAAUUGUGUUCUACAUAGCCCAUUUCUCUUGUUUUUUGCUCUACUAUUUUCCAAUGUUCGUGUCUUUAAUGCAACUUAUUUGCAAGAGUUCUCAUUUUUGGCAACCAUUAUUGUUUGAUUUAUCCAUUCUUCUCUCUUCUAUUAGUCUCAUUUGGAUUUUUUAUUUUUUAUUUUUUUAUUUUUUUUAUAGAGUCCUCUCACAAUAGUUUUAAUAGUUUGAGAUUUCAUUUUUGCCUUGGAGUGUUCCUAGUUUCUAGGAAUGCUAAUCCUAGGCUUUGGUUAUUCAUUUUGAGUGGUCUUCAUACAUUUUCAUGCUUGAAAUCUAUUUUCAUGGUGAUAAAGCAUUUUUUGAAAGUUUUUAAUUGAAACCAUGUGAUAGGAUUUAGGAGGAGAUUCUUAUAUCCUGUGAUGGGAGUCAAGGGGAGAUUCUUGUAUCCUAUAUUUUUUUUUUCUAGAAUGUUGAUAUGGAUACUUGGUGAUAUGUGAAUAUUUGAUUUUUGGGUAUUUGACAUUUUUGUUGAAAAGUAGAUGUUUGUUGAUUUGGAUGUGAGAUAUUCUGCUAUUGAAUUCUCAUCCAUUUAUCUUUUUUAUUGGAUAGAAAAUGGGAGAUUAUGACUUUUUGUCUCCUAUUGGGACAAAAAGGAGAAAACAUUUUACAUGGAUGUUGAUAUGACAUGUAGUUGAUCAUGACGGUUUCUUUGUGUUUUGUUGCUUUGGAUAUUUGAUAUGUUGAUCAUGAUCACCUUUUUUGUAUAUCGAUGGAUAUUUGACACGUUUUUGAACUCAUGAAUGCAUAUUAACUAUCUUUAGACAAGUUAUUUUUGUGGAUAUAUGUGGAUAUUUGUGUGUCAAUUCAUUUGAAACUUAUGGAAUUGUCUUGGUAAUAUGUGCAAGUGCUACUAAUGUUUUUUCUUGAGAUUUAUUUACAGGAUUGGUAGUACCUUUGGUUAGGUUUUGAGUGAGUGAGUGAGUGGCCUUGUAUGAGAGUUGGGUGGGACUUACUUGUAUUCAUUCGUGUUGUAAAGGGUUUUGUCCCAGAAUUUCCAAAUGGGGAGAUUGUGAGUGUUUAGCUACGUUGGUAAUUCCAAACAAAAUUCCUAAGUGUCCCUUAACUCGGUUUACAAAUCCCUCUUCAAACUACUUGACCUUUGAAGAUUAAAACUUUGCUAAGAGACCGAGGUAUGUAGCCGAGUGUGUGGUGAUUGAAUGUGAAUCAACCCUAUUUUUUCAUCUUUAAAUGAGUUAAGAAAAUAGGGAGAAAUAUUGUUAGUGCAAGGCUUUUGUUCCCCUUAUUAUGGAUUGAUCUAGGUGCAGGGGCAAAUUGAUCCAACUAACCCACUUUUAAGAUCAAUUUUCAACCCUUAGAUUAAGGGUUUCUUUCUCAUUUAAAAUCAAAUCUCUCCCAUCUCUAGAAGUGGUGACUACAACAACUGUGAGAGAGUUUUUUCUUUCUUCACCAUUUUAAGGGUGUUUACCUACGAAGAAAAUCUAUUCAAGUUUUCUAAGAAAAAAUUUUUAAAAUGGAUUUUCUGAAAAAGAGCAUAGGUUGAUUUUUGAAACAUUCAUAUCUAAUUCUCUUGGUUUUGCGCAAAAACCCAUUUUUUUUCUUAUGUGAAUUCAAGAAGAGGCCGAGAUCGACCUUGGUGUAAACUCCAAGCGUGCUCUAAAAUAAGAAUGUGAGAAAGUGAAAGUGAAGGUACUAGUCAAGUGGUCUGGGAAGGAUUGGUUGGUUUGAGCUAGGUAAAACCUUGUAUUUAGUUUUUAUUCUUCAUAGUGGAUGUUUUCAAUUGGUAGUAGGGCCAUGGUUUUUGAUCUCUUCGAAAAAAUUUCAUGUAAAUUUAUGGUGUCUCAUUGUCUCAUUUUCUCUUCUUAGCAUCAUUUUUUAGUUUCAACAAUUUAUUAUAAUUUUGAUUGUAUAGUAUUUGAUUGAAUGAUAAGGAGAAAUGGCUAUGAAUCAUCUUUGAAGUUGUUUCUAAUUGUUAAUCACUGAUAUUUUGAGGUAUAUUGAUCUUGUUUUUAUCAUAAUUUAGUUUAAGUUGAUUUGGGUUUGGGAGUAUUAGAUCAUGUGCAUGUGAAUUUCAUUUGAGUAUUGUUGGGGAGUGUUGUUGCAUUCAUAUAUUCAUGUGAUUUAUAAUUUGUUUUUGAGACUGUGUGAAGAGAAGAAAAUAUUCAAGAAGUUUUAAGGUUUACUAAUUUGAGUUGAGAUUUUGUUUAAUUGGUCAAAACACCUAUUCAACCCCCCCUUUAGGUGUAUAUUCCACUAUUGAGAUUCACUUUUUCAGAACCUAUACUUCUACCGAGCUACAUGAAGUUUUGUAAGGCAUAAAAUACAUUUUGAGGCAUAUAUAAGUCAAAUCUUAUAUCCAAAUUAGGUUGAAUUGGGUCAUGGUUAACCUCAAAUCAAAUAUAUGCAUUUUUCUUACAAAUGUUUAUAUAUAUAUAUGCAUUUAAGAAUAUAGUUAUUAUUGUAAAGGAUGUACUUUUUCUUAAGAAUAUACUUAUUUUUGUAACAGAUGUACCUAGGGUUCUACCAUGCCAAAUUGGGUUUGGGAAUGCAUCAUGAGGUAUAUAGAAGUUAAAAUUUAGACUCAAAAUGAAUAAGGGAAUGAUUCAACUCAAAUCAGAUGUAAAUACUUUUCUAAACUUUUAUGCAUUUUUUUAAAGCAUGUACGCAAAGUUAUAUCAUGUUGAAUAGGGUAUAAGAAGACCUCAAAUGCAUUCCGAGACCUACAUAAGUGAAAUCCCACACCCGAAUUAGGUUGAAUGAGGAUAAGAAUCCCCAAUGAAAUGAAAUGUACAUGUUUUUAUACUAGAUGUACCUAUUUUUCUAAAUGAUGUACUUAUUUUUUUUAAAAGAUAUAUGUAUUUUAAGAAAUAUAAAAAUUAAUUAAAGAAAUGUUAAUACAAUUUUUAUGAAAAUAAUUUUUUUUCUAUUUUAUGUUUAUAAAAAAGUUAAAGAUUUUAACCUAGUAAAAAGUUAGAACCAUGAUCAAUUUUAAAUCAUAUGAAAAAUUAAAACAAAUGUUAAUAUGAAAGUUCAAAUUUUUACAUGCCCUUAUCAAUGUCUCAUCAAAUUUUUUUAGUACAAAAUGGAAUAGUAAGUGAAUACUCUUUUAUUUCUUUAAUACAAAAAAUACAAACCAAGCAUCUCUCAAAAUCUUGUUCCUUGCUCUUGAAUAUAAAGUAAGAUAAGCUCGUGAACUUAUUCACAGUAAAAGUUUUGCUAACCUACAGUCACGCAACACAUGAAGGCAUUAUUCGACUUUAUUUAGGCAUCGAACACAAUUCGGUGAAGCUACUAUAUGCCUUUUGAAGUGAUUUUCAUUUGUCAGCAACUUGUUGUGCAAAGCCAGCCACAAAAAGGAUCUAAUCCUUUGGGGACCCCUUCAUUUCCACAAGGCCAUCCAAUUCUUAUUCAGCUUUGUCCAGCAACUCUCUUCAAUCAGUUCGUAAGCCGACUUGGUAGUUGACAACGUUGACAUAAAGGCCAAAAAUAGUGGAGGAUUGUACAAGAGCACAUAGCACUAACCCAAAUUCUCAAAAUUUGCUAUUGAAAAGUUUUUAGCCUAUUUGGCCAUUUCAUUAAAAAAUAAUUUUUGUUUUUAAAAAUUAAAAAAAAACUAUUUUUAAAAAUUCAUAAAAUUGUUUGUUAGUUGUUUUCUAUUUGUAAUUUUUAAAAAUAAAGUGAAAUAAAAAACAUAUUUUAUAAAACAAAUAAAAAUUGUUUUCACCAAUUUUAAAAACAAAAGAAAAAUAUAGAGGAAUUAAAAAACUAUAAAAAGAAAAUUGAAGAUGAUAUCAUUCUUCUUUACCUCUUUCUACGAUCUAAUAUCGAUACUGAAAAUCUUCAAAUAUAAUAUUCUUUUAAAUUACAUGUGUUUUUAUCAAUUUCAUUUAAUUUAAGAAAAUUUUCAUUGAUAAAAUAAAUUCUAAAUCAAAUUAUACUUUAUACAUAAAAUUUACUAAUUUUUAAAAAUAACUUAAAAGUUAAAAACUGAUUUAGUUAGUACUAUAAAGUCAUGAAACUCACUAACAUUAGAAUGACAUACACCAAAAUUCAUUUGAAUGUCUUGGCUAGUUUUUUCUUUGCAUAUAAUCAUAUUUUUACAAUUUUUUUCACUUAGUAAAUAAUCACCAAAUCAAGUAUGACUUAAUGCGUUGAAUUUAUUAACAAGUCUAAGUAAUUCUAAAAAAUAAAUUGAAAUGCAAAUAGUGAUCCAAUUAAUACCAUAAAUUUAUGGACAAAAAUUGAACUUGAAUGACUUUAUUGUUUCCAAUUUUGUUUCAUUGGACAAAUAAACUUAAAAUUAAACCAAACUUAAUGUGUUGAAUUCAUUAAUAAAUUUAGUAAUUUCUAAAAAUAACUUAAAACUCAAAUAAUGAUGUAAUUAAUAUUAAAAAAUUUAUGGAUGAAAAUUGGUCUAAAACAACUUUAUUAUUUUUCUUCUACAUGGAAUCAUAUAUUCCCAAUUUUAUUUUACUAUAUAAAUAAACUCAAAAUUAAACAAGACUUAACAGUCUAGUAAUUUUUAAAUUAGAAUAAUAUUUGAAAUAAUUUAAUUAGAAUAAUAUUUUAAUUUAUUAAAAUAAAUCAUAAAUAAAUGAAUAAAAUUAUCUAACAAUAUUUUAUCAAGUUAAUAUUUGUUAAUAAUAAGGAUUUAAGAUUUUGUUAGAUUUUAUCGCUAUAGGAUUAUUAUAAAUAUGGUUUUAAAAAAAUGCAUGAACAUCAUGUAAUAUUAACAAAAUAAAAAUUACGAAUUGAUCGCUUUCAUAGUUUUUGACUAUGGAUUAUUUUUAUCAUAACAAAAAUGCGUAAAAUUGUAUACACCUUUUAGGCUAUGAAAUAUUCAUUAUUUAACUUAUGAGUGUACAAUUUUGUUUUGUCCAAUAGUAGUGCAAUUAAUAUUAAAAAUUUAUGGAUAAAAAUUGGGUUUUAAUGAGUCUACUUUUUUUCUAUACAUACUUAUUUAUUUAUAAAUUUUUUUAUUAAAGAAUGAACUUCAAAUCAAGUAAUUGAAUUUACUAAUAGGUUAAUUUUUUAGUUUUUUUAAAGUUACAACCUAGUAAAUAGAUCUAAUCACUAUAAGAAAUAAUAUAUGAAAACUAAUUGUAGACCCCAAAAUUUGUCAUAAUUUUAUUUUUACAUUGAUAUUGAGUUCAAUUUUAUCCUUAGAUUUAAAUUUCGAUUACAUCUUAAUUGUUUAACCCACUUACACUAUUUUUUUAUUUUUUUUAUUUUUUCUCUCCUCUCUCCUCUCUCUUCUCUCUUCCUCUUUCUCCUCAUUCUACCUAUUCCACCUACUUCCCUUACCCAUUUCCUUCUCGUCUAAGCCACUCCCCAUACCCCCUCCAAGUUUUUUUUUUUAAAUUUUUUAUCAUCUUUCUCUACUCUCCUCUCUUCACUUUUUUUUUCUCUCCAUCAUUUCUUCUUCGGGUUCCCUUCCAACACCACAACCACUCCACAACCCACAUACCAGACACGGUCGACUCCCCCAUCUCCUCUUUUUUUUUUUUUUCCUUUCCCCCAACUCUCACACACGACGGUCCCCAUUUUCUCUUCCAUUUUUUUUCUCUUUCCCACAGUCCUUCCCUCUACACUGCCAUUUUCCAAAGACUCCCAUUAUCACACGCUCCCCAUCUUCCUUCAUUUUCUUUUUUUUCUUUUUUUUUUCUCUUCCUUUUUCUUUUCUUUUCCCCUCCCCACACUCCAUAGCCACUACCGGCCCUCCACUGCCCGCCACUACCAGCAGCCACUGCCAACAACCACCACCCGCUACUAUCUGCCAGUCAUUGCCGGCUAGCAAUCCUACCAUCCAUAGUUCUAAAAAAAAUGGGUAAAUUUCCUUUUUACUUUAUUUUAUUUUCAUUUUUUUUAUCUUUAUAUUUUUAUUUUCAUUUGCAUAGUAAUUUAUUUAGACUUGGAUCUAUUGCUUAUUGGUUAUUUAUUUGGACUUAUUGGAUUGGGUUUGAGACAUUAUUUUCUUUGGUCAUGUAUAUUAUUAAUGUGGGUUUGUUAAUUGAUAUGAAUUUUUGACCCAUAAUGUGAGUAUGAAUUUUGGGCCCACAAUGUUGGUGGAAUUUGAUUGAUGACUUGAAUAUUUGAUAUGAGUUUGACCAAUUUGAACUAUUUAAUUUGGAUAUGGGACAAUUAUGAUGUAUAUUAAAUUAGGCUUGGAUUAUGAGAUAUUAAAUUUAGGCCUAAUUGAAUUUAUUUUAUUUUGUGAUAUUUUGGGCUUGGCUAAUUGUGUUGUAUUUUGGUUAUUAAUUUGAAAAUUUUGGAUUAAGAUUUAUAGCAUGUGAGAUGUUUUUGUUAGGUUAUAUUUGUUAAUUUAUGCCCAUUUUGAUUGACAAAAUUUAUCAGACUAAUUUGAAAUUUGAAUUUGAGUUUGAAUAUUUGUUUGGGAUUUUGUACAUCUUUGGAUAUUUACAUUUGAGCUAUUUUGUUUUUGCAUGGGUUUAUUUUGCAAAUUCUGUUGGCUGAAUACAAAUUUAUGACACGUGGAGCACGAAAUUUUAUGGAAGAAAGUGAGAAUCAAAAGGUUGUAGGAACACAUUAAACUUGUUAUAAGCUUAUUUUGGUACACAUUUUAUUUCCCACUUUUAUUUGAUUUUAUUUCUAUUAGUUCUUGUAAAUAUUCAUUUGUAUAUAUUUAUUGAGUGUGUACAGAAUUGAAUAUUUAACAAAUCAAAAUUUUCAUUUAAAUAAGAGGAAUAAUUCAGUAAAUAUGUUCUAAUAAAAUAAUAAUUUUAAAAUAUUCUUCUUCAUAAAAGAAAGUUUUUUUAUUAAUAAAAAUUCAUAAAAAUGCUUUUAAAAAAAUUCAAAAAAAAUUGUUUUUAAUAGAAUUUGAUAAAUUAUUUUUAAUAAUAAUUGUCCAAAAAUGUCUUUGUUUAAUAAAAAUUGUCCAAAAAUUGUUUUGUAAAUAAAGUUGUCCCAAAAAUUCUUUUGCAAAUAAAGUUAUAUUCUUUUUAAUAAUUUGUACAAGUCACUUUUCUUAAAUGAAAACAAAUUGAAAUACUUUUGUAAAUAAAAUUGUAAUUUUUUUGUAAAAGCGAGUAAAAAUCAUUUUUGUUACCAAAUUGAAAUUUUGUAAUAAAUUAUUUUGAUAUAAUAAGUGAAAAUAACUUUUUUGGAAAAUUAACUACAAAUUAAAUUGAAUUAAAUCAUUAAUUAAAAAUAAAUUGAAACUUCUUUUCUGUAAAUAAAAAAAAUUAAAAUCAUUAAUUUAAAAUCAUUUUUAAUAAAAUCCUUUGAAAUUUCUUGAAAAUUAUUUUUUUAAUAUUUUUUUAUUUAGUUCAAUAAAUCAUUUUGCAUAAUUCUCUUGUUAUUUAUUUUGUAUAUUCUUGUAAUUAGAUUUCAUCAUUAUUUUUAUGUAUAUUGAUUUUCAUCAUGACUUGCACAUACUCAUUUGCAUAAUUAUUUUUCUUGGUAUCCAUAAUUAAUUAAUUAAUCAUCGCAAUUUCCUUAAUUCAUUUAGUAGAGGUCGUAUGUAUACGAGCUUAGAGGGGUGUUACAACUCAUUACCAUACCUUCCCAAUAUGUAACGGAGGACUCAAACUCGAUUUUUCACAAACUUGUUUUUACUUCAAGAGUCACACUUAAGGUUUUUCUUUUUUAUUUUGUUUUUCCCUUAAAAAAUAAAACAAAAAUCAGUUGACUUCAAGUCUUUUUUUUAAAAUCAUAUUUUUCACCAAAUAAAUAAAAAAUGAGUCUCGCUGUCGAGUGGAGACGCACAUAAAAAACGUAGGUCCACACCAAUAUAUUAUACUAUUUUUUAAUUUAUUUAUAAUUUAAAACUAAUUUCAUUUUUUAUAAGACCUUAAUUAAAUUUCUAUUAAUUAAAUUUAGAAUAUUUUUACAAAAUCAACAUAGAAAAAUUAUUUAAAAAAAAAACCAACUUUAAAAUAACUUGCCAAACAUCCUUAUUUUAUAAAAUUUUUAAAACAUAUUUUUAUUUGUUUAACAUAAAAGCAACUUUCAAAAACAAACAUUAUGGAACGUGAUUGAACUUUUCUCUUAUUUCUUUUUCAUUUUCUUGUUACUUAAAAUGACCGACAAAGGAAGAUGAAUUAAAUUAUUGAAGAACAUCUUUUGCCAAACAUAUUAGUUAAAAAAAGUGAUUUAAAAAGCGGGCCCUAACCUAUUCUGGAGCCCAUGAUAUCUUUGUACGUUACCAUAAAAGGCCACACGCCACACGCCUCAGCAAACCCACCAACCCUCAGAAAGGGGUUUCAACUGCAAAUAGUAACCAUACAAUUUCAAAGCAAAAAGCCAAACACUCACAUAAAUCUAAUAUUACCACAGCAACACUACUAAAUAGUUAAUAGCCCGUGAUGUUUCCUUUUUAUUCUAUGCCAAGCUUCUUUCUCAUCCCCAUAACAAAGCCAUGGACCUUGUGUGGGUCUUCCAGAGAAGACGACACGCUCUCCUUUUCCAUGCACCUCUUGGUCCAAGCUAUCAACUUGGGACACUCCGCCUCUAUGCUGAAGUUUCCAAAGCUCUCAUAUGCAUGAAACCAGCAAGAGAAGGUCACCAGAGCCACAUCCACAAACCCAAUUUUUUCACCGCCGAAGUAAGGCUUCUCUCCAAGCUCUCCUUCCAGAAGCUUGAGGCACUCUAUGAAUUCCUUCUUGGCUGUUUCCUGCUCUUCUCCUUUGGUUGACCAUAUCUUCCUUCCAAGUUCAU